rnacentral:lncRNA from 1 species
UUGCAGCUUUAUCUCUCAUGUGGAUAUCACUUUGUACUAAUAAAGAAAUAGAAACGAAAACCAAGAUCAUUUAUGAUGCUCCGAGUCGAUAAGCACGGUCUCCAACAACUAAUUUAACAAAAAGCAGCAUUUUGCAUAAGGUGCACUGAACCAUCUUAUAUAGGUGCUUCUUGACUUGACUUUUCCAUUAAUAAAAGAAACAGAAAAGAAAACUAGCAACACUCCCAUGCUCCUAGUGCUAAUAUAAAUGAGUCAAUCGCAAAACACCGCCUGUUGGAAUAUUAUUUAUAAUGAACAAUCUGACUUUUUUUCUUUCAAAAGGGAUUCUAGAAAAGCAAAUCCCAAAAUAAAUUUUCCUCACUUCUCAAACUAAAAUUUUCCAUCCCAUGUCUUGCAUUGGACAGAACAAAUUCGAAUCUGGUCAGGCAUUUCUUCAAAGACGUAGUGGGCAGCGAGUUGGAGAGCGAAUAUGGACCUACUCGGAGAUCGAGCUCACACUUAAACUCAAGAGAAAUCAGCGAGCAGUGUUCAAACUUAAGAAAAACCGACUCAUUUAGAUCCGACGCGAGUGAGGACUAAAGAAAUCGAGCUUGCUUUGCUCUUUUAAAAUCAAGCAGGAGGAGGCAAAAAAAAAGAAGAAGAAGGAAGGAACGAGAACUCAAUCGCAGGGGCCCUACCUGGCUUAGCUUCCCCGGGCAUCGUUGGCGGCGAAGGUUGAGAAUAGCGACUCCAAACUCGUGUCAGGCUUCAGUCGACUCCAUCGAGGUCAGGGACGGCGACGACGAAUGGCAGCGGGCGGACGAUGCUCUGGAGGUGGCGGACGACGUAGAUCGGCUGUGGCUCUGAGGUUUUGUGUGGGGCUUCAAAGGCAAUCGUUCACGGAGUAGAGAAAGACCAAAAUGCUUCUUCUUUUUUCUCCCUUUUUCGUGAGAGAAAAGAAGUAGGUGACAGUGAAGGAAGGAGUGAGGUAGGAAUCCGGGAAUGGGAUGCGAGAGGUGUCGCCGGCGGGAGGUAGUCGGACGGAGAUGGUGGAGGUGGCUGGUCAGGUAAGCUCAGGAGAAAGGGUGGGGAACGCUUUUUUUUUUUUUUUCCUUUCCAGAAAAAUCUCCCUGAAGAUGGUGGUCUCCGCUUCCUCCCUUUUCGAGAACGCCCUGCUUUAUAUAUAUAUAUGGGAAAUUGUGUCUCUUUUAAGAGAGAGCGGGAGAGAUCCCUAGAAAGAACUUCCCUUUCAGAUUCGAAGAAGCAGCUACUAGAGUAGAUGAAAGUCGAUAUGCUUCCGCAGAAUGCUUGCCGUCUGGUUGGGUUGCAGCUUUAUCUCUCUCGUGUAUAUCACUUUGUUCUUUUUGACCAUGACUUUCUUGAAUCACGCGGCAGUGAUAAUCAAAGAAAGCCAUAGAAAAGAAAGUAAAGGUGAAUUAUUGCCAGCAUAAUUUCCACGGAAGGUUUACGUGUGUCCUUUCUUUCUUUUCCUCUGUUUACUUGACUUGCUUUUUCUAUUAAUAAAAAAAUAGAAACAAAAAUCAACGAAUCAUUUUUGACGUUUCAAGUCAGUAAGAACGUAUUUAGUAAUGAUUCUAUUCCCGAAAACAUAUUCUGAUAAAAAAAUGAUUCUUUUUUAUUAUGUUUUCAGAAACAAUUUCUAAGCAUUUUAAGCCAUUUGGUAACUGUCCAAAAUUUAUGAUUCUGAAAUAGAAUUGCAUUUAGUGCCGUGCUUAUUGAUUCUGUUUUAAAUCAACUUUCUUUUAAUUUUUAAAUAUUUUUUAUAACUUUUUUACUUUUUUUUCUUUUAUUUUUUCCUUUUGUUCUUUUUUUUUUGUUUUUUCCUUUUUCUCCUAUUCUUCUUCUUCUUGUAGCCAGUGGCCGGAUUGGCGACCGGUUAGACGAGGGUCGGCAACCUCACCGAAGCGUCGCCGGCCCUCGGCGAGGCGAGCCGGGGCUAGGCGUCGUGAGGCUUGCCCAGCCUCGCCGACGAGCCUUACCAGGGCUAGGCAAGGCCCGCCUAGCCACCGGCGAGGUCGAGCCUGGCUAGUGGCUGGACUUGCCUCCGGCGAGCUCGCUAGACCUCGCCCUGGCCUAGCAAGCCUCCGCGAGCUCGCCGGACCAGUUGCUGGUGACUGGCGGCGACAGCGGACAGCGGCAGCGGGAUAGCGGUCGAUGAAGAAGAAGAGUUGGUUUUGAUUCUUUUUUUUGUUCCCGAAACAAAAAUCAUUUUUUUAUUCUUAAUUCUAUUCCAAAUCUGUUCCCGGAAACAAAAAUUUUAACAAACGCGAUUCUGUUCCAAAAUUACUCCCAAGAACAAAAAAAAUCAAAAUUGAGUACUAUUUGGCACGUUGCCAAACAGGCCCUAAAGCAUAUAGUCCACCAACUAAUUUAUUAAAAAGCAACAUUUUGCAUAAGCGGCAUGGAACCAUCCUAUUUAGUGCUUCUCGACUUAGACUUGGCUUUUUCAUAAAUUAAAGAAAUAUUAAAGAAAGCUAGCUAUACUCUCGUGCCCUUGGUGCUAAUAUACAUUAGUCAAUCGCAAAAAUAUCGCCUGUUGGAAUAUUAUUUAUAAUGAACAAUCUGACUUCAAAUUUCAAAAUAAAUUUUCCUCAAUUUUCAUACUAAAUUUUUCCAUAUCAUAUCUUGCCUAAAAAUUAUUGAGUCAUCACCCCCUCAGCCUAGUCACUUUGAUCUCACUCCUUUUCAACAUUUUACAUUUAUUUCAUACUUUUAAUGUCACAUUUAGAAUUUCUUAUCUAACAGGUUAGGAAAAUGCUUGUGUGACCAUCUAUUGCAGAAUAACGGUGGAACUAUCAAAGGCUAGUCACACAUCCUUUUAUUAGGAAACUAGUGGAUUUACUCAACCGGUUUAAUCAUUGACUCCUUGUUUUGUUCUUCUUCAUUUUUUUUUACCUCUAUGUCCCUUACGACAACCUCAAAUUUCAAAGACAAAAUUAGAAGGCCAUGUUGAAUCUUUUUUUUUUUUUCAAGAUUAUGACUUUCAUUUGUUUCUUUAAAUGAGGCAAGAAAAUCGUUCUCUUCUUAUGGCUUUUUCAUAUGGCGAAUGCAUUUUUUUCUCUACUAAUUGUUUUUGGAAUUCUCUACUAACUCAUUAUUCUUAUUUUGAUCUUUUCUUUACUUCAUUUUUCUAUGCAUAAUUGAUAUCAAUUGUAUAAAUUUUAGUUCAUCUGAGAGUCCUUCAAAAGCAUUUUGGUUUGAGCAAAGGAAUGAUGAGCAAUUUCAUUGCACAAUAAUUUUGUUAUGAGUUGCGAAGUCAAUGUUUUAAGUGUUUUUUCAUUUUUUUUUAAAUUUAAUGUAUUCAUAAUGACAUUAAUUAUUAUUUUAGUAAGCUAUAGUUUUUUUACUUAUAAUUAUUUAUAUUUCCUUCUUUAUUUUAUUUUUUCUUUCUUCAUAUUCAAGAAAAUUGAUUUCGUGGGUCUUCUUCUGAUUUUGUCUCUAAAUUUGAGCUUGUUGUCGGUAUUUAAGUAUUUGGCAUAGAAGAAGAAAAAAACCAAAAAAUGAAAUAUGGGGUCACAAAUUAAAACUGGUUAUUGGUUUCCUCCAAAGGAUUUGCCGUUGACUGUUCCACCGUUAUUCUGAAGCGGACGGUCAUGCUGGCCACUCCCAGAAUGCUUGCCGUCUGGUUGGAUUGCAGCUUUAUCUCUCAUGUAUAUAUCAUGUAUAUAUCACUUUGUUCUUUUGACCAUGACCUUCUCAAAUCACGCGGCAGUGAUAAUCAAAGAAAACCAUCAAAAAGAGAAGUAAAGGUGAAUUAUUGCACGCGAAAUUUCCGUGGAAGGUGCAUAAAAUUUUCGCGGGCCCUUUCUUUCUUUUUCUUUGUUGACUUGACUUUGCCUUUUCCACUAACGAAGAAACAAAAGCGAAAACCAACCAUCAUUUCUAAUGUUCAGACCAAAAAAAAAAAAUGUUUAGAGUCGAUUAGCAUAUUUUCUACCAUUUAAUUUAAUAAAAAGCAGAUAGCCAAUAAAAAGAAAAUUAAAGGACAAUCAAUGCAAGUGUCACUUCCAGGGCAUUUUAUAUAAGGUAUGUGGAAUCAUCCUAUGUGGUGCUUUUUGACUUGAUUUGACUUGCCUUUAACAUUAAUAAGAGAAAUAGAAAAGAAAACUAACAAUACUCCCUAAGGGUAAGGUAUGCAAUGGGAAUCGCUCCAAUCAGGAUUGGAUCAGAGCGAUCAGUUCUGGACAAUCUUAAAGGGUGCCGAUCCGAUCCCCAAUUUCUAUUUUUGGAAUCGGUGGCUGAUAAGUUCCGUUCCUGUUUCCAAGGUAGGAAUUGAACUAAUAGGACCGGACCAACCAUUCAUGCAUCAUUUUAAUUUUUAAAAAAUUUCUGAAUGACCAUUCUACCAUUGGCCCAAUUAGGGCGCAUUUGUUUAAAAUUGUUUCUAUUCCCCGGAAUACAAUUUUUUGUUAUUUUGUUCCGAGGAACAAAAAAAGAACAGAAAUACGUUUGUUUAUACUUUUGUUAUUUUUGGUAACUCAAGAAAUCCCGUAAGCCGACAACCGGCGAGCAAACCCUGGGAAGCAACUGUAGGACCCACCACCAUAGUACUCAAAGUAAGAAUCUCUAACGACGCCUCUAGGAUUCGAACUUCUCCCCUUCAUGAGGGGGAGAGAGCCCGAACCAGUUGCGUCGCUAAGGGUGGUGGUUGUUUACACUUUUGUUCCCGGAAACAAAAAAAUUAUUUUUUUAUUCCUAAGGAACAGAAACAAGAAGUAGAAAAAACUUAUUUCUUGUUCUCGGGAACACUUCUGAGAAACAUUUUUUUUUCUUCUUCUUUUUUCUCUUUCUUUUAUUCUUCUUCUUCUUCCUUUUGCCGGUCACUGGCCUUGGCCAUGGCCGGCGACCUCACCUGAGCGUCGCCAAGCAACGGUGAGGCUCAACCUCUUCAGCUGGCGCAAGGCCGGGCCUUGCUAGGCCAAGGCGAGGCCAACCUCACACCACCUGGGCGAGGCCAAGCCUCGCCGGUGGCCUGGCGAGGCUCGCUUGGCUAGCGGCAAUCUCGCCAGGCCACCGGCAAGAGCGAGGCUCGACUUCGCCCAGAUUUGAUGAGGCUCGCCAGACGUUGCCCAGCUGGUCACCGGUCAUGGUUGUGGUCGGCCAAAGAGAAAAAGAAAAAAAAGAAAAAUAUAAUACAAGUAUUGAAAAAUUUUAAAAAAAUAAAAAAAUAUACAAAUUUACCAAAUAUUUUUGUGUUUCUAUUCUUUUUAUAUUCCAGGAACAUAAAUUUUGUGCAGUUACCAAACGCGUUCUUCUGUUAAAAAAUUAUUCCCCGAAACAGAAAUAGUUUUUUAUUUUAUUUCUGUUCCCGGGAACAAUUUUUGAACUGAAACGUUAUUAAAAUGCGCUCUUACUUUCCCAACUCUUUCCCAUUAUGCCAUCACUUUCCCAUGUCUUUCCCUUCUGCCAUUACUUUCCCCAUUUCUUUCUCUUCCACUUCUCUUUUGCUAACCCAAACCGUGUGAAAUCAGCCCUUUCAUAGUUUCCCUUUUGCAAGCACAGCCACACCUCACGCCUUGGUUCGAGUGAGUUGCUCGACUCUCGCAGCCUCACCUCCCUAUCGCUCGACAUCCUCUCACGGCCUCACCUUAGGCCUCCUUUCCUUCUUGUGGCCUCGCCUUCCGCCUCACUCAAUGUCCUCUCAAGGCCUCACCUCAUGCCUUGCUCGUCGAGCUUUCCCUCUCACCUCACAGCUUGAUUGUCAAUAUAAUGACAACAAGUGAUUUGGUCCAUUGGAAUUGAUCCGGUCCGGUUCUUAGUUCUCGGACCCAUUGGUCCUGUCCAUGGUCCCAAAAAAUGGGAACCGGUCCUCUCGGUCCAAUUCUCGAUUCUUGGAUGGGACUGGAUUGGACCAUUAACCAAUCACUUCUUAUACUCACAUGCUCCUAGUGCUAAUAUACGUGAGUCAAUCACAAAAACAUCAGCCGUUGGAUAAUUAUUUAUAAUGAACAAUUUGACUUUUUCUGUUUCAUAAGGGAUCCUAGAUAAGCAAAUCCCAAAAUAAAUCUUCCUUACUUUUCAAAUUAAAUUUUUCCAAGCCAUAUCUUGCCUAAAAAUUAUCAAGUCAUUACCCCCUCAUCAAGUCACUUUGAUCUCACUCCUUAAAUUAUUUUUGUUUUUGACAUUUUACAUUUAUUUUAUACUUUUAAUGUCACAUUUAGAAGUUCUCAGCUAAUGGGUUAUCCACGUCGAAUAACUAUUUAGGGAAUACUUUUUUACUUUUAUCUCAUUCUUGUCGACCCUUUUAUUCCAUCUCAACACUUUCGGUUUUCUUAACCUCUCAGUUAAAAUUAUCACUUAUUCAUCUGAAGGUGUUUGUCAUUAGUGAUCGAAUAUUAUAAACCAACUAUAUUUAUGUAUUAGUCUUAUCUUCUAGUAAAAAUUGGAGCUUUACGACUUUGAAUAGCAAUGACGUAUAGAGGAUUCAUGAAAUGGGAUUUUCUAUUUCAAUGUCUCAGUGACAUUAUUUAGUGUAUGUACAACUACUUUUCCGCGACGUUCUUAUGUAGGAGCUUUUGGACACUUCUUGCUGAUAAAAGGAUCGCGAAAGGUGGAGAUUUUUAUUUUGCAUGGGUUAUAGUUUGAUUAGGGAAAAAGUAUCAAAAAAGUCAUAAAUCUAUGACAUUGACAUCAAUUCAGUCCUAAACAUUUCAAUUGGACCAUUGUAGUUAUAAACAUUUUCACAUUGGUAUCAUUUCAAUCAUCUGGCUAAUUUUGGCUUGCAUGUAAAUGCCAACCAGUGCUAGCCAGCCAGCAAACACUAAUGUGGCAAUUUUUAAAUAUUUUUAUUGUUAUUUUUUCCCAUUUUUUAUAUAAAAAAUUCAUCUUUUUCCUUUUCCUUUUCUUUUUCCUCUCCUUCCUCUUGGCCUUCUUCUCCCGCAAUGGUUGAUAAGCCUUCAAGCGAGGGCUGUGAAGCCCUUGCCGCCCGUUAGUAAGAGUCGAGGGCCUCGCCUAGGGCCGUGGGCGAGGCUACCUCUCUUGCGGCCUCGCCCACGGCUAGGCCAUGGCAAGGCUGGCCUCGCUUGCGGCUUUGGGUGAGGUUGGGUGAGGGUUACGAAGCCCUUGCCAACAACUAGCAAGUCACUGGAGGCUCGCCGGCCGCUGCGAGAGAAGAAGGCCAAGAGGAAAAAGAGGAAAAAAAAAAAAAGAGGCAAAAAAAGGAAAAAAAGGAAAAAAAUUGAAAAGAUAAAAAAUUAUUAAAAAGUUGCCACAUUAGCAUUCACUAGUCGGCUGGCAUCCACAUUAGCGUCAGCCAAUUAAAAUUGACUAGAUGGACUGAGUUGGUACGAAUGUGAAAAUGUUUAAGAUUAAAUUAGUCCAAUUAACAUGUUUAAGACUGAAUUGAUACCAAUACUAUAUGACUUUUUUUGUACUUUUCCCGUUUGACUAGUGGAUGAUGUUGUGAGAACUUGCGAUUUGAGUCAUUUCGAUUGUUUUUUUUCUCCUUUCAUAUCAAAUGAUAAUUACUGAAUCAUUUGAUAUAAAGUUUUUGUGUUCUAUCUUGGGUUGAAUUAUUGAAUUCACCUAGUACUAUAAUAGUAUUUUGGAGCUUCGUACAGAGCAUUAUGGAGAGUUCGCAUGUGGCUCAUUUGAUGGUUGCCAACUCACUUUCGUUUGCUUUAAUUUGUUCAUCCUUUUUUCUCUUCAUUCCAAGAAAUAACUUAUUAACUAUAAAGAGUACUUUAUCUGAACGUGAAUGUUCAAUGCAUGUAGGGAAAAGUAUCAAAAAAGUCAUAAACCUAUUGUAUUGAUACCGGUUUAGUUUUAAUAUUUUCAAUUUGACUAAUUUAGUAUAAACAUUUUCACAUUGGUACAAAUUUAGUUCAUUUGGCCAAUUUAGGUAGACAAUUGCUGACUUAAAUGCCGAAAGUCCUACUUGGUAGGGUGGUAUUGAUGUGGACACUUUAAAAAAAAAAUGUUUUUCAAUUUUUUUAUUAAUUUUUCUUCUCUUUUCAUUUUUUUUCCAAUCCUUUCUCUUUUUUUCUUUUUCCUUAUUUCCCUCCAUUGCUAGUCCCCACCUCCAUGAGGGUUGCUAGAGAUUGCCAACGGCCAAGGAGGGCAAGGGCCGAGACACCUUGCGAGCCUUUUGGCAAGGGCCAGUGAGGGCCGGCGACACCAUCAUAGGCCUUGCUUGGGUGAGAGCCUUUGCCACUGCCAAAGGCCUACAAGGUUGCCCCUUGGCAGCCUCUAGUGAUGGUCAAGCGAGGCUCUCUUCGCCAAAUUUGGUGUAGGAUAGCUUCCCCAACCUUAGCCAAAGGCCGACGAGGGCAUCUUAGCCCUUGCUCUCGUCAACGAUCAGGGAUCUCCACUGGCACCAUGGAGGUGGCGAUUGGCGGCGGAGGAAAAUAAGAGAAAAAGAAAAAAGAGAAAGGAAAGCAUAAAAAAAAAGGAAAAGAAAAGAAAAUUGGGAAAAAAUAAAAAAAUAUAUGAAAAAACAUAAUAAUUGUCCAUGUUAACAUCCGCUGUACCAUAUAGGAUAACUGGCAUCCAGGACAAUAAUUUCUGGCCUAAAUUGGCCGGAUGAAUUUAAUUGGUACCGAUAUGAAAAGGUUUAUGAUCGAAUUGAUCCAAUCAAAAAGUUUAAGAGUGAAUUGAUAUAAAUACAAUAAGUUUAUGACUUUUUUAGUAUUUUUCCCCCUUUGAAGAUUUGUGUAUUGAAUCCUAAACCUAUUAUUUGGAUAAUUAGUCAAAAGAAUUACAUUAGCAAAUUGUCAAAAGAUUUAGAACUAGGCAAAUUGUUAAAGAUUUUUUUACUAAAUUGACAUAAUUGAAAGGUUUGGAACUAAAUUAACAAAUGUCAAAAGGUUUAGGAUUAAAUUGAUGCAAUUGAAAUUAGAACUGAAUUGGUCCCUGUACAAUAAGUUCAACACUUUGUGGACAAUUUUCUUGAUAUGGAACAUUGAUGUCACUUUUAUAAUGUAUCUUUGCCUUAAAGAAGCACCCAUGCAACGAUGAUAAAUUUACGUACAACACUCAUUUCAUCAGUAAUUUAGAAGCCCUUAAAAAAGUUCAUGUGUCUUUUUGUUGAAAACAAAACCAUUUCAUUUCACCAAGGUUAAGCUCGGUGACAACUAAAGGGCUUCGGCACAUACAAGAUUCCAAAGGGUUUCGGGAGGGUUAAAGACCCAAUUGUAGGGCAAAGAUUUGCAUCUUUAGGCCUUAACAAUCUGGUGCCACUUGAUUUACAUUCGUAUUACAAUGGGCCAAAAGAACAUUAAGAAAAUGGGCCAGCGGACGCUGCAUUCAGUAAUAAGCGAAGUGGCUUCCCACGGAAAAGUAUCUAAGACAAUUUAUCGAGGUCAGGUCAAGUUGUCGGAUUAUAGCAAAGUACUUCACUUUGUCUUCUUCCCUUCGAGCAUAAAGUAGCUUCAGAGUUUCGAGGCAAGCCAGGGUUUCAACAUUCAUAGCUGAACUUUCCUUCACCAAUUUAACGAACCCAUCCGAUCUUGCCUGAGAAGUUGCGGCAAACACCGGCGAUGGAACCUUUUGUCAAGCCUUUAGCUGAUCAAAGAGUCUUUACAUGUUACAGUCUUACAGAGACCCUCCUAAACCAAGUUUAUAGCUAGUUACGCAUGAUAGCUAUCAUAUGUCACAUAUGUGGAUUUGGAAGCAAUGUGCCCAACCCUUCCCAUGAUAUAUUCGCCAUAUUUUAUUAAUAGAGAAGCCAACAAACUUUAGUAUAAUUCAUUACUAUUUUAGAAAUGGAUAUAAUAAUAUUGAAAUUUUUUUUAUCCAAAAGGAACUUUGCUUAGAGCGGCCUGGAUCUUAUUGUGAUGGCUGAAUAGCAUCCUUCAGGAUCAACGUCUUUUUUUUUUUCUUUUCAAUAUCUACGGUCUUUUUUCCCUGGAAAAGAUCUUCUGCCAACUUUAUCCAAGUCACCAUCAAAAUUUAUUUAAUUCAUAUCAAAGAUACACUGAUGCCACACCCUUAUUUCGUGCAAUAAAGCAAGAUUUGCGCUCCACCCACUGCACAUCUCAAAUUUUAUCUCCUCCCAAAUAUUCUCCCCCAAUUAGAAGCUUACUUUUAGGCCAAUGAUAAAUCCUAGAUAGAUCAAGUAAAGAACAUGGGAAUUUCACUUUAAAAAAAAAUCAUAUUUGCCAAGGUUGAAUAAAGAACAGAAAAAUUAAAGCAAAUAUCGUUGGUGUAAAUUUUGUUCACAAAUGGUCUCACCCAACGCCAUCCCAUCCAAAGAGAACCCAUGGAAAAGAAAGAUUUUACCUGAUCCGAUAUGUGACCUUUGCCGAGAUAAAAUGGAAACGGCCGAACAUAUCCAUCUUCUUUGCCCCUGGACUGCAAGGGUAUGGAGCCACUUGGAAAUCAACCUACAAGUGAAUGCAUAGGAGGUUACACAAAUUGAUGAGUGCCUGGCGCGAUUUAUAAGGAAAGACACGCACCUACCGUCCUUGGAAACGAUCUCAAACAUCCUAUGGCGGGUAUGGAAGGAGCGAAACAACUAUAUAUUUCGAGGUACUAAGUCGGAUGCCUACAAAGUGGUAAAUUUGGCCCGAUUUCAGCAAGAUAGCUACAAAAAAUGGGGCUUUAUGCAUCUUCAAGCAGGAAAGGAAGAGGAAAUUGAGACAUCUCCAAUCUAGAUAGCUCCGGCAGCAAAAUCCUUGAAGCUUUAUGUCGACGGGUCGAUCUGCGAGGGGUCGACAGAAGGAGCUGUCGCCUGCAUCAUCCGGGAUUCCUCCGGUAGCCUUGUGGAUCGCUUCACCAAACCAGUUUGGGCGGUAUCGAUUUUUCAGCUGGAAACCCUAGUAGUGCUCGAAGCUUUGAAGUACAUAAAACAGAAGCAGCUGGGGGUGGCUUUGAUGGAGUCUGAUAGCAGAAGUCUCGUGAAGUCCCUCAAGUACAUUGAUGAGUUCAACUGGGAAGCACAUGCGACGUGGACAGAAUGCAAGCAGCUUCUUCAACAAUUGUCGCUAGUGGGCCUACACUCCUAUCCUCGAUCUGCUGGCACUGUGGCAGACUGGGCCGCGCAACAACAAAGGAAAAAUACACUUCCUCCCAACUGGCUGGCUUCUCCACCUCUAGGCCUUCGGGCCUUAUUAUGUAAUGAUGCCCCAUCUAUUGGGUAUGCUGGUUUAGUUAUAAUAUAAAUAAUAUGCCUCAUUUCGACCCAAAAAAAAAAAACUACCACUAAUCUGAGGAGGAUUAGUGAAAUAAUGAAAAAUUACAAUCCCCAAAUUAAUGAUGAAUAAAAUCAUCUAUUGAAGUAUUUUUUAACACCGAUGAGGUAUGUUAUGAUUAACCAUCGGGCCUUAUUAAUUCUACGAAAAAGUUUGUGCAUACAUAUACACAAUGAUUGGACAAAAACUUGCAAUAAAACCAUAAACACGCUCCAUCCUUGAGCCAUAAGGACUACCGACACGAACAAAUAUCAUCAAUGUCAAUCGUUGGAUUUUUAAACUCGAUUACAUGCAUGAAAAUCGCUUUCAUUCAUCGAUUUUUUGCUUUUUUUUUCCUCUCAAUUUCUCUUAGCUUGAGGAAUUCCUCGACUCACAAAUUAUUCGAUUUUAUCAGCUUAAUGACUUAUUUUUGCUCUCGUCUGUCAUCUUUUUCUCUACUCCCAUUGUCUAUGAAAUGGAUUUAACUUUGAUUGCCCCGAAUCAACUCCCUCCAGAAAGCAAAACCUUGAAACUUCGAGGAUAGAAGUCCACGCGGCGCCACGCAAUUGGCACUGGGAAUCACACAGAGAAAAGGUUGGAAGUUAAGACCCUUUUCUCUUUCAUGCACGCAAGAAAUGUCAGAUGAGAAAAAACGUGAGUGGCCGUAGUCAAAGCCAACAAGGUGAACGACAGAGAGAAGAGAAAGGGUUGUCGUUUUGCAGCGGUUUGCGGUCGUAUGUUGAAUGAGAGAGAGAGAGAGAGAAGGGGGUGUUGGUUUGUUUUUGCAGGGGGUUUGGUGGGUGGUAACUUCAACCGGCAUGUUAAAGAAGACCGGAGAGAGACUGGUCAAAUCCCCGGUCAGAACUUACAUUUUCUUCUCUUCUUGAAAGGAGCCCAUCACGAUGUUAAUAGUGUUAGCUAGGUUUACUCCUAUGUGGAGGAUGCCCAAUGAGUUGCAAGCCUAAAAAGGGCUUGAGCCCAUAUAAUAAGUUAUAUGAGGAAAUAGAGUUUUUCACUAUCUAUAUAAAGAGGUAUUCGCAGAAAAUGAAACAGCAAUAAGAGAAAAAGAGAAAGCAGAAAAUCUUGGGUUUGGGGCAAUAUCUAAUUUACAUCAAGCUGGCGUCGGAGGUUGAUUCGUGAUCCGAUUGAGCUGAAAUUUUGUCAGCAUGUUCGUGGCGCAAUUUUAUCGAAUCUGAACGAUUUGAUUUUCGUUUGAAGCUCCCUACAUUAGGUUUUUCAUGGAUUGAUUAAAACCUGCGUUUUUGGUCAGAUUUAUCUUUGAUCUCUUGUGAAGUUCAUGUGUAUUGCCAAGAAUUAUAUUCUUGAGGUGUUUGCUGCUAUGUACCUCUAGUAUUUGCUAGAAAAGAACAAUUUUGUUGAUAGUGAAGAAUUUCGGGUGGACUCCGAUCCCGUGAUUUUUUAUCUACUCACAUCGAGGAGGUUUUCCACGUAAAAAUCAUCUUGUGUUCGUGUGCUUGGUAUUUAUUUUACUCUACUAUAUCGAUUCCUAUUAGGUUUACACAAGAGGGGAGAUUAUUUUAUUCCGCUGCGUUGAUUCGAUAUUGUUCGAAUUAUUACCAUUCUCCCAUCAAAGUGGUAUCAGAGCAACAAGUUAUUGCUUGAUUUUUCUGCCUUGUGUUAAACAAUGGAAACGAAUACAAGUAGAAUGGUUACAUUGAAUGGUUCGAAUUAUCAUAUUUGGAAAGGAAAGAUGGAAAAUCUUUUAUAUGUGAAAGAUUUUUAUUUGCCUGUAUUUGCUGAGGAGAAACCAGAGAAUAAAACUGAUGUUGAAUGGCCUAUAUUUCAUCGUCAAGUGUGUGGUUAUAUCAGGCAGUGGGUAGAUGAUAAUGUUUUGAACCAUAUUAUUGAGGAAACACAUGCACGUAGUUUAUGGGAUAAGCUCGAACAGUUAUAUGCUCGAAAGACUGGGAAUAAUAAGUUGUUUUUGAUAAAACAAAUGAUGGCUCUGAGAUAUCAUGAUGGUACUCGUUUGACUGAUCAUUUAAAUUCUUUUCAAAAAAUUAUAAAUCAGUUAGCUGCGAUAGGAAUCAAGUUUGAUGAUGAGAUACAAGCACUAUGGUUGCUUAGUACUUUGCCAGACUCAUAGGAGACGUUCCGAACAUAUUUGUUUAAUUUUGCCCUAGAUGGUACGAUUAUCAUGGAUUUGGCCAAGAGUAGUAUUUUGAAUGAAGAGAUGAGAAGGAAGAUACAUGGAUCGUCUUCUUCACAUUCUAAUGCCUUGGUUGUUGAGAAAAGGGGAAGAGUGAGUCUCGAGGUCCGAGAAAUAGAGAUAAAAUUCGAGACAAAAGCAGAGGUAAGUAUAAUAAAUUUGCUAAUGUUGAGUGCCAUUAUUGUCAUCAGAAAGGACAUAUUCAGAGGUUUUGUCGCCAGUUAAAAAGGGAGAAACAAAAGGAGAAAAGUAAAGAGAAGAAAAGUGAUAAUGACAAUGAUGACAAUCAUGUCACUGCACUUAAAGAAGAUUUUCUUACUAUUUUUUAUGGUGAUGUGGUGAAUUUUGUAUCUCAUGAGACUAGUUGGGUAAUUGAUAGUGGUACAUCCGUUCAUGCUACGUCUCGUAGGGAUUUCUUUACAUCAUACAGGUCAGGUGAUUUCGGAUCUGUGAAGAUGGGAAACAAUGGACUAGCUCAAGCUGUAGGCAUCGGUGAUGUGUGCCUAGAAACCAGCAAUGGCACGAGGUUAGUAUUGAAUAAUGUUAAACAUAUACUUGAUAUCUGCUUGAAUUUGAUUUCUACAGGCAAGUUGAAUGAUGAGGGGUAUUGCAGCACUUUCAAUAAUGAUCAAUGGAAGCUCACCAAAGGUUCUCUUGUUAUGGCUAGAGGUGAAAAAUAUUCUUCGUUGUACAUUAUGCAGGCAAAGUUGUCCACAGACAAAAUUAAUGCAGUAGACAGCGAAGAUGCAGCUGAAUUAUGGUAUAAGAGGCUCAGUCACAUCAGUGAGAAGGGUUUGUCAAUAUUGGCCAAGAAGAAACUCCUUUCAGGAUUGAAAAGUUCAGCGCUAAAGAAGUGUGCUCACUGUUUAGCAGAAAAACAAAACCGAGUUGCAUUUAAAAGCUUCCCUCCUUCAAGAAAGUCAGGUAUACUGAAUUUAGUGCAUUAUGAUGUUUGCGAUCCUAUGAAAACAAAAUCACUUGGUGGCUUUCUUUAUUUUGUUACCUUCAUAGAUGAUUUUUCAAGGAAAAUUUGGAUUUAUAUCUUGAAAACUAAAAAUCAAGUGUUAGAUGCUUUUAAGCAAUUUCAGGCUUCAGUUGAGAGACAGACUAGAAAGAAAUUGAAAUACAUCAUAACUGAUAACGAGGGAGAGUAUAUUGGACCUUUUGAUGAAUACUGCAGACAACAAGGUAUUCGACAUCAAAAGACACCUCCCAAGACGCCUAAGUUAAAUGGCUUAGCUGAGAGAAUGAACAGAACGUUGGUUGAAAGGGUAAGAUGCUUACUUUCACAGUCAAAGUUACCUGGAUCCUUUUGGGGUGAGGCUUUAAGUACAGUUGUGCAUAUAUUAAAUCUUACUCCAUGCGUUCCUUUAGAGUUUGAUGUUCCUAACAAAGUUUGGACAAGCAAAGAUAUUUCUUAUGAUUAUUUGCGUGUUUUUGGGUGCAAAGCAUUUGUGCAUAUUCCCAAAUAUGAGAAGUCUAAACUUGAUGUGAAAAUACGAUAGUGCAUAUUUAUUGGUUAUGGACAAGAUAUACUUUGCUACAGAUUUUAUGAUCCACUUGAAAAGAAAAUUGUAAGAAGCAGAGACGUGUUUAUGGAAGAUCAAACAAUAGAGGAUAUUGAGAAAUCGAAAAUGAUUUCAGCACCACAGGUUAGUGAUAAUCCAGUUGAUUUAGAUCCAGUUCCUCUUACAAAUAUUCCUACAUAGGUUGAUGAAGAGCAGCAGGAAGUCAAUGUUCUAAAUAACACAAAUGUUCCUCAACAUGUUGAAACAUAUAAUAAUAUUCCAGAACCAGAGGCUCAAUUAGAUGUUUCACUGGAUGUUCUAGUCCGGAGAUCCGUUAAAGACCGAUGACCUUCCACCAGGUAUUCUGAAGAUGAGUAUGUAUUAUUGACUAAUGCAGGUGAACCAGAGUGCUAUACAGAAGCAAUAGAAGAUGUGUAUAAAAGCAAUUGGUUCGAUGCUAUGCGAGAUGAGAUGCAAUCAUUUUAUGAUAAUCAUACUUUUGAGUUGGUGAAGUUACCUAAAGGUAAAAGAGCUUCGAAGAACAAGUGGGUAUAUAGGUUGAAGCAAGAUGAACAUACUUUACAACCACGGUACAAAGCUAGAUUGGUUGUUAAGGGAUUCGGUCAGAGAAAGGGUAUUGAUUUUGAUGAUAUAUUUUCUCCGGUAGUAAAAAUGUCUUCUAUCCAUGUGUACUAGGCUUGGCAGCUAGCCUGGAUUUGGAAAUUGAGCAAAUGGAUGUUAAAACAGCCUUUCUACAUGGUGACUUGGAGGAAGAGAUAUACAUAGAACAACCUGAGGAUUUCAAAGUGAAAGGAAAAGAGGAUUAUGUGUGCAAAUUGAAGAAAAGUCUCUAUGGCCUAAAACAAGCACCGAGGCAAUGGUAUAAGAAAUUUGCGUCAGUUAUGAUAGAACAAGGCUAUAGGAAGACUUCCUCGGAUAACUGUGUAUUUGUCCAAAAAUUUUAUGAUGAUGACUUUAUUAUUCUCUUGCUUUAUGUUGAUAAUAUGUUGAUUGUUAGCAAGAAUGCUUUAAGAAUUGAGUUAUUAAAGAAGCAGUUGAGCAAGUCUUUUGCCAUGAAAGACUUGGGCUCGGCGAAGCAGAUUCUUGGCAUUAGAAUUACUCGAGACAGAGAUGCUAAGAAGUUAUUUUUGUCGCAAGAGAAAUAUAUCGAGAAGAUCCUUAAGAAAUUUUACAUGGACAAGGUUAAAGUGGUUAGUACUCCUCUUGCUGCCCACUUUAAGUUAAAUGUGAUGCAAAGUCCUACAACUGAUAAAGAAAAGAAAGAUAUGGAAAGUGUUCCAUAUGCUUCAGUUGUAGGAAGCUUAAUGUAUGCGAUGGUAUGUACACGUCCAAACUUGGCGCACGCAGUUGGCGUUGUUAGUCGCUAUUUGUCAAAUCCAGGCAGAGAGCACUGGAAUGCAGUGAAGUGGAUUAUGAGGUAUCUUCGGGGAACUUCAAAUUUGAAACUCAGUUUCGGGACUGGGAAACUUGAGUUAGUUGGAUACACAGAUUCCGACUUGGCAGGAGAUAUUGAUACUCGUAAAUUACUUCUGGUUAUUUGAUUUCUUUUGCGGAUGGAGCUGUGUUAUGGAAGUCAAGAUUGCAAAAAUGUGUUGCACUUUCUACAACCGAAGCUGAAUUUAUUGCAGCGACUGAAGCUAGUAAAGAGAUGCUAUGGAUGAAGAAGUUCUUAGAAGAACUUGGGUUCAAGCAAAAGAUUUAUGUGCUAUUUUGUGAUAAUCAAAGCGCAAUUCAUCUUGGUAAGAAUUCAUCUUUUCAUUCUAGAUCAAAACAUAUUGAUGUUAGAUAUCAUUGGAUAAGGGAUGUUCUAGAUGAAAAGUUGUUGGAACUUGAGAAAAUUCAUACAUAUUAUAAUAGCUCUGAUAUGAUGACGAAGACUCUACCAAGAGAGAAGCUUGAACAUUGCCGAUUGAUAGUAGGGAUGAUGAAUCCCUCCACAUUCUCGUGAGGGGGAGAUUUGUUAACUAGAUUCACUCCUAUGUGGAGAAGGCCCAAUGAGUUGCAAGCCCAAAAAGGGCUUGAGCCUAUAUAAUAAGUUAUAUGAGGAAAUGGGGUUUCUCACUAUUUAUAUAAAGAGGUAGCCGCAGAAAAGGAAACAGUAACAAGAGAAAAAGAGAAAGCAGAAAAUAUGGGGUUUGGGGCAAUAUCUGAUUUACAUCAAGCUGGCGUCGGAGGUCGAUUCGUGGUCCGAUUGAGCUAAAAAAAUUUCAGCAUGUUCAUGGCGCAAUUUUAUCGAAUCUGAACGGUUUGAUUUUCCUUUGAAGCUCCCUACAUCAGGUUUUUCGUGGAUUGAUCAAAACCUGCGUUUUUGGUCAGAUUUAUCCUUGAUCUCUUGUGAAGUUCAUGUGUAUUGCCAAGAAUUAUAUUCUUAAGGUGUUUGCUGCUAUGUAUCUUUAGUAUUUGCUAGAGAAGAACAAUUUUGUUGAUAGUGAAGAAUUUCGGGUGGACUCCGGUCCCGUGAUUUUUUAUCUUCUCACAUCGAGGAGGUUUUCCACGUAAAAAUCGUCUUAUGUUCAUGUGUUUGGUAUUUAUUUUACUCUACUAUAUCGAUUCCUAUUAGGUUUACACAAGAGGGGAGAUUAUUUUAUUCCGCUGCGUUGAUUUGAUAUUGUUUGAAUUAUUACCGUUCUCCUAUCAAAUAGUACAUAAACCUUUAUUACGCUGCUUGUUAAUGCGAUAGCCGAGAGAGAGAUAGAAGUAAAUGUUUGUCGAGCGACUUCUUACAGCCAUCUUUCAUCAUUCUCAUCUCUCUUUUCAUUGCCUCUCUCAUGGGAUGGUGAAUAUAAAAAAAUUGUGCGCUCUUCCUAGUUCCCACGCAUCUCCUGUCUUCUUGACCAGUCCAGUGCAUACAUCACUUCUCAACACAUCUCUUCCCGACCCCUAUGUAGCCAGUGCCCGCCUCUCCUAAGGUUUGAAGCCUUCUGCAUGGCGUGGAAGAAUGGAAUAGAAACGAAUAUAGACUAACAAUCACAUGAGUAUUGCAAUUUCUUUCUGAAAAUCUUUUUAAAAAAGCAGUUUUUGUAAUUGGUACAUGCUUUUUUAAACCUCCCAUAAGAACCAUAUUCUGACUUUUAUCUGGAGAAUAUCCAACAAUAGCUUCCAUUGAAUGAAUAAUUGAUCUCAUCUAUUUUUCUUAAUCCAAAUAAUUGAAUUGGGUUUCUUUUGGAAAGUUCUUUUAUUAUUCCUUUUAAAAAUAGAAUGGUUUUCAUGACCGAUUUUUUUCUUUCUUUUGAAAGGUUUAAAAAAAGAUUUAUUCUUUCUUUUAAAACCUGUAUAACUAAAAAAGGAUUCUUUUGUAAUUUUAUAAUUUUUUUUCUGAGUUCUUUAAAACAGUUUCAAAACACGCUAGAGGCAGCCCGAAAUGAUCUCGAUGAGAUCAUAGUUUUAAUUAAGUUGCUUGAAGUUUUGGUGCUGAAUACAUUAGGUGAAGCAGAGAUAUUCUCAUGGUUAAUGCUGACAAGCUUUAAUGAUAGUGGUAACCUCAACCACGAUGAAAUCAGCAACGUUGGCUGCCGGAAGGGGCUGAACUCCUCGCUCGUGGAGGCCAACUAAGGGUGCGCAUGGAUUUGUUUCUGUUCUUUUUUUGUUCCUGGGAACAGAAACAAAAAAAGUGUUUCUGUUCCGGGGAACAGUUUUUGAACAAAAGAACAUGUUUGGUAACGUUUGGUCCGGGAAUAAAAAAUGAACAGAAACACGUUUGGUAAAUUUUAUUAUUUUUUUGUUUCUUUUAAUUUUUUAAACAUUUUUUUUAUUUUUUUAUUUUUCCUUUCUUUUUAUUUUUUCUUUUCUUCGGCCUGUCACCGGCCUCCGGCGACCGGCCGACAGGGCCGGCAGCCUCGCCCAGCCACGGCGAGGCUCGCUGGCCCUCGGCGAGGCCGAGCCUCUCUGUGGUUGGGCGAGGCUGACGGUCCUGUGGGCUGGGCGACGCCGACCGCUCCCCGGCCGAGCGAGGUUUGGCCUCGCCCGUGCCGGCGACGCCGAGCCUCGCCGGAUUUGGGCGAGGCCGAGCCUCGACGGCCGGUCGCCGGCCAUGGCCGAGGCCGGCGACCGGCCAAAAUGAAAAAGAAGAAAAAAAAAAAAGAAAAGAAGAAGAGAAGAAGAAGAGAGAGAAGAGUGGUUUUUGUUCUUUUGUUCCUUUCGAGAAGUGUUUCUUUCAGGAGAAACAACUUUUUUUUGUUUCUUUUUUCUGUUUCUAUUUCGUUCCAGAAACAAAAAAACAAAAAAAGAACAGAAACGCAACCAAACGCGUUUCUGUUCCUUUUUUGUUCCCGGGAACACUUUCCGUACAGAAGUGUGCCGGAAACACUUUUUUGGAGUGUUUCCAUGCACACCCUAAGCUUCCGCUUCUCAGCCUAAUCAUAUUUCUUUUGGUCAUAUCGGUCUAGUUAGGCAAAGGCAUAUUUUUCUUUUAAGAAAAGAGAUCAGUCUAUAUUAGUUUCUAUUCCAAUCCUUCAACACCAUGUGGAAGGCUUUGAACCUUUGGCGGAGGUGGGCAACCCGCUCCAUAGGUGUUGGAGAAGAGAUGUGUUGAGAAAAGAAGUAUGCACCGAUGUGUUGAGACCUUGUUUGUCCAGUAUUAAAGCUAUCAAUCUACGCAGUUUGCUAAAUCCGAAUUACCUGGUCAGACGUUUCUUCACUCGCAUUUCAUUUUAAAUUGUAGUAUUUUUUUCCGUCUCAAUAUUCGUUACUAAUGCAAUUUUCUUUUUCUUUAAGGAGAGGGGAGGGGGGUUGAAGGCGGUUUGGUUUGCUUGCCCAUGCAAGAGCUCCUUUUCUGCGUAAACAGAAUCUGCACGAACAAGACUCAGUUGUUCACCAAAUUUACGAAAUUAUUGUACAAGUUAUGCUCUUCAGUUAAGUAUACUGCCAUUAUUCCAUUAUUUCUGUUUACUGGGCCAAGAUCUUUACAAAUCGAACCGAGGGGUGAACAAAUUGCUCACCCUUCUGGGGAAGGUUUGCUCUCAGUUUCCUAUUUUGGCUUCUCUUGGCCUUCUAUAGCUUCUCUUUUAACCGUCUUUAAUGCUGCAUAUGAAAGCCUCAGCCUCAGCCUGAGUUUCAGUGGCUCUAAGAUUCACUCCUUUAUUGUUUGGAUUCUGAUGGAACAUAUUCUGUGAAUGCAGGCACCCACUAUCGCAGCUGCUGCAAACUUGAGAAUGGCAAGAAGGUCUCCAGUUCUCCCAUCUACCAGAUGGCAUCUAGUGAUCUUUCUCAUGCAGAGAAAUUUUCUACACAUGCUGGAUCCAUUGCAAGUGUUUUCCAUGUCUUAUGCUUCUGUCUAAUUAAUGUUUCUUAUCGGAGGUGAAGAUAGAAGAAGGGAAAAUUAUUGAUCGGAGGCACGAACCCCAACCCUUGGUUGGCAGGGGUGCUAGACAUCCUCUUCAUAUUGCAUGCUGAACAUGAAAUGAAUUGCUCAACCGUGCUGCUAGGCAUCUUGCAUUGAGGAAUUCCACUUCCAAUGCCGUAGGUGACAAGCCCUACAAGCGAAGCGCCGACGCAUUUUGCUGACAUAACCAACGACGAGUUCAAGGACCGCUAAGACUGGUAAAAAUGCUUUGUUCAGGUACGAGAAUGCGAAUAUGGUGCCCGCGGCUCUGGAAUGGAGGAAGAAAAGAGCUGUCAUGGGCAUCAAGGACCGAGGAAGUUGUUGUAAGGAAAAUAAAAUUGAUGUUUCGAUCCUGCAGAUAUUCACGUUUAGGUGCGUAAUCAAUGCAUAUUGCUAUUAUGUUCUAGGUCCAACACACAUGAUCGAAUGAUCAUAGCUACAUGUACUUAGUACAUUACAAAUUUUCCAAUAGCAUUUAGGCUUUGUUUAUUUUGCGAAAAAUAAAUAAUUAGGAAAAAAAAUUUUAAAAAAUGUAUCGCUUGAAAUGAUGAGUUAAUGCAAAAAGUAUUCUUAUGCACAACAAUUCAUGUCUAAACAUUUUUAUGAACGGUAAAAAAUUUCUUCCCUUUUUCAUUUAUAUAGGCGUUACAAAUUAUCAUUUUUAGGAAAAUAUUUUAUAAAUCAUUUAUUUUUCGCUAAAUAAAUGAAUCUCGGAUUAGUUGACUUUUAUGGCAUGUGUGAUUAUGCUGCCUCUCGAUUAAUCAAAUAGGAACUUGUUGGCCUUUCUCAACCGUGGCAGCCACCGAGGGCAUCCACCAGCUACAAAGGGGGCAAGCUAACCUCGAGCAAGAACUCGUAGAUUACGAUGUUAACGGCGAGGACCAAGGUUGCGAAGGUGGUCUCACGCAAUAUGGUUUUUAAUUCAUCAUAAACAGUGGAGGCCUUACUAUUGAGGCUAAUUAUUUACGACGGGAUAGACGGAACGUUGCAAGACCGCAAAAGAAGCCUCCCACAUGGCUGAAAGCCGCGGGCAACAAAGUCAUGCCUGCCAACAACGAGGCCACGCUGUUGAAGCCCGUGGCAGAUCAUCCGGUGUUGGUGUCCAUUGACGUCGGAGGGUGGAAUUUCCGAUUCUACUCCAUCGCCGUCUCAAGACAGCGAGAUCAAUUUAAAUCACGCCGUAAUGGUGGUCGGCUAUGGUAUGACAAGGCUGGUGAAGAACUAGCAUAAUUAAGUUGGUGAUGUGUUUUUUGGGCUAAGCCAUGUUGUGACAUAGUUGCCUAGUAAGUAAAAUCUAUGGAGGCAUAGUAAGUAAAAUCUGUCAAGGCCCAAGCUGGUGAUGUAUUUUAUGGGCCAAGCCAUGUUGUGUUAUAUGGGUCGAGGCCCAUACCUCUGUUUUGUGUUUUUGUAGCCCAAGGCCAUCGUUUCUACGCAAUUCGACUGUCUAUUUCUAGUCCCCCCCCCCACCCCCAAAAAAAAUUGUUUCUUCGGGAGAAAACUAGAGUGAAGGUGCGCAUUGUGGUGUAAUAAACGUGGCUCUAUGUCACCUUUUGUGGUUCAAAUUCAAGGAAAUAAUUGGAGGAUUUAAGUUUGAGUUAUUUCGAAGCAGAAAAAUAUCUAAUUAAAAGAGAGUGACCUGAUAUUAAGCUCACAUGUGAAAGGACGAAAUGCCGUUAGAUCUAAAAGAAAGUAGCAGCACUGACAAACGUCUUUCAGCCUGGGCUGCACAAGUUGAUGGUUUUCCUUCGGUUCAACUUCACGACCAAUCUACACGUCUAUGACACUACACAGAUUAGUGUCUCAUGACCUAAAAGACCUUUUCUUCAACAGGGGUUUAGUGCAAUCAGCCUGUGAUUCAGUCCAAUGUGGCUAGGACCCUUAUGAGGCAAAUACUAUACAAAUUGUUUAACAUGAAUAAAACUGGCCCUGUACUGCAAACUUUGCCAUCAUCAGAAGGGAAUUGGAGAAUACUCAAUUCAUUUAAACAAAGAAUAAAACUCGACCUACCAAUUAUCUCAGAUUUUAGAUAAAUACAUAUAAUGUUUAUUCAUAAUUGUCGUUCUGUGCUAAUUCUCGCAGAGAGACUACAAGAGCCAUCUUUGGCAGUCUUGAAACAACCAUCCACCUAAUUUAAGCUCGGUAUGCUUGGGCUUACACUAUAUAAAGGGGAAGAAGGGAUGCGUCCUCUGAGAAUUGUUGCCGCCAACAUUUUCUCUCGAUGAACUUGUGCCAUGUCAGUAGCAUGAUAAGGUAGCCUGCAUUUCACAGUGAUUUUUACUUGGUGUCAAAUGAUGCAAGCAUGCAACGACUCGAAAGUUCAACCAGAAAUGAGGGCAAAAGAUGAACGGAAAAGGAAGGCAUGGUGAGUAAAAUCUACUGGUCAGCAGACCUCAUAGUUGCUCCCUCAGUUAAGUUGUGAUUAAUUCGACAGCAAGAGUUGCAAGCUGACACUGGCAUAGUUUUUGGUGCCAUAGAACUCGGGGCCACGGGAGUCAUGGUUCCGACGCCUUCUAGGAGCGUGAGCUUAUAAUUUUCCUUUCAUAGUGUUUGACUAUCGGUGACUCUAGCCAUCUGACCAUCUUGCUGUACAAGCUGAUCAUCUUGAUCCAGAUCUGUUUGACUUGGACCAUCUUCUUGUGUAAGUGUAUUCUCUUCCUCUGCAUCUGUUUGAUCAUCUUCCUCUGAGUUUGUGCUAGUUCAAGACAAUCCUGAUAAACCAAAUUUAACACUAGUGACUGAUUGUCAUGAAGCAAAGACCCUCGGAUCAUCCUCUCGUUGCUUGCAUACUAGUCCUAACCCACUGUUUCUUACUGUUCAAUUUGACGCUUCAAGAUGACCCGAAAAUGACUCCGAUCAUUUCACAGGAGCUUUGUACUUCCCACAGCGUACUACGUGGGGGAUGCUUGAGCCGCACAUGGUCCAUUCCUAAUGAAUAGAAGCAUCCUAUGUACCAAAUCACCUUUCCACAGACCUUGCAAGAGAGGCUGAGCUCAACUCCCCCCUCCAAUCCAAAAACAAGAUGGACCGCUAAUCCCAGCAUUCUUCGCAUAUGUCCUGGGGUAUCAUGAAAGAUAUCGAAUCCUCUUUACCAUGGAGCCAUCAUUCCGGCAUCUAUCUUCCAGCAAUUACAAUGCACGCUUUUCCCAUGUUAUGGAAUUCCUGGUUUGCUGGUAACAUCCAUAUCAAGAUAAAAAGAAGGUGGAGGGAGGGAGGUGUGGAGGGAGAGACUAACCUUAUGUAACACAUCUUCCGCGUUCAACCCUAUGUGGAGUGGCUUGAUAAAUCCGGGACUUUUUUGGCAGAGAUUCGCAGCUAGCUGCUUUUAGGAUACAUGUACUUGAUGGAAGCUGUAGGAUUUCCAGUAGUUGCUCGCGUUUUCACACUCGCGAUUCCUAUAAAUAAUCAUGCUCACUGUCGCACGUUGGAAAGCUAGUAAGAUUGUUUCCACUUCCCAGACACAUAUGAACAUUCCUAGUUGGAGAUAACAGGAAAGGUUCUGGAGGAACCUUAAUCCAGACAUAACACAGCCCCGGGUCCAACCAAUUCAAAUUCUAAUGUCCAAUGUCCAUAUGUGGUCAGUUAAAUCCCCCUGCUUGCUAUGGAAACUCGAAAGGAUUAGAGCAACCUUGUGGAGUCGGGUACUUGAUGUAUCGCAACUUACGAACUCGUGCAUUUGUAGCCCUUUCUCUUCACCUGUCAAGGACUUAUUGACAACAAGAACAUGUACUUCAAUGACCGUAUGAAUAUUGCAGCAAUUAAGAACUUUCUUAAUGUAAUCAAUAGUCUGCCCCUCGAGGAAACUGACUAUAUCGAGAAAAAUCUCCUUUGCGUAUUCCUCCAGCCAGGCCAUCUUAAGCGCAUCAUUGAUGCUUUUUUUUAAGGAGUUUUGAUAAGUUUAUUCAGUGCACGUCCCAUUCACCUCCUCUUCUACUGCACAAAAUGGAACCCAGACACCUCGAGUGCAAAAGGAAGGCUUUUAGCAUUAUCAUUAUGCAAAAUGGUAUCCCUUAAGAUUCCUCUUUAUUUCUAAGUUCUCGCCCCUUCGAAAAGCUACUUACUGAAAGGUUCAAGGGCCUAUCAUCUAUAAGAGCUUCAACCAAAUAGAUUCAUCCCAACCUGUAAGUAAGAUGAUCCUUUUUCCCUCUACCAAACCACUCACAUCCUCCGACUAAAUCAUUUCAUCGUGUCAUGCUAUCGACAUAGGGAAGAGUAUACAUCUAAAAAAUAUGCCUACGUGGAGUAUAGAUUAUUUCACCAGUGUGUGUCUAAAAAAUUCAAUUAAUGUUUGAUAACAUCACUGAAUCCAUCAUCUGUCCUAAUUUUGUACAUAAUCAGUUACUUAUUUGAUUGGAAAAUCACUGAUAAAAAAAGAGAUAAGUUGAAAAUAUUUUCUUUACACUUGCCAUUCUAUAAAUUAAUUGAUAAAAAAACAAAAACUGAUCCUAGAUCAAUAUCGUAAAAUUUCACAUAAAAAAAACUAAAUAACUAAACGAAUUAUCUUUAAUAUCACAUCUAGGAACCAUCUAAUUUGAAAAUAUGAUUCGUACAAUUAUAGUAAAUUUUCAAUAAGUAACGAUAAUUAUGUGUGAUAAUCGUGGCGCAACCGAUUGAUAAAACUUGGAUAUACAUCGGGUCCUAAAAUUGGCGGCAGCAUUGACGCCGUCGCCACCGCAGGGUCGGCCGCUAAAAUAUCUGUUUUCUCGAGCAAACAGAUAAAAGAAGAGUAUAAGAUCAUCUUCCUUCGUGUGUGCUGUCCGCUCUCGACGGUUUCUCCAAUCUCCGGCGGAAAAUAGAGAACCUCUCUCUCUCUCUCUCUCUCUCUCUCUCUCUCUCUCUCUCUCUCUCUCUCUCACUUAGAGCAGAGUUGCCUGCGAGCGAUGGACGCGCUCCUCUCUCCGCCGCUCUCGGCGCCUCUCUCACGCCUCCGCUCCGCCGCUUGUCCGGUUCACUGGCCACCACCGUCCGCCAGGCUCGGCCUCCUUCUCAAUCCGGCUUCAGUUCCGCGAANNNNNNNNNNNNNNNNNNNNNNNNNNNNNNNNNNNNNNNNNNNNNNNNNNNNNNNNNNNNNNNNNNNNNNNNNNNNNNNNNNNNNNNNNNNNNNNNNNNNNNNNNNNNNNNNNNNNNNNNNNNNNNNNNNNNNNNNNNNNNNNNNNNNNNNNNNNNNNNNNNNNNNNNNNNNNNNNNNNNNNNNNNNNNNNNNNNNNNNNNNNNNNNNNNNNNNNNNNNNNNNNNNNNNNNNNNNNNNNNNNNNNNNNNNNNNNNNNNNNNNNNNNNNNNNNNNNNNNNNNNNNNNNNNNNNNNNNNNNNNNNNNNNNNNNNNNNNNNNNNNNNNNNNNNNNNNNNNNNNNNNNNNNNNNNNNNNNNNNNNNNNNNNNNNNNNNNNNNNNNNNNNNNNNNNNNNNNNNNNNNNNNNNNNNNNNNNNNNNNNNNNNNNNNNNNNNNNNNNNNNNNNNNNNNNNNNNNNNNNNNNNNNNNNNNNNNNNNNNNNNNNNNNNNNNNNNNNNNNNNNNNNNNNNNNNNNNNNNNNNNNNNNNNNNNNNCCACCAUCCCGUGACAGCCGCCCAUUGCUGUCAGUUGCCGCCCGCCAUCAUCUGCCGUCGUCGAUCGCCGCCGGUUGCCGGCAACUGGUCCGACGAGCUCGCCGGAGGCUCUCGUCUGGCCUAAAUAAAAAAAGAAAAAAAAGGAAUAGGAGAAAAAAAAAAGAAGAAGAAUAGGAGAAGAAGAAGAAAAAGAAUAAAAAGAAUAAAAAUAAAAAAUAAAAAAAGGGAAAAAAAGAGAAAAGGAAAAAAAGAAAAGGAAAAAUAAAAAAAUAAAAAAAGAAAACAAAAGAAAAAAAAAGAAAAAAAAGAAAAAAAGGAAAAAAAGGAAAAAAAGAAAAGGAAAAAAGGAAAAAUUAUAAAAAUUAAAAUAAAUUGAUUUGGAACAGAAUCAAUGAACACGGUACCAAACGCAAUUUUAUUCCAAAAUUAGAAAUUUUGUACGGUUACCAAACACGUUCUUUUACUGAUCUCUUUCUAUAAUUUGCUAGGAUUGCAAGCUUUUCACUUUGAAAUAUGGUCAGCUUUCAUGGAUGAGCGCCACCCCCUCCCGCUCUCUUUUAGAGCUGAUUUAGGCCCUGUUUGGCAACACUCCAAACAGUGAUUAUUUCUGAUUUUUUGUUCCCAUAAUCAGUUUGGGACGAGAAUCGCGUUUGGUAAAAAUUUUGUUCCCGGGAACAAAUUUGUUCCCAGAAUCAGUUUUGGAGUAGAUUUGAGAAUAAAAAAAAAAUUGAUUCUACGUCCGAGAAUCAAAAAAAGAAUCAACACGAUAAAACUCUUCUUCUUUCCUUCCGCCAUCACGCGACCGUCGCCCACCGCCGUCCGCCGCCGCUCACCACCGCCCGCCGUCGCCGGCCGCCGGUCCGGCGAGCUCGCCGAAGGCUCGCCUGGCCAGGGCGAGGUCCGGCGAUCUCGCCGGAGGCUCAUCGGCCGCCGGACCGGCGAGCUCGCCGGAGGCUCGCCCAGCCACUGGCGAGGUUCGGCGAGCUCGCCAGAGGCUCGCCCAGCCAUUGGCGAGCCUCGCCGGGGCUGGGCGAGGCCCGCCUGGCCACUGGUCGAGCUCGCCUAGCCUGACCGGGGCUAGGCAAGGCCCGCCUAGCCACCGGCCGGGCUCGCCUAGCCUGACUGGUGGCUAGGCGGGCCUCGCCCAGCCCCGGCGAGCCUCGCCCAGCCCCGGCAAGGCCCACCUGUCCACCGGCGACGCUCGGCCUCGCCAGAUCUAGCGAGGCCGAGCCUCGGCGAGGCUGGGCGAGCGUCGCCGGCAGCUGGGCGAGGUUGCCGGCGACCUCGGCCGACGAGGGCCAGCCUCGCCGAGGGCCGGCGACGCUCUGGUGAGGUCGCCGGCCCUCAUUCCGGCCGGUCGCGGACCCGGCGACUCUGCCACAGGAAGAAAAUAAAAUACGGAGAAAAAGGAAAAAAAAAUGAAAGAAGACUUGCAGAGACGCGAAGGAGAUGUAACAAGGUUAUAUACUAAGGAAAAAANNNNNNNNNNNNNNNNNNNNNNNNNNNNNNNNNNNNNNNNNNNNNNNNNNNNNNNNNNNNNNNNNNNNNNNNNNNNNNNNNNNNNNNNNNNNNNNNNNNNACAGAAUCAAUGGACACGUAUCAAACGCAUUCUAUUCAGAAUCAAAAAUUUUAUACAGUUACCAAACACGUUUUUUACUCAGAAUCAGUUUCCAGGAACAGAAUCGUUGCCAAACGCGCCCUAAGUGGCUAUAUCAAGAUGUUCUCCUCCUCUGGUAAAUGUUGUCUUCAGUUGCUGGGUCGGGAUGGCUUUAGCAGCUAGGGGGCAGGCAUAUUCAUAUGUUGUGGAUUGGAGCACAAAUAGAACAAUAAGCUACAUUUGAUUAAUGUAUACUUUGUGAUCAACUCUGGAGCUUUUUGCAGCAUGUUUUGAUACAGCACCAGAGUUUAUGCCUAUUUUUUCUUGGAAAAGGAACUGAAUCAGUUGAACACGAGUAUAUAAGUAGCAGAAUUUCGGACUAUCCCCAAGCAGAUCUUGAGAAUGAUUGAGCUGCCUAGCUUGCACAUUUUUGCUAGAAAUCAGUUAUUGGAUGCUUUGGGCCAGGGAUUCAAUCGAUCAUGUACAUAACACGCUUGGAUUAGGUGUUCCUUUUUUUCGGUUCAUGUAUCAAGAUUGAGGAUGUUGUGUCUGCCUUUCUUUUACCAUAUUACCCCUGAGAUUCUUCAAGGUAUACAAUUGUUCUGCUUGUACCAUCUUUGGAAACAUAGAUUGUGCAUGACAUCAUGUUACCGAGAAAUCUACUUCUGAUUGGUUUGUUAUUUUAGAGCCCCAUUGCUCUUAACUUUGGCUUAUUAACUGGAGUCGUAUCUACAAACCUGCCAGGCAUCAGUCAAGUUGGGUUUCUAUUCCUUUGGCUGUGGGAACUCGGUAGAACUACUAUAGCACCCUGCAAAGAGGAUCAAUGCAGAACUUAAAAAAGUUGAAAAAAAAAAUUGGAAUAUAGUUUUCAAAACACACAGUUACCUAUUAAAGAAAGAAAGUUUUCGAAAGCACACAUCUUCCAAAGGGGCAUGUUGGAUUAUAUAUCUUUAGCUUUCCCAUAAUGACCUUCAGAGUUUCAUAGAACUAGUUCAUUUAUGCCGUUCUGUGGUGGGAGAAACUAUGAAAACAGGAGAGAUAGAGAAAUCUUCCAGCUUCCUAUAGCUUUUAACAUUUGCUAAUCUUCUGUAUCAUAAUUCCAUUUUCAUCUUUGAUGGUUACUAAUGUAUGAUUAAAGGCACUACCGUGCCUGUCAAUCUACCUUGUGAGUUGUGACAUGGGAACAGAAGUUCCACGAGUAGAUGAACAUAGUGAACGAGCCUUUACCUGUUCUUAGUCAGGACCCUGAUCGCUUUUGUCGGUUGCCCCAUUUGUCUGGAGUUUUCACUGUUGCUUCGGCUUGGGAAGUUAUUCGGCCCGAGAGGUCAAUCCAUGGUUUUGGCCCCUCUUAUUUGGAAUAGCUCAAUAAUUCCCCGGCACCGAUUCCUUUUGUGGCUGAUUUCCAGAAAUAGACUGCCCACUCAAGUUUCGCUUCUUGCUUAUGGUAGGAUUUCCGAUGCUAAAUGUGCUUUUUGCUCUUGUCAUCCUAAUUCUGUAGAUCACCUUUUCUUUGGGUGUCGUAUUACUGGGGCUUUGGCUCUUUUUAGGGCAGCUAGAAGCAAUCUUCCUUGGCGAAACAACUUGUGGAGGGAUAACCUCCAAUGGGCCAUCAAGUAUUUAUUUGGUGAUUCCUUUCACAUUAUCAUCCCUCGGUUCGCUUUUGCAGCUUUAUGUGAUAUUAUUUGGAAUGAAAGGAAUAAUAUCCUUUUCUGUGAUCGGACUCUCUACGUGCCUACUAUGAAGAAACGGCUUGAUAAGGUUGUUAGGGAUAAGGCUUUGAAGAUUACAGCAGAGCUGGAGCCUCAAUCCGUCUAUCUUCUCGGAUUGAUCUGUUUCCUUCUUUGUGCUUUGUCUUUGUUUUGCGGAGGGUGUUUCCCUUCUUUUGUGCUUCAUUGGGUUACCAUGACACCCUUACACCCCUCUUGACGACCCUUUUGUCAUAUUGGGUGCAAGGCCUCCUUGGGUCUCCUUUCUUUUGUAUAUUCCCACUUUGGGUGAAAGUUAAUAUACACGUUACCUUUACCAAAAAUAAAAAAUAAAAAAUUUAAGGGUUUCUAAAUUAUUGAUGAAAUUAGCGCUAUACGUAAUUUCAUCAUCGUUGCAUGGGUGUUUCUUCAAGGCAAAGAUACAUUAUUAAUUUAACAAUCAGUGUUCCAUAUCGAGAAAAUUAUCUAAAAAGAUUUGAACUUAUUGUACAGCGAUUAAUUCGAUUUUAAAUCUUUCAAUUGUACCAAUUUAAUCCUAAAUUUAAACCUUUUGAUAUUUGCUAGUUUAGUUCUAAACCUUUUAAUUAUGUUAAUUUAGUAAAAAAAAUUACAACAAUUUGCUAGCCCUAAAUCUUUUGACGAUUUGCCAAUGUAAUCCUUCCAACCAAUUCUAUAAAUAAUAGGUUUAGGAUUGAAUAGACAAAUCUUCAAAAGGGGGAAAAGUACCAAAAAAAGCUCUAAAUCUAUUACAUUGGUACCAAUUCACUCUUAUAUCUUUCGAUUGGAAUAAUUUAGCUUUAAACAUUUUCGUAUCGAUACCAAUUGAAUUCAUCCAGUCAAUUUAGGCUGGUAAUUAUUGACUUGGACGUCGGUUGUUCUAUAUAGUUGUCCUAUAUGGCACGGCUGAUGUUAAUAUGGAUAAUUUUUUUAUUUACUUUUUCAUAUCUUUUAUUAAUGUUUUUUUUUCUUUUUUAUUCUAUUUUCUUCUUUUUUUCUUCCAUUUCCUUUUUCUUUUUUCUGUUUCCCUUAUUUUUUGCUCCACUAGUGGCCAAUGGAAAUCCCUAACUAUCAACAAGGGCAAGGGUCGAGAUGCCCUUGCCAGCCAACCUUUGGCCAAGGCUGGAGAAGCUAUCUUUGGCCAAGGCUGGAGAAGCUAUCUCACACCAAAUCUAGAGAAGGGGACCUUGUUUGACCAUCGUUAGAGGCUGGCGAGGGGCAACCUUGCAGUCCUCUGGCGAUGGCGAGGGCUCUCACCCAGGCAAGGCCUAUGAUGGUGUCUUAGCCCUCGGCGACCCUCAUUGAAAGGCCUGCGAGGUGUCUUGGCCCUUGCCCUCCCCAGUGUCUGGCUUUCUUCGUUAACCCUCAUGCUUGAGGCUCUAUAGCCUCUACCCCACCUGUUUUGUAGACCUUGUGUAUAGUUGACUAGUAUUGUAUAUGACUGGGUUUGAUAUGUAUAAAGGUGUGAUGUGGUUUUUGAAAAAUUAUGGCCUUACUUUUCUAUCCCAUCUUUGUGUUGUUUGGGGAUUAAUUAUUCGCUUCCGCAUGCGAAUUAAAAUGAAUGGGUUGGCGACGCGUCCUGGGACGUCGCUAUUUAAUUGACCACAGAGAGAUGGGCAUGCGCUCGGAGGAUCGGGGCAUGACAAUUCCCCUCUGCUUCUGCCAAAUAAAAAGGGACCAAAGACCACAAUCGCUAAGGGAAGGCCAUUAGCAUAGCCAAAAUACAUCUAUGAGAUCCCUGCUUAUGUCUUGUAUUUGGCUUUUUGGAAAAGCAUAUGAACUUAGAAGUUCAAAAGCUUCACCUUGAUCUAACGCUUUAAACUUCAUAUACCUUAUCUAACCCGUGAGAAGUUAGUACAUGUUUAUCUCUAAUCGUAAUAAUGAUCCCGCUAUCUUUUCCAAACCAUUUACAUUCUCUAGCUAAUGCAUUUAACUGGACGCCAUGAUCCGCAUCAUCAAGCACAAGCAUAAUCUUCCUGUAGCAAAGUCUAUCUCAUAUCAGGUUAACGCCUCCAUCCACACUUAAGACCACUAAAUUUUCUUUCAACAAUAUCUCAGAUACGAGUGUUUUUUGCAAAUGAACCAGGCCAUCAGGUCUACUGGAAGCUUCUCUAACAUUUGCAAGAAAGCUGCACUCAUCAAACUGACUAGUGAUACAUACUGUCAUGGACAGCUUUAGCGAUGGUGGUCUUCCCUAUACCUCCUGCUUCCCUUAUUCCUAUCAUCCGAACCUCAUCCAAGCAUGUACUUAACAAUGAUAUGACUUUCUCUACCCGGCAGCCUACACCGAGUGGGAUGCUUGGCAACACUCAAGGGUACUUGUCCUACUAUAAUGGAGAUCUUUGUGAUGAUGCUCAAGACCUCGUUGUUGAUGUAGGCGUUGAUGCCGCUGUGAAGCAGAGUCCAGUGUAGGUCAGCGAGGAAGCCGUGGCAGACGUCCCCGCCUCUGAAGUUGAGGAAGAUGUCCAACGGCCAUUUUGCUUUGGAAGAAGGAGGAGAAGGAGAAGGAGAAGACGACAUGGGAAGACAUAAUCGAACAGUCCGUUUCUUUUAACUUUAUUCAGCUUUUAAUUUUGGAUAAUAACCACAAAAUAAAAAAUCGACACGUUUAUUCCAAUUUUUUUUUUUAUGAUAUCAAAAAUCUCCUAAAAACAACGUACAUUUGUCAUCCUUUAAAAUUAUUUUUCCUUUUAUCCCUCCUCUUCCAUCUUUACCGCUGCCAUUUCCGUCAUCAUUGCCACUAUCAUCAUCUUGCCAAACCCAAGAAGAAAACAAAGGAGGAAAUUUAAUAAAAGAAAAAAAGAAAACGAAAAAAAAUACAUACAGAGGAGAUUUCACAUGAUUUUGACUAGUGGUGGUUUAAUUUAUAAAUUUCCUCCCUAAGUAUUGGUUUUGUUGUAACUGUAGUUUGGGGCUCCUGUGAAGAGGUUAUUCUUUUUCCUUUCAUCUUUUUGACAAGAAAUGCACUAAGCAUUUACGCACACAACUUCUUGCAAUUGAUGAAAGACAUGUAAGGUCCAAAAUGUAUCUAAGCUCCAUCUACAAGGAUCAGAAUGCAAUCCACUUGCUGUUGGAGAUGACCCAGAAAUUACUUAUGCUAGCUCUUCCAUUCCAAUUGAUGCAGAUUUCUAAGAUUAAACAACUUUGACUAACAAUUAUCUUUGGUUAUUUUGGCAAAAAAAACAUGUCAUAGAUAUCUUUUGUUGAUUGUCAUUAAUUGUUAUAUCAUCGUAACAUUGGGAGAAAUAUCAGAAAUUUUUUAAAUAUAUUGCAAUUGUAUUAAUUCCGUCUUAAACUUUUUUCUCAAUUCAAACCUAAAACUUUUGCAUUUACACUUGUUCAGUCCAUUUGGUCAAUUUUGCCCAACUGGCAUCAACUUGGUACUUUUUAAAUAAUAUUUUAAUAAUAUUUUGAAAUUUUUUGUAAUUUUCUUUUUCUUUUCUUUUCUUUAAUGUUGUCCUCUUCUCCUUUACUUAGGGCCUUGCUGCCUUGCUUGCCCAAAUCAAGUGAGGUUGUUGCAGCCCUCGCCUUGUUUGGGUGAGGGCCGUAGUGUCCUCGCUAGGCCAAAUCUAGCGAGGGUGUCAUGGCCCUUGCUAGAUCUAAGCAAGGGACAGCACACUCACGCCCUAGCUAGCGAGGGUUGGUUGGCGACCCUCACUGACCCUAAGAGAAGGGGAAGGGGAGAUUUAAAAAAAUAAAUAAAUAAAAGAUAAAAAUUAAAAGAAUUCAAAAAUUAUCUAAAAAGUGUCAUGUUAGUGCCGAUUGGCUAAAAUUGGUAGAAUGGACUAAAUCGACACAAAUGAAAAAGAUCUAGGACUGAAUUAAUAAAAAAAAAGUUUAGGGUUAAACUUGCAUAAUUAUAAUAAAUUUAUGACUUUUUUAGUAAUUUUCCCUCGUAACAUCAUUCAGACGAAUUAUAGUCUCCAAAGCUCUUAAGGGAUGGAUAAUUUGUAGACAGGAUGAGCAUCUAUGAAGUUUUAGCAGUAGAUUUUCCAGUUCUCCUGCAAUUUAAAUCCCGAAUUUUUCCUCAUUGUCUUUGGGGAAUUGCAUCGUGUGAGAUGCAGCUUGUCCAGUCCUCAAGAGUCACAACAAUCUUUAUGGCUUCAUCAUUGCAUACAUGAGGGAGAGGGGAGGAAGUCUAUAACUCGGGCUUCGCUCUAGAGCAAUUUAUGAGGUUACUUAUUAUUAUUAUUUUUUUGGCUUGCCUCAAACAUAAAUCCUUUUAUUCUCUAUUAGCAAAAACCAUAGAGCGGAUGUUAGUAUAAGGCUAUCCUUUGUCUUCAAAGACUGGUACCUUAUUAAGUGCCGAAUUGGGCUCCUAACGGGGAAGUCCAUGGGCCAUUCGGCAUUCGUCUCCAUCUUCUUCGCUGGCCAAUCCUCGCUCCGGUUCGAAUCGCCGCAACUCUCUGGCGCUCGAGCACCGUCUCGCAGCGGCAAAUCUCUACCUCGCUCGAUCAUCUCCGGCGGCAUUGAUUGUCUUUUGGCUAAAUUCUUGGUCGGAGUGUUCGUCAGUGGUUGUUUGCAGAAUCAGAGUAGACGUGAAUGUGGUAUGCGUUGAUGAACAGGUCAAAAAGCAAGGGAAGCAAGCGGAUGACAUGCAGUAUCGAGCUCAGCGUGAUGCUCUAAGCCUGAAAAUUGUCCAGAUGACUGCAGAAGAUAAUUGCUUUUUCGGGUCUGUGUUCCUUGUUAGAAAAAAAUCGCCGAAUUGUUUUCGUGAUUUUUUUUUUUUUUUUUUUGGAAUGUUUCCGGGAAUAGGUUUGUCUUGAAUGGUGUGCUCAUCGCAUUACCACUCUGUCGUCAGAACACAACACGCAUUGCAUUUUAUGGUACACCGGUUCUGGAAUACUAUCAUCGAUGUACUAGAAAUUCCUCUGCUGGGAAAACUAUUGCGUUUUCGUAUCAUGUAUCAUUCUGCCUGAGACACUGCAUCUGGAAUUGGAAACAUAUCUUGAAGAAGAGUUCUCUUUGUCGGGGCUUAGUCUCGAGGAUAUUAGAUUGACCCUUCUAAGAUCCAACUAAGUUACUUUGUAAAAUUUCAUGCCUAUUGUACAACGUCCUAGACAAACAAACCAUCUUCCUCAUUCCUGUUUUCAUUCCACGUAUUUGAAUUAUCCAUCCUCCAGGUAAUCUUGCUGCCUUGUAUGGAGCUUUUGGUUAUAGAAAUGCCUUUGCUAUAGUUGGAAUUUUCAUAGUUGUCAGCCCUUGUUAAUCAGGGCCCUUGCAGAUCAGUUGGAAGGCAAUGAAGAUGAACAUGGAAAGUACCGGAGUAUGGUUGUUAAGUACAUAUUGGUAUGUGGAGUGCUGAUUUCUCUUUUUCAAGUUGUAGAAAUUAUGUUUGUAAGGGUUUUUUUUUUUUUUUUUUACAUGGUGAUGUUGUCCUCAUUUGUAUUAGGGCUCAGCAAUCCGAAUCAAAACUUUUAUUCGGUGCAUUUUGUUCUUGAACCUUUUUGUAAGUAUUGAUGGAUUUCUCACUUAUAUAGACACCGAAAUAGCAUGCCUUUUGACGAAAAAAACAAGUUAAAAUGGGUACUUUAUAUUGAAGCUUACAAUUCUGCUGCCAAUGGUUAUUUCUGAUGAUUUUCAGUUCACAGUCACAGUUGCAUUGAGCUAUACCAACACAAGGAUCACCUGAGCAAUUUGACAUUCUUAUUUUACUAGGGAGGAAAACCUGUUAAGUGUUAACUGUGAUUUGGAUGGUCUAUCUUGGCCUAAACUAACAGGUGUAGGAGGAAGCUGGACUCUGUAGUUAUCCGCAUUGUUGUCGCCUACAGGAACGUGUGAUUGCUACUUUAGGGUGGCAAUAUUAUGCAAAUCGACAUAUUUUUCGAAGGAGAUUUGACAAAAUCAAAAAAAUGAGAGAAUUAAUACUAACGUAAUCGACUUUUUAGCAUGCAUGAUAAAACUGUAAUGUUUUGCAAUGCCACAAAUUUCUAUUUCUACAAGAGUUUCUAAACAAAAAUAUUUAUUUGAUAACGACACAAAAUUUUUACCAUAAAAAUAGAAAUUCACUUGAUGAUGACACAAAAUUUCUCCCUUUUGGAUGGUGGCUACUGGCAGCGGUGGCCGGCGAUCGGCAGACGGCAACAGUAGCAACACACGGCCAACGGACAUCGGCUAGCUGAUCGGCUGCCGUCUGGCAACUGGUGGCGACCGGCGAACAGUGGUCGGCAGCGACGGAUGGACGACCGACCAGCGACGGAUGGACGACCAGUUCGUCGUAAAAACGAACGAUGCGAAAAAAAUUUAUUUCUUAUUUCUGGAACAGAAAUAGAAAAGUAAAAAAAAAUUUGCUUCUGAUUUCUAUUCCAAAUCUAUUUCUGGAACAAAAUCUAUUUCAGAAAUAGAAAAAUAAAAUAAUUUUAUCAAACGGAUUUCUAUUUCAGAAACAAGUCUGGAAUAAAAAAAUUGUUUCUGAAACAGAAAAAUUUUGAUUUAUCAUGCACCCCCUUCUUGAUUACCAUGUGGGGUUGGAAAGCAAGUGGAUACCUAUAUAAUGCAAAUCUGCUUUAAAAUCAUUAUUCAUUGUGUGAGAUAUUGAGCAUGAGAUACAUGGAUGGAUGACAUCAUGUAUUUGCAUUGAAUAUGGACUGACAUUUGCGUACAAUGCAAACCCAAUGCCACACGUGACAAAGUGUUACGUCGUGGAAGCCACCUCUUGAACCUCGUUGGGAUAAUUUGUCACAUGGUUUGAGCCACCUCUAACUUUAGAAUCCUAUUAUAGUGUCAUCACUUGCAUACAUCAACAUGUUUAGCUAUAUAAUAUUGUUGUAGCAAAUUCGCUCAAUGUAAGUUGAUUUGACUGUCAAGCGACUGGGAAAACAAAUAACAAGCUUACUUUCUGAUUCUAGCUUGGCUCUAUGAAGUGAUUAAACUAUCCAUAAAGUAUUUUUCCAAAGAUGGCUUUGAUGGUGUGCUUGGAUGCGUGGAUGUGUGGAUGCGUGCUAGCUCUUGGAAGCAAUGGAUGAAAUGGUUUGACAGAGACCGAUCUAAAUGAAAGGAAUCGCAAAUUGCUUAGAAAUUAAAGUCGAAGUGCUGCAAGGAAUAAAGGAAAGCAAAGCAAAGAACACUAAACUCAAAGCCGACUGAAAUAAACUGAAAACGAGAUUACUAAUUUACUAGGACAUUAACAUUGCUGGAAUUGAAAUUAAUCACAGUUUGUACAAAUGACGUUCGAAUGGAGACAAUGACAUGAACGUUACAACGAUACUCGAAGGGAAAUCAGCAGUAAUUUUGGCGGGGUUUUGGUGUAAUUUGAACAUAUCUUCUUCCUCUGCAUCUCUUUUUUUUUUUUUUUUCGUAAGUCUUAAAUUCCCUUUGAUUAUUACUAGGUCGAUGAUCAUUUCUUAACUAAACUGCUUUCAUAUAUCCAUGAUUUCCUACCUCAACUGCCUUCAUGUAUCCAUAAUUUCCCGACCUAACUAAAUUUCCGAUUCCUCAGCAUUUCUCAGCAGCUACUUUGUCUUGUUCUAGCUUGGUGAAGUUUAUAACUGCUUCUGCUUCUUUUGAAUUCAAAGUAGGUUGAAGACUCUCUUUCUCAAACUUCGGCGGAAUGGUCUUUCAUGAGCAUAAAAACGAAAUUGAAUUUGAUACAGCUUGGCUUGUGAUUUUUUACUACCAACAUAUUGUUGACUUAUUGUUAUUAUUAGACGACAAUUCAGUCACACAACCAAAGCACAAAGUAAACCGAAGCACCAAGGGAGAAAAGAAAUCUCUGUCGUCAAAGGAUGAACCAUCAAUUCAGCUAUAUAUGAUCAGCAGUCCAGCACGUUGAACGACAACAUCCAUAUCACUCCAUCCGAUCUCAAAUUGAUCAACGACAAAGACAAAUUCGUCAUUAUCAUCUGUGAGGCAAAACGUCGAACAUGCGGUGAUCACUAAGGGCGAGGUGUUCUGCAAAUAGGAAUUCCCAUCAAUUGGCAAGGAAUAUAACAUGAGAAAUCCCUCCAAAAAAAAAAAAAAAUGCUAGAGCGGAAUCGACGAAUUCGAGACCAAAUAAUGGACAAGAAUUCGACAUAACAAUUUGAAGCUCUCGGCAAAAGGGCAAUACAGAACAAUCGUAUGAUUGAAUUUCGAUGAAUCGACCGCGUCCUACCUUGGGGGAGACCCGAUCCGAAUGGUUACCUGCUAAUAAAUGAAAGACACUCAAAAGACUUGGAGAAUCUCACGAAGACGAAGCUAAGGCGACGAAUCGAUUCAGCGACGAAAUUGCUCGACGAAGAUAUUCAGCUGCAACUAGCUUCAACCGCGGGCGCGAACACUGGAUUCGGUCCAGAGCGCUUAAGAUAUUUUUCUCGGUCUGGGCGUGUGUUCUUGCUUCACUUGGUUCCUCAGCCUCUCCAGCACGCACCAAGCGAGGGAGAAAGAGCACGAGAGAAGUUUCGAUUGGUUGUGAUGAGCGCCCGUUCUCUGCUCCGUCACGGCCGAGGUUGCGGUUACCGGCGAGGGAGAUUUGACGGCGGCCGUCACCGAUCGGAGAUGGCGUAGACGAUCGAUUGAGGGUGAUGGAGCUCAAAGGAAGAGGCGAUUGCUCCGAAUAGCUAGCCGGAAGAAUGGAAUGAGUCUCCGAAGCGCCACCGAAUCGGAGCGAGGCCUUUUUUUUUUUUUUACAUACGUCACAAAAAAUGCACGUUCGGUUUGUCGGGCGAAAUUUUAGACAUCAACAAUUAGUAACAUUUUAAAGUAGCUAACUUUAUUAAUUUAAAAUAAGAGUUUACCAUUGAUAUUUGAUAGCGAUCGUGUUUUUAGCUUAAUAAACUCUACAUAAUCCAAUUAUGAGGUUGGCAGUAUUGUGAAAUUAAUUGAUAGAUAAUCAAGUACAUGAAGUUCUGUAUAUUAUAUCACUUGAGAGUUAGUUCUAUAUGAGCUUCAUACAUUUUUUUUUGCUAGCUAACUAGGUGAUAAGUUGUCGUAGUUAUAGUUUCUUCUAUACUUUUUACAAUUAGUUUUGUUGUCGGAAGUAGUAAUGAACCAUGCUGGUCGUUGCAUCCUCAAUCACAUCCUUCAUGUUGUGUAUUUUACCAACCAUUUCUUUUCAUGAUUUAAUGAUUUAAAUAAUAUAAAAUAAGAUAAUCUUGACUAUAACAUGACUAUUUCACCGGUUUUAGAUUUUGCAACGAAAUAUCUUUCACUAAAUUUUAUAUUUUGCUUUUUAUUAAAAGAGACUUAGGUUCUAUGCUAGUAUUGGAUAGAGAGAGUCAAAUACUAAUGGAGCUAUAUAUGAUAUGGUUUCGAAUCUUAUAAAGUUGCUUAAUAUGAGGUCAAAAUCAAUCAUAGCCAAUGUCGAAAUCCAAUCAACAGUUUGAUCCAAACUCACUUUAACAUACUAAUGAAAACCCAUUAAAAUCAAAGUGGUUUGUACAAUGUUGAAGCCAAUUUGACAACAAUGGAUAUUAACAAAAGCACCUAAAAAGCACUACUUUCAAAUGAGUUUGAGGACACAACAUUAGAAUCUAAUUAACGAUGUUGGAUGGUGGGAAUAACACAUAGUAAACACCACUUCUAGAAAAAUAUGAGAAUACAACGUUAGAAUCUAAUCGACGAUACUGGACGAUGUUAAUAAUACCUAAUAGACACUACUUCUAGAUGGAUAUGAGGACAUAAUAUCGAAAUCUAAUUGACGACGUUGGACGGUGAUAAUAACACCUAGUGGCACUACUCCUAGAUGGAUAUAAGGACAUAACAUCGAAAUUUAAUCGAUGACAUUGGAUGGUAGGUUAAUACUGGAAUUUUAUCAAUAGUACUACCUAGGAUAUAGACACUCACCGGAAUUGAAUCUACGACGGGAAUCUUAAAUUACAGCUAAACUAGACUAGGUUAAGAUAAAAAGGUAAGAUAAAGUAGUUUUGUGUGUUGUUCGAGGAACUUCUCUAUUGGAUUGUUUGCGGUAUUUAUAGGCCAAUUUGAUAACCAUUAGUGAUUGAUUGCUUCCUUCUUAAACAUCGCUCACGUUCUAUGCUAAACCGUUUUAUCCAUAUCUGGUUGCUUUCUAAUAUGUUUGAUGAUGUUCUCAUGGCUUGUUUAGCAAAUAAUAAUCGCUCCUUUGAUUUUGGCGCCUUUUUAAGCAUCAACCGUUCUUGUUCAAACUUUGCCAUCAAUUCCAUCUAAAUGCUAUGUCUUCAACAGGGUUUCUUGGCUUGGACACGUGGCAACCAAUUGCUUUAUCAUCGAAUCACGUAUCUCUACUUGUAAGCUCAUCGAAAUCUAGUCCAAAUGCUCUUGAAAUCCUUGGCUAUCAUUCGUUUCUAUGACAACCAUGGACUGGGCUGAUGUAAAUCACGACCCGCAAAUGACAGCGAGGAUGAUUUCAAAGGCUUUUAUCCCUUGUGAUCAGCACGUGAUAGUAGGGAUAUUUUUGGAUGUCAACAGUGACAAUAUAAUUCAAUCCAUCACUUGACAUCACAUACAACUUUUACAGUAGAUUUGAUCAUAUAAUUCUUUCAUUUGUUUGGGAUCACACAUAUUACAAACAAAGCAAGCAUGUAAAAGCAUUUCACAUUAUUUUUAAUUACUAGAACUUCGUAUAAAUUUCUUAAAAUUUGUAGCAUUUUGUAUUAAAUGCUAAAUAAUUUUGGGAUCAAAAGCUAAGGUAUAAUGCAACAAGACAAGAAGUAUAGCAAAAUGGUAUUGUCGUAUUCACUACAUGCAAAUAGUAUCUUCACUAUCUUGAACUUUCAAAUAUCAAUUUCUUGCAUACAUGCAAUGCUUUGAUAUUUGCCAUGCUGGAGAAAUUUGAGCCAAUUAUGAUUCCCUCUUCUAACUCUAAGGCUAAAUAGUAGGUAACUCUCGUCAAAUUGACCAAAAUAAACUCUUCCCUCCAACACUCCCCAUAGUGCAUUUGGUUUGAGAAUCUAAAUCCAUACAUGAUUCGAGUCAAAUGAACUAAGAGGCUCCUAAUAUCUCAUCCGCCUUUGGCAGUGAACAUGUGGCAUGAUGUCAAAAGAUAAUUUCCUCUUCUUCUUCUUCUUCUUCUUCUUUUCCAUCUUUUACACUGCAAACACUACAGUUCUUACCAAAAAAAAAAAAAAAACAAUACAGAGAACCACCGCCACAACUCUCAGAGCAGUUCCGUGACUUAAGCAGGGGGACCCAGCUAGUGGGUUACUAGGCUAGUCUCUCUCGAGGUAUAGUCGAUGCUGUGCUCCCGUAAGGUGAGCUAGGCCAGAUCCCCGGCAUAAAAAAAUAAUAAUAAUAAUACAGAGAACCAAUGUUGUAAACUUGUAGUGCAAGUCAUGUGAAGCCAAAAAUGGUACCGUCUUCAACAAGGAUGAACUCCUUUGGUAUCUCUCCUCUGGGGCAAACAUUUUGGUAAUAAGGAGGAAUUUGGGAAUAAUGAUGCUUUUGUUAUAUAGGCAUACUGUAAAAUGUAUGUGAAUUUCUAAUUAGUUCAAGAAGAAGAGUUUAAUUUUGAGUAAACUAGUUGGCUGGCAUACGUAUCCUAUCAUAUUAGGAUGAUGGUAGUGAUCGAAAAUGGGAAAGCCUACACAAUUUGAUUUAUUAUGUGUCUAGCAUAGCUCCUUUGGGAACUCCUAGUAAUUCAACCACAACUAGAGCUCUAUAAUAAUUAGACAUAUUGAUCCUUUGUUGCAUUAUAUACAUUACUCAUGUAAUAUAAAUCAUUCCCUUAUCAGUUUUGUAGCCACCCCUAAUAUUACAUUAGACAUACUGAUCCUUGGUUCCAUGAGAUAAGUGCACCUAGCCACUCACUCAGUGUCUAGUAUAACAAACUUUCUUAUUAAAUACUUCGAUAAAGUUCUAAUUUACAAUAAUUGAUAUACUUGUUAGCCAUGUAUUUAAGGUUUAUCUUAUGGUUAUGUUCAACCAUUUUAUAUUAUGAAUUUAGAAGAAUUUUAACAGGAAAUACACGAUGCAUGUUUUCAAAUAUUUUAUGAAUUAUUUUAAAUUUUUAUGAAUUUUCUGGAUUUUUAAUUUUUUAAUUAUUUUUAGUUUAUUAUUAUUAUUACUUUUAAAUUUUUUUUACUUGUUAAAUACAGACAACGACUUCGGGCUGGCUCUGGUCUCGUGGGUCUGGGCCAUGGACACAAAUGGGCUAAUUCAAAAAAAGCCCAUUCGAAUAGAAUAUCACCAAGUCCAUUUCGUUGAAAUUAAAAAGCACUAAGCUCAUCUUGCUAAAAAAACUCAGCCCAAGCACCUCUAAGACUAAGACCAGCCCGAAUCUACUAAAACCACUUAGGCCCAAGAUCCAUCAAAUAACCCACGCCGAGCCUAAAUCCACGCAACCCAUUCACGCUUCCUUCCUCCUUUCUCAUCUAAUUUUCUUCCUUUUUAUUUUUUUCAUUUUUUCUCUCCCUUUUUUAUUUUUAUUUUUAUUUUUAUUUUUCUAUUUUCCAUUUCUCUUCCCUUCCCCUGUGCACCACCUUCUUCCCGUGAACGACUUCUUCCUUGCGACCUUCUUUUCAACCUAAUCCCACCAUUUUCCGAUGAGCCCUCGCCGGCGCUCAGGCCACCGCCGAGCCACCACUCGGCGUCGGUCGUUCAGUCCGACAACGCCAGUCACUGCCAGCCAUCACUUGGUCGCCGGUCGCCCGUCCCUCGCGGGCCAUAACCGAACCUCAACGGCAACUUUAAUGUCACCGAAACACGUAAUUCAAAACGGCAUCCAUUUCAACAGAACAAGCACACAAAUGGAGGGAAUAACAAACUAACUACGGCGUCCUCUAAUUGCGGGCUUCUCCAGCUAAAGGAAUGGCAAUCUCCGGCGAAGCGUUCACGGCCAGACUCGGACGAUGAGAAAUAUGCCACCAAAAGAAUCAAAGAAAACGCCGAUUCAGUCUCCCGUUUAAUGAUUCCAUAACGAAUAGAGCACGGAAAAAUAACAUUUCGAGCAUCUCGCUAAAAUUGAAUUCGAUUUUUCAUUGAGACAUUCCGUCGAACGGUCCAUGUGCAGUUCUGAAUACCACCUGUAGGUUCGAGAGCUUGCUGCGAUAGACGAUGACAAGCGAGUCGGCUUCCCCGGGAGGUCGCGAGGGUGAUUGAGACGGACCACCGACGAGAUGAAAGAAUUCUCUCCUCUCGGUUUCCGAUUUCUCUUCGAAACACCUCCGGCUCCACCACUCCGAGCCGAUCCCCUCUCUCUCUCUCCCCGCUCUUUCGUUUCUGCCCCAUCCUUACCUUUACAAGAAGAAGGAAUGGGGCUCCUAACGGGAAAGCUCAUGGCCCUUCCGGCAUCUGUCUCCAUGUUCUUCGCUGGGCAAUCCUCGCUAUGGUUUGAAUCGCCGCGACUGCGGUGUUCGAGCGCCGUCUCCCGGUGGCAAAUCUCGACCUCGCUCAAUCAUCACCGGCAGCAUUGGUCGUCUUCUCUCCGCAGCGAUGGUACAGAAGCAGCACCGCAAGUCCAACGCUAAGAAACAGCCUCACGUAAGCGAUUUCCUUCGCUACUUAUGGUUGCAAUUUCCAUCUAUUUAGGCAUCUGUGACUAUUGCUUGCUCUUCGAAGAGGCCGCAUAUCUUGUCUCCAAAGAAAUUCAAAAGUUUCAAUUGCCGUGAUAAUCCGUUUGUUGCGCCGACGCCUCUGAAUUGAGCUUUGGUGGACGUGCGUUUGGCUAAAUUCUUGGUUGAAGUGUUCGUAGGUGGUUGUUUUCGGAUUCUGAGUAGACGUGAAUGUAGUAUGCGUUGAUGAACAGGUCAAAAAGCAGGGGAAGCAAGCGGAUGACACGCAGUUCCGAGCUCAGCUUGAUGCUCUGGGCUGAAAAUUGUCCAGGUGACUGCAGAUAAUAAUUGCUUUUGCAGGUCUGUGUUCCUUGUUAGAAAAGAUCACCGACUUGUUCAUGAUUUUUUAUUGAAUGUUUUCAGGAAUUGGUUUGUUUUGUAAGAUAUUAGUAAUCCUCUCUGCUGUAGAAGUUUAGUAGUAUGCUCAUCGCAUUACCACUCUGUCGUCAGAGCAUAACACGCAUUGCAUUUUAUGGUAUACUGGUUCUGGAAUACUAUCAUCGAUGUCCUAGAAAUUCCUCUGUUGGAAAAACUAUUGCAUUUUAGUAUGAUGUAUCAUUCUGCCCGAGACACUGCAUCUGGAAACAUAUCUUGAAGAAGAGUUCUAUUUGUUGGGGAACACAGCUCUCUUACCUUAGUCUCGAGGAUAUUAGAUUGACUCUUCUGAGAUCCAAGUCAGUUACUUUGUAAAAUUUCAUAACUAUUCUACAACUCCUAGACAAACAAAACAUCUUCCUCAUUCCCGUUUUCAUUCCAUGUAUUUGAAUUAUCCAUCCGCCAGGUAAUCUUGCUGCCUUGUAUGGAGCUUUUGGUUAUAGAAAUGCCUUUGCUAUGGUUGGAAUUUUCUUAGUUGUCCACCCUUGUUAAUCAGUGCCCUUGCAGAUCAGUUGGAAGGCAACGAAGAUGAACAUGGAAAGUACCGGAGUAUGGUUGUUCAGUACAUAUUGGUAUGUGGAGUGCUGAUUUCUCUUUUUCAAGCCAUAGAAAUUAUGCUCGUAAGGGUUUUUUUACAUGGUGAUGUUAUCCUCAUUUGUAUUAGUGCUUAGCAAUCCAAAUCAGAACUUUUAUUCGGUGCAUUUUGUUCUUGAACUCUUUUUGUAAGUAUUGAUGGAUUUCUCACUUAUAUAGACAUUGAAAUAGCAUGCCUUUGGAAGAAAAAACCAAGUUAAAAUGGGUAUUAUAUAUUGAAGCUUACAUUUCUUCUGCCAAUGGUUAUUCCUGAUGAUAUUCAGUUGGCAGUCACAGUUGCAUAGAGCUAUACCAACACAAGGAUCACCUGAGCAAUUUGACAUUCUUAUUUUACUAGAGAGGAAAAGCUAUUGUGUUAACUGUGAUUUGGAUGGAGUAUCUUGGCCUAAACUGACAGGUGCAGGAGGAAACUGGACUCUAUAGUUAUCCGCAUUGUUCUAGCUUACAGGAACGUGCGAUUACUACUUUAGGGUGGCAAUAUUAUGUAAACCGACAUUUUUUCGAAGGAGAUUUGACAAAAUCAAAAAAUGAGAGAAUUGAUAAUAACGUAAAAUAAAUAAACUAUUUAGCUUGCAUCAUAGAACUGUAAUGUUUUGCAAUGCCACAAAUUGAUAGUUUUGCUUUUUUUCAAGUUUCAACAGGAUCCUUCAUUUUCAUUGGUUUUACUUAUAGUGAUGUGUUUAAGGAAAAAAAAAAAAAACUUGUUUGAAGAAUGGACCUGAUAUAUGCAUCUAAGCUGGGAAUUGUUAAUGACAGAACAAUCGUGAAAUGUUGAACCAUUUAUUGAGGAUGAUGUGCCAUUUGAGGAGUAUUGCAAAACCAUGGACAAUGAUGGCACGUGGCUGGUCAUAUGGAAUUGCAAGCAGCUUCUCUUGUUACACGGAGUAACAUUUGCAUUCACUGGGUAAGACUGACAAUGAUGUCAUCAAUUAUUCACCUACAUUGAGUUUUUGGGUUACAUUAUUUUCAUUCCUUCAGGGGAAACAUCUAGACUAAAUAAGGAUGUCAUUAGACUCGUCAAUCGUUAACCUUGAAUUGAAGUUUCCCUGUUUAAGCAUGCAUCCUAGAAUUCGAUGACCAUUGAAGAACCCAUGAUUAUCGGUUUCCAGACUCAUUCACUUAUUGAUAUAACGGCUUUCUUCCCCAAUAUGGCCCUCCUUUAUCCAAGAAGUUAUUUCCCAUCAUUGUUUAGAUCAAAAGACCACGUAGGAUGUUGUUUUAGUAAUCGUUAUAGCUUGUUAUUUUCUGUUUGGUUAUAAUUUGUUACUCUUUAGACUGAAAAGUUGACUCAUCUGAGGCGCAAUGUUAUCCGGCAUGCCUCAUGAUGUCUAUUGUGGCAAAAGCAUGUAGAAAGACCAUUGGUGAUGAUGUGCAAAAGAUUUUAUUCAGAGAUGGAUUGCACCGUGAGUCCCAACGGGUGCAUAUAAUCCUAAUUCAAAGAAGACUUGAUAUAUCAAAUUUGUUACAACAUUGCUGGCUCAUCGAAUGUUCUGUAUGUCCUCGAUGAAUCUACACAUUAGCAACAAUAAAUUUUGAUGCAUGCCGUGCACGCAUAUAUUUUUCGUUGACUCCAGAUGGAAUCACUCGUUACUUGAUGCAGAACAUGUCGCCUUGGUGGUACAUACGCAAUUUUGAUCAGCCUGAUGCUCGUAUGAUCCAUUUGCGAGUGUUCUGAAUCUAGGGCCUGAUGUUGCUUUUUGCCAAGCAAGUGCUCAAAUGCUGGGAUGAGAUCUGGCUCUGUUUGUAUACACUUAAAUAAAUUACCAUACCUUACAUUUCAAUUUCCCUCAAAAGAUAUGAAAAAAAAAUGUUUUAAUUUGCAAGAGAUUAUGAAAAGAUUAUAUGUUUCUCCUGGUCAAUUUUGUUUGUUUUUAAAAGGUUUUAGGUGUCGAGUUCUAUAAAGUCAAAUUGCGAGAGCUGCAAGAUUUGAAAAAAUAACCAAAAAAAAACUAUAGGUACAAUUCGUCCAAACAAACCGGCUCAUUACAUCAAAGAAGGUAGUGCAGCUUUUUUGAGGGAGACUGCUGAUUUUUGAAAUUAUUUUGGCAUGCAAGGACAGCAUAAGUUGCAGAUAUGAGUGUUGUUGCGGUGUUUGUUAGAUCAAACCAUGGAAGCUCUUUUGCUAGUUUGAGAGAUGUUUUGACGUGGUCACAGGGGGAUAAAUUACUGGCUAAGCAUAUGUGAUAGGAGACCAAAUGUCACUUUAGCUUUUGUUUCUUCAGUAAAUUUUUUAUUGAAUAUAGAUAUACUUCAAUGAAUGGCAUGCCAGGAUACUCUAAGAUAAGAUUGAUUGGCUCUGUUGAGGGAGUCAUCGUGACUUGGAUUGUCAUGAGGGUCAUGAAAUCUAGGGGAUAUAUGACAUUCCACACUUUACUAUCGUAGAUGAAUGUCAUCAUGCGAAGCAAGUAAGCAUAAAAAAUGUGCGUUGUGCCCUUAUUGUUUUGUGGACAGGGAAAAUCUUUUAGUCUUUUUGUACUGAUUGGUGUUUGUAUGUGCAUUAUUCUAACUUAUAGAUUUUGCUUUGUUUUAUUAGAUCUUAUCAUGAUGAGGAACAUUACAACAGUGUGAGGUUGAAGGAAGACUCCGGAGAUGGGCCAGCUAGGCCAAUCACAAUCAAGGUCGCUACUGGAAUUUAAUUUUAGUUUACUAAGUCAGUACAGAAGUUGGAAAAAUUUGUGAAUUGAAGUAUGUGAUUUGAUAAUUUCUUUUGCUGAAAGGCUGAUUCUAAUCUCUCAUCGUGGUCUGGCCAAGCAAAAGCUGGGUCAAACAAGUCUAAAUCAGGAGCUGGUAAGGAUACGACUGACGCAGGAUCCAUCAAGCUAGUCAUGGCAGGAAGUGGUUGUAAGAACAUUGAGAAAGUUGAGCAGGUUAUGUUCUCUCUUCUUCUGCUUGCAUGUUUGCAUUAAUUGUUUACCUCUCAUUUGCUAGGUGAUACUAGAAUUAGAAUGCAAUGUUUUGGACCUUUUUCUGGUUUCUGUGUGACAUGUGAUACUUCUACACACAUUGCUGCAAAUGUAGGUGGAUGUUGAUGCUGCCAUAGAGCAUUUGAUAGCAGAAUGAGGCAUUGAAGAUUUUUCAGAGGAAACUCUUUGGCCUCCCUGCAAUGCAGAUGCUUCUUAUGGUAAUGGCUGGUCAGUAAUUCUCUCUCUAGAUUUUCUUUAAUAAUUUAACUUCGCAGUUUCAGAGAUACUGUGUUAAGCUUCAUUAGAAGCUUUCUUGGAGUCAUUUUGAUGUGACUGGUGGGAUUAGCAUACUUUGUCUUGUCACCCAUGGAUUUUUGGGGUCGUCAAACAUGCUAUACCCAAAACUAUUUCAUAAUUUUGUUGUAUUUAGGUGAUGAUGCCAAUGGAAAUUCGGAGGAACAGAGAAAGGAACCUGUGGAAGAGACCUAUAAAGAGAAUCCACCUAGCAAUAGUGCUAAACGGACUCAUGAUGAUGGCAGUGCCCAGCAAGAAGACAAGGUUUCCGCAAAUAAUGAUUGUGUUAUAUCUUUUACCAUUUUAGUUUAAGCUCAAACAUGAGAACUGUUGAUCAUGCGUCUCUUCAUUUUUAUUUGCUUGUUUUAUUUUGAAAUGGAGAAAAUCCCAAGAAACAAGACUUGUCCGUGUGGUUCAAAAAAGAAAUAUGAGUCCUGUUGCGGGUCAGGGACGGCGAAAGUCUCUGCAAUUGCCAAGUAUUUCUCGUUCUAUCUGUGCUUUCGAUGUCAAGUUAUAGUUUAAGCUCGUCUUUUGUUGAAGUAUUUUUCCUGUUUCCCUGUGAUUGGAGUUGAUACUUAUCUUGAAAUUAUGGCUUAUGUAUCCAACACGGUAUCAAUUACGUUCCUUAAAAUCAUGUCUGCAAUAUUUUCUCACUCCUACGCUUUGUCGAAUAAUGUGUACUUACAAAAACAAAGAGAUUUCAUUUUUUUUAUGUCUAAAUGUUGUUUUGCAGUGAUCAAGCUUUUGAAUCCAGGAAAAGUAAAAAGGAAAAGAAGCGAGGCAAGAGAGGGUCUUGACACAUCUGCACUUUCUAGCGGAUCUUAUGAAGGGCCACCUGAUAUGGGGACUCUUUGCAUCUGACCUUUUCCCAAAGUAUGUGCACCAUCAUCUAUUGAAUUUCGGAUAUCGGUAUGUGUGCAGUCUUUCAGAUAUCUGAUUAGACAAUUUUUUUCCUAUCUAUAUUAGCACGUAUUCGAUGUAUGCAUCUCUUCUCUGACCUUUGGGAUAAGUGCACUUUCUAGUUUUUGACCUGUUGCCAAAUUUAGGAAGAUCUAUAGGCGCAAAAUUUUUAAAGGUGUUACUUCUCUUGGAUAGUCUGCUCGUCUGAUGCAUAAUAUGCUGGCAAUUGUGAUUUGGAGAUUCUUUGCACACACAAUUGAUGCGAAUGCAUGUAGUGCCUACCCCGGUAGAUUUGUUGGCAUUGGCGAAGGUGAGUUUGGGAAGCAACCAAAAGGAGAUAAGGAAAUUCAGUAAUUACUGUCCCAGGGCUAAACCUUUUCAUGAAUAUAAAAGAGAUGUUCACGUGAAUUUGACGAGUGAUGGUUUAAUUUAUAGAUUCCCUUCCAAAGUAUUGGUUUUGUUGUAACUGUAGUUUGUGGUUCCCGUGAAGAUGUUAUUAUUUUUCCAUUUAUUUCGUUGACAAGAAAUGCACUAAUCAUUUGCUCACACAACUUCUUGUAAUUGAUGAAAGACACGUAAGAUCCAAAAUGCACUUAAGCUCCAUAUAAGGAUCCGAAUGAAUCCAUUUGCAGUUGGAGAUGACACAGAUAUUACAUAUGCUAGCUCUCCUAUUCAAAUUGGUGUAGAUUUCUAAGAUAAACAACUUUGACUGACAAUUAUCUUUGGUUAUUUUGGCAAAUAAGCAUGUCUUGUAGAUCUUUUGUUGGUUGUCAUUAGUUGUUAGACGAAUUAUGGUCUCCAAAGCUCCUAAGUGAUAGACGGUGUGUAGAUAUGAUGCGCUGUGAAGUUUUAGCAAUAGAUUUUCCAAUUAUCCCACAAUUUAAAUCCCAACUUGUUCUUCUCAUUGUUUUUGUGGAAUUGCAUUGGGUCAGAUGCGGCUUGUCCAGUCCUCAAGAAUCACAACAAUCUUGCGGCUUAAUCAUUGCAUCCACGGGGGAGUAGGGAGAGUGUCGAAUUGUGAGCAAAGAACUGAUGCGGAAAGAAGUCUAUAACUUGAGCUUCCCCCCAAAGCUACUCAUGAGGUUACUUAUUAUUUUUUGUCGGCUUGCCCUCAAAUAUAAAUCCGUUCAUUCUGUACUAACUUCAAUAUGGAGCACAUGUUAGUCUGAGGUUAUCCUCUGUCUUCAAGGGGCGGUACCUAAUUGGUCUUGAAUGCUACUUUGUCCCAAAAUGGGGUUACUUUUUCAUCUACCAGCUUAACAAGCGUUGAACCUGACAUGGUGAUGCUGCUCUAAUAAUGUAGGGAGUUAAGCGAUCUGUUAAACUAAUAAAACUGUAUGUGUAGAUUCAUUUAUUCCAUGUAAGAAGUGAAAAACACUUGAUACUCUUGCAAGAUAGCAAGGUGUGCCUUGUGAGCCCCAUUUUCAUUCAAAUGGCGAUCCAACAUAUAGGAGGGCAUAAUUGCUAAAUGAUAUGCGAGAAUGUAGACAUCACGAGAAACUUCAAUGCGAUAAAAGCAUCUUCGGCUUGGCUGAUGCCGUGAUGCUCCGUGGAUGUCUAGGCCCAUAAAUGGACUUUUCCUGUCACGUGCCGUUGUCAAACCAGUUUAGUCAACCUUCGUCUUUAUUGUCCUUGAGAAGGUGAUCUGUAAAAGUCAAUAGACCAAACCUAGGUCCCUACCAUGAGAUGAGUGUACUUAGCCAUUAACUCAUUUCUAGUAUAAUAGACUUUCUUGUUAAAUACUUCAAUAUGGUUCUGAUUUACAAUAAUUGAUUUAGUUGUUAGCCAUGUAUUUAAGUUAUAUCUUCUGGUUAUGUUCAACCAUUUUGUAUUAUGAAUUGAGAAGAACUUUAACAGGAAAUACAUGAUGCGUUGUUUUCAAAUUUCUGAUCCAUUGAUUUUGUAGAUUUGCUUUGCCGGGUUCAUUCCAAACAGAGCAUAGGAGGGCCAGUAGUAGAUCAACAAUAGCUUAGAGGAAAUAUAGAUAGUGAAAGAGAAUGAUCAUUGAAGAGUGCUAAUCAAGUUUAGAAUCACCACAAAAAGAGGUGUGUCGUACAAGGUCAUGAUGUUAUACAAAGCGAUAGGGAUGUGUGGUGUGAUAAGCAAAUCAAUUUCAAAAUUUAAGCAUUAAGUAAGACGACUGCCAUUUAAUACAAUCAAUUUAAUUAGCUGGUCACAUCAUGUUGAUCAUUAGCGAUCUGAUUGUCGAAUAAAAUAUUUUUCUCAAACAAGGGGAUAGUCCCCCGAAAAGUUUUCGAAUGCUAGAACUCUGAGAUUCGCAAAAAUUUUGAGGAACCUCCCUUUGAAGAAACGCAAGGACUUUCCAAGAAGUGCCACUUUUGAUAUACUCUUAAUAGUUGCUAAAUAGACAUACCAUCACUUACGAGUUCAUCUAAGGAAUUUACUAUGCUAUUGGAUAAUUACUAAAGUGAUAGGAUCAUCGAGAUAUGAACUCCACAAUCAAAUUACUAACCUUAAAAGAAAGUUACUAAAUAUAGGCAUAGCGAUGAUCAUGAGGACUCCAUGGUACUUACAACUGUUGGAAAAAUAAUUUACGAUGUACAAAUACUAUUGUUACAAUAAAGAGGGAAAUUACUGUAUCAAUGGAGAAUUGCAAUAUGACGGUACCCUCAAGUUAGGAAUAACGAAGAGAUGUUUGUGACGGAAAGUUAUCAAUCAUAGGCACAGUACAACUUUUGAGGAUUUCAGUUGAUUUACAAUUGUUCAGGAAUAUUUACUGAGAAAUUUCGUUAUUUAUUAUGACUAUUUGAUGAAAUUUACUAUAUUAAUUUUAAGUUUACUAACGACUAAGAUUUUUGACCAAAAAAAAAAAAAACGACUAAGAUUAACAUACGGGUAUAACAAAGAUUUUUUUUUUUUUUUUUUUUUUGGCAAUGGGGAAGGAUCAACAUACGGGUAUAACAGGAAUAUGUAUAAAAAGACAUAAGUAGUGCCGCAAACCUUUUCUGCUUCUUCUAUAAACUGCAUGAAAAAAAUUUGAAAUUUCCCAAGCGAAGGGAAAUGAUCCUGGGAAAUAAACUACGAAUAUGGUUUUUUAAGGGAUAAAGCAAACCACAAGUCCUAAAACUUGCUGGAAAAAUGCAAUUAAAGUCCUAAUUUAAAAAAAAAAUACAAUCGAGUCAUAAAACUUAUCCAAUUAGUACAAUCAAUAACUUCCGUCAGCCCCGUCCAAUUUGAGUAUUGGAAAAUACUAGCACGUCAUCUUUUGAUAUGUUUUGAGUACACACGCCGGAGAUGCUCCAGCCCAACAUGGUGCCCCGUUAAAAUGAUUUGAAGCGUCUUGUGUGCCCAGUCUCCCACUAUUCCUUCACAUAUAUUUGAAUAGGACAUGAGAGAUUGAAUUGAACGCCAUUUGCUACUCCAUCAACAAGACAGGUGUCCCAGGGUAUCAAGAAAUGUAUGCCAAUCCUAACUUGCUUCGUUGGCUCCUUAAUGAUAGCUUCCUUAGAGCUGCAAGCCAAUACUACUCCACUCCCCUCUUCUUAUUUAAUCUUUCAUAUGCUUCCCGUUCCUCAUCUGCUUCCAAUUCCUCCAGUCGGCGAGGGAGAAAUUUCCGGAAGAACUCUUUAUGCUCUAUUUCACAUAGUGAAGCUAGAUCCACUAAUUGAUUGCCUCCAAGCGCAACCUUCAAAUCAUCAUCCAAUUGCUCACAUAUUAGCACAUAUCCCAACUUUUCCACAGUUCUACCUGACACUAUGAGUGUAAGUUUAAAUUGUAAGUAAUCCUCAUCAAAUUCAAGAAAAUUAACUGCUCCCUCCAGCAAUCCCCAUAGCACAUUUGGUUUGAGAUAUUGAAUCCACAUUUGAUCCGAAUCAAAUGAACCAAGAGAUCCCGACAGCACAUUUCGUCUUUGGCCAUUAACAUGGGGCACGAUGUUGAAAAAUAUUUCCUUUUCUCCAUCUUCUACACUAAAAGCAACACAUAGAGCUAAUCCAAAGAACUUAUCAUAAAAGUCCUGUGAAACCAUAAAAGAUAUGGUACCGCCUUCAAUGGGGACGAACUCCUUUGGCAUAUCUCCUCCGGGGAGAAUAUUUUUGUAUGAAGGACGAAUUUUGGAAUAGCGAUACUUCUGUUAUACCAGUAAAUUGUUAGACAUACUCAAGUUGAUAAUCAGUUCCAAUGCAAAAGUUUGAUUUGAGAAUUUUUCUUGUAAUUCAACAAAAGCUAGAGUUUUAUAAUAAUUAAACAUAUAGAUCCUUCCUUGCCUUAUAUGUAAUACUCAUGAAAUCAUUCACUUGCGAGUGUUGUAGCCACCCCUAUUACAUGUAAGUGCAGAAUCACCUUAUGUUAGAUUUGCUUGUUUGUAUAGAAUUUUGAGUUUUUGCAUUAUACAAACACAAUGCACCCGACAUACACUGCAACAAAUCAAUACAUGCAUGAAUGCGCGCGCCCUCGUGGAGGGAGAGAGAGAGGGAGACAGAGAGAGACCUCAACUGAGAAGUCAGCCAUAAAAUCCCCGCUGUCAAACUUCAUAUCGUGGUAUGUUUCCCAUUUCCUUCUACGGCCUUUAUUAUCUUCAUGUUGUCUCCACCGCUAUUGCAUAUAGGUGCAAAAUCACAAUACAUUAGCUUGUUUUGUUUACUAGCAUUUGCAGCUUUUGCAUUAUAAAAACACAAAGCACCCAUAUCAAUCAAGCACACGCACAUCACAAUGGCGGGGAGGGAGGGAGGGAGGGAGGGAGGGAGACCUUAAAUGAGAGAGAGGCCGAACUUUUUUCCCCUGUGGUUGUUUGUUUAUCAUCAUGCCAAAUCUCAUAGAGCAAACCCAGAUCCAGUGACUGGUCAUCUUGAUACAAAGCCUCCAAAUCGUCCUCUAAUGGCUUGCAUAUUAAUCGAAAUCCACACUUGCUUACAAUUGCAUUAUCGGAUGCUAUAAUGCCAAACUGGAAAGAACAAGAGUCAUCUGGACCAAAAGCGUCUCCUUGCCAUAGCCGCUCCAUUUUAAGAUACAAAAGCCACACAUGAUCCGAACGCCAUGAAAAACGUUGAACGCGGACUUCCGGGUUGGAUAUGCCAUUCAUGCAUGUACGGAGCACCAAUUGGGCAUUUCGUUUACCUUCCUUUGUUCGACAUACAAUGCAGAAAGCUACUGCUAGGAACUUCUUACGCAAGUCCUUUGAAGCUUUGAAAGACAUAAAACCCUCUUUAUUCGGGAGCAACCAUUGCGGCAUCUCUCUUCCAGGCAUUAAAAUAUGGGAAAACGAGGAGGAUAAAAAUCCCUGUCACAGAUGUAAAUUGUCAAGACAGUAUUUCAAAUUUGGCACUUGAAAAGAGGAGUUUAAAGGAAUUAAGUGGGUCGACAAGUUUAGCUAUAGUUAGCAACACAUGUACACUUCGUAUUAAUCGGAAGGGGGGGAGGGGGGUGUGAAGGAAGGAGGGGGAGGGUGUCUAACCUCAUCACGGACCGGUUUGCCCCAGAAUGGUUCAAUAUGGUUAACGGCCCAUAUGUUAGAGGGGAUUUUACUUAGAGAUUCACAAUUCACUGCAGCCAAGUUGUGCAAUUGCCCUGGAAUCUUGCCAAUCUCUUGCAGCUGUCGGCAGUCCGUAACAUCCAAAAAGCGUAAAUUAUGUAGCUGGCCGCACAUUGGAAGCUUAGCAAAAUUGUUUUCGGACAAACACAAUUGUCUUAAGUACGGAAAACAUGAAUGAUUCUCUAGGAACUCUACUUCUAAUAGAUUGCAUCCACUAAGCCCUAAGAUCACUAACUUAUGAAAUCCCGUCUCGCUAUGCAGAUCACUCAAAUUCUCCUCCUUUUUUGGAAACUUGAUUAGUUUUGAACAACCAUCAAGUAUCAAGCUCUCAAGAUCUGGCAACUUGUAAAUGCUAGAUGGGAGGUUUGUCAAUUUCUUGCAAUUAAGUAAACUCAAAUUCUUCAAAGAGACAAGAUUUUCUAUGGACGUAGGAAGUUCCUCAAUUGAAGUCCCUUUUAAAUAAAGUUCUUGCAAGCCUUUGAUUUUAUCAGGAAUAUCAGGGAAUCUUUGCAACUUUGAGCAAUCGGUAAGAUUGAGAAGUUGAAGAUUCUUAGAUUGGAAAACAUCAGGGAGAUGAUGAAGGUUAGAGCACCCCUUUAAAUUCAACAACAGUAUCUUGGUGUGAUAUGCAACUGAUUCGUGAACACGCUCCAAAUUUUUGCACCCAUGGAGAUCCAGUUCCUCAAGAUUUGGAGUCAAAUCAAGGUCCGGCAUACAAACCAUCUACGGACAUUCACUAAGCUUAAGGAACUUCAAAUUUUUAAAGUCCUGCAAGAAAUAUCCAGAUGGAAAAAAAAAAUGAAGAUAAAAAUAUUUGAUGAAAAACACUUGAUCAUAAUUCAAGCCCCGUGUGAUCAGAAAUUAGUUGAUCAUAUGGUGUAUAUAGAGCACUCCCUCUCCCUUUUUAAAUAUGAGUUUAUUGAACGAUCCUUGGCCAAAAGAGAAGAUAAAAAAAGAAUAACACUUUAAUUCCACCACACACUACAGCUCUAUCAAGCGACAUACAAGAGAAAUUAGUCCAACGCUAAGAAGUGUGGCCACUUCUACUAUAUAUAUACGUUCAGAAACAAUACAUGUAAUUCAGAGAGAGAGGGUAACCUCAAGUGGGAGCACAUGGGCCACGGUCAAAUUCUUAGCCAACUAAUUCAUGACAUGAAUUUAAGCUAACAUAGGUAGCACUUGAUGGAUCUAAUUCAUGACACGAAUUUAAGCUAAUAUAGGUGGCACUUGAUGGAUCUAUAACCUUAUGCAGAGAUGCGCAAAACUACCAUAAAGGCAGUGGAAGCUCAGAAAUCUCUCAUGUCAUCACUUAUUAGGUCAUGGAGGUUGGUCGAUCGAUUUUCGAGAAUGGUAUCAUGCAGUAGACCCUUGAUGUGUUACUUGUUGCUGAACUUUAUAUUAAUGAAAUUGUGCCCCUACAUGGCAUUCCAAAGACAACCCCUUCUUAUGUCAAGUUUAUCAGUCACUUUUGGUAUACAUUACGAAAAAUGGGGACUUAGCCUCAGUUUAGUUUUGCUAGCCAUCUUUAUAAGGAGUUCUAGUAGAAAACAUGUAAAACGUUGGGAUAUGUUAUUGGUUCAAGCCGAAUUUGCAUAUAAUAAUUCGAUGAGUCAAACCAUUAGAAAAUGCCAAUUUGAUGUUCUGUAGCGAAAGCAUCUUUUAAGUCCUUUAUAUCUUACAUCAUUUUUUUUUUUUUUGGUAAAGUUUAUAUCUUACACCAUUGUCCAUCACUAAUAUGAAGGAAGAGCUAAGGCAAUCAGUAAGUUACUUGAGGAAGUGAGGAAGAGAAGUUCGAAGCAAACUAUCAGAUAUCCCAGUCAAGUAAACAAACAUAGAAAGCGUGCUGUUCUUAAAGAAGGUGAUCUUGUCUGGAUUCAUUUGAGAAAAGCGCUUUCCACCUAGUCGUCAUACUACGGAUGGUUCUUCUCUAGUUUGGGAACGCAUUGAUAAUAAUGCAUACAAAAGUGAGCUUUGCGGAGAGAAUGGUGUUUCCACUAGUUUCAAUGUUGCUGAUCUAUCACUAUGAAGUUGGCCUCAAGGAGGAGUCUUUUCAAGAUUUCAAGAUUCUCUCUUGUGAAUAGAAUAAUAGGGAUAAAAUAUAUUUUCUUGAUCAGUGAACCUGUUUUAUAUUUUUUAGGAUUGUUUUAGUCUUGAUUACAAUAUGAUAAUAUUGUAGCCUGUUUGAAUUUUGUAGUUUGUGUUCAUUUUUCUUUAUUUGGAGGUUACUCAAAGGUAUCUUAGACUCCUAUUUAUAAGUGCCUUUCGGUCUGUCAUAGUGAACAUGAUGAAUUUAUUAAAUGAAGUUUCAUUCUAUUUUUCUUUCUCUGUGUCCUUUGGGUGGACUAACGAGUGAUCAAGAGAGUGUUGCAUCCUUGGACUGGCCUCCUAAGGUAGUCUCUUCCCAUCCUCCAUUGUGGGGUUUUUCCACUUCAUUAAGAUUGAAAAACCCCUUUUUUAUUUAUUUGUUCGUUCAACACAUUCCGACGUCAGUCUGGCCGACAAGUAUGACAGCAAAAUUGAAAGCCCACGAAGUUUGUCUCAUGUGAGGCAUAGAAGUGAAAACUAUAAGAGUACGCACAAGAUUUGAAAAAAAAUUGAUAUUUGAAAGCAAAACCACCAAAUUAGAAAUAUUCAAAUGGAAAGAAAUUGUUGGUCAAUAAACAACACGCAAACAUAGAAUAUAUGUAGGAUAUUUCAAAAUUGAAAUUUGCAAUAAGAAACUUGUAGGAUUAGAAAAGAUCAAAAUUUAGAUUGUGAAACAUGAGAGAUCAAAUAAUUAAUAGUUUAAGCACCUCUCUAUGAAUAUUAUAUUUGUAAAAUAAGUAAUCGAGAUAUUUUGGGGAAGAAUUUAAAUUGAAAUCCUGUGGAAGGUCACCUUUACCUUGUACAUACAUGACUUUAGAUUAGAUUUAGGUUUAAAUAUACUUAAAUUAGCAAAGCAAGCCCCUUACUUCUCUUUAGAAAGCUUUAUUAGUUAUGCGUGAAAGGCCGGGUUGCACUACUAGCGUCCUCGAUGUGGUGCGCUAGCGCGUCUAUAAAGUAAGACUCUUCCAUGGAAUUGUACUGCACAAGCCUUUAUUUAAAAAAUUGGGAGAAAGAAUGGCUGGUCAAUCUAUCUCCCCUGAGAGUUGCUUUUCGUCCGAUGAUUUCUCACUUAGGAAUAAAUGGAGUAAGGGCGCAAUCGAAUGGCCUGAUUGAAAGGAAAGGAGGGGAACGUGUUACAUACUUGGAAGGAGAAGGAGAAACUCCCGGUUAGAUUUGAAAAUGAAUAUUUUAUCCAUAAAGAUGAAGAUAACUUUCUUGGAGCUCCGCUUAUUCCUCCUCCUAAAAAUAAGGUACUUGCCAGAAAUCUCUGGUUAGGUCGGUACAAUAAAAAGAGACGGCACUUUUGGGGCUAACUUACAGUUAGAGCUGGAAAAAUGAGUCAUAAACCCAUAUUAUAACCAGUUUUUAGUUAAAUGGGUCAUAUAUAGGUCAAGUGAAAGUUAAAUAUGGGUCAAAAAUGGGUUUGAGAAAGUAAAGCACAAAAAAAAAAAGGGGUCUAAAUGGGUUAUAAGUAAUAACCCACUUUGAACCCAUGGGCCAUGGCCUUCUUUAAUUUUAUAAAAUGUUUUUUUUAAUAAAAAAUCGAAAUUAUAAUUAUUUUUUAUAUUUCAAUAUUAUUUUUUUAUUUUUAUUUUUUCUUUCUUUUUCUUCAUUCCUUAGCCGAUGGUCAGCAAGGCGAUGGCCGGCCGCCAACCGGCGACAGGCCAGGCGAGGCUCGAGCUCGCUCGGCGAGCUGAGCCUCCCCCGACGCUGGUGAGCUCGAGACUCGCUGGAUCUGGCGAGAUCGAGCUCGCCAAUGUCAAGCAAGGCCAAGCCUUGCCGAAUAUGGCAAGAUCGAGCUCGCCAGCGUCGAGCAAGGCUCGACCUCUCCAAUCUACAGGGCCAAGGCCCCGCCCGACGCCGAUGAGCUCGAGUCUCGCCACAUAGGACGAGGCUCAGCCUCGCUAGCAUCGGGCGAGGCUCGAGCCUUGCCAGAUAUGGAGAGACUCGAGCUCGCUGGCGUUAGGCAGGGCCUCGACCUCGCCAGAUCGGCGAGGUCGAGCCUCGCCCGACGACUAGCGAGACUCGAGCCCUACCCGACGCCGGCGAGCUCAAUCUUGCCUACGACGGCCGGCGGCCUGCCGAAGAAAAAGAAAAUAGAAAAGAAAAAAUAAUUAUUAAAAAAUAAAAAUUAUAUUUUAAAAAAUAAAAAUUCGAUUUUUUUAAAAAUAUUUUAUAAAGAAUUAUAAAAAAUUUCCAUUAAAUUUGCAUUGCAUAAGUAUUGUUAAAACAUUUUUAUGUAUUAUAAAAAUUUUCCAUUAAAUUUGUAUUGCAUAAAAAUUGUUAAAAAAAUUUGUAUUCAUAAAAAUGUUUUAACAAUACUUUUUUUUUUAUAAAAAAAUCAUAAAAAUGAGCUUUUUUAGAUUUAGUUAAAAAAAACUUUAAUGUUAUAGUUUUUAGUUAUUCAAUGGUAUGUUCACAAUUUUUGGUUAUUCAAUGGUAUGUUCACUUCAAAUAAGAGAAGCAUGUGCAUAGUCUAAUUUUUUUAUAAAUAUUUCAAUUUAUAGGUUUUUUUUAACUUUUUUUGUUUUAUUUACUAUUUUUAAUUUAAUUUAAAGUUUCAAUCCAAUUAGCAUAUAGUAGAAAUGGGUUUUUCUAAAAUAUUAAUAGGUUUUAGCAAUACGGAUCGGGUCGAAUAUAGGUCGGGUAUGGGUCGGGUACGAGUCACUAGAUUUACACUGCAAGAAUAUGGAUCAAAACGGAUUAAAUGGGUCAAAUAUGGAUCGACCCAUUUCGACCCAACCCACCCAUUUGCCACUCUUACUAGUAUAGACUUAACUCCCUUAAAGAUCCUUUAUUGCAUGAUUUCUAUAUAUCUCUUUUCAUUAUCGGCUGCAUUCUAUCAUAGAAACAACAACGUGAGAUUCAAUCAAAAGUACUUAGCAUGCAUUCGCUUCAAUGAUAAAGCAAAUAAGCAAGAAAAAUCUUAUUCUAUUUUCAUAUGCAAUUUAGAAAAGAAUCUAGUAAGCUCGUCUCUUAUAUAAAAUAUAGAAUCUUUGAUGAUAUUUUCAAUAUCUAUCAUUUCAAAGGCAUACAAAUUGAAUCCUCAAUUCAUGUUUAUUAAAGUACGAAGCACAUUUAUCAUUCAAUUGUUAACUUAUGUCAUCAAUAAGUUCUUGUUCCAAUUUUCGGUAUUAAAGUUACUGAUCACAUAUGUUGCAUUCAGAGUUUUCAAUAAUUCAUACACAUAUCCAUAAUCGUAUGCAUACAAAUAUAGAUAUAUAAGAGAUAAGUAAAGAAAGACAAUUAAUUUUAAAUGCGCACCUUGAAUUGCUCCCUCACGACUUGGAUGUUGGUUUUGUGCAGAUCAAGCCCAACCAACUUCUUUGGACAAGAGGAAAAUUCGGGAAACCAAGGACAUUCAGGCCAUUCAAACCAUCUCCGUUCAUUAGGAAGACAGAUAGGACCUUGGAAAGAGUUAUGCACAUUAAUCAUGAUGAGCAACCUCAAUCUUCUCAUGUUUUUGAAAGCAUUGGGACCUAUGUCUAUUGCUUCCGUCUUGGGUAAACCCAAAACUAUGGCUUUUACUGCAUUUGUUCCCUGCAUUUAUAGAACUUGCAUUGCAAUUAGUAUACAAAGUCAGAGAAGAAGAGAGUAAAAUCAGUGUUUAAACCACCAAAACUUACCAUAUCCCCCGAUAGAACAUCAUGAACAUCUUCACAAAGCCAUAACCUGCUGCGUCUUCCAGGAUCAUCGCGACAUUCUUGUUUAACAAUAUCCAUGCCCAUCAACUGAAUCAAGUCAUGCAUUUGUAUUGUCUCCCUCUCUUUCGUUAUUAAGGACUUCUCAACAAGAACUUGUACUCCAAUAGUUGUGUCAAAGUCGCAACUGUUAAGGACUUUCAUGAUGUACUCUAUAGAUCGCCCCUUGAAGAAACAUGCAAUAUCAAGGAAUAUCUCCUUUGCAUAGUCCUCUAGUCCAUCAUAACUUAACUUGAGAACAUCAUUGAUGGUUUUGUCAAGACUUUUAACAAGUUUAUUCAAUGCGCUUUCCCACUCUUGCUCUCUUCUACCGCGUAGGAAAGAGCCCAAUACCUCAAGUGCUAAAGGAAGUCCAUUAGCAUAAUGCAAAGCACUAUCCACAAGAUCCCUCCUUAUUAGUAUUUCCUUACUUCUAAGAAAAGCAUGUUUGUUGAAAAGUUCAAGAGCUUCCCAAUCCACUAGAGUUUUUACUUCAUAGAUAUGAUCUUCACCCAUCUCAUGAAGAGUUAAUAGAUGAUUAUCUCUUGUUGUGAUGAUCAUUCUGCUUCCUUUACCAAACCAUUCACGCUCUCCAGCUAAAGCAUUUAAUCGUUUUACGUCAUUCACAUCGUCAAGAACAAUGAGGAUUCUUUUUCGGCAAAGUCUAUGUUGCAUCAAAUUAAUACCUCCAUCAACACUAGACACUGUUAAUUCUUUUCCCACUAAUAUCUCAGACAACAAUUUUUCUUGCAAAUGAACUAAAUCCUUGGAAUCUUUUGAAGUUUCACGAACGUUUGCCAAAAAACAUGAAGCCUCAAAUCCUCUGAAUAUAUCAUUGUAAAGGGCUUUGGCUAAUGUUGUUUUUCCUAUGCCUCCUUGUCCCCAUAAUCCUAUCAUGAGAACAUCAUCACGAGACUCAAGAUUUAACAUUGAUUUUAGCUUUACCACUUGUCGAGGUAUUCCAACCGGAUGCUUGGCAACGUGUAACGGUGUUCGGUCUAGCUGCAUAGAGAUCUCCUGCACAAUUCUCUUGAUAAGAUCCGCUUCCGCUUCAUCUCUGACAAAAUACGGAAAGGUACUAGAUACAUCAAUUUCCAAAGAUAAUUAACUUUCGUGGAAAAAGAAGAAGAGAUUCAGCAUAUAAAAAAGAAAAAACAAAGCAGUGUCACAUCAAUCACUACUUAGUACUUACUUAUCCUUGAAUUCCCACCCAGACAAGCUACCCGCAUCAAGGAGAGCCUUCUCCCAUCUCUUCACUUUCUCUGAAUCUCUCCCAAACUUGUUCUCAUGCUUAACCAUAGCUUCUCGGUAGUUCCCUCUUGGCGUUCUCACUUCUCUAGGAUCCACUUUGUAAAACACCGGAAAUACCGUGAGUCCUCUUUUCUCCUUGCACUCCAUGAUUUUCUCCACCUCUUCCAAACACCACGGUGAGGAAGCAUAGUCCUUGGAGAAAAUGAUGAUCGCGAUACAUGACUCCUCAAUUGCCUUCAUAAGCGCCGGCUUUAUACAGUCGCCUUUCCGAAGCUCCUCACUAUCAACAUAACUGUAAAUUCCUUUUUGGGCAAGCACUGUGUAGAAAUGACUGAGGAAGCUUUUUCGAACGUCCGUACCUCUGAAACUCAGGAAGAUGUCAUAAUUCCCUUUCAGAUCUGAAGAAGCAGCCAUUAGAGGAGAUGAAGUUUGAUGUGCUUCCUCAGAAUGCUUAGUGUCUGGUCGGGUUGCAGCUCUAUCUCUCAUAUGGAUAUCACCUUGUACUAAUAAAGAAACAGAAACAAAAACCAGAUCAUUUCUGAUGCUCUGAGUCGAUAAGCAUAUACUCCACCAACUAAUUUAACAGAAAGCAGCAUUUUGCAUAAGGUGCACGGAACCAUCCUAUAUAGGUGCUUCUUGACUUGACUUGCCUUUUCCAUUAAUAAAGAAAUAGAAAAGAAAACUAGCAACACUCCCAUGUUCCUGGUGCUAAUAUACAUGAGUCAAUCGCAAAACACCGCCUGUUGGAAUAUUAUUUAUAAUGAACAAUUUGACUUUUUUCUUUCAAAAGGGAUUCUACAAAAGCAAAUCCCAAAAUAAAUUUUUUUUCCAUACCAUGUCCUGCAUUGAACGGAACAAAUUCGAAUAUGUUCAGGCAUUUCUUCAAACACGUAGUGGGCAGCGAGUUGGACAGAGAAUAUGGACCUAUUCGGAGCUUGAGCUCACACUUAAACUCAAGAGAAAUCAGCGAGCAACGUUCAAACUUAGGAAAAACCGACUCAUUCAGAUCCGACGCGAGUGAGGACUAAAGAAAUCGAGCUUGCUUUGCUCUUUUAAAAUCAAGCAGGACGAGGCAAAAAAAUAAAAAAUAAAAAGAAGGAACGAGCAAUACACAGUGCCNNNNNNNNNNNNNNNNNNNNNNNNNNNNNNNNNNNNNNNNNNNNNNNNNNNNNNNNNNNNNNNNNNNNNNNNNNNNNNNNNNNNNNNNNNNNNNNNNNNNUCGCGAAGCCCUGCUUUUUUUUUUUUUUUUUUCCUUUUAAUGGGAAAUUGUCUCUUUUGAGAGAGAGCGUGAGGGAUCCCCAGAAAGUCGAAGAAGUGGCUACUAGAGGAGAUGAAGGUCGAUGUGCUUCCGCAGAAUGCUUACUGUCUGGUUGGGUUGCAGCUUUAUCUCUCUUGUGUAUGGGCUCGUUUAGUUCGGUUUUUGGAAAUGCCCCCCCCCCCCCCUCAAUACCUUUGAAGUUAAAAGGUUUUUCAAAAUGCUAAACUGUUUAGUAAACUAUAACAGAAAAACGCUUUAGGGAAAUGCAAUACUGUUUGGUAAAUAUAUAUUUAAAAAACCUUUUAGUGUGACCAAAUUAUAUUUUUAGUUUUAGUAUUUUUAAAAUUACAAAAAAAUAAUAAUUAUAUAAUAUUUUAUAUUUUUAUAUUGAGAAUAAUGUAAAAGAUAUAUAUUAGUAAAUUUAAUUAAAAAUUAUAUUAAAAGAAAUUAAUUAUAGAUUAAAUGCAAAGCUCAACUUUUGGCUUAGGAUUCUUUUAGGUUUGUUUUCAACUUUGAAUAAUUUUUUGUAAUUAUUGUAGUAUUAAUCAUCUUCGUUAAUUAAUGAUAAUUCUAGUGUAUUGAUAAAAAGUUGGGCUAUUAAUUGUCAAAAAAUAAAAAUGACAAAAAAAAGGUGAACCUAACAUUUGCAAAGGGUUUUUAUUAUUUUUAAAAAAAUAAAAAUAAAAUCCUAUAAAACUUCGUCACUGAUCAAUAGCGAUUGGGGUGUGAAGAAGAUGAUUGGUUUAAAAAACAAAGAAGAAGAAGUCAAUGGAUAAAUAGUAGAUGUGGACUUGCAUUUCCGAAAUGCUGAAAGCCCAAAGCAGGUCUCCACUUACUUUGAGCUUUCAGCAUUUUAAAGGCCAGCAUUUAGUUAAGGACACCUCAAAAUACUGAACCAAACACCUAAAUUUUUUCUUAAUGGGCUUUCGAGGCUAAAUGUCUCUUGGGAAUGCUAAACUAAACGAGGCCUAUAUCACUUUGCUCUUUUUGACCCAGACUUUCUCGAAUCACGCAGCAGUGCUAAUGAAAGAAAGCUAUAGAAAAGAAAGUAAAGGUGCAUUAUUGCAUGCGUAAUUUCCUCUGAAGGUGCAUAAAAUUUACGCGUGUCCUUUCUUUCUUUUCCUUUGUUGACUUGACUUGUUUUUUCUACUAGUAAAUAAAUAGAAACGAAAACCAACGAACAAUUCUAAUGCUCCGAGUCAGUAAAGCAUACUCUCAAUCGAUUAAUUUAAUAAAAAUCAGAUAGUAAUAGAAAAUAAAAUAAAAGGACAAUCAAGGCACACGUAACAUCCGUGGGAGGUGCAUAAAAUUUAUGUCGUAUCCUUAUUUUUUUUUUCUUUUUGUUUUCCUUUCUUGUCUUGACUUUCUUUCUCUACUAAUAAAAAAUUAGAAACGAAAAUCAAUCGAUAAUUCUAAUGGUUGCAUAUUCUCGACCGAACUAAUUUAAUAAAAAGCAUAUAGCGAUAGAAAAGAAAAUGAAAGGACAAUCAAUGCAUGUGUAAUUUCCAUAGCAUUUUGUAGAAGGAGCAUGUAACCCGGUUCUUGACUUGACUUGCAUUUUUCAUUAAUAAAAGAAAUAGAAAAGAAAACUAACAAUACUCCCCUGCCCUUAGGUCCUCGGCAUGACCUUAAACUGCAGCGCUCCGGGGGGGACAACCCCGAUAGCAAGGCCCCUAAGCACGGGUCGGUGCCUCACCCCCGCGCUUCCGUGGGAACCUCGGCGCACAAGGGGGUACUAGCAGCUCCCACGCUAGGAAAAAUAUAGUGGCUGGGAUGAAUAUCCCGUAAGACCCCGAGGGAGACAACCCCAAUAACAAGGCCCCUGGGCAUGGGUCGGUGCCUCCCCCCCGCGCUUCCGCGGGAACCCUGGCGCACAAGGGGGUACAAGCAGCUCCCACGCCUGGAAAAAUAUUGUGGCUGGGCUAACCGUUCGUAAGAUUCAGGACCUGAGCAGGUCCUUAAACUGCUCACGGAGGAAACAGGUGGGAGAACCACCUAGGGAUGGGAGACCCCAUGCUGUCCUCCUAUUUCCUCCCCUUAAGGAAGAAAAGAAUCCAAGGGGAAUUAGGGGGGUCGUAGGUGGUGAGUGUAAACACCACGUCUGGGAAACCAGCCUACGACUGGACUGGCUUGGGGUAACCAACCCCCGACCCUCGCCCGACGUGAUACGGCGUAGGUGCAAUGCCUACAGGACUCUGGACGCCCCUUCGGGGACGGUUCCUCAACCAACCGUUCCAGGGUCUUCCCCCGGUUGAGGAACCGUCCCCUGCCCUUGGCGUGCACACAUAAUUUCCAUUUCCACAGCAUUUUGUAUAGGUUGCAGAGAACUUGCUCCUUGACCUGACUUGCAUUUUCCAUUAAUAAAAGAAAUAGAAAAGAAAACUAGCAAUACUCCCAUGCCCUUAGCGUCAAUAUACAAGGGUCAAUCGCAAAAACAUAGCCCAUUGGAUUAUUAUUUAUAAUGAACGAUUUGACCUAAUUUUUCUCUCGGAAGGGAUUCUAGACAUGCAAACCCUAAAAUAAGUUUCCCCAACUUUUCCCCCACUUUUCAAACUAAAUUUCUCCCUAUCAUAUCUUGCCUAAAGAUUAUCAAGUCAUCACCCCCUUAGCCAAGUCACUUUGAUCUCACUCCUUAAUUAAUUUUGUUUUCUACAUAUUAUAUUUAUUUUAUAUUUUUAAUGUCAUAUUUAGAAUUUCUCAGCUAAUGGAUUAUCCACGAUUGAAUAACUAUUUAGGGAAUACUUUUUUCCAUUUUUAUUUCAUUUUUGUUGAACCUUUUAUUCUAUGUUAACACUCUUUUUUCCUAACUUCUUAGUAAAGAUAAUCACUUAUUCAUUUGAAGGUGCUUGUCAUUAGUGAUAAGAUGUUGUGAACCAACUAUAUUACGAUAUCGGCUUUAUCUUUCGGUAAAAGCUGGAGCCUUAAGAUUUUGAACAGCAAUGACGUAUAGAGGAUUCGUGGAAUGGGAGCUUUUGCUUUGAUGUCUCAAUUAUAUUAUUUAGUGCAUGUACAACUGCCUUUCGGCGACGUUCUCAUGCAAGAGCUUUUGGACACUUCUUGCCGAUAAAAGGAUUGCGAAAGGUUGAGAUUUGUAUUUUGCAUGGGUUAUAGUAUGACUGAUGGAUGAUUUUGAGAGAACUUGUAAUCUAGGAGUGAUUUUGAGUGUUUUUUUCCUCCUUUCAUAUCAAAUGAGAAAUACUCAAUCCUUUUAUAUAUAGUUUGUGCACUCUCUCUUGGCUUGAAUUACUAAAUUCAUCUAGAACUAUCACGGUAUUUUGGUACUCUGUGGAGGGCUUUAUGCAGAGUUGACAUGUGGCUCAUUUGAUGGUUUCCACCUCCCUUUCGUUUGCUUUAAUCUAUUCAUCCUUCUUUUUCUCUUCAUUUCCAAGAAGAACUUAUUAACAAUAAAGAGUACUUUGUCCAAACGUGGAUGAUGUGUACCAAGGCACCGUGGCACGGGGAACAACAGGCAAAUGUCGCGAGCGUGAUUUUGGUGGCUAAAAUUCGCAUGAUUAUUUGGUAUGCUUUUCAUGAUUUGCUUACUAGAGAUAUAUUAGUAUACAAUGGGAAUGAAGAUAUCCAAAUUCAGAGUGCAGGCCUAUUAGUUAACUUGAGAGAAUAGCUUUGACAUGCAAAUUAUUUUAAAUAUUUUUCACAAGAUGUAUUGUUUAUGCAAGUAUGAAGAUAAUAGUGCUGAUUUGAGAAAUGUGUUUUGAUUUGAGUAGGUCUUCACCAAUAAUUGGUACGUUGUAUUUUUCUUUAUGCACUAGACAUUCUAGUUACAAAUUGGAUAAGUAUUACCUUUUCCUUUCAUUGCUGGGGCAUGAAAAUAGACCAAGCCUUUUAUUUAGUUGAAAGUGACGCGAUUGGUUCAAUGUAUAAAUUCAAAGAAAGUAGAAAAUUUCUACAAGAACACCUGUAAAUGAUUUCUUGGUACACCAAUAGCUUAGUUUUUGAUAUUUUGGAGAAGGAUCUUCCACUCGAGUAGGGCCCAUUUCAUUGGACACUUAGCGAUGAUAAUCCCAGACAAAUCAAAGUGCAAGUCCUUUUCAAAAACAUUAGAUAAUUUGGAUGAGAGAUCCUAAGAAAGAUUUUGUCUAAGUGUUCCAUACAAAUUAUUUAGUCCAAAAGAGGAUUUCCGUGUUAAUCAAGCGCACUAAUUACGCCAAUCAUUAUGAAUUUAAUGUGAUUUGACAUAUCUCUUAUUGUCUUUUUUGCUUAGUCAAAAGCGCAGGGGAACAUUUGCUCAUCACUUUCAUGGUAGCUUCACUUCUUGCGACUUUACUCUGGAAAGAAAAAUGAUCAAAGUUGAUUUUGAUGCUUAUAUCCGGAGUAAAUCCAAGGACAGAGUAAGUCCAGUGACAGAUUUCCAUUGCAUUUCUAUUACAAAAAUGUUCAUAUUCCAACCCUUGAAAAUAUCACAUGCUCAUGAGCCAAUGAACAUUCGAACAACUGACGAGCUCAAAGAUUUAUUUCAUAUUAAUGUAGUUACUUCAAGCUAUUAUUAAAGUAAUACCUACUCUAGGCUCUCUUUAAAAAAAACAACCUCAUUCAAGCUGUUAUUUGGAAUUUUCAUUAGUUUUGAAAGAUGCCUUGUGUUUCGAACUAAGAUGAAUUAUAAAGCUGCAAGCCUACAAUAAGCCAUGAUUUUAUUGAAUUUUUUUAUCCAAAUUCUUUGGCUAACUUUCUGAAAAUAAGCCCCAAUGCCAGUGUCACUUCUUCGGCCCCAAUAUAAUCAACUCGGCCUAUUUCAUUUUCAGGACUUCAUCUACUUCGCCAGUUCACCAGUUCGAACUGCAUGACCACAAUUUGUUCGCUCGCAUGUGCUUAAAAGUCAUUAGUCGCUAGAACUAACUUCACAAGCCACACUAGCAAUCACCUGUCAGCCCAAUUUCCUUCAAUUUGGUAUUGACAUUUCCAAAUUGCGAAAUUGCUUUUUUCAAAUCAUUAAAUUAUUUUCUUUAGUGGAAAAUCCUGAGCAUAAGUGAUAAACAAGUUAAAUAUUAUUCGUGUUGACAUUAAGUGCCAUUUAAAAUGAGAUGUCGCAAAAAUGGGAACCAAAUGAGUCCCCAAACAUUACUUUGAAUGAUUUUACUUUAGAGUAACGUUUACUUAUUAACCUAUUUUUACUUGUAUAGGCACAUACCUGGACCUCGAUUUGAUAUGAAAUCGAACUAUGUAAUACGUGCAUGGACUUUCUGACAUCAUACUUCGACCGCGAUUCAUAUUUGAUGAAAUCGAGUUGUGUAAUACGUGCAUUGACUUUCUGACAUCAUAGGACCUUGAUCCAUAUUUGCAUUAACUCGGUCCUCAUGACAUCUUUUUUGCUCCUUUUCUUUGUUUCUUUGUUUUUUUUGGGCUUAGACACGGGCUGAACACCAGUCUCACAUAUAAGAUCUAUGGGCACAGGUGAUCAGGUUUAUUGCCUUAAGAGGCUUCGAUCAAAAAUUCAAACUUGUCUCAAUUCCUCUCAUGCUAAAUCCACAAUUAUUUCUCUUGUUUUUAAUUCUUCUUCUUCUUCUUUUUUAUCAUCUUCUUCCCUAUCAUCUUCCUUAUGCAUAUCUCGAAAAGCUCUGCUCUACUAAAUAAACAAACUCAACCUCAUCAGCGAUCGACGUAUUUGAGCAUUGAAUGGAACGUCACCGUUGUCUGGCUUCGGUAUCCUGGAGCACCACCAUCCUCUCUCUCUCUCCAUGUUGCCUACUCCUCCUAUUCCCACGGUAAUCGCAGCUCUACUCCUCCUCAUCGUUCUUCGCACAAGCAAUGUCUCCUUCCACAUUGACCGCAGCUUCACCACCAAGUCCACCGAUGCCUUCAACACCACCUGGUUGUUCGAACGCACACUGCCAUGGAGGACAAAAUGCACUGAAUAGGCAACUUUGGAAAUCUGGAUAAUGCAUUGCAACCAUUUGCUUCAAAGGUACAAAUGUUUGGUGGAAGCUCUAGGAUCUCCAAUAGUUGUUUACAAUCAUCUAAUUUGAGGACCAUCAACUCAAACUUGCUAAUGCAUGUAGGAAGACUAACAAAAUUAUUUUUUGAGAGAUGCAAAAAAAGUAAAGGACAACACAUGUCAACUGUUCACUUUCCUCUCCAUUUGGGCGAUUCUGGCACUAUUCACUCCAGCUGGUUUUUUGUGGAUUCUGGUUGAUUCCGCUGGUAUCUGGAGCUGAUUUUUCGUGGGCUAGGUCAUCUGGGGACCGCCUACAAACCCCAGGUAAGCUUGGCUUGGUUGGUUUUCGUUUAUCAAGAUGGGAGCUCUCGAUCAGAAUUUCUGGUGCGCCUAGCUUUUCCCGAUUCUGGUCUCUGUCUUCGUGGGUGGCUUUGACUGAUUGGUGUGCUAAUUGCUGGUGGAUCUCCUUGUCCUUGAAGGCCCUUCAGCCCCUACAAACACCUGGUAUGGCCUGAUUGCUCUCCUUGAUUUAUUCUGGGGUUUGGGCCGGUGCUGUGUUGGGGUACUGUGCUGUUUCGUAAUGGCAUCCUCUUCGAAUCUCCUAAGUCAGUUGGGCCGUCCAAAUGAGGAGUCCCAAGCGGGCUCUAGGCGUGGUAGGAGCCGCCUUAGAUCUACUUCUCGUGGCCCUAGAGUGGCUCGUCCUGCUGGACAAAAAUGGAGUGAGCAGAAAGCCCCUCCAACCCGUUCAUGGGUUAAUGUUGCUAGGCUCUCGGCAAAGGGAUAUGAACUUAGCUUCGUGCCUCCAACUUCUGUUGGAAAAAGAGGAGUGGUGCAUGCGGCAGAUCCAAAAUAGAAUCAUUGUUUGAUGGGGUAUUUCAUUGGCAAGAAUGUGCCGUUCAAAAUGACUGAGUCAGUCCUUAAGGAGACGUGGGGCUCCCAUUUAACUGAAAUGCUUGCUGAUGAUGAAGGAUUUUAUUUCUUCUUUAUUCCUGACCCUGAUUACCACAGGAAGAUUCUUGAGGAAGGUCCAUUGACGGUGAAUAGAGUGCCACUUAUUCUGAAACAAUGGGAUCCCACUCUUGAGCUGAGGAAGGACUUGCAAUCCUCUGUGCCCGUUUGGAUCCGUAUGAAAAACAUACAUUUUGCUUAUUGGUCUGCUCUUGGGAUAAGCCAGAUAGCGAGUGCAGUCGGUAGACCCUUAUAUGUGGACCCAUUGACUGAAAAAAUGAAACGUUUGUCUUUUGCAAGAGUAUGUGUCGAAGUGUCGGCUAAGUUAGAGAAAUUUGAAUCUGUGGAGGUAUUUCUGAAUGGGGAGUCCUUCAUUGUUCCUAUCUUGUACGAAUGGAUACCCAUUGCGUGUCCGAAAUGCCAGGUCUUUGGCCAUAACUGUGAGGAGAAAGAAGUUCCAGCACCCGUAGCAGAUAAGUCCCAUGAUGAUGUUGCUGAGGAAGCUCGAGAUGCUGUUGUGCCUACGGUGCCCCCCUCGAUUCCUCCCGCCCAGCCUCGUAAGGUGUCUUAUGCUGACCAGCAGGAUGGCUGGAAGCAGGUAACUCGGAAGAAGAGGCAACCGUCAGGGUCUAAUGGGAAGGACUCUUCGACUCCUAUCUCUUCUUUGAAGUUUAUGGAUAAAUCAGAUUCUUCUCAAGCUUUAAGCAAGUCUGCCUAGAAAAAUAAAGGUGCUUUGAUUCCCAGCCCUACCGGACCUCCUUCCACGAUGAUUCCUGUUGAGCCGAUCCCAGAAUCUGCUUAUAUUGGGUCUGGCUCUACUGUUGAAGAAUCUGAGAAUGCGGCUAGUGCAGUAAGUAGCAGCUCAGAUGAGGAACCUGAUGGUCCUAGUGAAUUGGUUACAAAUGUUAAGCAUUCUGUUGUUUCUGAGGAAGCCCCUGCUAAAAGGAACUCGCCCAAGACUCCGUCUGUCCUAAAGUUGGCCGCCCCUCCUACCCCAGCGUUGGCUGCUCCUCCUGACCCUCCUCAAGGCACUAGCCGAAGGAGAUCACGUCGGUAACUUCUAUUCUCAUCGUAAUACAUUAUAUAGUUAUAUAUAGCUAUGUAUAUUGGAGUUUGGAAUAUUAGAGGACUUGGUAGCCAUCUCAAACAAGCUGAAAUCAGAAACUUUGUUAGAUCUCAUAAUCUAUGUUGUGUUGGUAUUGUGGAAACAAAGAUUUCCUAGGGUGCCUUUAGUGCGAUCUCUGCUGUUUUGUUGCCAGGCUGGAAGUGGGAAAACAACUAUAAUCAUUCCUCGAAAGGAAGAAUUUGGGUGGGGUGGAAUCCCCGUGAAGUCUUGUUUGUUACGAACUCUUCUUCGGAUCAAGCUAUUCAUGGAAAGUUAUCUUGCUUAAAUUCUGGUAAGGUUCUCUUCCUUACGGUGGUCUAUGCUGAGCAUAGUUUUGUGGCUAGACGUCCUCUUUGGGCUGACAUUAUUCAGACUAGCUCUCUCCUUUCGGGUUUCCCUUGGAUACUAGCAGGAGACUUUAAUGCAAUUCGUGACCCUUCGGAUAGAUUGGGUGGUUCUAAUGGUUGGAUCCCAGCUUUUGAUGAGCUGCGUGAGUGCCUCAUACAAGCUGGUCUUGACGAUCUCAGGUAUACCGGGAAUAGAUUUACUUGGGCUACUUCCAUGGGUGCCAACUGUAAGCAAAGAAAGAUUGAUCGUGUUCUCGUUAAUUCUUGUUGGACUGCUGAAUUUUCCUUUUCUGAGGCCUCUUUGUUGGCCUCUGGCAUUUCAGAUCAUUCUCCAAUGAUUAUUAAGAUUAUGCUUGCCCCUAAGUCUUGCAAGCCUUUCAAGUUCUUCAAUUUCUGGUUUUCUCAUCCGGAUUUUACUGAUGUGGUUUUGCAAGCUUGGAGUUCUCCCUUUGUGGGUUCUCCAAUGUUUAUUCUUUGCUCCAGGCUUCGGCUUCUCAAAUGUAAGUUGAAACAGAUCAACAAGGAGUCCUUCUCGGACUUGUCCUCUAGAACGGCUGAAGCAAGAUGUGCAUUGCUCCAAACCCAAUAUGCUCUUCAGAAUGACUAUUCGAAUAUUCAACUUGCUGAAUUGGAAAAACAACAGCUCCAAUCCUACUCGAAUUUGCGCCUUCAAGAGGAAUCAUUUUAUAGACAAAAGUCUCGGGUGCGGUGGUUGAAAGAAGGUGAUCUUAAUACUAAAUUUUUCCAUAACUCGGUAAACAAGAGACAACUUCACAAUAGAAUUAUCUCGCUCUCCGAUGGGAUUGUUUCUACCUCAAAUCCCUCUGAAGUUCAAAACCUGUUUGUUGACCACUUCCGGGAGUUAUUGGCCUUCUCUCCCCCUGCUGCGAGGCCUUCGGUGGAGGAAAUGCGUGCGGUGUUGAAGCACACCCUUGAUGCGGAUCAAGUUCGCUUUAUUUCUAGCCCCAUCUCGGAGACUGAAAUUAAAGAUACUCUAUUCUCUCUUGCGGUGGGUAAGGCCCCUGGCCCUGAUGGAUACAAUGUGGAAUUUUUUAAACAUUCUUGGGAGAUUGUUGGACCUUCUGUUAUUCUGGCAGUGAAAGAUUUCUUUGAGACGGGCAUAUUGUUGCGGGAAAUUAACACAACUAUUUUGGCCCUGGUCCCCAAAGUCCCGAAUGCUUCCAAUGUGAAUGAUUUUCGGCAAAUUGCUUGCUGUAACACAUUAUACAAGUGUAUUACCAAGCUUAUUGCUAAUCGGCUCUCUCAGGUGCUACCUUCUAUCAUUAGUCUACCUCAAAAUGCCUUUGUAAAAGGUAGACACAUCAGUGACAAUAUUUUACUUGCUCAGGAGCUGUUUUGUGGUUUUCACAAUGAUCCUUACCGGCCUAAAUGUAUUAUUAAAGUUGAUUUUAGGAAGGCCUACGAUACGGUGGAUUGGAGGUUUAUUGAAUUGUGUCUGCAGGCUUUCGGUUUCCCCCAGGAGUUCAUUGCCCGGGUUAUGAUUUGCAUUCGUACCCCCAAGUUCUCGGUUGCAAUUAAUGGGGAACUCCAUGGGUUCUUUUCAAGUGGGAGGGGUAUUCGUCAGGGUGAUCCCAUGUCGCCGUAUAUUUUUACUCUUGUGAUGGAAGUCUUUACAGGUAUUCUGGACAUUCAAACUUCACAUUCGGACUUUGGUUUUUUCUGGCGUUGCAAGCCCACCCGACUUUCUCAUCUUUUCUUUGCUGAUGAUGUACUACUCUUCGCUGAAGCUAACUUAUCGUCUAUUGAUCUUCUCAAGAAUGGUAUCGAGAAAUUUUCUAGCUAGAGUGGGCUGAUUCCGAAUCUUCGGAAGAGUGAAGUUUUCCUUUCUGGAGGCUCCUCUAACCUUCAUGAGGAUAUCCUCAAUAAGUUGGGCUAUCAGUUGGGCACCUUUCCUUUCCGCUAUCUAGGAGUACCGGUUAUUUCAGCUAGAUUAAGGAAAGCUGGCUGUGUCUCCUUGGUUAAUUCAAUCACGGCUCGUGUUCAAUCUUGGACCAAUAGAUUCCUCUCUUUUGCGGGGCGUCUUCAACUUAUAAGGUCGGUGCUUCAUUCUAUACAAGUCUUUUGGGCUAAUGUGUUCUUUCUGUCAUGUUCAGUUCUAAAUCGAAUUGAGCAAUUUUUCCGCCAAUUCUUGUGGAGAGGCCCCUGAGAUGGGUGCAAGUGGUGCUAAAGUCUCGUGGUGUAAUGUUUGCCUUCCCAAAAAUGAAGGGGGCUUAGGUAUUCGUACUCUAAGGGAGAACAACAUUGCGUCCAUGCUCAAACAUAUUGGAUUCUUUUCUCGGAUAAAGAAUCCCUGUGGUGUAAGUGGAUUCAUUCCAAUUUCUUGAAGCGGAAAAUUUUUUGGGUGGUUCCUUGCCCUACUCAUUGCUCUUGGGCUUGGAGGAAGUUAUUAGAUCUUCGUGAUCAAUUUCAGCAAUAUUUCAGAUGGAACAUUGGAAAUGGGAGGUCGGUCUCCUUUUUGGUUCGACCCUUGGCACCCAAAUGGUCCUUUAUACAAGAUCUUUUCUAAUCAGGAUAUUUAUCGCUCGGGUAUAUCCCGCUCUGCUUCAGUUGCUGAUGGUUUUGCUACUCCUAUGGGCUGGUAUAUCAUUAACAUCAUGGCUAAUUGGUGGAAUCCCCUUCCGGUAUUCAACCAAGAGGAGGAUCGGUUUCAAUGGCUUCCGCACCCAUCCGGUCGCUUCUCCAUUGCUUCUGCCUGGGAUUUGAUCCGUCCGAAGCAUAAUGUCAUCUCGUGGGCUUCUUUUGUUUGGAAUACUGCCUUGCCUCCAAGAUAUCAAACGCAUCUUUGGCUUAUUUCGCGCAAUCGGCUGCCGACUCAGGUUUUGCUCAUCUCUUAUGGUAGGAUCCCCCCUACAAAUUGCCCCCUUUGUUCAUGCAGACCUGAUUCUAUAGAUCAUUUGUUCUUUGCGUGCCGUGCUUCGGAUAGUCUUAUUUCAUUUUGGGUGGCAAGAUUCAACCUAGUGUGGCGAAACAAGCGUUGGGUGGAUAAUUUGGCCUGGGCUUCCAAGCGGUUUAUGGGGAAGAGUUUUUAUCAGAUCCUGGCUCGGUUUAGUUUUGGUGCAAUGUGUUAUAUCAUUUGGAAAGAGCGGAACAAUGUGCUUUUUCGGAAUCAGACUCUCUUUCUUCCAGCGAUGAAAAUGCAUCUUCAGAAGGCUAUCAAAGAUAAGGCUAUGACCUUUAAGCAUGUUCCCGAUGUGCCCAUGAAUAGAAGACUUCAACGAAGCUGGAACAUCCAUCCUUCUAUUUUUGAUUGAUGGAGGUUUUCUAGUUUUUGUUGUCUUUUGUUUCCUUUUGUUGUUGUUGCUCCUUUUUUCUGGGAACCAUGGCACCCCUACACUCGCUCUAGACUUUUGUCUUCUUGAGUGUCUGUUUUUGUUGGUGCCAGGCCUCCCUCUUGUCUUUUCUUGCAAAAUCUAUUUAUUACUUACCUUUACCAAAAAAAAAAAUAUUUAAAAAAGAGAAGCAAGCAAGACUCUGAAGGAAUCAGCCUGAGACAGAUUGCAGCCACUAAGCUUCAAGGAGACUAGAUUCGGAAAUCCACGUCUACCAUUAGGUAGAUUGGAGCUCUCACUGUUCUCUAUAAACAAGCCAAACUUUGAAGAAUUUUUUAGAGAAAGGUGCUCUAGACUUUGCAUCUCGCAAAUGCUACUAGGAAGACUGAUAAGACAAUUGCAUGAAUUCAGAAGAAAACCUUAACAUAGACUAGUUUUUCAGAUGACAUAGGAAGUUCUUUUAUAGAAGUCUGAGAUAAAUUAAGUUUUUUCAAGCUCUCCAUCUCAUCAAUAUCAGGACACUUAUCGGGUUUAGAGCAGCUAAUUACGUCAAGUGUUUGAAGGUAUUUUAGCUUCAGUUUUCUUGGAAGCUCCUUGAGAUUCGAGCACCAACUUAAGUUCAUUGUCUCCAAAUUUGGGACCUCUGAGAAGUCCGGAACACUAAUCAAUGACUUACAGCGGCUGAAAUUCAGGAACUUCAGAUUUCUGAAAUGCUACAAAUUGAAAAGAGCAGCUGAAUGAGAUUCUGAUCAAUUUCACUUUGUUAAAGGCACUUAAAAUGAAAACCAUCAAGGAAAGCUUGUAUCAGGUACGUUUAAGUUCCCGCCCAAUUCUUUAAUCUAGCUGUUAUGCACAUCACAAUAAACAAGUUUCUAUACCCCAGCACUAAACUUGAGAGUUCCAAAAGGAUAUUCAGUCCAUUCAAGCCACCGUAAAUCGUCAGGAAAACAUAUGGGACCUCUGCUGCUUUGUGCAUCCAGAACUAUGAGCAAUCUCGGUCUCCUCAUAUGGGUGAAAGCACUGGGACUGAUAUCUAGCUCUUCUUGUGUUGGCUAGUCCAGCACUAUGCCUUUAACAGCAUUGGUUCCCUAUUGAGGUAAAAAUAAUGAUCAUUAUUACCCAACCCAAUUAGGUUAUAGCAUGUAAAUUAAGGCAGAUAAGAUUAUCAAUGGUUUCAUACGAAGUUCUCACAGUAUUGUCCAACAAUACUUCAAAAACAUCAUCGUAGCACCAUAAUCUAGUCCGUUUCCCAGGAUCGUCUGGACACUCUUGUUUAAUGAUAUCCCUCCCAACCCAUCAGCUGAAUCAAGUCAUGUGUUUGUACUGUUCUCUGAUUCUCAAUGGUCAUUAAGGAUCUCUCUAUUAGCAUCUAAAUCUCAACUAAUGUCUUUAAACCACAACUAUCAAGAACUCUAGUUAUUUAAUCACUAUCCCUCCCCUUAAAGAAACAAGCAAUGUCAAGGAAAAUGUCCUCCUCAUCAUCCUCCGACGAAUCAAAACUUAUCUUCAUAACACUGUUUAUAUCUUUAUUAGGACUUUUAGCAAGUUUACCCAAUGUACUUUCCCAUUCCCCUCUGCUUCUGCCAAAUAAAAAAGGACCAAAGACCACAAUCGUUAAGGGAAGGCCAUUAGCAUAGCCCAAAAUACAUCUAUGAGAUCCCUGCUUAUGUCUUGUAUUUGGUUUUUUGGAAAAGCAUAUGAACUUAGAAGUUCAAAAGCUUCACCUUGAUCUAAUGCUUUAACUUCAUAUACCUGAUCUAUCUGGUGAGAAGUUAGUACAUGUUUAUCUCUAAUCGUAAUAAUGAUCCCACUACCUUUUCCAAACCAUUUACAUUCUCUAGCUAAUGCAUUUAACUGGUCCCCAUGAUCCACAUCAUCAAGCACAAGCAGAAUCUUCCUAUAGCAAAGUCUAUCUCAUAUCAGGUUAACGCCUCCAUCCACACUUAAGACCACUAAAUUUUCUUUCAACAAUAUCUCAGAUAAGAGUGUUUUUUGCAAAUGAACCAGGCCGUCAGGUCUACUGGAAGUUUCUCUAACAUUUGCAAGAAAGCUGCACUCAUCAAACUGACUAGUGAUACUGUCAUGGACAGCUUUAGCGAUGGAGGUCUUCCAUAUACCUCCUGCUUCCCUUAUUCCUAUCAUCCGAACCUCAUCCAGGCACGUACUUAGCAAUGAUAUAACUAUCUCUACCCGGCAGCCUACACCGAGCGGGAUGCUUGGCAACACUCAAGGGUACUUGUCCUACUAUAAUGGAGAUCUUUGUGAUGAUGCUCAAAACCUUGCUGUUGAUGUAGGCGUUGAUGCCGCUGUGAAGCAGAGUCCAGUGGAGGUCAGCGAGGAAGCCGUGGCAGACGUCCCCGCCUCUGAAGCUGAGGAAGAUGUCCAACGGCCAUUUUGCUUCGGAAGAAGAAGGAGAAGGAGAAGGAGAAGGAGAAGAAGACAUGGGAAGACAUAAUCGAAUGGUCCGUUUCUUUUAACUAUAUUCAGCUUUUAAUUUUGGAUAAUAACCACCCAAAAAAAAAAACCGACACGUUAAUUCCAAAUUUUUUUAUGAUAUCAAAAAUCUCCUCAAAACAAAGUACAUUUAUCAUCCUUUAAAAUGAUUUUUCCUUAUAUCCUCCUCUUUGAUCUUUACCGCUGCCAUUUCCGUCAUCAUUGCCACUAUCAUCAUCUUGCCAAACCCAAGAAGAAAACGAAGGAGGAAAUUUAAGAAAAGAAAAAAAGAAAACGAAAAAAAAUACAUACAGAGGAGAUUUCACAUGAUUUUGACUAGCGGUGGUUUAAUUUAUAAAUUUCCUCCCUAAGUAUUGGUUUUGUUGUAACUGUAGUUUGGGGCUCCUGUGAAGAGGUUAUUCUUUUUCCUUUUAUCUUUUUGAAAAGAAAUGCACUAAGCAUUUGCGCACACAACUUCUUGCAAUUGAUGAUAGACGUGUAAGGUCCAAAAUGCAAGGAUCAGAAUGCAAUCUAUUUGCUGUUGGAGAUGACCCAGAAAUUACUUAUGCUAGCUCUUCCAUUCCAAUUGAUGCAGAUUCUAGAUAAACAACUUUGACUAACAUUAUCUUGGUUAUUUUGGCAAAAAAACAUGUCAUAGNNNNNNNNNNNNNNNNNNNNNNNNNNNNNNNNNNNNNNNNNNNNNNNNNNNNNNNNNNNNNNNNNNNNNNNNNNNNNNNNNNNNNNNNNNNNNNNNNNNNNNNNNNNNNNNNNNNNNNNNNNNNNNNNNNNNNNNNNNNNNNNNNNNNNNNNNNNNNNNNNNNNNNNNNNNNNNNNNNNNNNNNNNNNNNNNUUUAAAUAAUGUUUUAAUAAAAUAAUUUUUGGAAAAUUUUUGUAAUUUUCUUUUUUUUUUCUUUUAUUUAUUGUUGUCCUCUUCUCCUUUACUUAGGGCCUUGCUGCCUUGCUUGCCCAAAUCAAGCGAGGUUGUUGCAACCCUCGCCUUGUUUGGGCGAGGGCCGCAGUGUCCUCGCUAGGCCAAAUCUGGUGAGGGUGUCAUGGCCCUUGCUAGAUCUAAGCGAGGGGCAGCGCACUUGCGCCCUAGCCAGCGUGGGUUGGCUGGUGACCCUCACCGAUCCUAAGGGAAGGAGAAGGGGAAGGGGAAUUUUUUUUUAAAAUAACAGAUAAAAGAGAAAAAAAAAUAAAAAGAUAAAAAUAAAAAGAAUUCAAAAAUUAUCUAAAAAGUGUCAUGUUAGUGUUGACCAGCUAAAAUUGGUAGGAUUGACUGAACCGACACAAAUGAAAAGGAUCUAGGACUGAAUUAAUAAAAAAAAGUUUAGGACUAAACUUGCAUAAUUAUAAUAAAUUUAUGACUUUUUUAAUAAUUUUCCCUCAUAACAUCAUUUAGACGAAUUAUAGUCUCCAAAGCUCUUAAGGGAUGGAUAAUUUGUAGACACGAUGAGCAUCUGUGAAGUUUUAGCAGUAGAUUUUCCAGUUCUCCCACAAUUUAAAUCCCGAAUUUUUCCUCAUUGUUUUUGGGGAAUUGCAUCGUGAGAUGCAGCUUGUCUAGUCCUCAAGAGUCACAACAAUCUUAUGGCUUCAUCAUUGCAUCCAUGAGGGAGAGGGGAGGAGGUCUAUAACUCGGGCUUCGCUCUAGAGCAAUUUAUGAGGUUACUCAUCAUUAUUUUUUUUGGCUUGCCUCAAACAUAAAUCCUUUUAUUCUCUAUUAGCAAAAACACAGUGCGGAUGUUAGUAUAAGGCUAUCCUUUGUCUUCAAAGACUGGUACCUUAUUAAGUGCCAAAUUGGGCUCCUAACGGGAAAGUCCAUGGGCCAUUCGGCAUUCGUCUCCAUCUUCUUCGCUGGCCAAUCCUCGCUCCGGUUCGAAUCGCCGCGACUCUCUGGCAUUCGAGCGCCGUCUCGCAGCGGCAAAUCUCUACCUCGCUCGAUCAUCUCCGGCGGCAUUGAUUGUCUUUUGGCUAAAUUCUUGGUCGGAGUGUUCGUCAGUGGUUGUUUGCAGAAUCAGAGUAGACGUGAAUGUGGGAUGCGUUGAUGAACAGGUCAAAAAGCAGGGGAAGCAAGCGGAUGACACGCAGUUCCGAGCUCAGCGUGAUGCUCUGAGCCUGAAAAUUGUCCAGAUGACUGCAGAAGGUAAUUGCUUUUUCGGGUCUGUGUUCCUUGUUAGAAAAAAAUCGCCGACUUGUUUUCAUGAUUUUUUUUUUUUUUUUGGAAUGUUGCCGGGAAUAGGUUUGUCUUGUAAAAUGACAGUAAUCCCCUCUGUUUUAGAAGGUGAAUGGUUUGCUCAUCGCAUUACCACUCUGUCGUCAGAACACAACACGCAUUGCAUUUUAUGGUACACCGGUUCUGGAAUACCAUCAUCGAUGUACUAGAAAUUCCUCUGCUGGGAAAACUAUUGCGUUUUCGUAUGAUUUAUCAUUCUGCCUGAGACACUGCAUCUGGAAACAUAUCUUGAAGAAGAGCUCUCUUUGUCGGGGCUUAGUCUCGAGGAUAUUAGAUUGACCCUUCUGAGAUCCAACUAAGUUACUUUGUAAAAUUUCAUGACUAUUGUACAACGUCCUAGCAAAAAAACCAUCUUCCUCAUUCCCGUUUUCAUUCCACGUAUUUGAAUUAUCCAUCCUCCAGGUAAUUUGCUGCCUUGUAUGGAGCUUUUGGUUAUAGAAAUGCCUUUGCUAUAGUUUAAUCAGGGCCCUUGCAGAUCAGUUGGAAGGCAAUGAAGAUGAACAUGGAAAGUACCGGAGUAUGGUUGUUCAGUACAUAUCAGUAUGUGGAGUGCUGAUUUCUCUUUUUCAAGUUGUAGAAAUUAUGUUUGUAAGAGUUUUUUUUUUUUUUUUUUACAUGGUGAUGUUGUCCUCAUUUGUAUUAGUGCUCAGCGACCCGAAUCAGAACUUUUAUUCAGUGCAUUUCGUUCUUGAACUUUUUUGUAAGUAUUGAUGGAUUUCUCACAUAUAUAGACACCAAAAUAGCAUGCCUUCGGAAGAAAAAAACAAGUUAAAGAGGGUAUUUUAUAUUGAAGCUUACAUUUCUGCUGCCAAUGGUUAUUUCUGAUGAUUUUCAGUUCACAGUCACAGUUGCAUAGAGCUAUACCAACACAAGGAUCACCUGAGCUAUUUGACAUUCUUAUUUUACUAGGGAGGAAAACCUGUUGAGUGUUAACUGUGAUUUGGAUGGUCUAUCUUGGCCUAAACUAACAGGUGUAGGAGGAAGCUGGACUCUGUAGUUAUCCACAUUGUUGUAGCCUACAGGAAUGUGUGAUUGCUACUUUAGGGUGGCAAUAUUAUGUAAAUCGACAUAUUCUUUGAAGGAGAUUAGACAAAAUUAAAAAUGAGAGAAUUGAUACUAACGUAAUCAACUUUUUAGCAUGCGUGGUAAAACUUUAAUGUUUGCAAUGGCACAAAUUGAUAGUUUUGUUUGUUUCAAGUUUCAACAGAAUCCUUUAUUUUCAUUGGUUUUUUCUCAAAGUGAUGUGUUAAGGAAAUAAAAUCCUUGUUUGAAGAAUGGACCUGAUAUGUGCAUCUAAGAUGGGAAUUGUUAAUGACAGAAAAAUCGUGAAAUGUUUGAACCAUUUAUUGAGGAUGAUGUGCCAUUCGAGGAGUAUUGCAAAACCAUGGACAAUGAUGGCACGUGGGCUGGUCAUAUGGAAUUGCAAGCAGCUUCUCUUGUUACACGGAGUAACAUUUGCAUUCAUCAAGUAAGACUGACAGUGAAGUUAUCAACCAUCACCUACAUGAAGUUUUGUUGGUUACGGUCUUUUCAGUCCUUCAGGGGGAACAGCCAGAAUAAAUAAGGAUGUAAUUAGACUCGUCAAUUGUUAGCCUUGCUACUGGGUUUGAAGUUUAGCUGUUUAAGCACGCAUCCUAGAAUUCGUGACCAUUGAAGAUCCCAUGAUUGUUGGUUUCCUGACUCAUUCUUCACUUAUUGAUAUAAUGGCUUUCUCCCCCAAUAUGGUCCUCCUUUAUCUGAGAAGUUAUUCCCCAUCAUUGUUUAGAUCAAAAGACCACUUAGGAGGUUGUUCUCAUAAUGGUUAUAGCUUGUUCUUUUCUGUCUGGUUAUAAUUUGUUACUCUUUAGACUGAAAAAUUGACUCAUCUGAAGCGCAAUGAUAUCUGGCAUGUCUAGCGAUGUCUAUUGUCGCAACAGCAUGUGGAAGGACCAUUGAUGGUGAUGUGCAAAAGAUUUUUUCAGAGAUAUAUUGCACCUUUUAGCACAAGGAGUUCUGACGGUUGCAUAUAAUCCUAAUUCAAAGAAGACUUAAUAUAUCGAACUUGUUACAACAAUGCUGGCUCAUUGAGUGUUCUAUAUGUCCUUGAUGAAUCUACACAGCACUAAUUAGUUUUGAUACAUGCCGUGCAUGCAAAUAUCUGUUCGUUGACACCAAAUUGAACAAUUUAUCUCACUCCUUACUGGAUGCAGAACAUGUCACCUCGGUGGUACAUAAGCAAUUUUGAUCAGCCUGGUGCUUGUAUGAUCCAUUUGUGAGUUUUCUGAAUCUAGAGACUGAUGUUCUUUGCUAAGGCAGUGCUCAAAUACUGGGAUGAGAUCUGUUUGUAUACACUUAAAUAAAUGACCUUUUCUUACAUUGUAUUUUCCCUCAGAAGAUUUGAACAUAAAACAAUGUUUUUAUUUUUUAAGGGAUUAUGAAAAGAUUAUAUAUUUCUCCUGGUCAAGCUUGUUUAUUUUUAAAAGGUUUUAAGUGUUUCGAGUUUCAUAAAUGUCAAAUUGCAAGAGUUGCAAGAUUUUUUUUUUUUUUAAACACGAAAAGCUAUAAGUACAAGUCGUCCAAAUAAACUGGCUCAUUACACGAAAGAAGGUACUGCAGCUUGUUCAGGGAGACUGCUGAUUUGUGAAACAAUUUUGGCAUGCAAGGACAACAUCUCAUAAGUUGCAGAUACGAGCGUAGUUGUGGUGUAGUUAGAUUUAACCAUGGAAGUUCUUUUGCUAGUUUGAGAGAUGUUAGUUGUGGUGUAGUUAGAUUUAACCAUGGAAGUUCUUCUGCUAGUUUGAGAGAUGUUUCGGUGUGGUCACAGGGGGAUAAAUUACUGGCUAAGCAUAUGUGGUAGGAGACCGAAAUGUCACUUUAGCUUUUGUUUCUUCAAUAAAUUAUUUUAUUGAAAUUCCCAUUUGUAAUCCUUCAAUGAAUGGCAUCCCUGGAUAUUCUAAGUUAAGAUGGAUUGGAUCUGUCUAGGUAGCCAUCUUGACUUUGGAUUGUCACGAGGAUCAUGAAAUUUAGUGGAUAUAGGAUAUUCCACACUUUACCAUCUUAGAUAAGUGUCAUCAUGCGAAACCAGUAAGCAUAAAAAAUGUGCGUUGUGCCAUUAUUGUUUUGUGGAUAGGGAAAGUCUUAUAUUCUUUUUGUACUGAUGGUGUUUCAUUAUUUGAACUUAUAUAUUUUGCUUUGCUUUAUUAGAUCUUAUCAUGAUGAGGAACAUUACAACCGUGUGAGGUUGAAAGAAGACACCAGAGAUGGGCCAGCUAGGCCAAUUACAAUCAAGGUUGCUACUGGAAUUUAAUUUUAGUUUACUAAGUUAGUAGGGAAGUUGGACAAAUUGUGAAUUUAAGUAUGUGAUUUGAUAAUUUCUUUUGCUGAAAGGCUGAUUCUAAUCUCUCAUCGUCCUCUUGCCAAGCAAUAGCUGGGUCAAACAAAUCUAAAUCAGGAGCUGGUAAGGAUAUUACUGAUGCAGGAUUCAUCAAGCUAGUCACGGCUGGAAGUGGUUGUGAGAAUAUUGAGAAAGUUGAGCAGGUUAUGUCCUCUCUUCUUCUGCUUGCUUGUUUGCAUUAAAUGUUUACCUCUCAUUUUCUUGGUGAAUCUAGAAUUAGAAUGCAGUGUUUUGAACCUUUUUCUGAUUUCUGUAUAACAUGUGAUACAUUUACAGACAUUGCUGCAAAUGGAUGGGGAUGUUGAUUCCGCCAUAGAGUAUCUGAUAGCAGAACAAGGCAUUGAAGAUUUUGCAGAGGAAACUGUCCGGUCUCCCUGCAACACAGAUGCUUCUCAUGGUAAUGGCUGGUCGGUAUUUAUCUCUCUAGGUUUUCUUUAAUAAUUUAAUUUUGCAGUUUCAGAGAUACUGUGUUAAGCUUCAUAAGAAGCUUUGUUGCAGUCAUUUUGAUGUAACUGGUAGGAUUAGCAUACUUUAUCUUGUCAUCCAUGGAUUUUUGGGGUAGUCAAACAUGCUAUAACCAAAACUAUUUCAUAAUUCUGUUGUAUUUAGGUGAUGAUGCCUAUGGAAAUUCUGAGGAACAGAGAAAGGAACCUGUGGAAGAGACCUAUAAAGAGAAUCCCCCUGGCAGUAGUGCUAAACGGACUCAUGAUGGUGGCAGUGCCCAGCGAGAAGACAAGGUUUCCACAAACGAUGAUUAUUUUAUGUCUUUUACCAUAUUGGUUUAAGCUCAAACAUGAGAACUAUCAGCGAUGCGCCUCUUCAUUUAUAUUUGCUUUUUUUUUUUUGGAAAUGCAGAAUAUCCCAAGAAAUGAGGCUUGUCCAUGUGGUUCAAAAAAGAAAUACAGGUCCUGUUGCGGGUCGGGGACAGGGAAAAUCUCUGCAAUUUCCAAGUAUUUCUCAUUCUUUCUGUGCUUUAUAUGUCAAGUGAUAGUUUAAGCUUGUCUUUUGUUGGAAGUAUUUUUUCUGUUUCCCAGUGAUUGGAGUAGAUACUUAUCUUGAAAGUUUAUGGCUUAUGUAUCCAACAUGGUAUCAAUUACCUUCCUUAAAUUCAAGUCUGGAACAUUUUGUCACCCCUGUGCUUUGUUGAAUAAUGUGUACACUUUGGAAAAAAGUUCAGACAUGAGUAAUUUGAAUUUAUACUUGCAAAAACAAAGACAGCAGUGAAGAUUUCUCCUUUUUUAUGUCUAAAUGUUGUUUUGCAGUGAUCAAGCUCUUGAAUCCAGAAAAAGUAGAAAGGAAAAGAAGCGAGGCAAGAGAGGGUCUGACACAUCCGCACUUUCUAUUGGAUCUGAUGGAGGGCCACCUGAUGUUGGGGCUCUUUGUAUCCGAUCUUUUGCCAGUUUGUGUGCACAAUCAUCUAUUGAAUUCAGAUAUGAGUAUGUGUGCAGUCUUUCAAAUAUUAGGUUAGAUUAGAUACAAUUUUUUUCUAUCUAUAUUUGCAUGUAUUUGAUGCAUGCAUCUCUUCUUCGAUCUUUGGGAUAAGUGCACUUUCUAGUUAUCCACCUGUUACCAAAUUUAGAAAGAUCUACAGUUACAAAGAUUUUUCAAUGGUGUCACUUUUAUUGGAUAGUUUGCCCGUCUGGUGCACAUAAUUCAUGCGCAUGCACGUAACACCUACCCCAGUAGAUUUGUUGGCACAGGUGUAGGUCAGUUUCGUCAGCAACCAAAGGGGAAAGAAGAUAAGGAAAUUCAGUUAUUGGAUUGCUGUCCCGGGGCUAAACCUUUUCAUGAAUAUAAAAGAGACGUUCACAUGAAUUUGACAAGUGAUGGUUUCCAAAGUAUUGGUUUUGCUGUAUUGGUAGUUUGGGGUUCCUGUGAAGAUGUUUUUCUUUUUCUUUAUAUUUCUUUGAUAAGAAAUACACUAAGCAUUUGCGCACACAACUUCUUGUAAUUGAUGAAAGAUUUGUAGAUCCAAAAUACACUUCAAGCUCCAUCUACAAGGAUCCGAAUGCAAUCCUUUCGCAGUUGGAGAUGACACAGAUAUUACAUAUGCUACCUCCUCCAUUCAAAUUGGUGCAGAUUUCUAAGAUUAAAUAACUUUGUUAUUUUGGCAAAUAAAUGUGUCUUAGAGAUCUUUUGUUGGUUGUCAUUAGUUAUUAUAUCAUCAUAACAUCAUUUAGACCAAUUAUUGUCUCCAAAGCCCAUAAGUGAUGGAUAAUGUGUAGAUAUCAUGAGCAUCGGCAAAGUUUUAGCAGUAGAUUUUCCAGUUAUCCCACAAUUUAAAUUCUGAAUUUUUUCUCAUUGUUUUUGUGGAAUUGCAUUGUGUCAGAUGUGGCUUGUCCAAUCCUCAAGAAUCAAAACAAUCUUGCGGCUUCAUCAUCGCAUCCACGAUGGAGUUGGGAGAGAGUUGAAUCGUGAGCAGAAAACUGAUGCUGAAUGAAGAAUAACUUGAGCUUCUCCCUAGAGCGACUUAUUAGGUUACUUUGUUUUGUUGGCUUGCCUAAAAAAUAAAUCAUUUCAUUCUCUAUUAGCUGCAACGUAGAGCACACGUUAGUCUGAGGUUAUCCUGUCUUCAAAGACGGUCACCUUAUUAUUCUUGUAGACUACUUUCUCCUAAAAUGGGGAUAUAAAAAAUCCGUACAUUUUCAUCUAAAAGCUUAAUAAGCUUCAGAUCUUGCAUGGUGAUGCUGCUCUAAUAAUUUAGGGAGUUAAGCGAUCGGUUGAGCUAAUAAAACUCCACGUGUAGAUUAAUUAAUUCCAUGUAACAAGUCAAAUACACUUGAUACUUUUGCAAGAUAGCAAGGUGUGCCUUGUGAGCCCCAUUUUCAUUCAAAUGGGGAUCCAACAUAUGGGAGGGCAUAGUGCUAAAUGAUAUGGGAGAAUGAAGACAUCACGAGAACUUUAAUGCGAUAAAAGCAUCUUCAGCUUGGCCUACACCGUGAUGUUCUGUGGAUGUCUAGGCCGGUAAGUGGACUUUUCCCAUCAUGUGCCGUUGUCGAACAAGUUUGUUCAACCUGCUUCUUCAUCGUCCUUGAGAAGAUGGUCUCUAAACGCCAGUUGACCAAACCUAGGUCCCUUCCAUGAGAUAAGUUUACCUAGCCACUAACUCAGUGUCUAGUAUAACAGACUUUCUUAUUAAAUACUUCGAUAAAGUUCUGAUUUACAAUAAUCCAUAUAGCUGUUAGCCAUGUAUUUAAGGUCUAUCUUGUGGUUAUGUUCAAACUUUUUGUAUUAUGAAUUGAGAACUUGAACAGUAAAUACAUGAUGCGUUGUUUUUAAAUCUUUGGUCCAUUGAUUUUGUAGAUUGGCUCUGCCGGGUUCAUUCCAAUAUGAGUAUCGAAGGGCCGGUAUUAGAUCAACGAUAGUUUAGUUGGAAUAUAGAUAGUGUAAGAGGAUGAUCAGUGAGGAGUGCUAAUCAAGUUUAGAAUCACCCCAAAAAAGAGGUGUGUUAGUACAAGGGACAAGGUCAUGAUGUUAUACGACGCAGUAGGGACGUGUGGUGCAGCAAGCAAAUCAAUUUCAAAAUUUAAGCAUCAAGUAAGACGACCGGCAUUUUAUCAUAUCAAUAUAAUUGGCCGGUCAUAUUAUGUUAGUUGUUAGCGAUGUGACUAUUGAAUAAAAUAUUUUUCUCAAACAAGGGGAUAGUCUCUUGAAAGGUUUUCGAAUGCUAUAACUUGCAAGCUUGUGAGAACUUUGAGGAAACCUACUCCCUUUGAAGAAAUGCUACUCAUCAUCAUCUAAAGUUGCAAGGACUUUCUAGCAAGUACCACUGUUGACAUGCACGUAGUAGUUACUAAAUAUCCAUACCAUCUCUUACAAAGAAGGAAUUUACUAUUCUAUUGGAUAAUUUCUAAGUGGUAGGAUCAUCAAGAUAUAAACUCUACAAUCAAAUUACUAACCUUAAAAAAAGUUACUAACUAUAGGCGUAGCGAUGAUCAUGAGGACCCCAGGGGACUUAUGACCAUCGGAAAAAUAAUUACAAUGUACAAAUACUAUCAGUUACAAAUAAAGAGGGAAACUGCUGUAUCAAUGGAGAAUUGCAAAAUGAUAGCACCCUCAACUUAAGAAUAAUGAAUAGAUGCUCACGAUGGAAAGUUAAUAAUCAUAGGCACAGUAUUACUUUCAAGGAUUUCAGGUGAUUUACAAUUGUUCUAGAAUAUUUACUGAGAAAUGUUGUCAUUUAUUAUGACUAUUUGAUGAAAUUUACUAUAUUAAGUUGGAGUUUACUAACGACAAAGAUUAACGUUUGGGCAUGACAAAGAUUAUUCUUUGGCAAAGGACAAAGAUCAACAUAUGGGUCUAACAGGAAUAUGUAUAAAAACACGUAAGUAGUGCCGCAAGCCUUUUCUGCUUCUCCUACAAACUGCAUGAAAAAACCUUGAAAUUGCCCAAGCAAGGGAAAUGAUCCUGGGAAAUAAAAUAUUAAUACGGUUUCAAAAGGGAUAGAGCACAGUAGAAGUCCUAAAAUUUGCUGUAAAAAUGGAAUCAAGUCUUACAACUUCAAAAAAAAAUUACAAUCAAGUCCAAAAACUUAUCUAAUUAGUACAAUAAAAAACUUCCGUCAACUCUGUCCAAUUUGAGCAUCGGAAAAUACUAGCAUGUCAUCUUUUGAUAUGUUUUGAGUACACAUGCCGGAGACACUCGAGCUAGACGAGGUGCCCCGUUCUAAUGAAUUGAAGUGUCUUGUUUGCCAAUUCACCCUCUAUCCCUUCACAUUAAUUUGAAUAGGGCAUGAGAGAUUGAAUUGAUCGCCAUCCGUUACUCCAUCAACAAGACAGAUGUCCAGCCAAUACUACUUCACUUGCCUCUUCCUGAUAGAAUUGAUCGCCAUCCGUUACUCCAUCAACAAGACAGAUGUCCAGUUCCUAAUUUGUUUCGCUGGUUUCUUAAUGACAGCUUUCCUUAAGAGCUGCGAGCCAAUACUACUUCACUUGCCUCUUCCUGAUAGAUCUUUCAUAUGCCUCCAGUUCCUCCAUUCGACGCGGGAGAAAUUUGCGUAGGAACUCUCUAAACUCUAAUUCCCAAAGUGAAGCUGGAUCUACUAAUUGAUUGUCUUCAAGCACAGCCUUCAAUUCAUUAUCCAGUUGCUUGCAUCUUAGCACAUAUCCCAACUUUUCCAUGGUUCCACCCGACACUAUGAGUGUAAGGCUAAAUCGUAAGUAAUCCUCGUCAAAUUCAAGAAAAUCAACUGCUCCCUCCAACAUUCCCCACAACACAUUUGGUUUGAGAUACUGAAUCCAUAUGUGACCCGAAUCAAAUGAACCAAGAGUUCCUGAUAGCACAUUCCGUCUUUGGCCGUUAAUGUGGGGCACGAUGUUGAAAAAUAUUUCCUUUUCUCCAUUUUCUACAUUGAAAACAACACAGAGAACCAAUCCCAAGAACUUAUCAUAAAAGUCCUCUGAAACCAUGAAAGAUAUGGUACCGCCUUCAACAGAGACGAACUCCUCUGGCAUAUCUCCUCCGGGAAUAAUAUUUUUGUAGGAAGUAUGAAUUCCGGAAUAGCGGUACUUCUGCUAUAACGGUAAAUUGUUAGACGUACUCAAAUUGAUAAUGAGUUCAAAUAGAAGAGUUUGAUUUGAGAGUUUUUCUUGUAAUUUAACUAAAGCUAGAGUUUUAUAAUAAAUAAACAUGUUAGAUCCUUCCUUGCCUUAUAUGUAACACUCAUGAAAUCAUUCACUUGCGAGUUUUGUAGCACCUGUAUUACAUGUAACUGUAGAAUCACUUUAUGUUAGAUUUGCUCGUUUGUACAGAAUUUUCAGUUUUUGCAUUAUACAAACACAGUGCGCCCCCCAUCCGCUCCAACAAAUCAACACAUGCACUUAUGAAUGCGCGCGCAUCUGGACGGAGAGAGAGAGAGAGAGAGAGAGAUACCUCAACUGAAAAGUCAGCCAUGAUAUCGGCGGGAUGGGAUCCACCCCGGGUAGCGUCGUCUUCUUCUAUUUCACUUUCACGGUCUUCCUCUGAACUUGUCAUAUUGUUAUCUUCAUGGGUCCGCCACCGCUAUUACAUAUAGGUGCAAAAUCACAAUAUAUUAGCUUGUUUUGUUUACCAGCAUUUGCAGCUUUUGCAUUAUACAAACUCAAUGCACCCAUAUCAAUCAAACACACACACAUCACAAUCGCGGGGAGGGAGGGAGGGACACCUGAAGUGAGAGAUGGGCCGAACUUUCUUCCUCUGUGGUUGUUUCUUUAUUGUCAUGCCCAAUCUCAUAGAGCAAAGCUGGAUUUAGCAACUGGUUGUCUUGAUACAAAGUCUCCGAAUCGUCCUCUAGCGGCUUGCAUAGUAAUCGAAAUCCGCACUUUUUUACAAUUGCAUCACCUGAUGAUCUAACACCAAACUGGAAAGAACUCGAGUCAUUUGGACCAAAAGGGUCUACUCCCCAUAGAUUCUCCAUUUCAAGAUACGAAAUUUGUACAUGAUCUGAAUGCCAUGGACAAUAUAUGCCUCCACACUUAGGCGUUCUUUUGCCAUUAAUGUAGGGAAAGAAUAACAAAUGGCCCUCUUGUUUGCCUUGCUUUGCUUGAUAUACAGUGCAGAUAGCUAAUACCAAGAACUUCUUAUACAAGUCUUUUGAAAGCCAUGAAAGAUAUAUAACCCUCUUUAUUCGGGAGCAACCAUUGCGGCAUCUCUCCUCCAGUCAGAAAAGUUUGGCAAAACGAAUUGGACAAAAGGGUCUGUCAAAGAUGUAAAUUGUUAAGACAGUAUUUCGAAUUUGGCACUUGAAAAUGAGAAGUUUCAAUGAGUUAAGUGGGUUGACGAGUUUAGAUAUGGUUAACAAUAUAUGUACAUGACUCUGCAUUAAUCCACCGGUUCGGGGGGGGGGGGGAGGGUGUUGAGGAGGGGAGGGGAAAAAAGACAGAGUCUAACCUUAUGAAGGACUGGGUCAUGACAUAAUAAGUCAAUAUGGUUAGCGGCCCAUAUGUCAGAGUGAAUUUUACCUAGAGAUUCACAAUUCCCUGCGACCAAAACCUGCAAUUGCCCUGGCAUCUUACCAAUCUCUUGUAGCUGUCGGCAUUCUGAAACAACCAAUGUGCGUAAAUUAUGUAGCCGCCUGCAUGUUGGAAGCUUAGCAAAAUUGUUUUUGGACAAAUACAAUUCUGUUAAGUACGGAAAACAUGAAUUAUUCUCUAGGAACUCUACUUCUAGUAGAUUGCAUCCUUCAAGCCCUAAGAUCAGUAGCUUAGGAAAUCCCAUCUUGCCAUGCAGAACACUAAAAUCCCCCUCCUUUGGAAAUUUGAUUAGUUUUGAACAACCAUCAAGUAUCAAGCUCUCAAGAUUUGGCAACUUGUAAAUGGUAGAUGGGAGGUUUGCCAGUUUCUUGCAAUUAAUUAAACUCAAGUUCUCCAAAGAGACAAGAUUUUCUAUGGAAGUAGGAAGUUCCUCAAUUGAAGUCCCUUUUAAAUAAAGUUCUUUCAAGCCUUUGCUUUUAUCCGGAAUAUCAGGGAAUCUUUGCAACUUUGAGCAACCAGUAAGAUUGAGAAUUUCAAGAUUCUUGGAUUGGAGCACACUAGGGAGCUGAUGAAGGUUAGAGCACCCUUUUAAAUUCAACAAACGUAACUUGGCGUGAUAUGCAACCGAUUCGUGAGCACGCUCCAAAUUUUUGCAUCCAUGGAGAUCCAGUUCCUUGAGAUUUGGAGUCAAAUUGAGGUCCGGCAUACAAUCCAACGAUGGACACUCACUGAUAUUAAGGUACUUCAAAUUUCCAAAGUCCUACAAGAAACAAAAUGGAAACAAAAAAUGAAGAUAGAAAUAUUUAAUGAAAAACACUUUGGAUCAUCAUUCAAGCCUAGUGUGAUCAGAAAUUAGUUGAUCCUAUGACGUAUAUAGAGCACUCCCUCUCCCUUUUUACAUGAGUUUAUUGAGUGAUCCUUGGCCAAAAGAGAAGAUAAAACAAGAAUAACACUCGUAAUUCCAGUACAUGCUAGAUGAUCUUUAUGAGGAGUUUUAGCAGAAAACAUCUAACACAUUGGGAUAUGUUAUUGGUUCAAGCCGAAUUUGCAUAUAAUAAUUCGAUGAGUCAACCUAUUGGAAAAUGCCAAUUUGAUGUUGUGUAACAAAAGCAUCUUUUAAGUCCUUUGGAUCUUACACCAUUAUCCUCCUAUAAUAUGAAGAAAGAGCUAGGACAAUAAGUUACAUGAGGAAGUAAGGAUCCCGGUCGAGCAAAAAGAAACAUAGAAAAGCCUACUGUUUUUGAAGAAGGUGAUCUUGUCUGGAAUUCAUUUGAGAAGAACACUUUCCACCUAGUUGUCGUGCUACGGAUCGUUCCUUUCUAGUUUUGGAAACAAUAAUGCCCCCAAAAGUGAGCUUUGUGGAGCGAAUGGCAUUUCCACUAGUUUCAAUGUUGUUAAUCUAUCUCUAUGAAGUUGGCCUCGAGGAGAAGUCUUUUCAAGAUUUCAAGAUUCUCUCUUGUGAUUAGAAUAAUAGGGAUAAUAUAUAUUUUCUUGAUCUGUGAGACUGUUUAUACUUUUUAGGAUUGCUUUAGUCUUGAUUACAAUGUGAUAGUUUUGUAACUUGUUUGAAUUUCGUAUUUUAGGUUCAUUUUUCUUUACUUGGAGGUUACUCAAAGGUAUUUUAGGCUCCUACUUAUAAGUGCCCUCUCGGUUUCUCAUAGUAAACACAAUGAAUUUAUUAAAUGAAGUUCCAUUCUAUCUUUUUCUCUGUCUUUCUCUCUGUCCUUUUGGGGGAUUCAUGAGUGAUCAAGAGAGUGCUGCAUCCUACUAAGGUGGUGAUUUGACUGAGGGAGACCUAGAUUAUGUAGUCUCUUCCUGUCCUCCAGAGUGGGGUUUUUCCACUUCAUUAAGAUUGAAAAACCCCUUUUAUUUAAUUGUUCGUUCAACACAUUCCGACGUUAGUCUGGCCGACGAGCAUGACAGCAAAACUGAAAGCCCACGAAGUUUGUCUCAUUCGAGGCAAAUGAAGUAAAAACUAUAAGAGUACGCACAAGAUUUGAAAAAAAAUUGAUAUUUGAAAAAUUGAGCAAAACCACCAAAUUAGAAAUAUUGAAUGGAAAGAGAUUGUUGGUAAAUACACAAUACACAAACAUAGAAUAUACGUAGGAUAUUUCAAAAUUAAAAUUUGCAAUAAGAAACUUGUUGUAGGUUUAGAAAAGAUUAAAAUUUAGAUUAUGAAACAUGCGAGAGAUCAAAUAAAUUAAUAGUUUAAGCACCUCUACGAAUAUUAUAUUUGUAAAAUAAGUAAUCGAGACAUUUUGGGGAAGAGAUUAAAUUAAAAUCCUGUGGAAGGUCACCUUUACCUUGUACAGUAGUAUAAAUAUAAUUAAUACAUACAUAAAUAACUUUAGAUUAGAUUUAGGUUUAAAUAUACUUAAAUUAGCAAAGCAAGCCCCUUACUUCUCUUUAGAAAGCCUUAUUAGUCAUGCGUGCAAGCCAUGUCGCGUUACUAGCGUCCUAGAUGUGGUGCGCUAGCGCCUCUAUAAAGUAAGACUCUUCCAUGGAAUUGUACUCCACAGGCCUUGAUUUAAAAAGCGGGAGAAGGAAUGGCUGGUCAAUCUAUCUCCCCUAAGAGUUGCUUUUCAUCCUGUGAUUCCUUACUUAGGAAUAAGUGGAGUAAGGGCGCAACUGAAUGGCCCGACUGAAAGGAAAGGAGUAAAACGUGUUACGUACUUGGAAGGAGAAGGAGAAGUAUAAACUCUCAGUUAUAUUUGAAAAUGAAUAUUUUAUCCAUAAAGAUGAAGAUAACUUUCUUGGAGUUCCGCUUAUUCCUCCUCCUAAAAAUAAAGAAGUACUUGCCAGAAAUCUCUAGUUAGGUCGGUACAAUAAAAAGAGACGGGACUUUUGGGGCUGACUUACAGUACAGACUUAACUCCUUUAAAGAUCUUUUAUUGCAUUAUUUCUAUAUAUCUCUUUUCAUUAUCGGCUGCAUUCUAUUAUAGAAACAACAACAUGAGGUUCAAUCAAAAGUACUUAGCAUGCAUUCGCUUCAAUGAUAAAGCAAAUAAACAAGAAAAAUCUCAUUCUAUUUUCAUAUGCAAUUUAGAAAAGAAUCUAGUAAGCUCGUCUCUUAUAUAAAAUAUAGAAUCUUUGAUAACAUUUUCAGUAUUGAUCACUUCAAAGGCAUACAAAUUGAAUCCUCAGUUCAUGUUUAUUAAAGUACUAAGCACAUUUAUCAUUCAAUUGUUAAAUUAUGUCAUCAAUAAGUUCUUGUUCCAGUUUUCGGUAUUAAAGUUACUGACCGCAUAUGUUGCAUUCAGAGUUUUCAAUAAUUCAUAUACAUAUCCAUAAUCGUAUGCAUACAAAUAUAGAUAUAUAAGAGAUAAGUAAAGAAAGACAAUUAAUUUUAAAUGCGCACCUUGAAUUGCUCCCUCACGACUUGGAUGUUGGUUUUGUGCAGAUCAAGCCCAACCAACUUAUUUGGACAAGAGGAAAAUUCGGGAAACCAAGGAUAUCCAGGCCAUUCAUACCAUCUCAGUUCAUUAGGAAGACAGAUAGGACCUUGGAAAGAGUUAUGCACAUUAAUCAUGAUGAGCAACCUCAACCUUCUCAUGUUUGUGAAAGCAUUGCGACCUAUGUAUAUUGCUUCUGUCUUGGGUAAAACCAAAACUAUGGCUUCUACUGCAUUUGUUCCCUGCAUUUGUAGAACUUGCAUUGCAAUUAGUACACGAAGUCAGAGAAGAAGAGAGUAAAAUCAGUGUUUAAACCACCAAAACUUACCAUAUCCCUUGAUAGAACAUCACAGACGUCUUCACAAAGCCAUAACCUGCUGCGUCUUCCAGGAUCAUUGCGACAUUCUUGUUUAACAAUAUCCAUGCCCAUCAACUGAAUCAAGUCAUGCAUCUGUACUGUCUCCCUUUCUUUAGUUAUUAAUGACUUCUCAACAAGAACUUGUACUCCAAUCAUUGUGUCAAAGUCACAACUGUCAAGGACUUUUAUAAUAUACUCCAUAGAUCGCCCCUUGAAGAAACAUGCAAUAUCAAGGAAUAUUUCCUUUGCAUAGUCCUCUAGUCCAUCGAAACUUAACUUGAGAACAUCAUUGAUGUUUUUGUCAGGAUUUUUGGCAAGUUUAUUCAAUGCGCUUUCCCACUGCUGUUCUGUUCUACAACAUAGGAAAGUGCCCAACACCACAAGUGCUAAAGGAAGUCCAUUAGCAUAAUGCAAAGCACUAUCCACAAGAUCCCUACUUAUCACUAUUUCCUCACUUCCAAGAAAAGCAUGUUUAUUGAAAAGUUCAAGAGCUUCCAAAUCAUCUAGAUUUUUAACUUCAUAGAUAUGAUCUUUACCCAUCCCAAGGACAGUUAAUAGAUGGCUAUCUCUCGUAGUAAUGAUGAUUCUGCUUCCUUUACCAAACCAUUCACACUCUCCAGCUAAAGCAUUUAAUUGUUUUAUGUCAUUCACAUCAUCAAGAAGGAGGAGGACUCUUUUCCGGCAAAGUCUAUGUUGCAUCAAAUUAAUACCUCCAUCAACACUAAACACUGUUAACUCUUUUCCCACUAACUCGGACAACAAUUUUUCUUGCAAGGGAACUAAAUCCUUGGAAUCUUUUGAAGUUUCACGAAUGUUUGCCAAAAAACAUGAAGCCUCAAAUCCUCUAAAUAUAUCAUUGUAAAGGGCUUUGGCUAAUGUUGUUUUUCCUAUGCCUCCUUGUCCCCAUAAUCCUAUCAUGACAACAUCAUCACGAGACUCGAGAUUUAACAUUGAUUUCAGCUUUACCACUUGUUGAGGUAUUCCAACCGGAUGCUUGGCAACGUGUAACGGUGUUCGGUCUAGCUGCAUAGAGAUCUGCUGCACAAUUCUCUUGAUAAGAUCCGCUUCCGCUUCAUCUCUGAAAAAAUCCAGAAAGGUACUUGAUACAUCAAUUUCCAAAGAUAAUUAACUUUCAUGGAAAAAAAACAGAAGAGAUUCAGCAUAUACAAAAGAAAUAACAAAGCAGUGUCACAUCAAUCACUACUUGGUACUUACUUAUCCUUCAAAUCCCACCCGGACAAGCUACCCGCAUCAAAGAGAGCGUUUUUCCAUCUCUUCACUUCAUCCGAAUCUCUCCCAAACUUUCUCUCAUGCUCAACCAUAGCUUUUUCGUAGCUCUCUCUUGGUGUUCUCACUUCUCCGGGAUCCACUUUGUAAAACACCGGAAAUACUGUGAGGUCUCUUUGCUUCUUGCACUCCAUGAUUUUCGCUACCUCUUCCAAACACCACCGCGAGGAAGCAUAGUUCUCGGAGAAAAUGAUGAUUGCGAUACGCGAGUCCUCAAUUGCCUUCAUAAGCGCCGGCUUUAUACAGUCGCCUUUCUGAAGCUCCUCGCUAUCAAUGUAAGUGUAGAAUCCUUUUUGAUCAAGAGCAGCAUAGAAAUGACUGAGGAAGCUCUUUCGAACGUCCGGACCUCUGAAACUCAGGAAGACGUCAUAAUUCCCUUUCAGAUCUGAAGAAGCAGCCAUUAGAGGAGAUGAAGUUUGAUGUGCUUCCUCAGAAUGCUUAGUGUCUGGUCGGGUUGCAGCUUUCUCUCUCAUGUGGAUAUCACUUUGUACUAACAAAGAAAUAGAAACGAAAACCAAGAUCAUUUCUGAUGCUUCGAGUCGAUAUGCAUAGUCUCCAACAGCUAAUUUAACAAAAAGCAGCAUUUUGCAUAAGGUGCACGGAACCAUCUUAUAUAGGUGCUUCUUGACUUGACUUGCCUUUUCCAUUAAUAAAAGAAAUAGAAAAGAAAACUCGCAACACUCCCAUGCUCCUGGUGCUAAUAUACAUGAGUCAAUCGCAAAACACCGCUGUUGGAAUAUUAUUUAUAAUGAAAAAUCUGCCUUUUUUCUUUCGAAAGGGCUUCUACAAAAGCAAAUCCCAAAAUAAAUUUCCCUCACUUUUCAAACUAAACUUUUCCAUACCAUAUCUUGCAUCAAACGGAAGAAAUUUGAAUCUGUUCAGGCAUUUCUUCAAACACGUAGUGGGCAGCGAGUUGGAGAGAGAAUAUGGACCUAUACGGAGCUCGAGCUCACACUUAAACUCAAGAGAAAUCAGCAAGCAACGUUCAAACUUAAGAAAAACCGAGUCAUUCAGAUCCGACGCGAGUGAGGACUAAAGAAAUCGAGCUUGCUUUGGUCUUUUAAAAUCAAGCAGGACGAGGCAAAAAAAGAAGAAGGAACGAGCAUUCAAUCAUGGGGCCCCUACCUGGCUUGGAUUCCGUGGCCAUCGUCGGCGGCGAAGGUUGAGAAUAGCGACUCCAAACUCGUGUCCGGCUUCAGUCGACUCCACCGAGGUCAGGGACCGCGACGACGAAUGACAGCGGGCGGAGGAUGUUCGGGAGGUGGCGGACGACGUCGAUCGGCGGUGGCUCCGAGGUUUUGUGUGGGGCUUCAAUGGCGACCGUUCCCCGAGUAGAGAAAGACCAAGAUUCUUUUUUUUUUUCGUGAGAGUAAAGAAGUAGAUGAGGGUGAAGGAGUGAGGUAGGGUUCCGGGAAUGGGAUGCGAGAGCAGUGGCCGGCAGGAGGUAGUCGGACGGAGAUGGAGGAGGUGGCUGGUCGGUUGAGUUCAGGAGAAAGGGUGAGGAAUGCCCUUUUUUUCUUUUCCAGAAAAAUGUCCCUGAAGAUGGUGCUCUCCUCUUCCUCCCUUUUCGUGAACACCCUUGCCUUUCUUUUUUUCUUUUUCUUUUUAAUGGGAAAUUGUGUCUUUUUGAGAGAGAGCGUGAGAGAUUCCUAGAAAGAACUUCCCUUUCAGAUUCGAAGAAGCGGCUAUUAUGGAAGAUGAACGUUGAUGUGCUUGCGCAGAAUGCUUACCGUCUGGUUGGGUUGCAGCUUUAUCUCUCCGGUGUAUAUCACUUCGUUCUUUUUUACCAUGACUUUCUCGAAUCACGCGGCAGUGAUAAUCAAAGAAAGCCAUAGAAAAGAAAGUAAAGGUCAAUUAUUGCACGCUUAAUUUCCGGGAAGGUGCAUGAAAUUUGCGCGUCCUUUCUUUCUUUUCCUCUGUCGACUUACUUGACUUGCUUGACUUGCUUUUUCUACUAAUAAAGAAAUAGAAACAAAAACCAACGAAUCAUUUCUGAUGCUCCCUUGUCGGCAAGCAUAUUGUCCGCAAGUAAUUUAAUAAAAAGCAACAUUUUGCAGAAGGGGCGAGGAACCAUCCCAUAUAGUGCUUCUCGACUUGACUUGCAUUUUUCAUAAAUUAAAGAAAUAAAAAAUAGAAUUAGUUAUGCUCCCAUGCCCUUAGUGCUAAUAUACAUGAGUCAAUCGCAGAAACAUCGCCUGUUAGAAUAUUAUUUAUAAUGAACAAUCUGGCUUCUUUCUUUCAUAAUAGAUUCUAGACAAACAAAUCUCAAAAUAAAUUUUCCUCACUUUUCAUACUAAAUUUUUCUAUACCAUAUUUUGCCUAACAGUGCAAAUGAUAAAAUUUCUACUUCUCUAUUUCUCUAUUUCUCUGUUUCCUGGAAUAUGUUUGAAAUCGAAAUCCGUUUAGUAAUGUAAUUUAAUUUUUCUAUUUCUGGAACAGAUUUCUAUUCCAUAAAUAGAUUUGAAAAAGAAAUCAUAAGUUAAAAUUUUUAACUUCUCAAUUUCUGAAAUAGAAAUUGAGAAAUCAAUUUAUGGCCAGAAAUCAAAUUCUGUUCUAGAAAUUUUGUCAUACGCACCAUAAAGAUUAUUGAGUCAUCACCCCCUCAGCCUAGUCACUUUAAUCUUACUCCUUAAUUUUUUUUUUCAGCAUUUUACAUUUAUUUUAUACUUUUAAUGUCACAUUUAAGAUUUCUUAGCUAACAGGUUAGGAAAAUGCUUUCGUGACCAUCGACUACAGAAUGACAGUAGAACUGUCAAAGGCCAGCCACAUAUCCUUUUGGAGGAAACCAGUGGACUUCUUGAACCAAAUUAAUCAUUGACUCCAUGUUUUGUUCUUCAUUUUUUUCUCUUUUUUUUUUUUUUGACUUCUAUGUUCCUUACGGCAACCUCAAAUUUCAGAGACAAAUAUUAUAAGGUCACAUUGAAUCAUUUUUCUUGAAGAUUAUGACUUUCAUUUGUUUCUUUAAAUAAGAUGAAGAAGAAAUAUUCUAAUUGUUAAUGCUGACAAGCUUUAAUGAUAAAGGUAACCUCGACCACGAUGAUAUCGACAACGUUGGCUGCCAGAAGGGGCUGGACUCCUCGCUCAGGCCAACUAAGCUUCUGCUUCCCAGCCUAGUCAUAUUUCUUUUCGUCAUAUCGGCCUAGUUAGGCAAAGGCAUAUUUAUCUUUUAAGAAAAGAGAUCAGUCUAUGUUAGUUUCUAUUCCAAUCCUUCAACGCCAUGCGAAAGGCUUUGAACCUUUGGCGGAGGUGGGCAGCCCGCUCCAUUGGUGGCUGAGAAGAGAUGUGUUGAGAAAAGAAGUAUGCACCAAUGUGUCAAGACCUUGUUUAUCCAGUGAAAAAGCUAUCAAUCUACGCGGUUUGCUAAAUCCGAAUUACCUGAUCAGAUGUUUCUUCACUCACAUUUCAUUUUAAAUUAAAACAUAUUUUUUUCCUAUCUCAAUAUUCGUUACUAGGGCAAUUUUCUUUUUCUUUCGGGAGACAAGAGGGGGGUUGAAGGCGAUUUGGUUUGCUUGCCCUAUGCAAGAGCUCCUUUUCUGCGUGAACAAGUUCUGCACGAACAAGACUCAGUUGUUCAUCAAAUUUACGAAAUUAUCGCACAAGUUAUGCUCUUCAGUUAAGUAUACCGCCAUUAUUCCAUUAUUUCUGUUUACCGGGCCAAGAUCUUUACAAAUCAAAGCGAUUGAACAAAUUGCUCACCCUUCUGGGGAAGGUUUGCUCUCAGUCUCCUAUUUUGGUUUCUCUUGGCCUUCUAUAGCUUCUCCUUUAACUGUCUUCAAUGCCGCAUAUGAAAAUCUCAGCCUCAGCCUCAGCCUCAGUGGCUCUAAGAUUCACUCCUUUAUGUUUGGAUUCUGAUAGAACAUAUUCUGUGAACACCAACAGUUUUCCAUGGCAUGUAAUCUUCCUCAUGCAGAGAAAUUUCCUACACAUGCUGGAUCCAUUGCAAGUGUUUUCCAUGUCUUAUGCUUCUGUCUAAUUAAUGUUUCUUAUCGGAGGUGAAGAUAGAAGAAGGGAAAAUUAUUGAUCGGAGGGACGAAUCCCAACCCUCGGUUGGCGGGGGUGCUAGACGCCCGCUUCAUAUUGCAUGCUUAACAUGAAAUGAAUUGCUCAACCGUGCUGCUAGGCAUCUUGCAUUGAGGAAUUCCACUUUCAAUGCCGUAGGUGACAAGCCCUACAAGCUAAGCGCUGACGCAUUUGCUGACAUAACCAACGACGAGUUUAAGGACCGCUAGGACCGGUAAAAGUGCUUUUUUUUUUUUUUUGGUAAAGGUAAUUAUAUAAAUAGGGAAAGCCAAAAUACACAGAAAUCGACCCCAAGAACUUUCACUCAUAAUGCGAACAUGCAGGAUGAGUGGAAGGGAGCCGAAAUAAAAGAAAGAGAACACAGAAGCAAAAAACACAGCUGAACAAACAGCAAUACAAGCCUAGGCAAAACGCCACAAGGCAGAGAAAUAACAUAGCAAACCACCUAACUAGGUAAGAUGAGUGUUGCUUUCGUCAAAAACAUAAGGGUUAAAACCCCACCCACACUGAAGCUGCCUGUUUGUAUGGUUGUCCGGCAGCUUGCUAAAGGUAAGAACUUUAUCCUUAACAACUUUGAUAAGGAGCUUCUUCAAAGCAGAGACCUCCAGCACUUUGCCACGAAAGAUGAUGUUGUUCCUUUUCUUUCAGAUUAAGUGGCACAAGGCUCCAAAAGAAAAUCGGGCAAUGGAGUGGAAAAAAUCCCUACCAUAGAGGAAUCUCAGGGCCCAACGGAUGGUCUUCGCCCAAGGCAUAUUAUGCCAAGGAAGAUUACACCACGCAGCCUAGAAAAAAGCAAGAGUCGCAGGGAUACGACAUUCGAAAAAGAGAUGAUCAAUCGAGCCCAGAGUAGCAUUACAAAAAGCACAUAAUUCAUAGCUGAUUUUGCCAUAAGAUCAUAGAAGAACCUGAGUAAAAAUGGAGGAAGAAAGGAGGUAAAAAUGCUUUGUUCAGGUAUGAGAAUGCAAAUGCGGUGCCUGCGGCUCUAGAAUGGAGGAAGAAAGGAGCUGUCAUGGGCAUCGAGGACCGAGAAAGUCAUUGUAAGGAAAAUAAAAUUGAUGUUUUGAUCCUACAGAUAUUCACGUUUACGUGUGUAAUCAAUGCAUAUUGCUAUUAUUUUCUAGGUCCAACACACAUGAUUUUUUUUUUUUUUGGUCAGUCUUACUCUAUUCCUACUUUACACUCACUCGCAGACUUAUGCCUUGCCUCCUGCAGGGCGUGGGAGUCGCAACCCACUCUCGAAACUUACGCGUCCCUACCCCCAUCCCCCCCUGAGGAGGUGAGGAUUUGAACCCCUCACCUCCCCCUUCCAUGUUGGAAGGGUGGCCACUGGGACGAACCCCCAGUGGUUGGUCCAACACACAUGAUCGAAUGAUCAUAGCUACGUGUAGUUAGUACAUUCCAAAUUUUCCAAUAGCAUUUACACUCUAUUUAUUUCGCGAAAUAUAAAUAAUUAUAUAUAUUUUUUUAAAUUAUCGCUUGAAAUAAUGAGUUAAUGAAAAAGAUAUUCAUCAUGCGCAAUGAUUUAUAUCUAAAUAUUUUCAUAAAUGGUAAAAUUUGUAUUUCCUAUUUAUUUAUAUAAGAGUUAUAAACGGCCAUUUUUAAUAAAUCAUUUAUUUCCACUAAAAAAAUGAGUCUCGGAUUAGUUGACUUCUUUGGCAUGUGUGAUUAUGCUGCCUCUCAAUUAAUCAAAUAGGAACUUGUUGGUCUUUCUCAACCGUGGCAGCCACCGAGGGCAUCCGCCAGCUACAAAGGGGGUGAGCUAACCUCCCUAUCGGAGCAAGAACUCGUAGAUUACGAUGUUAACGGCGAGGACCAAGGUUGCGAAGGUGGUCUCACGCAAUAUGGUUUUCAUUUCAUCAUAAACAGUGGAGGCCUCACUGUCGAGGCUAAUUAUUCCUACGACGGGAUAGACGGAACUUGCAAGACCGCAAAAGAAGCCUCCCACAUGGCUGAAAACCGCGGGCAACGAAGUCAUGCCUACCAACAACGAGGCCACGCUGUUGAAGCCCGUGGCAAAUCAUCCGGUGUUGGCGUCCAUUGAUGUCGGAGGGUGUAAUUUCCAAUUCUACUCCACCGCCGUCUCAAGACCGCGAGAUCAAUUUAAAUCACGCCAUAGUGGUGGUCGGCUAUGGUACGACAAGGCUGGUGAAGAACUAGCAUAAUUAAGUUGGUGAUGUGUUUUAUGGGCCAAGCCAUGUUGUGACAUAGUUGCAUAGUAAGUAAAAUCUAUGGAGGCAUAGUAAGUAAAAUCUGUCAAGGCCCAAGCUGGUGAUGUGUUUUAUGGACCAAGAAAUGUUGUCUUAUAUGGGUCGAGGCCCAUACCUCUGUUUUGUGUUUUUGUAGCCCAAGGCCAUCGUUUCUACGCAAUUCCACUGUCUAUUUCUAGUUCCACAUCUCCUCCCCACAAAAAAAUUGUUUCUUCAGGAGAAACCUAGAGUGAAGGUGCGCAUUGUGGUGUAACAACGUGGCUCUGAUGCCAGCUUUUGUGGUUCAAUUCAAAGAAAAAGACUAGGGUUGAAGGGGAUGUUGGAGAUUUAAGUUGAGUUAUUUCGAAACAGAAGAAUAUCUAAAUUAAGAAUCUUAAAAGAAAGUAGGCCAAGCAACUUGACAAACAAAUGUCUUUCAGCUGGGCUGCACAAGUUGAUGGUUUUCCUUCGGUAGAACUUCACGACCAAUCUACAUGUCUAUGACACUCUACAGAGAUUAGUAUCUCAUGACCUAAAAGACCUUUUCUUCAACAGGGGUUUAGUGCAAUCAGCUUGUGAUUCAGUCCUAUGUGGCUAGGACCCUUAUGAGGCGAAUGUUAUACAAAUUGUUUAACAUGAGUAAAACUGGCCUCGUACUGCAAAUUUCGCCAUCAUCAGAAGUGAAUUGGAGAGUACUCAAUUCAUUUAAAAAAAGAAUAAACCUCGACUUACCAAUUAUCUCAGAUUUUAGAUAAAUACAUAUAAUGUUUAUUCAUAAUUGUCGUUCUGUGCUAAUUCUCGCAAAGAGACUACAAGAGCCAUCUUUGGCAGUCUUGAAACAACCAUCCACCUAAAAUAAGCUCGGUAUGCUUCGGCUUACACUAUAUAAAGGGGAAGAAGGGAUGCGUCCUCUGAGAAUUUUUGCCGCCAACAUUUUCUCUCGAUGAACUUGUGCCAUGUCAGUAGCAUGAUAAGGUAGCCUGCAUUUCACAGUGAUUUUUACUUGGUGUCAAAUGAUGCAAGCAUGCAAUGACUCGAAAGUUCAACUAGAAAUGAGGGCAAAAGAUGAACAGAAAAGGAAGGCAUGGUUAGUAAAAUUUACUGGUCAGUAGACCUCAUAGUUGCUCCCUCAAUUAAGUUGUGAUCAAUUCGACAACAAGAGUUGCAAGCUGACACUGGCAUAGUUUUUGGUGCCAUAGAACUCGGGGCCAUAGUAGUCUUGGUUCCGACGCCUUCUAGGAGCAUGAGCUUAUAAUUUUCCUUUGAUAGUGUUUGACUAUCGGUGAUCCUAUCCAUCUGACCAUCUUGCUGUACAAGCCGAUUAUCUUGAUACAGAUCUGUUUCACUUGGACCAUCUUCCUGUGUAAGUGUAUUCUCUUCCUCUAAAUCUGUUUGAUCAUCUUCCUCUGAGUUUGUGCUGGUUCAAGACAAUCCUGAUAAACCAAAUUUAACGCCAGUGACUGAUUGUCAUGAAACAAAGACCCUCGGAUCAUCCUCUUGUUGCUUGCAUAUUAGUCCGAACCCGCAGUUUCUUACUGUUCAAUUUGACGCCUCAAGACAACCCGAAAAUGACUCCCAUCAUUUCACAGGAGCUUUCUACUUCCCACAGCGUACUAUGCGAGGGAUGCUUGAGCAGCACAUGGUCCAUUCCUAAUUAAUAGAAGCAUCCUAUGUACCAAAUCACCUUUCGAUAGACCUUGCAAGAGAGGCUGAGCUCAACUCCCCCCUCCAAUCCAAAAACAAGAUGGACUGCUAAUUCUAGAAUUCUUCACACAUGUCCUGGGGUAUCAUGAAAGAUAUCAAAUCCUCUUUACCAUGGAGCCAUCAUUCCGGCAUCUAUCUUCCAGCAAUUACAAUGCGCGCUUUUCCCAUGUUAUGGAAUUCCUGGUUUGCAGGUAACAUCCAUAUCAAGAUAAAAAUAAGGUGGAGGGAGGGAGGUAUGGAGGGAGAGACUAACCUCAUGUAACGACACAUCUUCCACGUUCAACCCUAUGUGGAGUGGCUUGAUAAAUCCGGCACUUUUUUGGCAGAGAUUCGCAGCUAGCUGCUUUUAGGAUACAUGUACUUGAUGGAAGCUGUAGGAUUUCCAGUAGUUGCUCGCAUUUUCACCCUCGCGAUUCCUAUAAAUAAUCAUGCUCAAUGACGCAUGUUGGAAAGCUAGUAAGAUUGUUUCCACUUUCCAGAUACAUAUGGACAUUCCUGGUUGGAGAUAACAGGAAAGAUUGUUGAGGACCCUUAAUCCAGACAGAACACAGCCCCAAGGUCCAACCAAUUCAAAUUCUAAUGUCCAAUGUCCAUACAUGGUCAGUUAAAUCCCCCUGUUUGCUAUGGAAACUCGACAGGAUUAGAGCAACCUUUGAGAGUCGGGUACUCGAUGUUUCGCAACUCACGAACUCUUGCAUUUGUAGCCCUUUCUCUUCACCUGUCAAGGACUUAUUGACAACAAGAACAUGUACUUCAAUGACCGUAUGAAUAUUGCAGCAAUUAAGAACUUUCUUAAUGUAAUCAAUAGUCUGCCCCUCGAGGAAACUGACUAUAUCGAGAAAAAUCUCCUUUGCGUAUCCUCCAGCCAGGCCAUCUUAAGCGCAUCAUUGAUGCUUUUUUUUAGGAGUUUUGAUAAGUUUAUUCAGUGCACGUCCCAUUCACCUCCUCUUCUACUGCACAAAAUGGAACCCAGACACCUCGAGAGCAAAAGGAAGGCUUUUAGCAUUAUCAUUAUGCAAAAUGGUAUCCCUUAAGAUUCCUCUUUAUUUCUAAGUUCUCGCCCCUUAGAAAAGCUACUUACUGAAAAGUUCAAGGGCCUGUCAUCUAUAAGAGCUUCAACCAAAUAGAUUCAUCCCAACCUAUAAGUAAGAUGAUCCUUUUUCCCUAUACCAAACCACUCACAUCCUCCGACUAAAUCAUUUCAUCUGUCAUGCUAUCGACAUAGGGAAGAGUAUACAUCUAAAAAAUAUGCCUACGUCGAGUAUAGAUUAUUUCACCAGUGUGUCUAAAAAAUUCAAUUAAUGUUUGAUAACAUCACCGAAUCCAUCAUCUGUCCUAAUUAUGUACAUAAUCAGUUACUUCUUUAAUUGGAAAAUUACUGAUAAAGAAAGAGAUAAGAUGAAAAUAUUUUCUUUGUGCUUGCCAUUCUAAAAAUUAAUUGAUAAAACACAAAAACCGAUCCUAGAUUGAUAUUGUAAAAUUUCACAUAAAAAAAAAAACUGAACAACUAAAUAAAUUAUCUUUAAUAUCGAAUCCUAGGGACCAUCUAAUCUGAAAAUAAGAUUCGUACAAUUAUAGUAAAUUUUCGAUAACUCACGAUAAUUAUCCGUGAUAAUCGUGGCGCAACCGAUUGAUAAAAUUUGGAUAAACAUCGGGUCCUAAAAUUGGCGGCAGCAUUGGCGCCGUCGCCACCGCAGGGUCGGCCGCUAAAAUAUCUGUUUUCUCGAGCAAACAGAUAAAAGAAGAGUAUAAGAUCAUCUUCCUUCGUGUGUGCUGUCCGCUCUCGACGGUUUCUCCGAUCUCCGGCGGAAACCAGAGAACCUCUCUCUCUCUCUCUCACUUCGAGCAGAGACGCCUGCGAGCGAUGGACGCGCUCCUCUCUCCGCCGCUCUCGGUGCCUCUCUCACGCCUCCGCUCCGCCGCUUGUCCGGUUCACUGGCCGCCGCCGUCCGCCGUCCCAUCUGCCGGGCUCGGCCUCCUUCUCAAUCCGGCUUCAGUUUCAGCGAAUCGGGCUUCCGGUCCCUGCAAAUCGCCCGCUGUCGCUGCUGCCGCCAGCGGAGGCGCUCUCGCGGCCAAUCCCGUGCCGGUUCGCGCUCUCUCUCUCUCUCUCGUUUUGUGUUUCUAGUACUUGGCGCUUGCGAUCGGUUCGGAAUCUCUUGAUGUUGUUUGUGCUUCGUGAUUCUUUGGUGGAAUGUAUUUGUAAUCUCUCUUACUGGCGCUGUGCUUGUGAUGUGCAACCUCGGAUGAGUUUGAGUCGAUGGCGUUUGUUGGGAAGUCGAUUCUCUUGUUGCGGUUAUGAUCGUAUGACGUUGCAUUACAGGGGAUUAGCGAGUCUCUCUCGUUCAGCAAUCGCAAAAAGUUGCUUCCUUUAGUUCACUCAGCGUUGCAAAUGACUAUACUAAGGACAUGUUUGGUAACCAUCCAAACAGUGCCUGAUUUUGAUUUUUUAUUCUCAGAAUCAAUAUGGGACAAGAAUUGCAUUUGGUAAAAUUUUUGUUCCCAGGACCAAAUUUGUUGCCAGAAGAGAAUCAAGAAUAAAAAAAAAGUUGAUUCUAAUCAGAAAAAAGUUGCUUCCUUUAGUUCACUCAGCGUUGCAAAUGAUUAUAAUAAGGGCAAGUUUGGUAACCAUCCAAGCAGUGCAUGAUUUUGAUUUUUUAUUCUCAUAAUUAAUUUGAGACGAGAAUUACAUUUGGUAAAAUUUUUGUUCCCGGCACCAAAUUUGUUCCCGGAAACAGAUUGGGAAGAGAAUCAAGAAUAAAAAAAAAAAAAGUUGAUUCUUGUUUCAGGAACAAAAUUGAAAAUCAAAACUCUUCUUCUUCUCUUUUCUUCUUUUUCAUUGACCGCCAUCCCGCGACCGCCGCCCGCCACCUGCCGUCGUCUGUCGUCGUCGGUCGCCACCGGUCGCCGGCAACUGGUCCGACGAGCUCACUAGAGACUCUCGUCUGGCCUGAAAAAAAAAAGAAAAAAAGGAAAAAAGAAAAAGAAAAAAAGAAUAGGAGAAAAAAGAAAAAAAGAAAAAAAAAGGAAGAAGAAGAAUAGGAGAAGAAGAAUAAAAAGAAUAAAAAGAAUAAAAAGAAUAAAAAGAAAAAAGAAGAAUAGGAGAAAAGAAAAGGAAAAAAAAAAUUAAAAAAUAAAACAAAAGAAAAAAAAAAGGAAAAAAUUAUAAAAAUUAAAAUGAAUUGAUUUGGAAUAGAAUUAAUGAACACGGUACCAAACGCAAUUCUAUUCCAGAAUUAGAAAUUUUGUACAGUUAGCAAACGCGUUCUUUUACUCAGAAUCAGUUUUCAGGAACAGAAUAAAAAAUAAUCAUUUCUUAUCAGAAUUUGUUACCGGAAUAAAAUCGUUACCAAACGCGCCCUAAGUUUCUCUUUCUAUAAUUUUCUAGGAUUGCAAGCUUUUCACUCUGAAAUAUGGUCAGCUUUCAUGGAUGAGCGCAGCCCCCUCCCCCCCUCUUUUAGAGCUGAUUUAGUGGCUAUAUCAAGAUGUUCUCCUCCUCUGGUAAAUGUUGUCUUCAGUUGCUGUGUCGGGAUGGCUUUAGCAGCUAGGGGGCAGGCAUAUUCAUAUGUUGUGGAUUGGAGCACAAAUAGAACAACAAGCUACAUUUGAUUAAUGUAUACUUUGUGAUCAACUCUGGAGCUUUUUGCAGCAUGUUUUGAUACAGCACCAGAGUUUAUGCCUAUUUUUUUCUUGGAAAAGGAACUGAAUCAGUUGAACACAUGAGUAUAUAAGUAGCAGAAUUUCGGACUAUCCCCAAGCAGAUCUUGAGAAUGAUUGAGCUGCCUAGCUUGCACAUUUUUGCUAGAAAUCAGUUAUUGGAUGCUUUGGUCCAGGGAUUCAAUCGAUCAUGUACAUAACACGCUUGGAUUAGGUGUUCCUUUUUUUCGGUUCAUGUGAUCAAGAUGGAGGAUGUUGUGUCUGCAUUUCUUUUAUCAUAUUAUCCCUUAGAUUCUUCAAGGUAUACAAUUGUUCUACUUGUACCAUCUUUGGAAACAUAGAUUGUGCAUGACAUCUUGUUACCGAGAAAUUUGCUUCUGAUUGGUUUGUUAUUUUAGAGCCCCAUUGCUCUUAACUUUGGCUUAUUUAACUGGAGUCGUAUCUACAAACCUGCCAGGCAUCAGUCAAGUUGGGUUUCUAUUCCUUUGGCUGUGGGAACUCGGUAGAACUACUAUAGCACCCUGCACAGAGGAUCAAUGCAGAAUUUAAAAAAGUUGAAAAAAAAUAAAAAUUGGAAUAUAGUUUUCAAAACACACAGUUACCUAUUAAAGAAAGAAAGUUUUCGAAAGCACACAUCUUCCAAAGGGGCAUCUUGGAUUAUAUAUCUUUAGCUUUCCCAUAAUGACCUUCAGAGUUUCAUAGAACUAGUUCAUUUGUGCCGUUCUGUGGUGGGAGAAACUAUGAAAACAGGAGAGAUAGAGAAAUCUUCCAGCUUCCUAUAGCUUUUAACAUUUGCUAAUCUUCUGUAUCAUAAUUCCAUUUUCAUCUUUGAUGGUUACUAAUGUAUGAUUAAAGGCACUACCGUGCCUGUCAAUCUACCUUGUGAGUUGUGCCAUGGGAACAGAAGUUCCACGAGUAGAUGAACAUAGUGAAUGAGCCUUUACCUGUUCUUAAUCAAGACCUUGAUCGCUUUUGUUGCUUGCCUUUACCUGUUCUUAACAGAAGUUCCACGAGUUGUGACAUGGGAACAGAAGUUCCACGAGUAGAUGAACAUAGUGAACAGAAGUUCCACGAGUAGAUGAACAUAGUGAACAGAAGGUCCGGAGUUUUCACUGUUGCUUCGGCUUGGGAUGUUAUUCGGCCGAGAGGUCAAUCCAUGGUUUGGGCCCCUCUUAUUUGGAAUAGCUCAAUAAUUCCCCGGCACCGAUUCCUUUUGUGGCUGAUUUCCAGAAAUAGACUGCCCACUCAGGUUUUGCUUCUUGCUUAUGGUAGGAUUUCCGAUGCUAAAUGUGCUUUUUGCUCUUGUCGUCCUAAUUCUGUAGAUCACCUUUUCUUUGGGUGUCAUAUUACUGGGGCUUUAGCUCUUUUUUGGGCAGCUAGAAGCAAUCUUCCUUGGCGAAACAACUUGUGGAGGGAUAACCUCCAAUGGGCCAUCAAGUAUUUAUUUGGUGAUUCCUUUCACAUUACCAUCUCUAGGUUCGCUUUUGCAGCUUUAUGUGAUAUUAUUUGGAAGGAAAGGAAUAAUAUCAUUUUCCGUGAUCGGACUCUCUACGUGCCUACUAUGAAGAAACGGCUUGAUAAGGUUGUUGGGAUAAGACUUUGAAGAUUACAGCAGAGCUAGAGCCUCAAUUCGUCUAUCUUCUUGGAUUAAUCUGUUUCCUUCUUUGUGCUUUGUCUUUGUUUUGCGGAGGGUGUUCCCCUUCUUUUGUGCGUCAUUGGGUUACCACAACAACCUUACACCCCUCUUGACAACCCUUUUGUCAUAUUGGGUGCAAGGCCUCCUUGGGUCUCCUUUCUUUUGUAUAUUCCCGCUUUGGGUGAAAGUUAAUAUACACGUUACCUUUACCAAAAAAAAAAAAAAAAAAGGGUUUCUAAAUUAUUGAUGAAAUUAGCGCUAUACGUAAUUUCAUCAUCGUUGCAUGGGUGUUUCUUCAAGGCAAAGAUACGUUAUUAAUUUAACAUCAGUGUUCCAUAUCGAGAAAAUUAUCUAAAAAGAUUUGAACUUCUUGUAUAGCGAUUAAUUCGAUUUCAAAUCUUUCAAUUGUACCAAUUUAAUCCUAAAUUUAAACCUUCUGAUAUUUGCUAGUUUAGUUCUAAACCUUUUAAUUAUGUUAAUUUAGUAAAAAAAUUUACAACGAUUUGCUAGCCCUAAAUCUUUCGACGAUUUGCCAAUGUAAUCCUUCCAACCAAUUAUAUAAAUAAUAGGUUUAGGAUUGAAUAGACAAAUCUUCAAAAGGGGGAAAAGUACCAAAAAAGCCCUAAAUCUAUUACAUUGGUACCAAUUCACUCUUAUAUCUUUCGAUUGGAUCAAUUUAGCUUUAAACCUUUUCGUAUCGAUACCAAUUGAAUUAGUCCAGUCAAUUUAGGCUGGUAAUUAUUGACUUGGACGCCGAUUGUCUUAUAUGGUUGUCCUAUAUGGCACGGCUGAUGUUAACAUGGAUAAUUUUUUAUUUACUUUUUCAUAUUUUUUAUCAAUGUUUUUUUUUCUUUUUUAUUCUAUUUUAUUCUUUUUUUCUUCCAUUUCCUUUCUCUUUUUUCUGUUUCCCUUAUUUUUUGCUCCACUAGUGGCCAGUGGAAAUCCCUAACUAUCAACAAGGGCAAGGGUCAAGAUGCCCUUGCCAGCCUUUGGCCAAGGCUGGAGAAGCUGUCUCACACCAAAUCUAGCGAAGGGGACCUUGUUUGACCAUCGCCUUUAAUGAGGGGCAACCUUGCAGUCCUCUGGCGAUGGCGAGGGCUCUCACCCAGGCAAGGCCUAUGGUGGUGUCUUAGCCCUCGGCAACCCUCAUCGAAAGGCCCGCGAGGUGUCUUGGCCCUUGCCCUCCCCAGUGGCUGGCUUUCUUCGUUAACCCUCAUGCUUGAGGCUCUAUAGCCUCUACCCCACCUGUUUUGUAGACCUUGUGUAUAGUCGACUAGUAUUGUAUAUAAAUGGGUUUGAUAUGUAUAAAGGUGUGAUGUGGUUUUCGAAAAAUUAUGGCCUUACUUUCCUAUCCCAUAUUUGUGUUGUUUGGGGAUAUUAUUCGCUUCUGCAUGCGAAUUAAAAUGAAUGGUCAGCGACGCGUCUAGGACGUCUCUAUUUAAUCGACCACAGAGGGAUGGGCACCCGCUCGGAGGAUCGGGGCAUGACAAUUCCCCUCUGCUUCUGCCAAAUAAAAAGGGACCAAAGACCACAAUCGCUAAGGGAAGGCCAUUAGCAUAGCCCAAAAUACAUCUAUGAGAUCCCUGCUUAUGUCUUGUAUUUGUUUUUUUGGAAAAGCAUAUGAACUUAGAAAUUCAAAAGCUUCACCUUGAUCUUAUGCUUUAACUUCAUAUACCUGGUCUAUCCCGUAAGAAGUUAGUACAUGUUUAUCUCUAAUCAUAAUAAUGAUCCUGUUACCUUUUCCAAACCAUUUACAUUCUCUAGCUAAUGCAUUUAACUAGUCCCCAUGAUCCACAUCAUCAUGCACAAGCAGAAUCUUCCUGUAGCAAAGUCUAUCUCAUAUCAGGUUAACGCCUCCAUCCACACGUAAGACCACUAAAUUUUCUUUCAACAAUAUCUCAGAUAAGAGUGUUUUUUGCAGAUGCACCAGGCCGUUAGGUCUACUGGAAGUUUCUCUAAUAUUUGCAAGAAAGCUACACUCAUCAAACUGACUAGUGAUACUGUCAUGGACAGCUUUAGUGAUGGUGGUCUUCCCUAUACCUCCUGCUUCCCUUAUUCUUAUCAUCUGAACCUCAUCCAAGCACGUACUUAACAAUGAUAUAACUAUCUCUACCCGGCAGCCUACACCGAGCGGGAUGCUUGGCAACACUCAAGGGUACUUGUCCGACUAUAAUUGAGAUCUUUGUGAUGAUGCUCAAGAUCUCGCUGUUGAUGUAGGAGUUGAUGCCGCUGUGAAGCAGAGUCCAGUGGAGGUCAGCGAGGAAGCCGUGGCAGACGUCCCCGCCUUUGAAGUUGAGCAUGAUGUCCAACGGCCAUUUUGCUUCGGAAGAAGGAGAAGGAGAAGGAGAAGGAGAAGGAGAAGACGACAUGGGAAGACAUAAUUGAACGGUCCGUUUCUUUUAACUUUAUUCAGCUUUUAAUUUUGAAUAAUAACCACACAAAAAAAAAAAAACCGACACGUUCCAAUUUUUUUUUAUGAUAUCAAAAAUCUCCUAAAAACAACGUACAUUUAUCAUCCUUUAAAAUUAUUUUUCCUUAUAUCCCUCCUCUUCCAUCUUUACCGCUGCCAUUUCCGUCAUCAUUGCCACUAUCAUCAUCUUGCCAAACCAAGAAGGAGGAAAUUUAAGAAAACGAAAAAAAAAAAAAAAUACAUACAGAGGAGAUUUCACAUGAUUUUGACUAGUGGUGGUUUAAUUUAUAAAUUUCCUCCCUAAGUAUUGGUUUUGUUGUAACUGUAGUUCGGGGCUCCUGUGAAGAGGUUAUUCUUUUUCCUUUUAUCUUUUUGACAAGAAAUGCACUAAGCAUUUACGCACACAACUUCUUGCAAUUGAUAAAAGACGUGUAAGGUCCAAAAUGCACCUAAGCUCCAUCUACAAGGAUCAGAAUGCAAUCCAUUUGCUGUUGGAGAUGACUCAGAAAUUACUUAUGCUAGCUCUUCCAUUCCAAUUGAUGCAGAUUUCUAAGAUUAAACAACUUUGAGUAACAAUUAUUUUUUGUUAUUUUGGCAAAAAAACAUGUCAUAGAGAUCUUUUGUUGGUUGUCAUUAAUUGUUAUAUCAUCGUAACAUUGGGAUAAAUAUCAGAAAAAUCUUAAAUAUAUUGUAAUUGUAAUAAUUCUAUCUUAAACUUUUUCCCAAUUCAGACCUAAAACUUUUGCAUUUACACUUGUUCAGUCCAUUUGGUCAAUUUUGCCCAACUAACAUCGACUUGGUACUUUUUAAAUAAUAUUUUAAUAAUUUUUUGAAUUUUUUUGAAUUUUCUUUUUUUCUUUUCUUUUCUUUAAUGUUGUCCUCUUCUCCUUUACUUAGGGCCUUGCUGCCUCGCUCGCCCAAAUCAAGCGAGGCUGUUGCCCUCGUCUUGUUUGGGCGAGGGCCGCAGUCUCCUCGCUAGGCCAAAUCUGGGGAGGGUGUCGUGGCCCUUACUAGAUCUAAGUGAGGGGCAGUGCACUCGCGCCCUAGCCAGUGAGGGUUGGCUGGCAACCCUCACCAACCCUAAGGGAAGGGGAAGGGGAGAUUUUUUUUUUUUAAAUAAAAGAUAAAAGAGAAAAAAAUUAAAAGAAUUCAAAAAUUAUCUAAAAAAUGUCAUGUUAGUGCCGACUCACUAAAAUUGGUAGGAUUGACUGAACUGUCACAAAUGAAAAAGAUCUAUGACUGAAUUAAUAAAAAAUAGUUUAGGACUAAACUUGCAUAAUUAUAAUAAAUUUAUGACUUUUUUAGUAAUUUUUCCUCAUAACAUCAUUCAAACGAAUUAUAGUCUCCAAAGCUCUUAAGUGAUGGAUAAUUUGUAGACAAGAUGAGCAUCUGUGAAGUUUUAGCAGUAGAUUUUCUAGUUCUCCCACAAUUUAAAUCCCGAAUUUUCCCUCAUUGUUUUUGGGGAAUUGCAUCAUGUGAGAUGCAGCUUGUCCAGUCCUCAAGAGUCACAACAAUCUUAUGACUUCAUCAUUGCAUCCGCGAGGGAGAGGGGAGGAAGUCUAUAACUCGGGCUUCGCUCUAGAGCAAUUUAUGAGGUUACUUAUUAUUAUUAUUUUUUUUGGCUUGCCUCAACACAAAUCUUUUUAUUCUCUAUUAGCAAAAACAUAGAGCGGAUGUUAGUAUAAGGCUAUCCUUUGUCUUCAAAGACUGGUACCUUAUUAAGUGCCAAAUUGGGCUCCUAACGGGAAAGUCCAUGGCUCAUUCGGCAUUCGUCUCCAUCUUCUUCGCUGGCAUCCUCGCUCCGGUUCGAAUCGCCGCGACUCUCUGGCGCUCGAGCGCCGUCUCGCAGCGGCAAAUCUCUACCUCGCUCGAUCAUCUCCGGCGGCAUUGAUUGUCUUUUGGCUAAAUUCUUGGUUGGAGUGUUCGUCAGUGGUUGUUUGCAGAAUCAGAGUAGACGUGAAAGUGGGAUGCGUUGAUGAACAGGUCAAAAAGCAGGGGAAGCAAGCGGAUGACAUGCAGUUUCGAGCUGAGCGUGAUGCUCUGAGCCUGAAAAUUGUCCAGGUGACUGCAGAAGGUAAUUGCUUUUUCAGGUCUGUGUUCCUUGUUAGAAAAAAAUCGCCGACUUGUUUUCAUGAUUUUUUUUUUUUUUUGGAAUGUUUCCGGGAAUAGGUUUGUCUUGUAAAAUGACAGUAAUCCCCUCUGUUUUAGAAGGUGAAUGGUAUGCUCAUCGCAUUACCACUCUGUCGUCAGAACACAACACGCAUUGCAUUUUAUGGUACACCGGUUCUGGAAUACUAUCAUCGAUGUACUAGAAAUUCCUCUGCUGGGAAAACUAUUGCGUUUUCGUAUGAUUUAUCAUUCUGCCUGAGACACUGCAUCUGGAGACAUAUCUUGAAGAAGAGCUCUCUUUGUCGGGGCUUAGUCUCGAGGAUAUUAGAUUGACCCUUCUGAGAUCCAACUAAGUUACUUUGUAAAAUUUCAUGACUAUGUACAACGUCCUAGCAAAAAACCAUCUUCCUUAUUCCCGUUUUCAUUCCCGUAUUUGAAUUAUCAUCUCCAGUAAUUUGCUGCCUUGUAUGAGCUUUUGUAAAGAAUGCUUUGCUAUAGUUUAUCAGGCCCUUGCAGAUCANNNNNNNNNNNNNNNNNNNNNNNNNNNNNNNNNNNNNNNNNNNNNNNNNNNNNNNNNNNNNNNNNNNNNNNNNNNNNNNNNNNNNNNNNNNNNNNNNNNNNNNNNNNNNNNNNNNNNNNNNNNNNNNNNNNNNNNNNNNNNNNNNNNNNNNNNNNNNNNNNNNNNNNNNNNNNNNNNNNNNNNNNNNNNNNNNNNNNNNNNNNNNNNNNNNNNNNNNNNNNNNNNNNNNNNNNNNNNNNNNNNNNNNNNNNNNNNNNNNNNNNNNNNNNNNNNNNNNNNNNNNNNNNNNNNNNNNNNNNNNNNNNNNNNNNNNNNNNNNNNNNNNNNNNNNNNNNNNNNNNNNNNNNNNNNNNNNNNNNNNNNNNNNNNNNNNNNNNNNNNNNNNNNNNNNNNNNNNNNNNNNNNNNNNNNNNNNNNNNNNNNNNNNNNNNNNNNNNNNNNNNNNNNNNNNNNNNNNNNNNNNNNNNNNNNNNNNNNNNNNNNNNNNNNNNNNNNNNNNNNNNNNNNNNNNNNNNNNNNNNNNNNNNNNNNNNNNNNNNNNNNNNNNNNNNNNNNNNNNNNNNNNNNNNNNNNNNNNNNNNNNNNNNNNNNNNNNNNNNNNNNNNNNNNNNNNNNNNNNNNNNNNNNNNNNNNNNNNNNNNNNNNNNNNNNNNGUCUAUCUUGGCCUAAACUUACAGGUGUAGGAGGGAAGCUGGACUCUGUAGUUAUCCACAUUGUUGUAGCUACAGGAACUCGUGAUUGCUACUUCACGGUGGCAAUAUUAUGCAAAUCGACAUAUUUUUCGAAGGAGAUUUGACAAAAUCAAAAAAUGAGAAAAUUGAUACUAACGUAAUCAACUUUUUAGCAUGCAUGAUAAAACUGUAAUGCUUUGCAAUGCCACAAAUUGAUAGUUUUGCUUGUUUCAAGUUGCAACAGAAUCCUUCAUUUUCAAUGGUUUUUUCUCAUAGUGAUGUGUUUAAGGAAAUAAAAUCCUUGCUUGAAGAAUGGACCUGAUAUAUGCAUCUAAGCUGGGAAUUGUUAAUGACAGACCAAUCGUGAAAUGUUUGAACCAUUUAUUAAGGAUGAUGUGCCAUUUGAGGAGUAUUGCAAAACCAUGGACAAUGAUGGCACGUGGGCUGGUCAUAUUAAAUUGCAAGCAGCUUUGCUUCUCUUGUUACACGGAGUAACAUUUGCAUUCAUCAGGUAAGACUGACAGUGAAGUUAUCAACCAUCACCUACAUGAAGUUUUGUUGGUUACGGUCUUUUCAGUCCUUCAGGGGGAACAGCCAGAAUAAAUAAGGAUGUAAUUAGACUCGUCAAUUGUUAGCCUUGCUACUGGGUUUGAAGUUUAGCUGUUUAAGCACGCAUCCUAGAAUUCGUGACCAUUGAAGAUCCCAUGAUUGUUGGUUUCCUGACUCAUUCUUCACUUAUUGAUAUAAUGGCUUUCUCCCCCAAUAUGGUCCUCCUUUAUCUGAGAAGUUAUUCCCCAUCAUUGUUUAGAUCAAAAGACCACUUAGGAGGUUGUUCUCAUAAUGGUUAUAGCUUGUUCUUUUCUGUCUGGUUAUAAUUUGUUACUCUUUAGACUGAAAAAUUGACUCAUCUGAAGCGCAAUGAUAUCUGGCAUGUCUAGCGAUGUCUAUUGUCGCAACAGCAUGUGGAAGGACCAUUGAUGGUGAUGUGCAAAAGAUUUUUUCAGAGAUAUAUUGCACCUUUUAGCACAAGGAGUUCUGACGGUUGCAUAUAAUCCUAAUUCAAAGAAGACUUAAUAUAUCAAACUUGUUACAACAAUGCUGGCUCAUUGAGUGUUCUAUAUGUUCUUGAUGAAUCUACACGGCACUAAUUAGUUUUGAUACAUGCCGUGCAUGCAAAUGUCUGUUCAUUGACACCAAAUGGAACAAUUUAUCUCACUCCUUACUUGAUGCAGAACAUGUCACCUCGGUGGAACAUAAGCAAUUUUGAUCAGCCUGGUGCUCGUAAUGAUCCAUUUGUGAGUUUUCUGAAUCUAGAGACUGAUGUUCUUUGCUAAGGGAGUGCUCAAUACUGGAUGAGAUCUGUUUGUAUACACUUAAUAAUGACCUUUUCUUACAUUGUAUUUUCCCUCAGAGAUUUGAACAUAAAACAUGUUUUUAUUUUUUNNNNNNNNNNNNNNNNNNNNNNNNNNNNNNNNNNNNNNNNNNNNNNNNNNNNNNNNNNNNNNNNNNNNNNNNNNNNNNNNNNNNNNNNNNNNNNNNNNNNNNNNNNNNNNNNNNNNNNNNNNNNNNNNNNNNNNNNNNNNNNNNNNNNNNNNNNNNNNNNNNNNNNNNNNNNNNNNNNNNNNNNNNNNNNNNNNNNNNNNNNNNNNNNNNNNNNNNNNNNNNNNNNNNNNNNNNNNNNNNNNNNNNNNNNNNNNNNNNNNNNNNNNNNNNNNNNNNNNNNNNNNNNNNNNNNNNNNNNNNNNNNNNNNNNNNNNNNNNNNNNNNNNNNNNNNNNNNNNNNNNNNNNNNNNNNNNNNNNNNNNNNNNNNNNNNNNNNNNNNNNNNNNNNNNNNNNNNNNNNNNNNNNNNNNNNNNNNNNNNNNNNNNNNNNNNNNNNNNNNNNNNNNNNNNNNNNNNNNNNNNNNNNNNNNNNNNNNNNNNNNNNNNNNNNNNNNNNNNNNNNNNNNNNNNNNNNNNNNNNNNNNNNNNNNNNNNNNNNNNNNNNNNNNNNNNNNNNNNNNNNNNNNNNNNNNNNNNNNNNNNNNNNNNNNNNNNNNNNNNNNNNNNNNNNNNNNNNNNNNNNNNNNNNNNNNNNNNNNNNNNNNNNNNNNNNNNNNNNNNNNNNNNNNNNNNNNNNNNNNNNNNNNNNNNNNNNNNNNNNNNNNNNNNNNNNNNNNNNNNNNNNNNNNNNNNNNNNNNNNNNNNNNNNNNNNNNNNNNNNNNNNNNNNNNNNNNNNNNNNNNNNNNNNNNNNNNNNNNNNNNNNNNNNNNNNNNNNNNNNNNNNNNNNNNNNNNNNNNNNNNNNNNNNNNNNNNNNNNNNNNNNNNNNNNNNNNNNNNNNNNNNNNNNNNNNNNNNNNNNNNNNNNNNNNNNNNNNNNNNNNNNNNNNNNNNNNNNNNNNNNNNNNNNNNNNNNNNNNNNNNNNNNNNNNNNNNNNNNNNNNNNNNNNNNNNNNNNNNNNNNNNNNNNNNNNNNNNNNNNNNNNNNNNNNNNNNNNNNNNNNNNNNNNNNNNNNNNNNNNNNNNNNNNNNNNNNNNNNNNNNNNNNNNNNNNNNNNNNNNNNNNNNNNNNNNNNNNNNNNNNNNNNNNNNNNNNNNNNNNNNNNNNNNNNNNNNNNNNNNNNNNNNNNNNNNNNNNNNNNNNNNNNNNNNNNNNNNNNNNNNNNNNNNNNNNNNNNNNNNNNNNNNNNNNNNNNNNNNNNNNNNNNNNNNNNNNNNNNNNNNNNNNNNNNNNNNNNNNNNNNNNNNNNNNNNNNNNNNNNNNNNNNNNNNNNNNNNNNNNNNNNNNNNNNNNNNNNNNNNNNNNNNNNNNNNNNNNNNNNNNNNNNNNNNNNNNNNNNNNNNNNNNNNNNNNNNNNNNNNNNNNNNNNNNNNNNNNNNNNNNNNNNNNNNNNNNNNNNNNNNNNNNNNNNNNNNNNNNNNNNNNNNNNNNNNNNNNNNNNNNNNNNNNNNNNNNNNNNNNNNNNNNNNNNNNNNNNNNNNNNNNNNNNNNNNNNNNNNNNNNNNNNNNNNNNNNNNNNNNNNNNNNNNNNNNNNNNNNNNNNNNNNNNNNNNNNNNNNGUAUUUUUCCUGUUUCCCUGUGAUUGGAGUUGAUACUUAUCUUGAAAGUUUAUGGCUUAUGUAUCCAACAUGGUAUCAAUUACCUUCCUUAAAUUCAAGUCUGGAACAUUUUGUCACCCUUGUGCUUUGUUGAAUAAUGUGUACACUUUGGAAAAAAGUUCAUACAUGAGUAAUUUAAAUUUAUACUUACAAAAACAAAGACAGCAGUGAAGAUUUCUCCUUUUUUUUUUGUCUAAAUGUUGUUUUGCAGUGAUCAAGCUCUUGAAUCCAGAAAAAGUAGAAAGGAAAAGAAGCGAGGCAAGAGAGGGUCUGACACAUCCGCACUUUCUAUUGGAUCUGAUGGAGGGCCACCUGAUGUUGGGGCUCUUUGUAUCUGAUCUUUUGCCAGUGUGUGUGCACAAUCAUCAAUUGAAUUCAGACAUCAGUAUGUGUGCAGUCUUUCAAAUAUUAAGGUUAGAUUAGACACAAUUUUUUUCUAUCUAUAUUCGCAUGUAUUUGAUGCAUGCAUCUCUUCUUCGAUCUUCGGGAUAAGAGCACUUUCUAGUUAUCCACCUGGUGUCACUUUUAUUGGAUAGUUUGCCCGUCUGGUGCAUUUUAUACUGGCAAUUGUAAUUUAGAGAUUCUUUGUACACGUAAUUCAUGCGCAUGCACGUAACACCUACCCCAGUAGAUUUGUUGGCACAGUUGUAGGUCAGUUUGGUCAGCAACCAAAGGGGGAAGAAGAUAAGGAAAUUCAGUAAUUGGAUUGCUGUCCCGGGCUAAACCUUUUCAUGAAUAUAAAAGAGACGUUCACAUGAAUUUGACAAGUGGUGGUUUAACUUUUAAAUUCCCAUCCAAAGUAUUGGUUUUGCUGUAUUGGUAGUUUGGGGUUCCUGUGAAGACGUUUUUCUCUUUCUUUAUAUUUCUUUUAUAGGAAAUACACUAAGCAUUUACGCACGCAACUUCUUGUAAUUGAUGAAAGAUUUGUAGAUCCAAAAUAAGCUUCAAUCUCCAUCUACAAGGAUCCGAAUGCAAUCCUUUUGCAGUUGGAGAUGACACAGAUAUCACAUAUACUACCUCCUCCAUUCAAAUUGGUGCAGAUUUCUAAGAUUAAAUAACUUUGUUAUUUUGGCAAAUAAAUGUGUCUUAGAGAUCUUUUGUUGGUUGUCAUUAGUUAUUAUAUCAUCAUAACAUCAUUUAGACCAAUUAUUGUCUCCAAAGCCCAUAAGUGAUGGAUAAUGUGUAGAUAUCAUGAGCAUAGGCAAAGUUUUAGCAGUAGAUUUUCCAGUUAUCCCACAAUUUAAAUUCUGAAUUUUUCUCAUUGUUUUUGGGAAUUGCAUUGUGUCAGAUGUGGCUUGUCCAAUCCUCAAGAAUCAAAACAAUCUUGCGGCUUCAUCAUUGCAUCCACGAUGGAGUGGGGAGAGAGUCGAAUUGUGAGCAGAAAACUGAUGCUGAAAGAAGUCUAUAACUUGAGCUUCUCCCUAGAGCGACUUAUUAGGUUAAUUACUAUUUUUUGUUGGCUUGCCUAAAAAAGAAAUCAUUUCAUUCUCUAUUAGCUGCAACGUAGAGCACACGUUAGUCUGAGGUUAUCCUGUCUUCAAAGACGGUCACCUUAUUAUUCUUGUAUACUACUUUCUCCUAAAAUGGGGAUAUAAAAAAUCCGUACAUUUUCAUCUAAAAGCUUAAUAAGCUUCAAAUCUCGCAUGGUGAUGCUGCUCUAAUAAUUUAGGGAGUUAAGCGAUCGGUUGAGCUAAUAAAACUCCACGUGUAGAUUAAUUAAUUCCAUGUAACAAGUCAAAUACACUUGAUACUUUUGCAAGAUAGCAACGUGUGCCUUGUGAGCCCCAUUUUCAUUCAAAUGGGGAUCCAACAUAUGGGAGGGCAUAAUUGCCCACUGAUAUGGGAAAAUGUAGACAUCCCGAGAACUUUAAUGCGAUAAAAGCGUCUUCGGCUUGGCCUAUGCCGUGAUGUUCCGUGGAUGUCUAUGCCGUGAUGUUCCGUGGAUGUCUAGGCCGGUAAGUGGACUUUUCCCAUCAUGUGCCGUUGUCGAACAAGUUUGUUCAACCUGCUUCUUCAUUGUCCUUGAGAAGAUGGUCUCUAAACGCCAGUUGACCAAACCUAGGUCCCUUCCAUGAGAUAAGUUUACCUAGCCACUAACUCGGUGUCUAGUAUAACAGACUUUCUUAUUAAAUACUUCGAUAAAGUUCUGAUUUACAAUAAUCCAUGUAGUUGUUAGCCAUGUAUUUAAGGUCUUCUCUUGUGGUUAUGUUCAAACUUUUUGUAUUAUGAAUUGAGAACUUGAACAGUAAAUACAUGAUGCGUUGUUUUUAAAUCUCUGGUCCAUUGAUUUUGUAGAUUGGCUCUGCCGGGUUCAUUCCAAUCUCAGUAUCGAAGGACCAGUAUUAGAUCAACCAUAGUUUAGUUGGAAUAUAGAUAGUGUAAGAAAAUGAUCAUUGAGGAGUGUUAAUCAAGUUUAGAAUCACCACAAAAAAGAGGUGUGUUAAUACAAGGGACAAAGUCAUGAUGUUAUAGGACGCGGUAGGGACGUGUGGCGUAGGAAGGAAAUCAAUUUCAAAAUUUAAGCAUCAAGUAAGACGACCGGCAUUUUAUUAGAUCAAUAUAAUUGGCUGGUCAUAUUAUGUUAGUUGUUAGUGAUGUGACUAUUGAAUAAAAUAUUUUUCUCAAACAAGGGGAUAGUCUCUCGAGAGGUUUUCGAAUGCUAUAACUUCCAAGCUUGUGAGAACUUUGAGGAAGCCUACUCCCUUUGAAGAAAUGCUACUCAUCAUCAUCUAAAGUUGCAAGGAAUUUCUAGCAAGUACCACUGUUGAUAUGCACUUAGUAGUUACUAAAUAUCCAUACCAUCUCUUACGAAGAAGGAAUUUACUAUUAUAUUGGAUAAUAUCUAAGUGGUAGGAUCAUCAAGAUAUAAACUCUACAAUCGAAUUACUAACCUUAAAAGAAAGUUACUAACUAUAGACAUAGCGGUGAUCAUGAGGACCCCAUGGGACUUAUGACCGAUGGAAAAAUAAUUACAAUGUACAUAUACUAUUAGUUACAAAUAAAGAGGGAAACUGCUGUAUCAAGGAGAAUUGCAAAAUGAUAGCAUCCUCGACUUAAGAAUAAUGAAUAGAUGCUCACGAUGGAAAGUUAAUAAUCAUAGGUGCAGUAUUACUUUCGAGGAUUUCAAGUUAUUUACAAUUGUUCUAGAAUAUUUACUGAGAAAUUUCGUCAUUUAUUACGACUAUUUGAUGAAAUUUACUAUAUUAAGUUGAAGUUUACUAACGACAAAGAUUGACAUUCGGGCAUAACAAAGAUUAUUCUAUGGCGGGCAAAGAUCAACAUAUGGGUCUAACAGGAAUAUGUAUAAAAACACGUAAGUAGUGCCGCAAGCCUUUUCUGCUUCUCCUAUAAACUGCAUGAAAAAACCUUGAAAUUGCCCAAGCAAGGGGAAAUGAUCCUGGGAAAUAAAAUAUUAAUACGGUUUCAAAAGGGAUAGAGCACAGUAGAAGUCCUAAACUUUGCUGUAAAAAUGGAAUCAAGUCUUACAACUUAAAAAAAAAAAAUUACAAUCAAGUCCAAAAACUUAUCUAAUUAGUACAAUAAAAAACUUCCGUCAACUCUGUCCAAUUUGAGCAUCGGAAAAUACUAGCAUGUCAUCUUUUGAUAUGUUUGAGUACACAUGCCAGAGACACUCGAGCUAGACAUGGUGCCCCGUUCUAAUAAAUUUAAGUGUCUUGUUUGCCAAGUCACCCUCUAUCCCUUCACAUUAAUUUGAAUAGGGCAGAGAGAUUGAAUUGAUCGCCAUGCGUUACUCCAUCAACAAGACAGAUGUCCAGUUCCUAAUUUGUCUCUCUGGCUUCUUAAUGACAGCUUCCUUAAGAGCUUCGAGCCAAUACUACUCCACUUGCCUCUUCCCGAUUGGUCUUUCAUAUGCCUCCAGUUCCUCCAUUUGACCGCCGGAGAAAUUUGCAUAAGAACUCUCUAUACUCUAAUUCACAAAGUGAAGCUGGAUCUACUAAUUGAUUGUCCUCAAGCACAGCCUUCGAUUCAUCAUCCAGUUGCUUGCAUCUUAGCAUAUAUCCCAACUUUUCCAUGGUUCCACCCGACACUAUGAGUGUAAGGCUAAAUCGUAAGUAAUCCUCGUCAAAUUCAAGAAAAUCAACUGCUCCCUCCAACAUUCCCCACAACACAUUUGGUUUGAGAUACUGAAUCCAUAUGUGACCCGAAUCAAAUGAACCAAGAGUUCCUGAUAGCACAUUCCGUCUUUGACCGUUAAUGUGGGGCACGAUGUUGAAAAAUAUUUCCUUUUCUCCAUUUUCUACAUUGAAAACAACACAGAGAACCAAUCCCAAGAACUUAUCAUAAAAGUCCCGUGAAACCAUGAAGGAUAUGGUACCGCCUUCAACAGAGACAAACUCCUCUGGCAUAUCUCCUCCAGGAAUAAUAUUUUUGUAGGAAGUACAAAUUCCGGAAUAGCGAUACUUCUGCUAUAACGGUAAAUUGUUAGACGUACUCAAAUUGAUAAUGAGUUCAAAUAGAAGAGUUUGAUUUGAGAAUUUUUCUUGUAAUUUAACUAAAGCUAGAGUUUUAUAAUAAAUAAACAUGUUAGAUCCUUCCUUGCCUUAUAUGUAAUACUCAUGAAAUCAUUCACUUGCGAGUGUUAUAGCACCUGUAUUACAUGUAAGUGUAGAAUCACUUUAUGUUAGAUUUGCUCGUUUGUACAGAAUUUUCAGUUUUUGCAUUAUACAAACACAGUGCGCCCCCCAUCCGCUCCAACAAAUCAACACAUGCACUUAUGAAUGCGCGCGCAUCUGGACGGGGAGAGAGAGAGAGAGAUACCUCAACUGAAAAGUCAGCCAUGAUAUCGGCGUGUCUGGAUACAUCCCGGGUACAGUCGUCUUCUUCUAUACUUUCACGGUCUUCCUCUGACCAUGUUUUUCUGUUAUCUUCAUGGUUCAGCCACCGCUAUUACAUAUAGGUGCAAAAUCACAAUAAAUUAGCUUGUUUUGUUUACCUGCAUUUGCAGCUUUUGCAUUAUACAAACUCAAUGCACCCAUAUCAAUCAAACACACACACAUCACAAUCGCGGGGAGGGAGGGAGGGACACCUGAAGUGAGAGAUGGGCCGAACUUUCUUCCUCUGUGGUCGUUUCUUUAUUGUCAUGCCAAAUCUCAUAGAGCAAAGCUGGAUCUAGCAACUGGUCGUCUUGAUACAAAGUCUCCAAAUUGUCCUCUAGCGGCUUGCAUAGUAAUCGAAAUCCGCACUUUUUUACAAUUGCAUCACCCAAUGAUCUAACACCAAUCUGGAAAGAACUCGAGUCAUUUGCACCAAAAGGGUCUACUCCCCAUAGCUCCUCUAUUUCAAGAUACGAAAUUUUUACAUGAUUUGAAUACCAUCGACAAUAUAUGCCAUCGCCUGUAGUCAUGUUUUUGCCAUUAACGUAGUGAUAGAAACGCAAAUUGCCCUCUCGUUUGCCUCGCUUUGCUCGAUAUACAACGCAGAUAGCUAAUACCAAGAACUUCUUAUACAAGUCCUUCGAAGCCGUGAAAGAUAUAUAACCCUCUUUAUUCGGGAGCAACCAUUGCGGCAUCUCUCCUCCAGUCAGAAAAGUGUUGUUGCGAAACAAUUUGGAAAAAAUGGGCUGUCAAAGAUGUAAAUUGUUAAGACAGUAUUUCGAAUUUGGCACUUGAAAAUGAGAAGUUUCAAUGAGUUAAGUGGAUUGACGAGUUUAGAAAUGGUUAACAAUAUAUGUACAUGACUCUGCAUUAAUCCCCUGCUCUUCUUGGGGGGAGGGGAGGGNNNNNNNNNNNNNNNNNNNNNNNNNNNNNNNNNNNNNNNNNNNNNNNNNNNNNNNNNNNNNNNNNNNNNNNNNNNNNNNNNNNNNNNNNNNNNNNNNNNNGGGGCUAAAUACGGGCCAGAAAUGGGUGAGGACCACGAACAAUUGUCGACAGUUUUAGUCCUAGGUGGAAUGAGCAUUACACUUGGGAGGUUUCGAUAUAUGCAGCGUGAUCACCAUAGGGGUUUUCGAUAAUGGCCAUAUCCAUGGGGGAGGAGAUAAAGGUGGAGGUGGAAAAGAUUCAAGAAUUGGCAAGGUAAGGAUUCGACUGUCCCACGCUCGAAGCUGAUAGAAUUUACACACACUCCUACCCCCUUCUGGUUCUACAUCCUUCGGGGGUGAAGAAAAUGGGCGAGGUUCAGAUGGGGGGGGGAGGAGAGAGAGAGAGGUCUAACCUUCCGAAUGACCAGGUCAGGACAUGAUAUGUCAAUUUUACUUAGAGAUUCACAAUCAUCUGCCAUCAAUCCCUCCAAUUGCUCUGGCAUCUUACCAAUCGCUUGUAGCUGUCGGCAUUCUGAAACAAACAAUGCGCGUAACUUAUGUAGCUGCCUGCAUGUUGGAAGCUUAGCAAAAUUGUUUUUGGACAAAAACAAUACUGUUAAGUACGGAAAACAUGAAUUAUUCUCUAGGAACUCUACUUCUUGUAGAUUGCAUCCUUCAAGCCCUAAGAUUUGUAGCUUAGGAAAUCCCGUCUUGCCAUGCAGAACACUAAAAUCCCCCUCCUUUGGAAACUUGAUUAGUUUUGAACAACCAUGAAGUAUCAAGCUCUCAAGAUUUGGCAACUUGUAAAUGGUAGAUGGGAGGUUUGCCAGUUUCUUGCAAUCAAUUAAACUCAAGUUCUCCAAAGAGACAAGAUUUUCUAUGGAAGUAGGAAGUUCCUCAAUUGAAGUCCCUUUUAAAUAAAGUUCUUUCAAGCCUUCGAUUUUAUCCGGAAUAUCAGGGAAUAUUUGCAACUUUGAGCAACCAGUAAGAUUGAGAAUUUCAAGAUUCUUGGAUUGGAGCACAUUAGGGAGCUGAUGAAGGUUAGAGCACCCUUUUAAAUUCAACAAUUGUAGCUUGGCGUGAUAUGCAACUGAUUCGUGAGCACGCUCCAAAUUUUUGCAUCCAUGGAGAUCCAGUUCCUUGAGAUUUGGAGUCAAAUUGAGGUCCGGAAUACAAACCACCGAUGGACAUUUACUGAAUUUAAGGUACUUCAAAUUUCCAAAGGCCUACAAGAAACAAAAUGGAAAAAAAAAAUGAAGAUAGAAAUACUUAAUGAAAAACACUUUGGAUCAUCAUUCAAGCCCAGUGUGAUCAGAAAUUAGUUGAUCCUACGACGUAUAUAGAGCACUCCCUCCCCCUUUUUACAUGAGUUUAUUGAGCGAUCCUUGGCCAAAAGAGAAGACAAAACAAGAAUAACACUCGUAAUUCCAGUACACGCUAGAUGAUCUUUAUGAGGAGUUUUAGUAGAAAACAUCUAAAACAUUGGGAUAUGUUAUUGGUUCAAGCCGAAUUUGCAUAUAAUAAUUUGACGAGUCAAACUAUUGGAAAAUGCCAAUUUGAUGUCGUGUAACGAACGCAUCUUUUAAGUCCUUUGGAUCUUACACCAUUAUCCCCCUAUAAUAUGAAGAAAGAGCUAAGACAAAAAGUUACAUGAGGAAGUAAGGAUCCCAUUCAAGCAAAAAGAAACAUAGAAAAGCCUGCUGUUUUUGAAGAAGGUGAUCUAGUCUGGAAUUCAUUUGAGAAGAGCACCUUCCACCUAGUCGUCGUGCUACGGAUCGUUCUUUUCUAGUUUUGGAAAGCAUAGACAAUAAUGCCCCCAAAAGUGAGCUUUGUGGAGCAAAUGGUGUCUCCACUAGUUUCAAUGUUGUUAAUCUAUCUCUAUGAAGUUGGCCUCGAGGAGAAGUCUUUUCAAGAUUUCAAGAUUCUGUCUUGUGAAUAGAAUAAUAGGGAUAAAAUAUAUUUUCUUGAUCUGCGAGACGUUUAUACUUUUUAGGAUUGCUUUAGUCUCGAUUACAAUAUGAUUAUAUUGUAACUUGUUUGAAUUUCGCAUUUUAGGUUCAUUUUUCUUUACUUGUAGGUUACUCAAAGGUAUCUUAAGCUCCUACUUAUAAGUGCUCUCUCAGUCUCUCAUAGUAAACACAAUGAAUUUAUUAAAUGAAGUUCCAUUGUAUUUUUUUUUCUCUGUCUUUCUCUCUGUCCUUUCGGGGGAUUCAUGAGUGAUCAAGAGAGUGUUGCAUCCUUGGAGUGGCCUACUAAGGUGGUGAUUUGGCUGAGGGAGACCUAGAUUAUGUAGUCUCUUCCUGUCCUCCAGAGCGGGGAUUUUCCACUUCAUUAAGAUUGAAAAACCCCUUUUAUUUAUUUGUUCGUUCAAUACAUUCCGACGUCAGUCUGGCCGACAAGCAUGACAGCAAAACUGAAAGCCCACGAAGUUUGUCUCAUUUGAGGCAUAUGAAGUAAAAACUAUAAGAGUACGCACAAGAUUUGAAAAAAAAAUUGAUAUUUGAAAAAUUGAGCAAAACCACCAAAUUAGAAAUAUUGAAUGGAAAGAGAUUGUUGGUAAAUACACAAUACACAAACAUAGAAUAUAUGUAGGAUAUUUCAAAAUUAAAAUUUGCAAUAAGAAACUUGUUGUAGGGUUAGAAAAGAUUAAAAUUUAGAUUGUGAAACAUGUGAGAGAUCAAAUAAAUUAAUAAUUUAAGCACCUCUCUAUGAAUAUUAUAUUUGUAAAAUAAGUAAUCGAGACAUUUUGGGGAAGAGAUUAAAUUAAAAUCCUGUGGAAGGUCACAUUUACCUUGUACAAUAGUAUAAAUAUAAUUAAUAAAUACAUACAUAACUUUAUAUUAGAUUUAGGUUUUAAUAUACUUAAAUUAGCAAAGCAAGCCCCUCACUUCUCUUUAGAAAGCUUUAUUAGUCAUGUGUGAAAGCCGUGUCGCGCAACUAGCGUCCUAGAUGUGGUGCACUAGUGUCUCUAUAAAGUAAGAAUCUUCCAUGGAAUUGUACUCCACAAGCCUUUAUUUAAAAAAGCGCGGGAAGGAAUGGAUGGUCAAUCUAUCUCCCCCUGAGAGUUGCUUUUCAUCCCGUGAUUUCUUACUUAGGAAUAUAUGGAGUAAGGGCGCAACCGAAUGGCCCGAUUGAAGGGAAAGGAGGGGAACGUGUUACAUACUUGGAAGAAGAAGGAGAAACUCCCAGUUAUAUUUGAAAACGAAUAUUUUAUCCAUAAAGAUGAAGAUAACUUUCUUGGAGUUCUGCUUAUUCCUCAUCCUAAAAGUAAAGAAGUACUUGACAGAAAUCUCUAGUUAGGUCGGUACAAUAAAAAGAGAGGGGACUUUUGGGGCUGACUUACAGUAUAGACUUAACUCCUUCAAAGAUCUUUCAUUGCAUUAUUUCUAUAUAUCUCUUUUCAUUAUCGGCUGCAUUCUAUUAUAGAAACAACAACAUGAGGUUCAAUCAAAAGUACUUAGCAUGCAUUCGCUUCAAUGAUAAAGCAAAUAAACAAGAAAAAUCUCAUUCUAUUUUCAUAUGCAAUUUAAAAAAGAAUCUAGUAAGCUCGUCUCUUAUAUAAAAUAUAGAAUCUUUGAUAACAUUUUCAGUAACGAUCAUUUCAAAGGCAUACAAAUUAAAUCCUUAGUUCAUGUUUAUUAAAGUACUAAGCACAUUUAUCAUUCAAUUGUUAAAUUAUGUCAUCAAUAAGUUCUUGUUCCAAUUUUCGGUAUUAAAGUUACUGACCGCAUAUGUUGCAUUCAGAGUUUUCAAUAAUUCAUAUACAUAUCCAUAAUCGUAUGCAUACAAAUAUAGAUAUAUAAGAGAUAAGUAAAGAAAGACAAUUAAUUUUAAAUGCGCACCUUGAAUUGCUCCCUCACGACUUGGAUGUUGGUUUUGCGCAGAUCAAGCCCAACCAACUUAUUUGGACAAGAGGAAAAUUCGGGAAACCAAGGACAUUCAGGCCAUUCAAACCAUCUCAGUUCAUUAGGAAGACAGAUAGGACCUUGGAAAGAGUUGUGCACAUUAAUCAUGAUGAGCAACCUCAAUCUUCUCAUGUUUGUGAAAGCAUUGGGACCUAUGUAUAUUGCUUCUGUCUUAGGUAGAGCCAAAACUAUGGCUUUUACUGCAUUUGUUCCCUGCAUUUAUAGAACUUGCAUUGCAAUUAGUAUACGAAGUCAGAGAAGAAGAGAGUAAAAUCAGUGUUUAAACCACCAAAACUUACCAUAUCCCCUGAUAGAACAUCACGAACAUCUUCACAAAGCCAUAACCUGCUCCGUCUUCCAGGAUCAUCGCAACAUUCUUGUUUAACAAUAUCCAUGCCCAUCAACUGAAUCAAGUCAUGCAUCUGUACUUUCCUCCAUUCUUUAGUUAUUAAGGACUUCUCAACAAGGACUUGCACUCCAAUAGUCGUGUCAAAGUCGCAACUGUUAAGGACUUCUAUAAUGUACUCUAUAGAUCGCCCCUUGAAGAAACAUGCAAUAUCAAGGAAAAUCUCCUUUGCAUAGUCUUCUAGUCCAUCGUAACUUAACUUGAGAACACCAUUGAUGGUUUUGUCAGGACUUUUAGCAAGUUUGUUCAAUGCGCUUUCCCACUCCUGUUCUCUUCUACCACAUAGGAAAGAGCCCAAUACCUCAAGCGCUAAAGGAAGACCAUUAGCAUAAUGCAAAGCACUAUCCACAAGAUCCCUCCUUAUCACUAUUUCCUCACUUCUAAGAAAAGCAUGUUUAUUGAAAAGUUCAAGAGCUUCCCGAUACCAUAGAGUUUUAACUUCAUAGAUAUGAUCUUCAUCUAUCCCAUGGACAGUUAAUAGAUGGUUAUCUCUCGUAGUAAUGAUGAUUCUGCUUCCUUUACCAAACCAUUCACGCCCUCCAGCUAAAGCAUUUAAUUGUUUUACGUCAUCGACAUCGUCGAGAACAAGGAGGACCCUUUUGCGGCAAAGUCUUUGUUGUAUCAAAUUAAUACCUCCAUCAACACUAGACACUGUUAAAUCUUUUCUCACUAACUCGGACAACAAUUUUUCUUGCAGAUGAACUAAAUCCUUGGAAUCUUUUGAAGUUUCACGAACGUUUGCCAAAAAACAAGGAGCCUCAAAUCCUCUGAAUAUAUCAUUGUAAAGGGCUUUGGCUAAUGUUGUUUUUCCUAUGCCUCCUUGUCCCCAUAAUCCUAUCAUGAGAACAUCAUCACGAGACUCAAGAUUUAACAUUGAUUUCAGCUUUACCACUUGUCGAGGUAUUCCAACCGGAUGCUUGGCAACGUGUAACGGUGUUCGGUCUAGCUGCAUAGAGAUCUCCUGCACAAUUCUCUUGAUAAGAUCCGCUUCCGCUUCAUCUCUGACAAAAUCCGGAAAGGUACUAGAUACAUCAAUUUCCAAAGAUAAUUAACUUUCGUGGAAAAAGAAGAAGAGAUUCAGCAUAUAAAAAAGAAAAAACAAAGCAGUGUCACAUCAAUCACUACUUAGUACUUACUUAUCCUUGAAUUCCCACCCGGACAAGCUACCUGCAUCAAGGAGAGCCUUCUCCCAUCUCUUCACUUUCUCUAAAUCUCUCCCAAACUUGUUCUCAUGCUUAACCAUAGCUUUUCGGUAGUUCCCUCUUGGCGUUCUCACUUCUCUAGGAUCCACUUUGUAAAACACCGGUAAUACCGUGAGUCCUCUUUGCUCCUUGCACUCCAUGAUUUUCUCCACCUCUUCCAAACACCACGGUGAGGAAGCAUAGUCCUCGGAGAAAAUGAUGAUCGCGAUACAUGACUCCUCAAUUGCCUUCAUAAGCGCCGGCUUUAUACAGUCGCCUUUCCGAAGCUCCUCACUAUCAACAUAACUGUGGAUUCCUUUUUGGGCAAGCGCCGCGUAGAAAUGACUGAGGAAGCUCUUUCGAACGUCCGUACCUCUGAAACUCAGGAAGACGUCAUAAUUCCCUUUCAGAUCUGAAGAAGCAGCCAUUAGAGGAGAUGAAGUUUGAUUUGUUUCCUCAGAAUGCUUAGUGUCUGGUCGGGUUGCAGCUCUAUCUCUCAUAUGGAUAUCACUUUGUACUGAUAAAGAAAUAGAAACGAAAACCAAGAUCAUUUCUGAUGCUCCGAGUCGAUAUGCAUAGUCUCCAACAACUAAUUUAACAAAAAGCAGCAUUUUGCAUAAGGUGCACAGAACCAUCCUAUAUAGGUGCUUCUUGACUUGCCUUUUCCAUUAAUAAAAGAAAUAGAAAAGAAAACUAGCAAGAUUCCCAUGCUCCUGGUGCUAAUAUACAUGAGUCAAUCGCAAAACACCGCCGGUUGGAGUAUUAUUUAUAAUGAACAAUCUGACUUUUUUCUUUCAAAAGGGCUUCUACAAAAGCAAAUCCCAAAAUAAAUUUUCCUCACUUUUCAAACUAAAAUUUUCCAUCCCAUGUCUUGCAUUGAACGGAACAAAUUCGAAUCUGUUCAGGCAUUUCUUCAAACACGUAGUGGGCAGCGAGUUGGAGAGAGAAUAUGGACCUAUUCGGAGCUCGAGCUCACACUUAAACUCAAGAGAAAUCAGCGAGCAACGUUCAAACUUAAGAAAAACCGACUCGUUCAGAUCCGACGCGAGUGAGGACUAAAGAAAUCGAGCUUGCUUUGCUCUUUUAAAAUCAAGCGGGACGAGGCAAAAAAAAAAAAAGAAGGAACGAGCAUUCAAUCGUGGAGGCCCUACCUGGCUCGGAUUCCGUGGGCAUCAUCGGCGGCGAAGGUUGAGAAUAGCGACUCCAAACUCGUGUCAGGCUUCAGUCGACUCCACCGAGGUCAGGGAAGGCGGCGACGUAUGGCAGCGGGCGGACGAUGUUCUGGAGGUGGCGGACGGCGUCGAUCGGCUGUGGAUCCGAGGUUUUGUGGGGGGCUUCAAUGGCGACCGUUCCCGGAGUAGAGAAAGACCAAGAUGCUUUUUUUUCUUUUUUCUUUUUUCGUGAGAGUAAAUAAGUAAGUGACAGUGAAGGAGUGAGGUAGGAUUCCGGGAAUGGAAUGCGAGAGGAGUCGCCGGCGGGAGGUAGUCGGACGGAGAUGGUGGAGGUGGCUGGUCGGUUGAGUUCAGGAGAAAGGGUGGGGAAUGCUUUUAUGACCUUUCCAGAAAAAUGCUCCCUGAACAUGGUGGUCUCCCCUUAAUCCCUUUCCGUGAACGCCACCCGCCUUUUUUAUUUUUUAUAUUUUUUAUGGGAAAUUGUGUCUCUUUUAAGAGAGAGCGCGAGUCCCUAUAAAGAACUGCCCUUUCAGAUUCAAAGAAGCGGCCAUUAGGGGAUGAAAGUUUGAUGUGCUUCCGCAGAGGCCGAGGGUAGUGGAGGCAGGCGGCGUAACUGGCGGGGGGCGGCGGAUGGCGAGGAAGAAGAAUAAUAAAAGAAAAAGAAAAUAAAGAAAAAGUUACCUUGCUUAACUUUUUAUUUCUUUUCAAAUCUAUUUUCAGAUUACUAUUCUAUUUUGAAGAAUAGGAAAAUUAAUUAACAUUACUAAAUGAAUUUUUAUUUUUAAUUUUCAAAAAAAGUGAAAAAACAUUAAAUGGAAAACCAAAGGAUAAUUUAUUGCACGUCUAAUUUCUUGCCUAAAGAUUAUUGUGUCAUCACCCCAUCACCCAAGUCACUUUGAUCUCACUUCUUAAAUUAUUUUUGUUUUUGACACUUCACAUUUAUAUUAUACUUUUAACGUCACAUUUAGAAUUUCUCAAUUAAGGGGUAUCAACGAUCAAGUGACUAUUUAGGAAAUACUCCUUUCCUUUUUAUUCCAUUUUUAUUUAACCUUUUAUUCCAUGCUAACACUCUUUUUUUCUUGACUCUUUAAGUAAAUAUUAUCACUUAUUCAUCCGAAGGUGUUUAUCAUUAGUGAUUAGAUAUAAUGAAUAAACUAUAUUACAAUACCAGCUUUAUCUUCCAAUAAAAAUAGGAGCCUUACAACUUUGAAUGGCAAUCAUGUAUAGAGGAUUCCUGGAAUGGGAUCUUUUGCUUCACCAUCUCAGGGAUAUUAUUUAGUGCAUAUACAGUUGCCUUUUCACGAGUUCUCAUGCAGGAGCUUUUGGACAAUUCUUGCCAUAAAAGGAUUGCGAAAGGUUGAGAUUUCUAUUUUGCAUGGGUCAUAGUUUGACUUGUGGAUGAUGUCGUGGGAACUUGAAAUCUAUGAGUGAUUUCAAGUGUUUUUCUUUCUUUUUUCCUUUCCUUUCAUAUCAAAUGAAAGUACUAAAUCCUUUUAUAUAAAGUUUGUGCAUUCUCUCUUGAUUUGAAUUACUGAAUUCAUCUAGUACUAUUAUAGUAUUUUGGUGCUCCGUAGAGGGCCUUAGGAUUCACCUUAGAAUCAAGAAUUACCCAUUAAGGAUUGAUUCCGAAGAAUUGGAACCGAGAACUGCUCAUUGAUUCUAUGGAUUCACCUAGCCCAUUCUGAUUCCUAGGUGGGUCCAUGAAAUCAAUCCUCAAUUCCAAUCCCUCACCACCACUUUGGCAUCCCUCACAUGCUUCGAGCAUGAUGGAGUACCUGAGAUGCCAAGAUGUGGGCAACACCUACCUCUUACCGCCACUUUUGUCGAUGGCAUGAAACAAGGUCUCCUUAGUUGGAUGAUGUUUUCUAAGCAUUGCAAUCAAAAGAGAGAUUUUUUAAUGGGUCGGCAAGAAUGAUUUAAAGAUUUGAAUAGAAGACAUCAUAUCACUUUGUUUUCACAUUAAAUAGAGUGGGUAACUAAUUACUUAAGGAGUACUUACUAUCUGGUUAAUGACAUGAAACACGCUGAGUAUAUGGUUGCACGUGUUCAAACAUAAAAGGCUCAUCUUCCAUUCUUUUACUAUUGAGAAUUGGAGAUUGUGUAAACAGGGUACGAGUCAAGCCAUACUGCAAACCAAUAGAAAAAACGAAUUGAAUACCAAACACCCAUGUCCUACAACGAGAUGUUGCAACUAAUAGAAAUAUCAAGCCUCUCCAGUUAUAAUUUAUCUAGUAAGCUGAACAUGACCGUUCAAAACAAAUAAGAAAAAGAAAGUCAUGUCAACCAAAAAGUUUACAUUUUAAAGCUCCAACAUUGUACACGCAACAGUGAUGUGAGAAGUUGAUAACAAAUGUUCAUCUUAUAACAUGUCUUUGUUUUCUUUAUCCAAUCAAUUGCCCUUUUCAGUUGCCAUAUCUAAUUAAUCCAAGUAAUAGACAUCAUUGAGAAUGGCAUUAGCCAAUGAGAUUGCGAUUCGCUCCAGGGAAAAAAAAUGAAAAGCAAAACAUACGGAUAAUUGUCCAAAAAGUCCUAAACCUUGUAUGAUAGUCAACUCAAUUUAAAAAUUUUCAAUUAUGCCAAUUUAGUCCUAAACAUUUUGAUAAUUUGUCAAUUUUGCCAUAAGCCUUUCAAUUAUAUCAAUUUAGUCUUAAAAUUUUUGCAAAUUUAUCAAUUUAGUCCUAAAACUAUUAUUUCAAUAAUUGGCCGAGAAAACUACAUUGACAAUCAUGGCCAAAUGAAUCUGGUCAAGAUUAGUUCAGAGGUUGUCUCACCAACUGGGCGUUUAACCAUUGUCAAUCUAGGACAAAACGACAGUUUGCCAGCCAUUAUGGUCAUUAACAAAUCUCAUCUGGCCUAAAUCAUCUCAAUAAAAUAGUGAAAAGCCACUCCCUAUUUUAAAAUAAAGCAAAGUGAAGAGAGGCAAAGUGAAGAGGCAAGUUGCCGCCUCUCUUCACAUAGAAUACAUGCACAAUACUUGCUAGCUGGCAUGCACCCCAAUUUCCCGCUGAGUACGGAUUAGAAAGAGAAAGAAACACGAGCCUAACUAUUAUUUGUUUCUUUAAACGGUCUUCAAUCAAGCAUCAGAUUGAUUUUCAUUAGAGUGUGUUUAUUUCGCGAAAAAUGAGUAAUUUAGAAAAUAUUUUUCAAAAAAUAAUUGUUUGUAUCAAUUACAAAAAUAACUAAAUAAAAAAUGUUUUCAUUGUCUACAAAAAUAGAUAAGCAUAGAUUAAUAUCAAAAUUGAAAAUAUUUUUUGUUGAUCAAUUUUCUAAAUGAUAAAAGCAAAUUAACUUUAGGAAAAUAUUUUCUAAAUCAAUCAUUUGCCACGACACAAAUGCACUCUAAAUCAUGAUCCAUCUAGACAACUUCCCAUAAUAAUUAGCAACACGGAUAUUUACUUUGAUAGGUAUCAAACAUUUGGUACUAGAAGUAUGUUGGAACGGAAGGACAAAAAAAGACUUAAAGAGUUUUUUUCACAAGGGCAAGAUUUUUGUUCAGACGAUUUAGGUGGGUGGGUUGGAUUACUUUUCUGUCAAUUUCUGAGGAGAUUUAUUCUGAAGAUGUGAAACGAUUUCAUGCUCAUUUUAUCAAAUAAUUUACAAGUUCUAUGUGAAUGGGACAUUGACUCCUCUUGAACAUUAGUUCGAGGGUGAUAUGAGGCAUUUAGCUGUAAAAGAUACUUGCAUGACUAUGAGAAACAAUAUUUUUUUCUAAGCAAGUGAGGCAAUUAGUUCGUUCCUAAGAUGUAACAUUUGGAUAGCAUCAUGCAUAUUAUACAUUCGAUUGUGAAAGUCCACUUUGCUUGAAAUUCUCCUAUUUUGCGGGCAACCACUCGAUGAAAUGGACACUCUCAAAACACUAUGUGUAAAAUUGGGCAUUAACACAAGUAUACUUGAUCAUUCUUCCUAUAUAGUGUUUAUGAUAUAGGAAAUGUAAAAAAUUAUAACAAAAAUCUAGGGUUACAAAUGCAUUAUUACAAGUCUCUUAUAGAAUUUUAACUCUCUCUCUCUCAAUAAUCCAUGUAAAUGGAGUUUCCGCCAAAUCUAAAUCACCACACAAAUUCAGUUGAUAUUAAUUAUUGCAUGUGUUCAAACACAAAAAGCCUCAUCUUCCAUACUUUUGCUAUUGAGAACUGGACCUUGUGAUAAAAACCGACUACGUUUCAGGUCAUAUUGUGAACCAAUAAAAGAACAAAUUGAAUACCAAUUUGAUGCGCAAAUUAACGUAUACCCUCUUUAUUAAUACAGAACAUCCAAAUCCUAGUAUGAGAUGUUGCAACGCUUCAACAUCACACACGUGCCAAUGACAUGAAAAGUCAACAACAAAUGUUUAUAUGGCAAUAAAGAUUCUUGCUUUCUUUGCCAAUCUAAUCGCCUAUUUCAGCUACCAUAUUUAUUUCAUGGAUGUGAUAAAUAUCAUCAAGAAUAUACAUCAUGACACCGAAUGGCAUCACUCAAUGAGAUUGUAAUUCAAUUAAGGAAAAAAUUGAUGAGAAAAACUUCCUACACAAUAUCAGAAUGAGGAUUAUAGGAACAUAAUUUAUUGCGGCAAGAGCCUUCUAUGAUCAAGAUAUCACAUGGAAAAAUGGGAAUUUCAAUCUUAUACAGUCAUUGGGGAAGCAUACGCCCAACUUAGGUUCGAUACAUAUCUUUACAAAAUCAUGAAGGAAAUAACAAAAAUCGUGCAUGGUCACUUUAUUAGUAAAAUUCAUCAAAUCACAAAGCACAAAUAUUUGCUCAUUACAAUUUUUCUUGAUGAACUCAUGACAUGCGUGACCCUAUCACAUAAUUUCAGUGUUCAAUCGAAUGAAGUCGACAUAAAACGAGCUCUCACAACGGUAAGUUCUAGUCUAGAAAAGUUGUUAAAGACGCACAUAGGGAACAGCGAGAGGGGGGCAAAGAGAAAAGAAAAGGCCAAAAGCAGUUCACUUCCCUUAGAACUACACCCUUAACAAAAUUCUGAUUAAUUUGACACGGUAGGCUACCACAAACAAUUUGGAGCAAAUAAAUUGAAAGCACUUGCAUUACUUCAAGGUAGGCCACACAUCACUUCUUCUCAAUGAGUAUAUCAAAUAGAACAAAAUAUGCAUAUUUGGAUACAUGUUGGGAGUUAUAAUUAAAAAAAAAAAAGUCAUCGUGUUUAAGCUCCAAAAUUAAUGAGGACAUAAAAAUAAAAGUUCAGGCUGGAAAAAAAAAUAAUUGCUAGAGCAUGGAAGUCGUUCCAUCGUUACACAAGGAAGUAAAAUUAGAGCCAACGUGAAUGUGGGAGUUGUAACCAACUCUUCGGCAUGUGGUUGUCAAAUCACACCAGUUUCUCAUGGGGAAAGAAGAUAGGAAAUUAUUUUGUGAUUGUGUAAUAGACAAUACAAAGCGUCCAGCUUAUCUUUGACCAUUUUAGACACCAUAGAUUCUCAAUCAAUAAAACGAUGAAAGAUACCAAAACAAAAGUUCUUAAUUAAAUCAAGUAAGUAAACAUAGCAACGAAUCAAACAUUGCUAGUUCCUUAUUAACAAAAAUAUUUUGAUUGAUCUUUGUUAGUAUAACGGUUUUUGGGUUAUUGUGAAAAUAACGAUAUGUUGUGAGUACAAAUUUUUGAAGGAAUGGAUCUCAUAAUAAUUUCUAAUUGUUUGUUAUUUAUUUUUUUGUGGCCCAAAAGAUGCUGUCAAUCUCAUAGUAAAUUAAGAACAGUACAUAAACAAUUCUCAUUUUAAUUAAUUGCACCAUCAAUGAUGAUUUUUUUUUGUUGGUUGCUUGAAACUGUUCGUCACUUGAAUUAUAUAGAGAUUUAACAAACAUGAUUAAUUUAUCCUUCUCUUCUCUGGCGACCAAAGUUCUUGGAGAAUUCUUCUUUUUUGUGGGCUAUUGCCUGAUGCUAGGAAAAAAAAAUUGAUCACACUUAGUGCGUAUGAUAAAAUUUCUACUUCUCUAUUUCUCUGUUUCUCUAUUUCCCGGAACAGGUUUAGAACAGAAAUCCGUUUGGUAACGCAAUCUGAUUUUUCUAUUUCUAGAACAGAUUUCUAUUCCAGAAAUAAAUUUGAAUAAGAAAUCAGAAUCUAAAAUUUUUAACUUAUAAAUUUCUGAAAUAGAAAUUUAUCAAUUUCUAGCCAGAAAUCAAUUUCUAUUCCAGAAAUUUUGUCAUACGCACCUAAUGAAUCAAUUUGUACAUCUCUUUCCGAUGCUAGUUUUCAUGUUGAUCAAUUUAAACUUUUUAGUUUGACUUUUUAACACUCCUCCAUAGCAUGAGAUAUUGUUGUUUGAACCAUGUAAUACGUGCUUAGACUUCAUGACAUUAUACUUUACUUGCAUUAACUCAGUCCUCGCUUAAUCUUUUUUUUUUUUUUUCCUUUUUUGAUUAGUCAAAAGCUCAAGUGAAUAUUUGCUCGGUCACUUUCAGGAAAAAGGAAGAAGUAAAAUGAGGUUAGCUAAUUCGCUGGAGAGCUCACGUGAAGAGGAGUUCGUGCUAGCUUCACUUCAAGACAAAGACGUAAAAAUGAUAGUUUUGAUAGCUCAUUCUCUUUCAUUGUACUCUGAGAUGUAUAUCUGUGCUCUUAUCGUUCGCUUAUAAAUGUAGUUUUUCGAGUGAAUCACGUAAAUUUAUUGUGGGGUUUCUUGACUCUUGAUUUUGUUUUUGUAAGGCUUUUUGAUUGCGCAAAGGUUUUAGUUCUGGGACUCGGUUUGCCACUUGUCCUAAAUGAACAUUGUUUUAUUGAUGAAAAAUUAUUCGAUGGAAUAUAACAUAGCACGUGGGUUUUACCGUCUUUUUCUUGUGUCUGGCGGAUUCUGUUCACAAUGAGCAUGGGAAAUUGCGAAAGUUGCUAAUGAAAUGUGGAUUUUUGGUCAUUCCAACAGAUUAAGACAACCAUAAUCUGCCCUUCCAAUCAAGCACAUGGCUCACAGAAUCAAUAAUGGAGCGCCAAGCACAUGAUGCCUUAAGAAAUAUUAUCAUCAUGUCCAGUGGUACACACUUCCCUUAGCCAAAUGAAUCUGGUCAAGAUUAGUUCAGAGGUUGUCUCACCAAUUGGGCCUUUGAAUAUUGUCAAUUCAGGACAAAACAACAGUUUGCCCGUCAUCGUGGCCAUUAAGUAAUCUCCUCUGGCCUGGCCUGAAUCAUCUCAAGCUCGCUUUCCCUUAUUUCAUAUAAAGCAAAGUGAAGUAGCAACGUUGCUUCCACUCCUCGCAGAGAAUACGUACACAACACUUCCUAGCGGGCAUGCACGCCAAUUUCCCACUGAGUACGAAUUAGAAAGGAAAAUAUAUACGAGCUGUAAUUAUUAUUUGUUUUGUUACACCAUCUUCGAUCGAGCAUCUGAUUAAUUUUCAUUAAAUCAUAAUCCAUCUUGACAACUUCCAUUAUAACUACCAACGCAGAGAUUUGCCUAGAUAGAUAUCAAACAUUUGGUACUAGAAGUGUGUAGGAAGGACGAAAGAUAGACUUUGAAUUUUUAACACGGGUAAGAUUUUUGUUUAGACGGUUUAAGCCAGUGGGUUGUAUUGGUUUUCUGUCAAUUUCCAGGAGAUUUAUUUUAAAGCUGUGAAACGAUUUCAUGCUAAUUUGAUCAAACAAUUUACAAGUCCUAUGUGAAUGAAACAUUGAUUACUCUUGAACAUCCACUGAGGGUGACUUGAGGCAUUGAGCUGCCAGUUAUACUUAAAUGACUAUGAGAAAUAACAUUUUUGCUGAACAAGUGAGCCAAUUAGCUGGCGACCUGAUCCUUGACCGUAUGAUGAAAUGCCCUAGCCCAAAAGAACAAGAUUUUCCGCAUGGUAUGGCCUUUACUCUGGUAAUACUUUUGAUGCCGAUCUCAAGGAUGAGACUACUGGAGUUCUAACUGACCACCAAUUUAUUGGAUAGUCUACACCAAAUGUAUGGACAUCAAGAAGAGACAAGUUUGGAUGAGUAAGAAUGAUUGGGAUGGCCAACUCAAACCUGAGAGGUAUCGCCACCAUUAGGGAUGAGCAUCGGUCCAAGGUUAACUCUGAACCGACCCUGGAUCGGCCCAACCCUGCCGGUCCUGGUCCGGUUCCUAGGGAGACUAGGUCGGUCCAAUUCGGACCAAUCCUGACUAUAUAUAAAUAAUAUAUAUAUCUAAUAUAUUAUUUAUAAUUUUUUUAUAUAGAGAAAAUCUUAAAAUAAACGGCGUUAACAAUAUUAAACAACUUUUUAGUGAGGAGUUCAAGUAAUUUUACAUUAUUUUUUUAAUAAUUUAGGUUUUUAAUGUCUUUUACGGCGUCAAUAGUCAUAAUUUACGAAUGAGAAAAAUAUUUUUGCGAGGAGUUCUCACGGCGUCCAAAAAGGUAGCUCAUGGCAUCAUCUUCUAAUAUUCGUUCUCUUCUUUCUUAUUUGUUCUCUUAGUCUUCAAUUUACUAAAAUUGAAAAAAACUUCUUCACUCACCACUCGACACUUGCCUCACUCGCUUUAGGUCACUCGUGCUGCUCACCGCUCGAUGCUCGCUUGGCUUGUUGCUCCCCGCUCAAUAUUCGAUGUUCAUUCUGUUCGAUGCUCACCCCACUUGACCCUCACCGCUUACCUUUCUUAGCUGACCUUGCUCAUCAUCGAACCCAUUGGGUCGGUAUGGUCCUCGGUUGCCCUUUUAAUGAGUACAAAAAAUGAAAUAAAAAAUUAUUGGUUAGUCCUGGGUUGACCUUGAAACUGGACCGAACCUAUUGGAUCAGUCCGGUCUUCAAUUACUUUUUUAAGGAGUAUAAAAAACGAAAUAAAAAAUUAUUAGUUGGUUCCAGGUUGACCUUGAAAUUGGACCAAAUUCAUUGGGUCAGUCCGGUCCUUGGUCCCAAGCUCAAUAGAGUGGGUCAUGGUCCCAAAAAUUGAGGACUAGCAUUGUGCGGGUUGAUCCUAGGGUUAAGGGGUGGACCAACCCAACCCGGAUCAUGCUAACCCCUAGCCAACAUUGUCCUAUUAGAUGAGCCAACGAAGUUGGCAUGAGGACGAAAAUGAACAUGAUCCAUCAGUAGAGACUCUCUCCACCAAGCUUGCUUUCCUUAUGGUUUCAAUUUCAUCAAGGACUUAAAUUGCAUUAUGAAAGUUUUUUAAUUAUGUUUUCCCCGUUUAUAAUUGUAGGGGGACUUUCUGCAUUUGGAUUUUCUAUUUGAUUAAUUUAAUGUGAUUUUGUUAGCAUAAAAAAGGAAGAGAUUGUUGAUCCUAAUUUAAUUCUGAUGAUUAAAAUUCUCACCCAAAUAUGUUAUUGAUUAUUUGGAAUUAUAAAUGUUGUAUGUAAGUUUUUUUUUUUUUUGGAGAGUUUCGAAAGGGUAAAACAAACCAUCUUUGAGUACUGUUUAUUCAACAAAGCUACCGAACUUUCGUCCAAGCAAUUCUAGAAUGCACGAAUUUUUCCAUUUGUGCACCCAUAAUUGAUGCAUUAUAAACGAGGGAUCAGCUAACAUUCGAUUGAGGCCAUCCAUCACAAACUUAGUUUCUCAUUUUUGAUUUCUCAUUCAUAAGAAAACAAAGUCAUGUCCAGUGUCCACAUCAUUCUUUCUAGCAGUAACGCAGAAAGAUAAAAUAAUCACAACUCCAGCAACGUUACCUUCUCAAGAGGUACAUAACCAGAGCUCACAUAUUUUCAAACACAGAACAGAAACUUCCCCCGAUGCUCUGUUGUCUCUCUUGCGAUUUGUUAGGCUCCAUUAGAGUUUUCAACUUAGGACAGUUUUCAAGAAUUGACUUCAACUUUCCAACCAUAGUUGGAACUUCUAAACCUGUGAAGAACACGUCAUUACUAGAUCAACAGAAAAGCGGACAACACAAUAAUGUUUGAGGGAAAAAAAAAAAACAAAUAGGUAUCAAUGGAUACCUACGAACAAGAUGAGAUUAUACUAGAGUCUGCCUCCCAAACACAAUAAGAACAAUUCUCAUCCUGGACUAGUCUACAAGACACGACUACAUUACACCGGUUUAAUUCCAGCAUUACACCGAGAGACAAAGCAUUCCUUCCAAUAGUUUUAACAAUAGAUCGAAGAUCACUUCGCUUUGGAACAAGCUGCUACUUAUUUUAAAAAACAAAAUAAGAGCUCUAAUUUCACAAAACUGGUAUUCGGGACAUUUAACUCUCGAGUUAAAAAAAUGGGUUUGGUUUUUCUUGGGAGGAGGGGGGUGGUUUAAAGCUGGAUUCAGGUAGGCAAAAUGACAAACAUCUGGUGGACGUCACCCAGAGGGGUUUCCUCAGACGAAGGUGAGGGGGACCAGCACUGGCGGUAGGAGAUGAUCUUGUUCACGUAGUUGUCAAUGGCUUCCGAAGCUCUAAACUCUCAAUCCACGGCUAAGCCACUAUUCAUCUUCACGGAUGAUUUUCUUCCGUUCUUACCUCGUGGAAUUUUGGACUGUACAGAGCAGUCCAAGGGGACUCCAUCACCCUCGCUCUCUUGCCUCACCAUUAUCAUUUCCACCGUCGGGACUUCAUUAUCCCCCUUGUAAUUGUGCCACAGCCUUCGUUCGAGCGCAAAGCAAAACUCACGACGUGUCAAAAAACGCUUUUGAAGAAGACGAGUUGACAGAGUACCGCGGCUGCAAAGGAGAGUUGCGACGCACGAGAGAUCAAUCGAGCUUCUUUGAAGUCAUCGGAAGAAAAGAGAGAGGAGGAAAUACAGACGAUGAAGAUUCGAAGAAGAUAAAAAGGUUUGAUCCAAGACCUGAUCUUCAACUAUUCUGAUUUGCUUUUUUUAUUUCCUACUGUUUUUACAGACUCAUCAGCGUUUACCAAGUGACGAAUCAAGUGCCCACGUAAUCCGCCACGUCAACCGUCGCCUCAUUUUGUAUACCAUGAGGCAGUAAAAUUUUAGUAGCUCUGGUAUCUUUAGAAUAAAAUUAGGUUGUUUGAGAUUCAAAUUGGCUAUAAAAAGUGCAAGAAUUAAUGGGACAUUAUAAAACCCAAAUACCUUUUUAUCUAUCUUCUCAUUCUUUUAUAUGCGAAAAACGUGACACCUCAUUUAGUAAAUGUGGCUGACGGAUAAUCUUUAUACAUCAUUUAUUCACUCAACUCAUAAGAUAACCACUAAAUCGGUUUUCCAAAAAUAUGGCAUUAUUAGAGUCAUGGAAGGUAUCAAUCAAAUACACCCUUGAACAUUAAGCAAGCUUGCUCUCUCAUAUUUUCGUGUUGAUCAAGCCAAACAAUACUUAAAUUCAUAUUGAGAAUUUUCGGUUUUAUGAUUUGAGUAAGAAUUAAGUCUAUCCACCAAAAUUUCGCAAGGAAAAUUUGAACAGCUAUCACCAAAUUUAGGUCUGGUACACUGCUCUUCAUAAUAUCAAAAGGGAAAGUAGAAACUAUUAGUUUGAUUGAUAUUUUUGAGUCAUAAUUCGCUUUCUAAUGUUCGCACCCAACAAUUAGUUUGAUGGCGAAGCUUGCAUUAAUACGGAUUUUGAAUUGGAAUUUAGCAAGCAAACAUAUAACAAGUUCUUCUAGAGCCAGCUCAAUCUAGUAUGUAGAUUCGACGCAUUCCUUCGUCUCUAGAUUGGCUGCUCUUAUUGAUUACCAUGUGGGGUUGGAAAGCAAGCGCAUACCUUUAUAAGGCAAACUGCUUUAAAAUCAUUAUUCAUUGUGUGAGAUAUCGAGCAUGAGAUACAUGGAUGGAUGACAUCAUGUAUGUGCAUUGAAUAUGGACUGACAUUUGUGUACAAUGCAAACCAAAUGCCACACAUGACAAAGUGUUACGUUGUGAAAGUCACCUCUUGAACCUCGUUGGGAUAAAUUAUCACAUGAUGGGAGCCACCUCUAACUUAAGAAUCCUAUUAUAGCGUGAUCGCUUGCGUACAUCAACAUGUUUAGCUAUAUAAUAUUGUUGUAGCAAAUUCACUCAAUGUAAGUUGAUUUGACUGUCAAGCGAUUGGGAAAACAAAUAACAAGCUUACUUUCCGAUUCUAGCUUGGCUCUAUGAAGUGAUUAAACUAUCCAUAAACUUUUUUUCCAAAGAUGGCUUUUGAUGGUGUGCGUGUAUGCGUGCUAGCUCCUGGAAGCAAUGGAUGAAAUGGUUUGACAGAGACCGAUCUAAUAACAGGACUAGCAAAUUGCUUAGAAAUUAAAGUGGAAGUGCUGCAAGGAAUAAAGGAAAGCAAUGCAAGAGCACCAAACUCAAAGGAAGAGCCGACUGAAAUAAACUGAAAACGAGAUUACUAGGACAUUAACAUUGCUGGGAUUGAAAUUAUUCACAGUUGUACAAAUGACGCUCGAAUGGAGACAAUGACAUGAACGUUACAACGAUACUCGAAGGGAAAUCAGCAGUAAUUUUGGCGGGGUUUUGGUGUAAUUUGAACAUAUCUUCUUUCUCUGCAUCUCUUUUUUUUUUUUUUCCGUAAGUCUUAAAUUCCCUUUGAUUAUUACUAGGUCGAUGAUCAUUUCUUAACUAAACUGCUUUCAUAUAUCCAUGAUUUCCUACCUCAACUGCCUUCAUGUACCCAUAAUUUCCCGACCUAACUAAAUUUCCGAUUCCUGAGCAUUUCUCAUCAACUACUUUGUCUCGUUCUAGCUUGGUAAAGUUUAUAACUGUUUCUGCUUUUUUUGAAUUCGAAGUAGGUCGAAGACUCUCUUUCUCAAAGUUCAGCGGAAUGGUCUUUCAUGAGCAUAAAAACGAAAUUGAACUUGAUACAGCUUGGCUUGUGAUUCUUUACUACCAACAUAUUGUUGACUUAUUGUUAUUAUUAGACGACAAUUCAGUCACACAACCAAAGCACAAAGUAAACCAUCAAUUCGCAAUAUAUGAUCAGCAGUCCAGCACGUUGAACGACAACAUCCAAAUCACUCCAUCCGAUCUCAGAUUGACCAACGACGAAGACAAAUUCGUUAUUAUCAUCUCUGAGGCAAAACGUCGAACAGGUGGUAAUCACUAAGGGCGAGGUGUUCUGCAAAUACGAAUUCCCAUCAAUUGGCAAGGAAUAUAACAUGAGAAAUCCCUCCAAAAAAUUGCUAGAGCGGAAGCGACGAAUUCGAGACCAAAUUUGAAGCUCUCUGCGAAAGGGCAAUACAGAACAAUCGUAUGAUUGAAUCUCGAUGAAUCGACCGCGUCCUACCCUGAGGGAGAUCCGAUCCGAAUGGUUACCUACUAAUAAAUGAAAGACACUCAAAAGACUUGGAGAAUCUCACGAAGGCGAAGCUAAGGCGACGAAUCAAUUCAGCGACGAAAUUGCUUGAUGAAGAUAUUCAGCUGCAACUGGCUCCGACCGCGGGCGUACACAUUGGAUUUGGUCCAGAGCGCUGAAGAUAAGAGAGAGAGAGAGAGAGAGAUUUUCUUGGUCCGGGCGUGUGUUCUUGCUUCGCUCAGUUCCUCAGCCUCUCCCGCCCGCACCAAGCGAGGGAGAAAGAGCACGAGAGAAGUUUCGAUCGGUGGUGAUGAGCGUCCGUUCUCUUCUCUGUCACGGCCAAGGUUGCGGUUACCGACGAGGAAGAUGGUGCAGACGAUCGAUUGAGGGUGACGGAGCUGAAAGGAAGAGGCGAUUGGUCCGAAUAGCUAGCUAGAGGAAUGGAAUGGGCCGGACUAGGUCUCCGAAGCGCUACCGAAUCGGAAUGAGGCCUUCUUUAUUUUAUUUUAUUUUAUUUUUUUGUAUUUGGUUAAUUUUUAUUCAUCCAUCAUUUUUUUAUUGCCCAUUUAUUUAUUUAUUUAUUUAUUUUUAUAUACGUCACAAAAAAUGCACGUUCGAUUUGUUGGGCGAAAUUCUAGGCGUCAACAAUUAGUAACAUUUUAAAGUAGCUAACUUUAUUAAUUUAAAAUGAGAGUUUACCAUUGAUAUUUUACUAGCGAUCGUGUUUUUAGCUGAAUAAACUCUACAUAAUCCAAUUAUGAGGUCGGCAGUUUUGUGAAAUUAAUUGACAGAUAAUUGAGUACAUGAAGUUCUGUAUAUUAUAUCACUUGAGAGUUAUUUAUACAUUUUUUAUUUUUUUUGGGCUAGCUAAAUAGGUGAUAAGUUGUCAUCCGAAGUAGUGAUGAAUCAUGCUGGUCGUUACAUCCUCAAUCACGUUCUUCACGUUGUGUAUUUUACCAAUAACUUUUUCCCACGAUUUAAUGAUUUAAAUAAUGCAAAAUAAGAUAACCUUGACUAUAAUGCGACUAUUUUGCCGGUUUUGGAUUCUGCAAUAAAAUAUCUUUAACUAAGUGUUAUAUUUUGGUUUUUAUUAAAGGAGACUUAGGUUUUGUGCUAAUAUUGGAUAAAGAGAGUCAAAUGCUGACAGAGCUAUAUAUCACAUAGUUCCCAAUAUUAUAAAGUCGCUUAAUAUGAGGUCAAAAUCAAUGAUAACCACUGUUGAUAUCCAAUCAACAAUUUGUUCCAAACUCACUUUAACAUACUAAUGAAAACCUAUUAAAAUCAAAGCAGUUUGUAUAAUAUCGAAAUUGAUUCAACAACACUAGAUAUUAACAAAAGCACAGAGAAAGCAUUGCUUUCAAAUGGGUUCGAGGAUACAACGUCGGAAUCUAAUCAAUAACGCUGGACAGUGGGGAUAAUACCUAAUAAACACAUCUUCUAAGUGAAUAUGAGGACGCGACGUCGAAAUAUAAUCAACAACACUAGAUGGUGGUAACAACACCUAGUAGACAUUGUUCCUAGAUGGAUAUGAAGACAUAAUAUUGGAAUCUAAUUGAUGAUGUUGGACGAUGGUAAUAACACUUAGUGGGUACUGCUCCUAGAUGGAUAUGAGGACACAACGUCGGAAUCUAAUCAACGACGUUGGAUAAUUGGUUAGUAUUAAAAUCUAAUAUACCACUACCUAGGAUAUGGAUACUUGUUGGAAUUGAAUUUACGAUGAAAAUCUUAAGCUACAACUAAACUAGACUAAGAUAAAAAGGUAAGAUAAAAUAGUUUUGUGUGUUGUUUGAAGGGUUUCUCUAUUGGAUUGCCUACGGUAUUUAUUGGCCAAUUUGUAAUUUUUGGUAGUUGAUUGCUUCCUCCUUAAAAGUUACUCCAUGUUCAACGACGAAUCGCCUUCUGGUUGCUUUCUAAUUUGUUCGACAAUGUUCUCAUGGCUUAUUUAGCAAGUAUUAACCGCUCAUUUGACUUUGGCGCCCUUUUAAGCAUCAACCAUUCCUGCACAAACUUCGUUGUCAAUUCCAUCUAAAUGUUAUGUUUUCAACGGCAUCUCUUGACUUGGACACGUGGCAAUCAAUUGCUCUAUCAUCAAAUCAUGUAUCUGUAUUUGUAGGUCCAUUGAAAUCUAGCCUGUAGGCUCUCGAAAUCCUUGGCCAUUCUUUGUUUCUAUGACUACCAUGGACUAGGCUAACCUAAAUCAUAGCCCAUGCGUGACAACGAGGGUGAUUUCAAAGGCUUUUAUCCCUUGUGAUCAACAUAUGAUAGCAUGGGUAUUUUUAGGUGUCAACAGUGACAAUUUAAUUCAAUCCAUCACCUGACAUCACAUACAGCUUUUAUAGUUGAUUUGAUUAUAUAAUUCUUUCAUUUGUUUGGGAUCACACAUAUCACUAACGAAGCAAGCAUGUAAAAGCAUUUCACAUUAUUUAUAAUUACUAGAACUUCAUAUGAGUUUCUAAAAAAACUGUAGCAUUUUGUAUUAAAUGCUAAAUAAUUUAGGAUCAAAAGCUAAAGUACAAUGAAGCAAGACAAGAAGUAUAGCAAAAUAGUACUGUCAUGUUCACUACAUGCAAAUAAUAUCUUCACUUUCUUAAACUUUCAAAUAUCAAUUUAUCGUGUACAUGCAACACUAUGAUAUUUGCCAUGCUGGAGAAACUUGAGCCAGACAUGAUGCCCUCUUCUAACUCUAAGGCUAAAUCACAGAUAACUCUUGUCAAACUGACCAAAUUCAACAACUCCAUCUAACACUCCCCACAGUGCAUUUGGUUUGAGAAUUUUAAUCCAUACGUGAUUCAAGUCAAAUGAACCGAGAGGCUCCCAAUAGCUCAUUUCGCCUUUGGCCAUGAACAAGUGGCACUAUGUUGGCAUCUCUCCUCCAAGGCGAACAUUUUGGUAAUAAGGAGGAAUUUGGGAAUAACAAUGCUUAAGGAGGAAUUUGGGAAUAACAAUGCUUCUGUUAUAUGGGCAUAUUUUUAAAAGGAUGUGAGUUUGUAGUUAGUUCAAGAAGAGUUUGAUUUUGAGCACAUUCCUAGUAAUUCAACCGCAGCUAGAGCUCUAUAAUAAUUAGACAUAUUGAUCCUUAGUUGCAUUAUAUACAUUACUCAUGCAAUAGAAAUCAUUCCCUUGUCAAUUUUGUAGCCACCCCUAACACUAAAUUAGACAUAUUGAUCCUUGGUUCCAUGAGAUAAGUAUACCUAGCCACUCACUUAGUGUCUAGUAUAAUAGACUUUCUUAUUGAAUACUUCGAUAAAGUUCUGAUUUACAAUAAUUGAUAUAGUUAUUAGCCAUGUAUUUAAGGUCUAUCUUGUGGUUAUGUUCAACCAUUAUGUAUUAUGAAGGAGCAUAAUUUUAACAACAAAUACAUGACGCAUUAUUUUCAAAUAUUUUAUGAUUUUUUUUUUAAUUUUUAUGAAUUCUCUUGAUUCUUAAUUUUUUUUAUAUUUAUUAGUUUAUUAUUAUUAUUUAUUUUUUAUAUCUUUUAAUUCAGACUAACACUUCGGGCUGGCUCUGGUCUCGCGGGUCUGGGGCCGAGGACACAAAUGGGCUUAUUCAAAACAAGCCCAUUUGAAUAGAAAAUCACCAAGCCCAUUUCGUUGAAAUUAAAAGGCACUAAGCCAAUCUUGCUAAAAACAAAAAACUCAGCCCAAGCACCUCUGAGACUAAGACCAGCCCGAAUCGAUUAAAACCACUCAGGUCCAAGAUCCAUCAAAUAACCCACGCCGUGCUUAAAUCCACACGACCCAUUCACGCUUCCUUCCUCUUUUCUCAUCUAAUUUUCUCUUUUUCUUUUUUUAUUUUCUAUUUCUCUUCCCUUCCCCUGUGCAUCACCUUCUUCCCGAGAACGACUUCUCCUUUGCGACCUCCUUUUCAACCUAAUCCCACCAUUUUCCGAUAAGCCCUAGCCGGCGCUCAGGCCACCGCCGAGCCACCACCCGGCGUCGGUCGUUCAGUCCGACAACGCCAGUCACCGCCGGCCAUCACUUGGUCGCCGGUCGUCCGUCCCUCGCGCGGGCCAAACCGAACCUCAACGGGGGCCAAACCGAACCUCAACGGCGACUUUAACGUCACCGAAACACUUCUAACAGAACAAGCACACAAAUGGAGUGGAUAGCAAACUAACUACGGUGGCCUCUAAUCGCGGGCUUCUCCAGCUGAAGGAAUGGCAUCUCCGGCGAAGCGUUUACGGCCGGACGCAGACGAUGAGAAAUAUGCCACCAAAAAAUCAAAGAAAACGCCGAUUCAGUGUCGGUUCAAUGAUUUCAUAAUGAAUAGAGCACAAAAAAGUAACAUUUCGAGCAUCUGGCUAAAAUUGAAUUCGAUUUUUCAUGGAGACGUUCCGUCGAACAGUUCACGUGCAGUUCGGAAUGCCACCUCUAGUUUCGAGAGCUUGCUGCGACGAACGGCGACGAGCCAGUCGGCUUCCCCGGAAGGUCGCGGGGGUGAUGAUCAAGGCGGACCACCGACGAAAUGAAAGAAUUCUCUCCUCUCGGUUUCAGAUUCCUCUUCGAAACACCUCCGGCUCCAGCCCUCCGAACCGAUCCCCUCUCUCUCUCUCUUCUUCUUCCUCUUUCGUUUCUGCUCCAUCCUUACCUUUUCAAGAAGAACAAAUUGAACUCCUAACGGGGAAAGCCCAUGGCCCAUACGGCAUUCGUCUCCAUCUUCUUCGCUGGCCGAUCCUCGCUGCGGUUCGAAUCGCCGCGACUCUCUCGUGUUCAAGCGCUGUCUCCAGGCGGCGAAUCUCUGCCUCGCUCGAUCAUCUCUGGCGGCAUUGAUCGUUUUCUCUCCGCAGCGAUGGUGCAGAAGCAGCACCACGAGUCCAACGCCGAGAAGCAGCCUCGCGUAAGCCAUGUCCUUCGCUUCUCUUGGUUGUUGCAGUUUGCAUUUAUUUGGGCACUCGUGACUAUUGCUUGCUCUUCGAUAUCCGAAGAAAUCCGAAAGUUUCAAUUGCUGUGAUAAUCUGUUUGUUGCAGCGAGGCCUCUGAAAUUGAGCUUUAGUGGAGGUGUUUUUGGCUAAGUUCUUGGUUGGAGUGUUCGUCGGUGGUUGUUUUCAGAAUCUGAGUCGACGUGAAUGUGGUAUGCGUUGAUGAACGGGUCAAAAAGCAGGGGAAGCAAGCGGAUGACACGCAGUUCCGAGCUCAGCUUGAUGCUCUGGGCCUGAAAAUUGUCCAGGUGACUGCAGAUGGUAAUUGCUUUUUCAGGUCUAUGUUCCUCGUUAGAAAAGAUCACCGUAUUGUUCAUGAUUUUGUUGAAUGUUUCCAGGGUUUGAUUUGUUUUGUUAGAUAACAGUAUUCCUCUCCGUUUUGGAAGAUUUAUGGUAUGCUCAUUGCAUUACCGCUCUGUCGUCAGAACACAACACAGUGCAUUUUGUGGUACACUGGUUCUGGAACACUAUCAUCGAUGUACUAGAAAUUCCUCUGUUGGAAAAAUUAUUGCAUUCCGUAUAAUUUAUAUCGAAGAAGAGCUCUAUUUUUCGGGGAAUGUAACUCUUUUAACUUGGUCUUGAGGAUAUUAGAUUGACUCUUCCGAUAUCCAACUAAGUAACUUUGUAAAAUUCUAUUACUAUUGUAUCGCUAUUGUACGACACCUAGAAAAACAAACCAUGUUCGUCAUUCCUGUUUUCAUUCCACAUAUUUGAAUUAUCCAUCCCCCUUUUCCCAUCGUGCGCCAUUGUUAAACGAGAUUGGCCAACCUGCUUCUUCAUUGUCCUCGAAAAGGUGGUCUGUAAAAGCCAGGAGACCACACCUAUGUCCCUUCUAUGAGAUAAGUGUGCCUAGCUAUUAAUUAAGUGUCUAGUAUAAUAGACUUUUUUAUUAAAUACUUAGAUAAUGUUCUGAUUGAAAAUAAUCGAUAUAGUUGUUAGCCAUUUGUUUAAGGUCUAUCUUAUGGUUAUGUUCAGCCAUUUUGUAUUAUGAAUUGAGAAUUUUAACAAGAAAUACACAAUGUGUUAUUUUCAAAUCUUUGGUCCAUUGAUUUUGUACUCCACUGGGGUCAUUCCAAUCAGAGUAUAGAAGGGCCAUUAUUAGAUUAAGGAUAGUUUACUUGGAAAAUAUAUAUAAACACACACACACACACACACACACACACACACACACACACACACACACACACACACACACACAUAUAUAUAUAUAUAUAUAUAUAUAUAUAUAUAUAUCGAAGAGUGCUAAUCAAGUUUAGAGUCACCACAAAAAAGAGGUGUGUCAGUACAAGGGACAAGGUCAUGAUGUUAUAUGACGUGCAGUGUGGCAAGUAAAUCAAUUUCAAAAUUUAAGCGUCAAGUAAGAGGACUGGCAUUUUAUAUGAUCAAUUUAAUUGGCUGGUCACAUCACGUUAGCCAUUAGCGAGAUCAAUUUAAUUGGCUGGUCACGUCACGUUAGCCAUUAGCGAUUUGCCUGCUGAAUAAAAUAAUUUUCUCAAACAAGGAGGUGGUCCCUCAAAAAGUUUUCAAAUGCUAGAAUUCCCAAGCUUGCGAGAACUUUAGGAAACCUGCUCCCUUCGAAGAAAUGCUACUCAUCUUCUUUUCUUGAGGUAUCAUCAUUAUUAGUUGGAGGUGGAUCGAUAGUCAUUUCACUUGAUGGAGCAUCGGGAACUUCACCCUGUACUAAGCUGUGACUUUCCUCAAUAGUUACAUCCUGCUUGGCCUGCCAAUCACUGGACACUUUAAUUUCUUUUGCGAAGAAGUAGCAUCCUCAUUCUCUUCCUGCAAUUUGGAUCUCAGUUUCAUCUCUCCCGAUGGAAGGCUUCCACUUGCAAUAGAAUCUGAAUCAGAAGCCAUCAUCUUCUGCCGUUUACGCAAGCAAACUGGAACUCGCUCAGCAACUCGCUUGCUGUUCCUCUUACGAAGUCCACUUUUUCCAGCACUUCUAGUCUUGCGAGGAGACAAAACACGUGCUGAACCAUCCUGUCUGGGUCCUGUCUCUGAAUCGCUGCUUUCUGAGGCACUUUUCGCAUUCGAUGACGCACUUUCACUCUGACAUUGUUUCAACCGUGACCUAUCAGAUGAGCUGGCAGAUUUCUUCCUAGUUAGAACAUGAGACUUGGAGCCAUUAGAUGAAGGAUUUGGUUUAUCUUCGGGAUCACCAGACCCAGGAGAACUCACUGUUGCACCUUUUACUAACUUCAAAGCCUGAAAGAGAAAAAAAAUACGAUGAACAACUGGACUAUUUUCCCCUCAUCGUGCUAGAUACAAAGCAUUGGUACACUAAAUGCAUACCGAUCUGUAACAACGAGGACCACAUGGUACAUUUUCUUCAUCAGUAUGGCUCCAUAUAGGUUGUUUAUCCACCUGAUAAAGAAGUUUGAAAAUGACGACUAAGAUGUAAUUUCUUUUAAACUAAGAAUACUGGUAAAAGAUGAUAUAAGAUUCAGGAAAAAGUAGUUCCAAGGGAGUUUCUUACGGGUAACACAAGAUCCUGAGAACAUCCAUGUAAUCUGCAAUCAAAAACCUGCAAAUACAUAAAUAAUAAAGAGACAUCCUGAGCAAUAGAAUGAAAUAGAACACAGAAAGAUAUGACAAAAUGCAGGAGAGAUCACUUACAAGACAUCUACGACAAAACAGGUUAUCAAAAGAAUCUAGAGCAGCGUCAAGAUCUUUAUCGAGAAAAGAACUCACUGUCUGAGAGGUUUCUUCAUUAUCCCCAUUCUUAGAGCGGCCCACAUCCUUCUCUUCCUUAAUAAGGACUUCAUAUCUUGCCUGUAUAAGAUGUUUGAUGGUGUUUCAUUUCUAUGUAAAGCCAGCAGAAAGCAAAUAGGCAACGGCUGGACCAUAGUUACACAAUGACCAGUUCUUUUCGUAAUCACAAAAAAGAGAAGCAUAAUGAAUGUAGAAAACCAAUCUAUCAAGAAACGUCAGAGCACAGUGAAUUGUUUAUAUUAUUUAUGCUCAUACCUUGACUUCAGAAGGGCUUCUAGAUAAACAAUUUGCCAAUGAUUCCAAAACUGAAUCAGAUAAACCGAGUUCUUUGAUGGUCAUGCUGGCAAAUUUAGAAAAUCAGAAGAAGAUUACAUCUCCGAUAUUUUUCCAAUAUCAUAUCUGUUGGCAGAAAGAAGACUACAAUUCCAAAUAUUUAAAAAGCAGCAAAAGAAUCCUUCCUAACAUAGGCAAUGCUGAUUAGAUGCAAAUGCCAGCUGCUGAAAGGACGAUCGAUGUAAAUUGUGAUGAGCAGAUACUAAGGAAGUUCAUUCUAGCAUCAAUAGUUAAAAUUGGCACAGACAGAGAAACUGAAAAGAUUCCAAAACCGCUUCAAAGGCACAACGGGUAAACCUGACAACAGGUCGUCUUCCAUCAAAAACAACUAAUCAUGCUUAAUGUGUGAGGCAGGAGAAGCCAGCAACCAAGAAGUGGAAAUCCCAUUUCUUUAGCUCUCACUUAUGGAAUUAGGCCCAAAAACAAAGAAACUUUGAUGUUUAUCUCCAUGUCCAAAAAUAUUUGAAGUGGCAAAUAUGACAGUCAUCCACAAUAAAUCAUAGGACAAAUUGAAAUUCACGUUUCCAAGAUCCUUUAUAGAAUAAAAGCCACACCUAAGCUAGAAUCCCACCACUAAUAUAAAAAAGUUAUGACCAAAACGUACAGUCAACCCAAUAAGGCUCUUAGUCUUCCCUAAACAUUGUCAGAGCGGGAACACGAAAAGGAAAGGUGACAAAACACUUUGAAUGAAAAAAAAAAAAGUCCAGAAAGACAGACUGAGAUUUGUAAUAAAAACCAAAUGAAGAUGCUUUCGCAAAUUAUGCUACUAUGCCUUUGAACAUAAAACGAGGGUACUUCAUAGAAUUGAAACCUAAGACACUCGGUCUAAGUAGAUCCAAGUAUGCACCUUGGAAAGAUUUUCUUAGUCCCUUGAAAAUUAAAUCUAACAAUUAUAUAGAGAAAAGACACGUCCUAGGAAACUUGUCCAACCAGACAAAAGGCCAGACAGGGCAUCCCAGUGCAAGAGGUUUCUAUGUAUGGGAAUCAGAUGAAGGUCAAUGCGUGAAGUCUAGGCCCUGCAUCACAGGGAGAAUAAUUCCCUGACUAGCCAAAACAAGAACUCCAGAACAGUUAGAUAACUAAAUAUGAACACACAUGAAGAUGACAGAAAAAAAUCAGUUAUACCAACCGAAGAAUAAAAUCUUCAGAAUCCACAAACUCUCGCUUGUCCUCUUCUUCUUCAAUCGCCUCCUCUUCACUAUCACUGCAAAUAAGUGCUUCCCCGCCAUUCUGAUCAUAAUAUAUUCUUCUUCGACCCACAACUGACUGAUCCUCAGUCAUUCUCUGAUUUCUGCACUAGAGUAAAAAGGAUAAACAAAGUACUCCAGAAAACAAGCCAACAACUAAUUUUAGCAACUUCUUCAAAGAGGGGUGACUAUAGUAUCUUAUGAAAUCAUGCGAGUUGAUGUUCAGACUUAGCCCACCCUUUCAAUCACUUUCUUCUAAUACAGAAUCAAUUGAGGAGAACCCAGAGAGCAAAGGCCUUAUUAUUAAACUUAGGAAGUGGUAAAAAGCCAUAGAGUUUUUGCACACGCAGGGUGGAAAAAUCAGACAGAAAGAAAUCCUAGAUAGGGAAGAGAAAUCACAAUCUCACUAACCUGUCCAGAAAAAUCCAUGUUGUGAAAGGGAGUAAUCUUUUCACUUCUGGAAGCUUGAUCGUGCGAACAGCAUUCUUCGCAGGGAUACUAGAUCCAAGAAGAACUGGCGUAGAACCAUGAGCAUCCUCCAGGUAGUUAUUGCUAUCUCUAUCGCCAUUGUUUGCAUUAAUACCAUUUAGCAUGCCAAGUGCAUCUGCUUGCAUCUUUUUCAGUAGGGCUUCACUAUUACCAGCGAUGUUGUCGCAUGUAUGAUCAUUUCUUUGCUUAGACGAAUUAAAUAUUUCUUCUGUAACACGUGCCAGCUUCCGUCUGUUUUCUUCAAUUCUUUUCUGGAAAACAAAAAUAGGAAUAGAAAUUAUGUGGAGUUCAUGUUGGUUUUCUUAAGAACAUAAUGAACUAACACAAUCAAGAAGAAAAAUUCUACCACGGCGUACCUUUAUAAUAACAGCCCGAUCAGCAGCAACUUGUUUCUUGAAACCAUCAAUAACAUUUGCUAUCUCCUUGACAGCCGAGACUGUUUCAAGUGGCCUUAGAGCCUGCAGAAAACCAAAAUUCAUGCAAUGCUUAAUGUAAAUGGCCUGUGGGUAAAUACAUUCUCAGCUCCACCGUGACAGCACCCAGCACACGCACCCCGGGUGCGCUUUGUGAUGAGAAGGAUUCGGAUUUUUUUUUUUUUAGCAUUUUAGGGGGUGUUUGUUUGUGUUCCUUAAGUUUGUUUAUGAACACAAAUUCUAGUUUUUAGAACAUUUUCAAGAAACAAUUUUUCUCUCCUAUUUUUUUGUUCUUUUUCUUUUAUUCCUUUUUUUUUUUUGGCUGAUUGCCAGCCUCGGCCAUGACCGGCGACCAGUCGUCGAGGGCCGACGACCUCGCCGGAGCAUUGCCGACCCCUGGCGAGGCCGAGUGUGUCACCGACCCCUGGUAAGGCUUAGCCUCGCCGGAUCUGGGCAAGAUCGAGCUCCCCUAACCAAGGUGAGGCCGCCAGCCCUCAUCGGCCGAUCGCCGGCCAUGGCUGAGGCUGGCGAUUGGCCAAAAGGAAGAAAAAAAGAAAAAAAGAAAGAAAAAGAGGAAAAAUAAAAUAGAAAUAUUAAAAAAUUAAAAGAAACAAAAAAGAACACAAAUUUACCAAACAUGUUUCUGUUCUUUUUUUAUUCUAGAAAUAAUUUUACCAAAUGUGUUUUUCUGGUCAAAAUUUGUUCCUCGGAACAGAACAGAAAAAUCUAGAACAAUUUUUUAACAGAAACGUUACCAAAUGCAUUUCAACUUCGAAAAAACUAAUUAUUUAUUUAAAAAAUAAUUAAUUUUUUGGGGAAUAGGUGGGGUUUUGAUAAACAUGCCGGAGAUUGUAAAGGGAAAAAGAUGGCAUUGACCCCAAAAACAAAAGAAGAGAGAGAGAGAGAGAGAGAGAGAGAGAGAGAGAGAGAGAGAGAGAAAUUAAGAUAAAAAGUGGGGGGAAGUAUAAAUAUUUUUUUAGGGGGAAAAGGUGACGUGGCGAGGGGAUUUUGAAAAUUAGGGGAGCCUUUGAGGGUUUUGAGUUUUGAAUAGGUGGGGACAGUUGGGACGUCGAUGUCUUCAUCUUAGGGCGCGUUUGGUAACGAUUCUUUUUCCGAGAGUAGAUUCUGAUUAGAAAUGAUUUUUUUUCAUUCUGUUCUCGGAAACAAAUUGUAAUCAUUUUAAGUCAUUUGGUAACUAUCUAAAAUUUCUGAUUCUGGAAUAGAAUUGCGUUUAGUACCGUGCUCAUUGAUUAUGUUUCAAAUCAAUUUCUUUUAAUUUUUAAAUAAUUUUUUACUUUUUUCCUUUUCUUUUUCUUUUAGUUUUUUUUUUCUCCUAUUCUUCGUCUUCUUCAAGGGACCGGCGACUGGCCUGACGAGGGCCGACGACCUCAUUGGAGUGUCACCGGGCCUCAGCGAGGCCUGUCUGGCCAUCGGCAGGGCUAGGCGAGCCUUGCCAGGGCUGGGCGAGCCUCGCCGGUGGCUGGGCUUGCCUUCGGCGAGCUCACUGGACCUCGCUAGAUUGGUUGCCAGCGACUGGCGAACGGCGGUGGCGGCGUCGAUGGGCGGUGGCGACAGUGGCGAACGGUAACAGAGGAGGGGAGAGAAGGGUUUCCCUUUUUUUAUUCUUUUUUUUUGUUCCCGGAACAAGAAUCAAUUUUUUUUAAUUCUUCAUUCUACUCCAAAACUGUUCCCGGGAAUAAAAAUUUUACUAAAUGCGAUUAUGUUUUCAAACUAAUCCUAGGAACAAAAAAUCAUAAUCAGGCAUUAUUUAGCACGUUACCAAACAUCCCCUUAACUUUUGGAUGUACGAGUGAGCUAAGCCCCUGAGCUCUGCCUCUCUUGUCAAUAUGGACAAGAUUCGAUUGGACAACUUAUUUGUCCGAAUUCAAGGGGAGAUAAUUGUUUUGACUUUUCAAGUUCUACCACAUGUCCUUGCAAUCCUCAAAUCGGUCCGCCAUAGCCCCAAUCGAUGAUCUCAGCUGGUUUUCUUGUUGAAUGAUUUGGGGUGUGCAAAAUAAUGGAAAGCCAUCAGGAUUCUCUAGAAUUGAAUUGGAUCGGAUCGGAUCAAAAUUAGUAGUUUUUAUGAGGAUUGGUCUGAUUAGCUGAUCCAAUUUUCGGUUUCAAUUUAGUCAAAUCAACAAGUACUAAUCCAAUUUCUAGUUUUAGGUAAUGGAUUAUAUUUAAAAAAAUAUAUACCUCAAUUAUUUAAUUAUUUUAUAGUUUUUCAACCAAAUAUAUAUAAUUAUUGAACAUUAUUUACUAAUUUUGUCUAUUGGGUGUGUAAUAUGAGUAACUCCCUAAUUUUCUUUUUCAUUAUAAUAAUCCAUUUACUUGUUUUAUCAACCAAAACAAAAUAAAAAACGAAGAGGAAUGAGAGAACCAAUUGGAAAUGUUUGUAAAUGUUACGGUGCUUUAUCAUCAUGACACGAAAUUAAAAGCCAAUGGCUCGUUUUAUGAGUAUAAUUAGGUCUUUCAUUAAUUAUUCUCAUGAUUAAAUAAAUGUGAUGUUGAAAAAUGAUGGAUCAAAUGAUUAAGGUUUUAGGAUCUAUUUGCCAAACAGUGUUUGUUUCCGGGAGUAGAUUUGGAACAGAAAUGUAUUUGGUAAAAUUUUUGUUCCCAGAAGUAGAUUUGGAACAGAAUCAAGAAUAAAAAAAAAUUGAUUAUUUGUUUUUGGGAACAAUUCUAGAAUCAAGUCAAUCUAUUUUUUCUUUUUCCUCUUCUUUCUUCUUGUUCUUCUUCCCUCUCCCUUGUUCUUCAAGUGUUACUGCCGCCACCAUUGCCGUUUGCUGCCGUCGGUCACCAGCGAGCCUUGCCUGGCCGAGCGAGGCUCAACCUCGCCAAGAUUUGGCUCGGCCGACGAGGCAUGGCCUUGCUGAGGGCCGGUAACGCUCCAGUGAGGUCAUCGGCCCUCGUUUGGCCGGUCGCCGGUCAUCCCAAGGCGAGGCCACCUUGAAAAAAAAGAAGAAGAGGAGAAAGAAAGGGAAAAAAAAUAAAAAAAUAAAAAAAUAAAAAAAUAAUUUAAAAAAUAAAAAAUGAUUUGAAGUAUGAAUUGAAAUUUUGUUAUAUAAGAAUACAUAUUUAAAUUUUGAUUUUGAUUUGUUAUUUAGUAUUUAUAUUUAUAGUUUAUACUAUAGUUUAUUAUUUACUAUUUAAUAAAAAUUUGAUUAGUUAAUAUUUUUAUUACUUAAUAUAAAUAUAAUUAAUCAAUAGAAUUUUAGAAUGGAAUAGAAUUCUAAAUUCAAAUUCUUUUGAAAUUGAAAUAUAAUAUAAUAUAAUAUAAUAUAAUAUAAUAUUAUUUCUUCACUCAUAAGAAGACAUUAUAUUGGUGAGUGGUCCAUGAGAAUUCAAUAUCAAAUUUACACUCAUCUAAGAAUGUAAUUGAAAAAGAAUUGAAAUAUAAAUUUUAUACAGUUACCAAACGCAUUUAUGUUCUUUUUCUAUUCCAAAAUCAGAAUUUUUGUGCAUUUACUAAAUGUUUUAUUUUGCUCAGAAAUUGUUCUCAGGAACAGAAUAAAAAAGAAUCGUUUCUGAUCAGAAAUUGUUCCUGAGAACAAAAUGAUUACCAAACGCACCCUUAACUUUUAUGGAGAUUAUGACUUUUAAGGUGGAGUCUAAUUCUUGUCUAUAUGUUUUCAGUGUUGAGAAAUCCUAAGAGGAUUACACCAUAACCUUCGAAAUAAGUUUUUAACUAACGAAUAUAGCAUAUUCGUUCCAUCGAAUAGUUUUCAAUCCUUAAUCGAAAUUAAUGACUUGUAAUUCAACCCGAAUAUAAGGUCGAACAAGCUUUGGUGCUUUGAAUAAAAACUAGGUUCACCAUGAUAUUAAUUGAUGAAUGCAAUUUUAUAGAAAUUGAAGAUCGAUUCCAUGGACCAUCUGGGAAUUGGAUCGAACCAGAAAUCCAAUUUCUAGGUGGAUCCAUGAAACCAACUUAUAGGUCCCAAUUCCAAUUUUUUUGAACUGGUCCAUGAUGGACAAUUCCCAGUUUCAAGAUGGGAACUGUCAUGCUCACUCCUAGGAACAUGUGGUUUUCUUGUAGUGAGGAAAUAGCCAAGGAUGGAGGUGAUCCUAAAAUUGGUAUACUUAUUUGCAUAAACUCAUCAAAUCUUUAAGUAAAUUACAUCGGAAAUCCAUGAAGCAUUGGCCAGAUGAUAUUGCUAUAUACACAAGACAGAUGAUAAUGCGAAAUACUUAUUCAAAGCGAUCUAAUUUUCUUUUAAAUAAGAAUUGCUUAUAACUUUAAAAGAUGCCUACAAUAGAAUCUUAAGGAAAGAAGACAGUAGAGUAGCCAAGCUGUCAUAACCUAAUAUUGUUUCUAAACUAAAUGGUAAAUCCCUAAGAACUUAAUCAAUUUUAAAUCCAGUUUUCAUCAAAGAUCUUCACAUUUUUUAUGCUAAACUAAUUCUAAACUAGAAUUAACACUAAAAUAUAGUAAAACUACUCAAAAUCUAAUUUCUAUUUUUUUCCUAGAUUUUGAAUUUUUAUUCUUUUAUUCCGAAAAAUGGGGACUCAGAUCAGUUUAGAAGAGCCAGUCCAAAUGCGAGUCUCAUCUAGACCUUGUGUGGAUUAUGUAAACAAGAGCAUUAGGUUACGCUGAACUUAUUCCUAUAAAAUGGUCCUAUUUCUUUUUUUGUUACUAGAAACAAAAAAAGUAGAUUUUUUUUUUUCAAAAUUUUUGUUUCAAAUUUUUUACCCCGUUUACCUUGGCUUCCAUUACCUUGCUUAUUUGCCCCUUUUGGCGUGAAAGGAAUUUGUAGAAGAAUUCUUCGAACUUCAUUUCAUAGAUUGAAGCUAGAUUCACUAAUUGCUUGUCUCCUAGCUCAUCUUUCAAAUCAUCAUCCAUUUGCUUGCAUCUUAGCACAUAUCCCAACUUUAUGGUUCCACCUGAUACGCUGAGUGUGAGGCUAAAUCGUAAGCAAUCAUUGUCAAAUUCAAGAAAAUCAACUGCUCCCUCCAACACUCCCCACAGCACAUUCGGUUUGAGAUAUUGAAUCCACAUGUGAUUCGAAUUAAAUGAACCGAGAGAUCCCGAUAGCCCAUUCCAUUUUUGGCCGUUAAGAUGGGGCACGAUGUCGAAAAAUAUUUCAUUUUCUCCAUCUUCUACAGUGAAAACAACAUAGAGAGCUAAUCCCAAGAACUUAUCAUAGAAGUCUUGUGAAACCAUGAAAGAUAUGGUACUGCCUUCAACAAUGAUGAACUCCUUUGGCAUAUCUCCUCCGGGAAGAAUAUUCAUGUAGUAAGGAGCAAUUUCAGAAUAGCGACACUUCUGUUAUACCAAUAAAUUGUUAGACGUACUAAAGUUGAUAAUUAGUUAAAAUAGAAGAGUUUGAUUUGAGAAUUUUUCUAGUAAUUUAACCAAAGCUAGAGUUUUUGUAAUAAUUAAACAUAUCGAUCUUUCCUUGCCUUAUAUGUAAUACUCAUGAAAUCAUUCACUUCACUUGCAAGUAUUGUCGUAGCACAUGGUGUAGAAUCACUCUACGUUAUAUUUGCUUAUUUGUAUAGAAUUUUCAGUUUUUGCGUUAUACAAACACAGUGCGCCUAAUGUACACUCCAACAACAAAUCAACACAUGCACUUAUCAAUCCACGCGUAUCCCCGGGGGCUAGAGAGAGAGAGAGAGAGAGACCUCAACUGAUAAGUCAGACCAUGACAUGUCACCCAAGAUUUCCUUGUCUGUUUCUCUUUCACUUGUACCAUCUGCCUCUGACCUUGAUUGGUGAUUAUCUUCAUUGAGGGACAACUGCUAUUACAUAUAAGUGUAAAAUCACAAUAUAUUAGCUUGGUUUGUUUACUAGCUUUUGCAGUUUUGCAUUAUAAAAUCACAAACACACCCCAAUCGCGGAGAGAGAGAGAGAGAGAGAGAGGCAGAGAGAGGAAGAGACCUCAACUGAAAAGUCAGCCAUCAUAUCCGUGAGUGGGUAGUUAUCCAUAUCGUCGUCUUUUCUUUUCUUUUUUUUGGGUCGAAUAUUGUCGUCUUCUUUUGAGUUUGUUUGAUAAUUAUCUUCAUGGUCCACGGGCCGCUGUUAUAUAUAGGUGCAAAAUCACAAUAUAUUAGCUUGUUUUGUUUACAAGCACUUGCAGUUUUGCAUUAUAAAAACACAAAGCACCCAUAUCAGUCACACACACACCACAAUCGCGGAAGGGGGGGAAGGGAGAGAGGGAGAGACCUUUUCCAGAUCUAAGAGGUCGGCCGAAAUUUCUUCCACUCCGGUCUUUUCUUCAUUGUGAUGCCAAAUCUCAUAAACCAAACUUGGAUCUAACAACUCAUCAUCUUGAUUCAAAGCCUCCAAAUUGUCCUCUAGUGGCUUGCAUAUUAAUCGAAAUCCGCACUUUUUUACAAUUGCAGCAUUCGAUGCUUUAAUGCCUAACCGGAAAGAAAUUGAAUCAUUUCGACCAAAAGGGUCUACUCCCCAUAGGUCCUUUAUUGCAUGCAACUGUAAUAACACACGUUACAUAUACGAUAUGGGGAACCUCCUUGGCCCUACGAACUCAUGUUCGCAUCUGCCAUUAGUGUAUAAACUGAGCAUUAAUUCCUUUGGUUUCCCUUCCUUUAGUCCUUCCUUUACUAGUAAUACAACACCGAUAGCUAAUUUUAGGAACUUCUCAUACAAAUCCUUCGAAACUGUGAAAGAUAUAUAACCCUCCUUAUUUGGGAGUAACCAUUGCGGCAUCUCUCCUCCAGGUAGAAUAGUUUCGCAAUAUGAACCAUCAUACGAUUUCCAAGAUCGCUGUUGUAAAAGUAAACUGUUAAGAUAUUAUUUCAAAUUCGACACUCGAAAAAGAGGAGUUUCAAUUAGUCAAAUUUAGCUACAAUUAGCGAUAUAUGUACACGACUCCGUAUUAAUCAAAGAGGGAGGGAGGGACGGAGGGAGGGAGGGAGAAACAGAGAGAGUCUAACCUCACUACGGACCGGAUCACGAAAUAAUUGGUUAAUGGACAAUAUGUCGGGGGGAAUUUUGCUUAGAGAUUCACAAUUCCUUGCUAUCACUUGAAGCAAUUGCCUUACGCCUAGCCGUGGCCCGGUGAGGCCGAGCCUCGCCGGUGAAACCUCGCCACUCUCUUGUAGCUGUCCACGUUCUGAAACAUUCAAUUCAAGUAAAUGAUGUAGGUGCCCGCCCGUGCACUCUAGAAGCUUAGCAAAUUUUUUUUUGCACAAAUCCAAACACAUUAAGGAUGGAAAACAUGAAUGAUUCUCUAGGAACUCUACUUCUUGUAGAUUGGAUCCCCUAAGCUCUAAGAACCCUAGCUUGGGAAAUCCUGUCUUGCUACGCAGAUCACUCGACUCCUCCUCCUUUGGAAACUUGUUUAGUUUUGAACAACAAACAAGCCACAAGUUCCAAAGAUUUGGCAACUUGUAAAUGAUGGAUGGAAGGUUUGCCAAUUUCUUGCAAUAAGAUAUACUCAAAAUUUCCAAAGAGACAAGAUUUUCCAUGGAUGCAGGAAGUUCCUCAAUUGAAGUCUCAUCUAAAAAAGUCGUUGCAAGCAUUUCAUUUUAUCCGGAAUAUCAGGGAAUCUACGCAACUUUGAGCAACCACGAAGAUUGAGAACUUGAAGAUUCUUGGGUUGGAGUAUAUCAGGAGAUGAUGAAAGUUAGAGCAACCUCUUAGAUUCAACAACCUCAACUUGGCAUGAUAUGCAACUGAUUCGUGAGCAUGCUUCAAAUUUUGCACCCACUGAGAUCCAAUUCCUCGAGAUUUGGACAAAAAUCGAGGUUCGGCAUACAAACCAUGGACAGACAUUCACUGAAGUAAAGGAACUUCAAAAUUUUAAAGUCCUGCAAGAAAUAUCCACAUGGUUAGAAAAUGAAGAUAAAAAUAUUUAAUGCAAAACACUUGAUCAUCAUUCAAGACCCGUGUGAUAAAAAAUUAGUUGAUCAUAUGGUGUAUACAGAGCACUCCCACUCCCUUUUGAAAUAUGAGUUUAUUAAGCAAUCCUUGGCCAAAAGAGAAGAUUAAAAAAAGAAUAAUACUCGUAAUUUCACCACACAAAAGCUCUAUCAAGCGACAUACAAGAGAAAUCAUUCCAAUGCUAAGUAGCGUGGCCACUUCUACUAUGUAUAUGUUUAGAACCAAUACAUGUAAUUCAGAGAGAGAGUGUGACCUCAAGUGGGAGCACAUGAGCCAUGGUCAUAUCCUUUGCCAGCUAAUUCAUGACAUGAAUUUAAGCUAACAUAGGUGGCACUUGAUGGACCUACAAUCUUAUGCAGAGAUAUGCAAACUUGCCAUAAUGGCGGUGGAAGCUUGGGAAUCUUUGGUGUCAUCACUUAUUAGGUCAUGGUGCUUGGUUGAUCGAUUUUUGAGAAUCACACAUUUCGUUAAAUGUAGUAGACCCUUGAUCCGUUAUAUGUUGCUGAACUUUAUAUUAGUGAAAUUGUGCACCCACGUGGUAUUCCAAAGACAACUCCUUACGUUGUGUAGUGAAUGCAUCUUUUAAGUCCUUUGGAUCUUACACCAUUAUCCACCACUAAUAUGGAGAAAGAGCUAAGACAAUCAGUAAGUUACAUGAGGAAGUGAGGAAGAGAAGUCCGAAGCAAAAUGUCAAAUAUCCCAAUCAAGGCAAAAAAUAAAUAAAUAAAUAGAAAAGCCUGCUGUUUUUAAAGAAGGUGAUCUUGUAUUGAUUCAUUUGAGAAGAGUGCUUUCCACCUAGUCGUGGUGCGACGGACAGUUCUUUUCUAGUUUUGGAACACAUCGAUAAUAAUACCUGCAAAAGUGAGCUUUGUGGAGGGAAUGGUGUUUUCACUAGUUUCAAUGUUGCUGAUCUAUCACUAUGAGGUUGGCCUUGAGGAGGAGUCUUUUCAAGAUUUCAAGAUUCUCUCUUGUGAAUGGAAUAAUAGGGAUAAAAUAUAUUUCUUGAUCAGUGAGCCUGUUUUAUACUUUUUAGUAUUGUUUUAGUCUCGAUUACAAUGUGAUAAUGUAGUAGCUUGUUUGAAUUUUGUAUUUCGGGACUUGGAGGUUACUCAAAGGUACGGUCGGCUCCUACUUAUAAGUGCCCUCUCGGUGUCUCAUGGUAAACACAAUUAAUCUAUUAAAAGAAGUUUCAUUCUAUCUUUUCUUUGUCUUUCUCUCUACCCUUUUAGGGGAUUCAUGAGUGAACGAGAGAGUGCUGCAUCCUUGGACUGGCCUACAAAGGCGGUGAUUUGGCCAAGGGAGACCUAGUGUAUGUUGUCUCUUUCCUAUCCUCCAUAGUGGGGUUUUUCCACUUCAUUAAGAUUGAAAAACCCCUUCUAUUUAUUUGUUCGCUCAACACAUUCCGGCGUCAAUGUGGCCGACAAGCAUGACAGCAAAAUUUGAAAGUCCACGAAGUUUGUCUCUUUUGAGGCAUAGGAAGAGAAAACUAAAAGAGUAUGCACAAGAUUUGAAAAAAAUUGAUAUCUGAAAAAUUGAGCAAAACCACUAAAUUAGAAAUAUUUAAUGGAAAGAAAUUGUUGGUAAACACACAAUACACAAACAUAGAAUGUAUGUAGGAUAUUUCAAGAUUAAAAUUUGCAAUAAGAAAUUUGUUAUGGGAUAGAAAAGAUUAAAAUUUAGAUUGUGAAACAGGUGAGAGAUAAAAUAAAUUAACAGUUUCCGCACCUCUCAACGAAUACAAUAUUUGUAAAAUAAGUAAUCGAGACAUUUUGGGGAAGGAAUUAAAUUGAAAUUUCUGCGGAAGGUCACCUUUACUUUGUACAGUAGUAUUUAUAUGAAUAUAAAUAUAAUACAUAUAUACAUAACUUAAGAUUAGAUUUAAGUUUAAAUAUAUUUAAAUUAGCAAAGUGAGCCUCUUGCUUCUCUUUAGAAAGCCCUAUUAGUCAUGCGUGAAAGCCAUUACGCGCUACCAGCGUCCUAGAUGUGGUGUGCUAGCACGUCUACAAAGUAAGACUUCCAUGAAAUUGUACUCCACGAGCUUUUAUUUAAAAUAGCGGGAGAAGGAAUGGCUGGUCAAUCUAUCUCCCCGAAGAGUCACUUUUCGUCCUGUGAUUUCUUACCUAGGAAUAAAUGGAGUAAGGGCGCAACCAAAUGGCCCGAUUGAAAGGAAUGGAGGGGAACGUGUUACACACUUGGAAGGAGAAGGAGAAACUCCCAGUUAUAUUUGAAAAUGAAUAUUUUACCCAUAAAGAUGAAGAUAACUUUCUUGGAGUUCCGCUUAUUCCUCCUCCUAAAAAUAAAGAAGUACUUGCCAGAAAUCUAUGGUUAGGUCGGCACAAUAAAAAGAGACGGGACUUUUGGGGCUGACUUAUAGUAAAGACUCAACUCCUUUAAAGAUCCUUUAAAGAUCCUUUACUACAUGAUUUCUACAUAUCUAUUUUCAUUAUCGACUGCAUUCUAUUAUAGAAACAACAACGGGAGGUUCAAUCAAAAGUACUUAGCGUGCAUUUGCUUCAAUGUUAAAGCAAAUAAGCAAGAAAAAUCUCAUUCUAUUUUCGUAUGCAAUUUCGAAAAGAAUCUAGUAAGCUCUUCUCUUAUAUAAAAUAUAUAAUCUUUGAUAGCAUUUUUAGUAUCUAUCAUUUCAAAGGCACAAAAUUGAAUACUUAGGCAGUUCAUGUUUAUUAAAAUACUAAGCACAUUCACCAUUCAAUUGUUAAAUUAUGUCACCAAUAAGUUCUUCUUCCAAUUUUCGGUAUUAAAGUUACUGACCGUAUAAGUCCAUCCUUCUUAUAAUUUCGGUACUUCUAACAUUUGAAAAUGAGAUUGAAUUUUUUUAGCAAGUAUCUUUUGUUCGAAUCGACAAUAAAAUUCACAUAGAAAAGUGUUUAAUACUCCCCCAAAAUGGGAAGAAUUUAAUCAAAUAUAAACAAUUUAAUAGAUGCAGAUGUUUCUUAAGCACAAUUAACGAGCAUCAUCAAAGUUAGUAAUUGUUGCAUCCAAAGUUUUCAAUAAGACAUAUACAUAUAUAUAGUCAUAAUCAUAUGCAUACAGAUAUAGAUAUGUAAGAGAUAAGUAAGGACAAUUAAUUUGAAUGCGCACCUUAAAUUGGCCCACCACGACUUGAAUGUUGCUUUUGCACAGAUCAAGUCUAACUAACUUCUUUGGGCCAGGGGGAAAUUUGAGAACCGAAAAAGGACAUUCAGGCCAUUGAAACCAUCUCAGUUCAUUAGGAAGAUAGAUGGGACCUUGGAAAGAGUUAUGCACAUUAAUCAUGAUGAGCAACCUCAAUCUUUUCACGUUUGUGAAAGCAUUGGGAUCUAUGUAUAUUGCUUCUAUCUUGGGUAAAACCAAAACUAUGGCUUUUACUGCAUUUGUUCCCUGCAUUUAUAGAACUUGCACUGCAAUUAGUAUAUGAAGUCAGAGAAGAAGAGAGGCAAAUCAGUGUUUAAACCACCAAAACUUACCAUAUCCCCUGAUAGAACAUCACAGACAUCUUCACAAAGCCAUAACCUGCUGCGUCUCCCAGGAUCAUCGUGACAUUCUUGUUUAACAAUAUCCAUGCCCAUCAACUGAAUCAAGUCAUGCAUCUGUGGGUGCGUUUGGAUGGGCAUUUAGAAAGCCCAUCCAGCCCCCAAAGCCCCUUCAGCCAAAGAGAGGCGUUUGGCAACCAAUUCCCAAGGAGCUUUCAAAUGAAAGCUGGCCCUUGGGAAUGUUGAAGGCUUCAAUUAAUGAAAAAAUUAAAGUUCUCGAUUUUGCUCUCAAAAAUUUGUUGAAAACCCACUUUUGUCCAUUUUGAAAACAGAAAAAAAACCCUAGCUCAUCCGCACUCCUCUCUCCUCCCCUUCCCGUCGCUUCGCUCUCUCCUCCCCUUCUCCCCUUCCGUCGCUCUCUCCUCCCUCACGAUACCAGUUCUUGCUCGAGCGACAGAGAGUCCAAGGGAAAGCGGCGAGCUAGAGCGGCAGAGCUUGAGUCGACACCUCGCCCGCGCGCCAGCUCCACCGACGACUCCUUCCGACUCUCUCCUCCCCUUCUCCCCUUCCGUCGCUCUCUCCUCCCUCGUGAUACCAGUUCUUGCUUGAGCGACAGAGAGUCCAAGGGAAAGCGGUGACCUAGAGCGGCAGAGCUUGAGUCGACACCUCGCCCGCGCGCCAGCUCCACUGACGACUCCUUCCGACUCUCUCCUCCCCUUCUCCCCUUCCAUCGCUCUCUCCUCCCUCGUGAUACCAGUUCUUGCUCGAGCGACAGAGAGUCCAAGGGAAAGCGGCGAGCUAGAGCGGUAGAGCUUGAGUCGACACCUCGCCCGCGCGCCAGCUCCACCGACGACUCCUUCCAAUCGGCACCAUCGAGCCGGCCGAACCGGUAAGCCCUUCGUUCGUGCCCUAUUUCUUGAGGUUCAGGUAGAGACUGAGAUGGUGAUCGCAGUCGUGAUUGUGGUCAUGAUUGUGGUCAUGAUUGUGGCCCUAGUCGGUAUUAUGGUGGUAAACAUGCUUUAGCAAUUGCAAAUGCAGCUGAGAUCAAUCUUGGUCGACUUCUACAGUGGCAUUUGUGACUGUGGAGUGCAAACAGCUUUUUGGUGUCUAGAUGGCUCUUUUGAGGAUAGGGCAAGAGAUUCACCUGUGGAAGUAAUGCGUUUUUUCUAUGCAAAGGAGAAGCUGCCUUAGAAAUGAAUGCUCCUUUUGGCUACAAAUUUUCAGAUGUCUUUCUUUUUGAAAAGGACUUAUUAAGCGGCUAAGCUCUAUGUUUUCUUAUAGACAUUUAGUUAGCACUCUAUUAAUACUGCUAGCUCAUGGCAGGAUUCUUGGCUGUUUGUGGUGUUUUGAUACACGAUCACGCUGCUUUCAUGUCAUAUGACAUGACUGUAGUCUUAAAAAUGCUGAAAAGUCCUUUUGGCUUCAAGAAGCUAUUCCUUUAUGCAAUUAACUCUGUAAAAUCCUGUCUCACGUUCCCUCAAGCUAACCUCUUGGGCGUCCUACGUUGGUGAUUUAUAAGUUUUGGUGGCUUUUGGGGACUGCUAUGACCUGGUGGGACUAAUUGGGUCAUUUAAAAGGUCCAAACUUUCAAUGCCAUAUGGAAGAAAUAGUGAGUACAGGGAAAAGGAGAAACCAGAUUUUUGUACAUUGUUAGGGAUUCUCAAGGAAAAAGAACAAAGAUAGAUUUUUCUAUCCAUGACUUGGACCAAGCACUGGGCACCAAGUAUAUAUGUUUUCCUGAUUGGAUAUUUAAAACAUGUGAUGUUCAUGAGAAUAAAAAAAGUAGUUCAUAUUUCGUUUCUGUGGUGUGUAUUUCUAUGUCUUAUUAGUUCUAAUAUCAUUUUUUGCCUUGGCAGUCUAUGCUUGUUUUCUUCCAUCCAAUCAAAUUUGGUAUCACAUUCACUUUUGGCAAUCUGCUUGCUCUUGGGAGGUUUGUAAUUUGACUAAAUACUACCUUUUCUUUUCUUACCUAGAUAACUUAAUUCUGCUUUUGGUUCUUAGUCAUUUGCUGUGCAUGCUUUGUACAUUUAUGCAAAUUGAUCCCCAUUGGUUGUGUCAGUAUCUUAUAAUUGUUUGAUUUCCUAGAAGUUAAUGAUGCUGUUUUCACAAUUGAGUUUGCUGCUCUUCUGAUCUUCCUUAUCACAUUUAGUUGCUUUUCUUCUUUUGGAUAUUUAUAUUCUUCUUCCCAUGGAUCCUUAUCAUCUUUAUUACUUUUAUGUAGUUAUUGCUAGCCAGAAUACUUGUAAUUUGAACUCAAUUGCUUACUUUUCAAAAAAACAGAUACACUGCUCAAGAGGUGGAAAUAAGCUCAUCCAGGAUUCUAACCAGCAAUCUCUUCUUCUAGAGCCAAAAAAGUUAGUCCCAAUUCUAUCUUUUUCUUCUGGGGUUUCAAAAAAACAUAUCUAUGCUGUGUAUUCAUGUUCCUUGAUGUUUGGUGUCGGUUUUACUUGCUGUUUGGUGAUUGAAAGCUAUCUUAAAUGGUGAACUAAGUAUGAAGUCCACACCACAUGUCUCACCUGCAUUUGUUUAUAUUGCAUUUAUUAGUAGAUGGCAAGUUCAUCAAAAGAAAAGGCAUUUUGGAGCCCUAAAGAUGUUGAAACAUUUUGUAAGUUAUGCGUUGAACAAAUUGACAAUGGCAAUCGUCCUGCAAACAACAAAAGGGAUGGAUGGACGGUUAUAAUUAAGAAGUUUGAGGACCUAAGGGGCAAAAAGUAUGAUAAAGGUCAAAUGAAAAGUAAGUGGGAUAAUCUGAAGGAAGAUUGGAAAAGAUGGAGGACAUUGGUUCAUAAGGAAACUGGAUUAGGAUGGGAUCCAAGAAAGAAUACCAUUGAUGCAAGUGAUGAAUGGUGGGAGAUGAAAAUUCAGGUUUUUUCCAUUCUUUUAUUAAAUUUUUUUAAGUUCAUUUUUUUACUAUAAAACUCAUGAAAAUGUUUAUUACAACAGGAAAAUCCUAAGGUUAGACCUUUUAGGAUGAAAGGCAUACAUCCAGAUCUUCAAGCUUUAUUGGAUAGAAUGUUUGGAGAUACUGUUGCCACUAGGAGCAUCACAUGGAAUCCUGCACAAGGCUUACAUAUUGAUGAGGAUGUUGUCGCCACACAAUUUGACAUUGGUGGUUCAGCAGGAGCAGGAUUUACUGAUGAUAAUAUAGAGGACGAUAUAGGUGGAAAGAGCAGUGACCAACAUCGAAGUGAUAAAAGAAUGUCGCAGAGUUCGGUGAGACAAUCUCAAGGAAAGAAACAAAAGAAAAGUACGGCUGAUAAGCUAGCAUCGCAAAUGGAGAGGAUUUGUUCAGCUAUUGAAAGUAGAAGUUAUGCCAAAGAGGUUGAUCCUUACAAGGAACUCAUGGAGACGUUGAAAGCUAUACCUGAGAUAAAGCAAAAUCAAGAGUUAUAUUUUUUUGCACUAGAUUAUCUUUCAGAAAGGAAAGAUAAUAGGCAAAUCUUUAUGAACUUAGAUGAUGAUCAAGAAAAAGUCACGUGGCUCAAGUAUAAGUUUGCACAACGUAGGGCUCACUAGGAUAUUUGCUAUUUAUAUUUUUCACGUGUAAUGUUAUUGUAAUUUAAUAUAUAUUUGCACUACUUAUUUGUAUUAGUUGGUGAGACAUAUUUAUGCUACGUUAUCAGACUUGUUUUUAAUUGGUGUUUUUUUUAUCGAAUGGAGUUUGCAUACAUAUAUAUGAUAAGUGUUUUUUGUUGAUGAAUGAUUUAAAUAAUUCAUUAUAUAUCUUAUUCUAAUUCUAUUUUGUUACUUUGAUCAGUUAUGGAUGACUCUUCUGAAAGGGAAAACCAUGAAAAAGAGGAAGAAGAAUAUUGGCAACUUUGUGUAGCUGCACAUACUUGCGGUGUUAAUGUUUAUCAGUCAAUAUAUGGUGAAAAAAUACCGUGCAUGACCUCAUCAUAUACUGGAAAUGCAUGGUUGAGAGAGUUGAUGGAUAUAGAUGCUAAUCCAGAAAGGUUUCAUCAAAUGUUUAGAAUGGAUAGAAUUGUGUUUAAUAAUUUAAUGAAUGAUUUAGUGACACGAUAUGGUUUGAAAGGAACUAGAAAUAUUGAUGUUGCAGAAAUGUUAUGAUUAUUUCUUCAUAUUUUAGGACAUAAUAUAGGUAAUAGGUUAGCACAAGAGCGCUUUCAGCAUUCUGGGGAAACCAUAUCCAGGCUAUUUAGCUUAGUUUUGGAUAAAGUAUGUGAAAUGGGAGCAAACUUGAUCCAACCAUCCGAUCGACAAUUCAAGGAAGUUCCAAAGAAGAUCAGGAAUAAUACAAGAUUUUUUCCAUAAUUUAAGGUAAGUUAUGAUUAUACAAUACAAAAUAUGAAUUAAAUAUAAAUCAAAUAAUAUUAUUCUUCUUGUUUUAGGAUUGUAUUGGAGCUAUAGAUGGUACUCAUAUUCCAGCGGUGGUACCUACGAGUGAGCAGCUUCGUUUUAUUGGUCGAAAAGGAACAACCGACGCAAAAUGUGAUGGCAGUGUGUAAUUUUAACAUGGAAUUUACUUACGUGUGGGCCGGUUGGGAGGGAACAGCUCAUGACACUCGUAUCUUUUAUGAAGCCAUCAGGAGACAUGAUUUACAAUUUCCUCAUCCUCCAAAAUGUUAGUUAAUUAAUAGUUUUUAUGCAUUAAUAUACGUAUGUGUUAUAUGUUGAUUAAAUUUACAAAUUUUUUUUUGUGUAGGUAAAUAUUAUUUGGUCGAUGCUGGAUAUCCAAAUCCCACAGGUUAUUUGGGGCCAUAUAAAGAAGUUAGAUAUCAUUUACCUGAGUUUCAACAAGGUCCUCAACCGACAGGUUAUAAAGAAGUGUUCAAUCGUGCUCACUCCUCACUACGAUCAGAAAUUGAGCGAGCUUUUGGCGUAUUGAAGAAGAAGUGGAAAAUUUUAAAGGGCAUGCCAAGUUAUCCAUAUACAAAACAAGUGAAAAUUGUGAUAGCAACGAUGGCUUUGCACAAUUAUAUACGAAGAAAUGCCCUGAAUGAUACACAUUUUGCUAGAGUAGAUUUGGAUCCCAAUUUAUAUACAAUUGAUCCUGAUAAUGUAAAUGGGGAGGGUAAUGCUUCAAAUGAUGAUGUAGCAUCUGAUAUGGCAUGUUUACGUGAUCAAAUAGCUAUGCAUUUAUGAAGUAAUUAAGGAUAUUUGUAAUUUUUAAGGAUAAUGAACUCUUUCCUCAAAGCAUAUGUUAUCAUGUUUUUAUUGUAAUUAAAGUAUUUUUAUUUUAAUUGAGAAAGAGCGCACGUAAAUUUUUUCUAUUUGAUGUCUACGUGAUCAAAUAGCUAUGCAUUUAUGAAGUAAUUAAGUAUAUUUGUAAUUUUUAAGGAUAAUGAACUCUUUCCUCAAAUUAUAUGUUAUCAUGUUUUUAUUGUAAUUAAAGUAUUUUUUAUUUUAAUUGAGAAAGAGCGCACGUAAAUUUUUUCUAUUUGAUGUCUACGUGAUCAAAUAGCUAUGCAUUUAUGAAGUAAUUAAGGAUAUUUGUAAUUUUUAAGGAUAAUGAACUAUUUCCUCAAAGCAUAUGUUAUCAUGUUUUUAUUGUAAUUAAAGUAUUUUUAUUUUAAUUGAGAAAUAGCGCACGUAAUUUUUUUUUAUUUGAUGUCUACGUGAUCAAAUAGCUAUGCAUUUAUGAAGUAAUUAAGGAUAUUUGUAAUUUUUAAGGAUAAUGAACUCUUUCCUCAAAGCAUAUGUUAUCAUGUUUUUAUUGUAAUUAAAGUAUUUUUAUUUUAAUUGAGAAAGAGCGCACGUAAAUUUUUUCUAUUUGAUGUCUUUUAGUAAAAAAAAAAAUUGAAUUUUAAUUUUAAUAAAAUUGUUUACACAACAUCUUUAAAAUUGUUAUCAAAUAUAAAUUAAAAAGGUUACAAAAAUUAUUUUCUUAAUUUUAAACAAAUAAAAAUAAAAAUAUUUACAUUAAUCACCAAAUGGGCUUUCUAAAUGUGUUUUUUUUACCAAACAACAUUUAUCUCAAAGUUGCUUUUCAAAGUAGAAUUUACCAAACAGUCUUUGCAUUCCCUCCAAAGCCCUUUAGGCUAAACUGCUUUGCAUUUUCCCAAUGGGCUUUCCAAAUGCCGAACCAAACGCACCCUGUAUCGUCCCCCUUCCUUCAGUUAUUAAGGACUUCUCAACAAGAACUCGCACUCCAAUAGUCGUGUCAAAGUCGCAACUGUUAAGGACUUCCAUAAUGUGCUCUAUAGAUCGCCCCUUGAAGAAACAUGCAAUAUCAAGGAAUAUCUCCUUUGCAUAGUCCUCUAGUCCAUCGUAACGUAACUUGAGAACAUCAUUGAUGGUUUUGUCAGGACUUUUAGCAAGUUUAUUCAAUGCGCUUUCCCACUCCUGUUCUCUUCUACCACAUAAGAAAGAGCCCAAUACCUCAAGUGCUAAAGGAAGUCCUUUAGCAUAAUGCAAAGCACUAUCCAAAAGAUCCCUCCUUAUCACUAUUUCCUUACUUCCAAGAAAAGCAUGUUUAUUGAAAAGUUCAAGAGCUUCCCAAUACACUAGAGUUUUAACUUCAUAGAUAUGAUCUUCAUCUAUCCCAUGGACAGUUAAUAGAUGGUUAUCUCUUGUCGUGAUGAUGAUUCUGCUUCCUUUACCAAACCAUUCACGCCCUCCAGCUAAAGCAUUCAAUUGUUUUACGUUAUCGACAUCGUCGAGAACAAUGAGGACUCUUUUGCGGCAAAGUCUAUGUCGCAUCAAAUUAAUACCUCCAUCAACACUAAACAAUGUUAAUUCUUUUCCCACUAAUAUCUCGGACAACAAUUUUUCUUGUAGAUGAACUAAAUCCUUGGAAUCUUUUGAAGUUUCACGAACGUUUGCCAAAAAACAUGAAGCCUCAAAUCCUUUGAAUAUAUCAUUGUAAAGGGCUUUGGCUAAUGUUGUUUUUCCUAUGCCUCCUUGUCCCCAUAAUCCUAUCAUGAGAACAUCAUCACUAGACACAAGAUUUAACAUAGAUUUCAGCUUUACCACUUGUCGAGGUAUUCCAACCGGAUGCUUGGCAACCUGUAAUGGUGUUCGGUCUAGCUGCAUAGAGAUCUCCUGCACAAUUCUCUUGAUAAGAUCUGCUUCAUCUCUGACAAAAUCCAGAAAGGUACUUGAUACAUCAAUUUCCAAAGAUAAUUGACUUUCAUGGAAAAAGAAGAAGAGAUUCAGCAUAUAAAAAAGAAAUAACAAAGCAGUGUCACAUCAAUCACUACUUGGUACUUACUUAUCCUUCAAAUCCCACCCAGACAAGCUACCGGCAUCAAAGAGAGCCUUUUUCCAUCUCUUCACUUUCUCCGAAUCUCUCCCAAACUUUCUCUCAUGCUUAUCCAUAGCUUUUCGGUAGCUCUCUCUUGGUGUUCUCACUUCUCUAGGAUCCACUUUGUAAAACACCGGAAAUACCGUGAGUCCUCUUUGCUCCUUGCACUCCAUGAUUUUCUCCACCUCUUCCAAACACCAUAGUGAGGAAGCAUAGUCCUCGGAGAAAAUGAUGAUUGCGAUGCGCGAGUCCUCAAUCGCCUUAAUAAGCGCCGGUGUUAUUCGUUCACCUUUCCGAAGCUCCUCGCUAUCAACGUAAGUGUAGAUUCCUUUCUAGUCAAGAGCCGCAUAGAGAUGACCAAGGAAGUUCUUUCGAACGUCAGUACCUCGAAAACUCAAGAAGGCAUCGUAAUUCUAUUCCAGAUUUGAAGAAGCGGCCUUUAGAGGAGAUGAAGGUUGAUGUGCUUCCUCAGAAUGCUUAGUGUCUGGUCGGGUUGCAGCUUUCUCUCUCAUGUGGAUAUCACUUUGUACUAACAAAGAAAUAGAAACGAAAACCAAGAUCAUUUCUGAUGCUUCGAGUCGAUAUGCAUAGUCUCCAACAGCUAAUUUAACAAAAAGCAGCAUUUUGCAUAAGGUGCACGGAACCAUCUUAUAUAGGUGCUUCUUGACUUGACUUGCCUUUUCCAUUAAUAAAAGAAAUAGAAAAGAAAACUAGCAACACUCCCAUGCUCCUGGUGCUAAUAUACAUGAGUCAAUCGCAAAACACUGCAUGUUGGAAUAUUAUUUAUAAUGAACAAUCUGACUUUUUUCUUUCAAAAGGGAUUCUACAAAUGCAAAUCCCAAAAUAAAUUUUCCUCACUUUUCAAACUAAAUUUCUCCAUCCCAUGUCUUGUAUUGAACAGAACGAAUUCGAAUCUGUCCAGGCAUUUCUUCAAACACGAAGUGGGCAGCGAGUUGGAGAGAGGAUAUGGACCUAUUCGGAGCUCGAGCUCACACUUAAACUCAAGAGAAAUCAGCGAGCAACGUUCAAACUUAAGAAAAACCGACUCAUUCAGAUCCGACGCAAGUGAGGACUAAAGAAAUUGAGCUUGCUUUGCUCUUUCAAAAUCAAGCAGGACGAGGCAAAAAAAAAAGAAGGAACGAGAACUCAAUCGCGGGGGCCCUACCUGGCUUGGCUUCCCCGGGCAUCGUUGGCGGUGAAGGUUGAGAAUAGCGACUCCAAACUCGUGUCAGGGCUUCAGUCGACUCCACCGAGGUCAGGGACGGCGACGACGAAUGGCAGCGGGCGGACGAUGCUCUGGAGGUGGCGGACGACAUAGAUCGGCUGUGGCUCUGAGGUUUUGUGUGGGGCUUCAAUGGCAACCGUUCACGUAGUAGAGAAAGACCAAGAUGCUUCUUUUCUUUUUCUUCUCCUUUUUCGUGAGAGUAAAGAAGUAGGUGACAGCGAAGGAAGGAGUGAGGGAGGAAUUCGGGAAUGGGAUGUGUCACGCCCCGAACCUCGAGCGCGCCAACAUCCCACCAUGGUCAUGCAAAUGCGACAUUCCCAGGUAGUGUCGCCGACCCCAUUAAUUUAUUAUUGCGCAAGCGGAACGUAUUAUAAAACCCCUGAUAAUGAAAUACGUGAUAGAAAAGCAAGAAGCAAAACUACAACAUAUCACUUUCAUAAUUCAACAGAAUUACAAACAGAAGCCUACAGCCAAAAGUCUACAAAAGACCGGCUCUUAAAAAGGAACUGUCCUACGACCUACAAGUCGGACACAUUCUCCAAUCCUUAUGACUUCACCUCUGCAACUCCUCAAAGCCAACCAAAGCUAUAUGGUCUCUCCGUCCACCAGGGACCUGAAAUUUUAAUCCCACAACCGGGAUGAGACGAUGUCUCAGCAAGUUCAACCCUCUAAACCCCUAUUAGAAAGAAAAUACACCCCGGGUGGCCUAGCCACAUCACACAGAGAACUUACCUUGCCUCAAUUCUUUCCUGCAGGUUAGCACAGUUCAUAUCACUCAAUCAUAUGCAGUAAUAAGAACUUAAACAACCGGAACGCAUUCACUUUCAUAUAACCAACAACCGCGGGGGUCCUGAUUAUAAGACUAAAUCGUUAUGACACGUCCCAUUCCAUGCCACACAAUUCUGUCUCAUAAUCCGACACAUCAAUUUCACUCAACAUGCAUUCCAAUUGUUAUUCACUGCCACACAAGGGCAUAGCUUACUCGCUGUUCGGCUAUCUACUGACAUAUAGCCAGGCAUCGCCUCCCCACCUUGGAGCGCGGCUUCGUCAGUACAUCGACGGCGUUCCCGAAGGAGCAUGGGCCCAGAAUCAACUGCGACCCGCAACCACUGCGUGGGCAUCCCAUAUAGGGGCAAGUCCGGCUCAGCAGCCCAGGAUGAUUCCUCUUAGUUAUCACACAGUCAAAGCAUACUCGGCCCUAGGACACUUUAUAUUUCAAUCAAUGCUUCCACUUAAAAUAGUGAUCUCGGCCAUUUUUCUCCAUAUUAAAAAUAUUCCAGAAAUUACUUACGUGUGUGGGGACAUGCUAAGGCAAGGAGGGUGUAAUGUUUUGGGCAGAGUCCCUUGAAGUAAAGUGUGUGCUUUGUGAAAAUCUCUCCAUGGCUUUCUAAAUUCCUCUUCUUCUCCAGCCUGGUAGGAUCCUUCAAGAAAUGCAGCUUGGGUAGGUUAGAAACGAUUCCAUCCUGGCAUCUCUGAGUGUCUCUAGGCUCUGAACUAAAGGGUUGAGUUGUUUUCCUGCUANNNNNNNNNNNNNNNNNNNNNNNNNNNNNNNNNNNNNNNNNNNNNNNNNNNNNNNNNNNNNNNNNNNNNNNNNNNNNNNNNNNNNNNNNNNNNNNNNNNNNNNNNNNNNNNNNNNNNNNNNNNNNNNNNNNNNNNNNNNNNNNNNNNNNNNNNNNNNNNNNNNNNNNNNNNNNNNNNNNNNNNNNNNNNNNNNNNNNNNNNNNNNNNNNNNNNNNNNNNNNNNNNNNNNNNNNNNNNNNNNNNNNNNNNNNNNNNNNNNNNNNNNNNNNNNNNNNNNNNNNNNNNNNNNNNNNNNNNNNNNNNNNNNNNNNNNNNNNNNNNNNNNNNNNNNNNNNNNNNNNNNNNNNNUGUCUGUUGAACAUGUGUUCUUAUCAGUGGUGGAUAUCUCUAAUCACGUAACGUGUUUUGAAGGUGUCCCUAGAAGAGUAGAUAAAUGUGGAGCCUACACCAUAUUUCUCCCCUUCAAGAGGAAUUAGACAAGUCCCCCUCUUUCCCUAUAUUUAUUCAGAUGAGUAGCAAAUGUUUUCACAGGGAUGUUGAGCCCAGCCUUAAGGAUUGGAAGCAUUAAAGGGAUAAAGCUAAACAAGUUCUGCCCUACACUAUCUCAUUAACUCUUUGCAGAAGAUUCCAUAUUUUUUUUGGACGGGGCUACAGUGGAAGGACUAAAGGAGCUUCUAUUAUCUUGAGUUGGACUUUCAUAAAAGAAAGUAACUGAGGAUCUGAAAGAGCUAUGUUGAAGUUGGGAUAUAGAGUGAUAAAGACCGUUCCAUCAAAUUUGGCAAAGAAAAGGAAGAAAGUCCUUCUAUUUUCCAAACCCUGCUCAUGAUUGAACCAUGUGUUCCUCCAUCCAUUUCCGAGCCAGAUUCAAAAAAGCAUGUUCGACACUUUGAUGGUAAUGGACAUCCUGUUCAUUACUAUAAAGACAAUUAUGGUCACUGUUUUUGGGAUCCUUUUUGCCAAUGUUCCUCCUGUAUAAAUUCGCCGGACGAGGUAAACCCGUUUGAAAGAUCUCCACCUCGAAAGAAAAAACCAAAGGAUAAGAUGUUCCAAAAGUACUUAGAUGGAGAUACAUCCAUCGACACUCUUGGUGAAAGCCACAAAUACCAAUUCAUGGUUUCUUAUGCACCACCGCCAUCACCAGAGUCCAGUACCACAUCCCAAGCCUUACAAGACUUACCAAAAACACCACCACCUCCAUCCCAGAAAAGGCAAACCCUCUCUCCAUUUUAUAAGCCAAUCCUUAAGUGGGCUAAGAAGCAUUCUUAUCCCCUCGAAGUUCCGGAAGAAGCACCACCUACUUCUUCUAUUGCCAUGUUCCAGGAUGCUGACUUUCCGCCUCUAGUCAAAGAAGGUUCUAAACUCUCUUUCCCGGCGGCAGAAGAGUUUAUUGAUUCUCAAGGAAGAUAUCGACAUGUUCCUAAAAUUUCUACUCUCACUGAUGUGGACGAACAUGGAAGACAGAAAAAAACCCCUGCUGCUGAAGCUGUCCUCAAUUGGCAAUUAGAGACUCUGCUUGCACAAAAUAAUGCCUUCAAAGCAAUUGACUCCCAAAUUGGAAAUGUGCAACAAGAUCUCCGAAGAUAUGAUGAAAGUACCAAGAAGAUACUCUCUGAAUUCCAAAAGAGGCUUCAUGCCUUGGNNNNNNNNNNNNNNNNNNNNNNNNNNNNNNNNNNNNNNNNNNNNNNNNNNNNNNNNNNNNNNNNNNNNNNNNNNNNNNNNNNNNNNNNNNNNNNNNNNNNGCUCAAGAACCAAAUCCAGCUUCUUGAAGAAGGAAGGUUCAGACCAUUUGAUCCCCUAGCACCUCCUGUUAAAACUGGAUAUUUACCUCCACCACCACAAACAUCCAUUUUCGCCACUAUCCCAACAGAACCCUAUAGAAGAGAACCAGACAUGGCAGAUUUGCGAAAUCGCCUCAAAACCAUGCAGAAAGAAAAGGGGAAAGAAAAGACACCACCUACAGGAUCAAGUCCCAUCAUUAUAAGAGAUAGGCCAGAACAGAUGAUGCUCUCAAAUCCACUAGAAUCUUUUCUAAAGGAUUUAGGCACUCAGAAACCCAACUCUGUUAUCCAACAACCUGAUCCUUUGAAAAACCAGACUUUUCUUUCAAUAGAACAAGCUCCUCAGGAUCCUCAGGAUACUGAAACAGAAUCUUCAGUAUCCUUUUCCUCCUCUUCAGUUGAUACCUUCCCCAUUGCACCAAUUACCUCAUCAAUAUUCAUGGCUGACUCCCUAGACGAUGAUAUGGAAUCAGAUUAUUCUGAUCCAGAAGUAGGCCAGACAAGCAAGCCCACUCAUCAGGUAUCCACAGCAUCAAAACAAUUCUUCACCAUUGAUGAUAUACCUUAUCAAAAGUGGCCGUUGAGGCUUGAAGAAUUCCAUGCUUGGAUGAACACCCAGGCUAUCACCAACCAUGAUAUGAAUGACGUAUUAUACAACUUUGUUACAAGAUUCACAGGAAGCCUGAAGCACUGGUGGCAAUCCCUUUCAGAACAAGACCAGCUCCAUUUCCUGAUGUCACCCACUUUCAGCCAUGCUAUCACUUUGUUAUAUCAUGUCUUUGUGGGAAAACCCGGUGAUCUCAUAGAGAUAAAAAAGAGAGAAUUUUUCGAAAGGCGAUGCUGCUCCCUCCAGAGGAGACACCUUGAUAAGCAUUUUAAGGUAAUGCUUCAAACCUUUUAUCAGGUAGGAGCAGAACCAAAUCUGAAGCAUGUUUUCCUUACUUCCAUCCCGAAAGAACUAUCCCAGAUGGUUGAGAGAUCAUUCGCUGGAAAACAAAGGCAGAUACAGAAUAUUCCCUUGGGAGAAAUACAGCAAGAAAUCCAUAUAUGUCUAGAAGAAUUAUGCUUGAAGCGCAAGAUGGUGCAAACAUACAUCACAUAUGACAAACAUCUAAAAGCAGCCUGCUCCCGACAAGAGUUGAAGAUCAAAUGCUCCAAAAAAGACUGUGAUGGAACAUGUUGCAAGUACUCCCGCAAAAAGAAACACUACAAGAAGUUUUGGAUAAAGAAAUCCAAACAUGGCUCCAAGAAUUUCCGGAAGAAGAAGAAAUGGCGAUACCUACGCAAAAGAAAGGAUCGCACAAGCCACAAAAAAUCAAAUCGUUGCUACAUUUGCAAUCAGAAAGGACAUUUCGCCAAAAGUUGUCCUCAAGCGAGAAAAGGUCAGAAUCAUCUAAUCCAUCAUAUUGAAAACGAAAUAGGAAUUUCUCUUGAGAAUGAUGAUAUUGAAUCCUUGUUCUCCGCUGAUGAAGAACCAUCUGAACAAACUCUUUGUGCCAUCCCCUCUUACCAAACUUCCAGUGAAACCGAGUCAGACUCAGAGUCUGAAGAUAUUUUUCAUAUAUCACCAUCAUCCUCAGAACCAAACUUUGACAUAUUUUCAAGCCAAACUCAUUGUCCACACUUCCCAGUCAAAAUCCUCACCUCAAAGUUUGCCAAACCUAUCACUGUCAUUGCUCUCAUUGACACAGGAGCAAGUUGUUCAAUUCUGGACACCAAAAUUCUGCCUGAAGAAUUCUGGACUCCCUACGUCCGAUACUUCAAUUCAGCAUCAGGAGAUACUUUCUCCACAAAUGUCAGAACUACUCCUGUAACUAUCCAGUUCUUCCCGCAGUGCUCCAUAACUGCAAAAUUUUUUGGAUCUAACCUUCCCAAUAAAGACCUGAUAAUUGGGUGGGACAUUAUGACUCAAAUCUCCCAGCUUCGUAUUAUUCCUGGAAAAGGUCUUAGGUAUAAAGAUCAAUUCUCUUAAUUUGUCAAUAUCCAGAGACUCUUUUCUAUUCAAAUGAGUCUACUAGAUCCGAUUAUGCAAAAGUUAUUGGAAUCCUGUUCAGAAUCCCACGCAGAAUUUGCUCAAAAGUGCCCUCAUCCUUUAUGGCAAAACCCAGAGUUCUUUGUUCGUCUCCCUUUUAAGAAGAAUGAAGACAUAAACCCGACCAAGGCGAGCCACAUGGGAAUGAAGCCGGAACAUUUAGUUCUAGCUCAAAGGGAAUGCUCGGAACUCUUGCAACAAGGCCUUAUUGAAGUUUCCAACUCACAAUGGGCUUGUGAAGCCUUUUAUGUCAAUAAACGAGCUGAGCAGAACAGAGGAAAAAUGAGAUUAGUAAUCAACUAUCAACCUCUCAAUCUUUUCCUCCAAGAUGAUAAAUUCCCUUUACCAUCCAGAGACUCUCUCUUCAGUGGUCUAACCAAGGCCCACAUCUAUUACAAAUUCGACCUCAAAGCCGGAUUUUGGCAAUUGGGCAUCCAUCCUGAAGAUAGAUCCAAAACAGGAUUCUGCAUCCCGAACCAGCAUUUCCAAUGGAAAGUUCUUCCUUUUGGCCUAAAGGUAGCACCAUCCCUAUUCCAAAAGGCCAUGUGUCGCAUUUUCCAACCAAUUCUAGCAAGUGCGGCCGUAUACAUCGAUGAUAUCCUGCUCUACAGUCCUGAUGAGCAGUCACAUUGUCAACUUCUUGAGCAGUUUGCAGAAAUCAUAAAAAAGCAUGGUAUUAUGCUUUCCCAAAGGAAGAUGAAUAUUGCCCAGACAGAGAUUGAAUUUCUUGGUAUGCACCUUAGCAAAGGUACAUACUACCCAGGGUCGCAUAUAGCUCAAGAAUUGUUGAAGUUUCCUCAGGACAAUUUCACAACAAAGCAAGUUCAGCAAUUUCUCGGGAUAAUCAAUUAUCUCAGGGUCUUUGUCCCAAAUAUUGCAAAACUUAUGAUCCCUCUGCAAUCCAUGCUGAAGAAGAAUUCCCCACCUUGGGGAAAAACUCAGACCAAAGCAGUAGCAGAACUUAAGGAGAUUAUGCAGAAUCUCCCACCAUUACAAAUACCAUCAACAGGCAAAAGAAUUCUCCAAACUGACGCCAGUGAUGAAUACUGGGCAGCUGUCCUCUUUGAAGAAAUCGAUGGUAAGAGACUCCUCUGUGCUCAUAAAAGUGGAAAGUUUUCCCAAGCUGAAAUGCAUUACCAUUCCACUUUCAAAGAAAUCUUAGCAGUCAAAAAUGGAAUCAAAAAAUUCGAGUUCCACCUCAUUGGCCACCACUUUCUGGUAGAAUUAGACAUGGCAUCUUUCCCUCAGAUGACCAAGUUUAAACAAAAGCAGAUUCCAAACUCCCAACUGCUUCGAUGGGCUGAAUGGUUUUCAAAAUAUUCCUUUGAAACUAAGCAUAUCCCUGGAAAGAAGAAUGUGCUUGCUGAUUUUUUAUCAAGACCAAAGGUACCAGCCGAGAUCAACAUGUAUAUCAAAAGGCCAGCUUUCCAUAUGCUCAACCAUGGAGUAAAAUACAAAAUUGAGAACAUCAGGGACUUGCAAAGCUGGAAAUAUCCCCAGGAGAUUAUUCAACAAAUCCAGAACGACAGCCUUGCUGAAAAUUUGGAGAACCUCAUGUGGCAAAGCCAUGCAGACCUGUUUAGGUUCAAUGGAGGUUCGAUUCUCUAUCCUUUUGGGUUAAACAUGAAUUAUCCAUUCAUUCAUCCUCUUAUCUGGAAAGAAGAUGAUUUUCCUGAACAGCUCAAAACGUUAUUAUGGUACUUAACCAAUAAGUAUCUAAUAGCCUUUGAAAUCCCAACCAGAAGAUUCAUUGCUAACCUCACCAGGAUAUUCUUGCUCGGAAGAAACAUUGAAAAAGAAUGUGAUAGAAAUCUUUUAGAAUUUCUAAACUGGUUCUAUCAUCCUACAUGUUGGAAACAAGACUUGGAAAAAGAACUGAGAUCCAUGACACCAGAUCCUGAAGUCCAUACCAUCCUAUUUUUCCGACGCCCUUGGAACUUUUGCAGAAAUAAUGGUAGUAUUCUUGAUGCACCUUUGGAAAUAGGAACUACAUCCUAUAAACCUAACCUGAACAGCCGAGAAUCCCGGAUUUACAAAUCUUAUCCUAGAUCUGUUCGAAUUUGUGAACGAGAAUAUCGAGAACUCCAGAGAAUCCUAUGCCAGGAAAACAAGACCAUUCCCGAAGACGUCUGGAAUAAUGCACCCACUACAUGGGAUCAUUAUGACCUAGCACCAGAAGCCAAGGGAAGCACUGGGACAAUACAGGCAAGCCUCAUCGUCCCAAGAGCCUGAAAUGACAAAUGAAGAUGACAUUGUCCAAUCCACCCAAGACCCCUAUGCACGCUUUGGAGGACCUCUGUCCCAGGACCCCUACGAACAGUUCCAAAGCAUGGACACAUCUUUUUAUGCAGAACCAUCCAACUGGCCUCAGCCAAGAAUUGUUGACCUCCAGCAAGAUGAAGAUACAAACUGGGCUGAAGAAGAAGCAUCACAUUGGGCUCAUGAACAAGCAUCCUCAUCACGAAGACUGAAUCAAAUUCUCUCACCAGAAGACCUUGAAGCUCUUGAACAAAAAUACGAGGCACAUCUCCUAGAAGAAAACUCGGAUGAUUCAGUUUGCAGCUACAAUGCUCGAGACGGACGUGACCGUUGAGUCCGUACAUUUUCACUGUAGCAAAACACUGUUCACUUUUACUGUAGCACUAGGCUAGGGAAAGUACUGUUCACAGUACAGUUUCUGUUCAUAGUGUUCGAAUAAUUCCCUUUCGGUGCCCUGUUUGUUUCCAGACCCGUGAGCUAGGUCCCUGUGUGUGUCCUUGUGACCUCUUAUUGCCUAUAUAAGGCAAGGAGGGUGUAAUGUUUUGGGCAGAGUCCCCUGAAGUAAAGUGUGUGCUUUGUGAAAAUCUCUCCAUGGCUUUCUAAAUUCCUCUUCUUCUCCAGCCUGGUAGGAUCCUUCAAGAAAUGCAGCUUGGGUAGGUUAGAAACGAUUCCAUCCUGGCAUCUCUGAGUGUCUCUAGGCUCUGAACUAAAGGGUUGAGUUGUUUUCUGCUAACAGGCCGUCCCUGAAGGGCUAGGUUCGCCCAUGUGGGAUGCAUACCUGUAGAAAAUUUACUCUCCUUCCCUGGUUCUAAGUCUAGGUCCAUCCAUUGGUAAAGCCAAUAUCUCACUCUUUCAAACCCCACUAUUGAAUAUAAUAAUUAAAAUCCAAUUUUUGCAUCAAAACCCGACACUUGGGUUUUUAUGAAUAAAAUCUCUAUUUACCACAAUCAACACUCAAUUUGCCACAUACAUUCAUCAAAUUCAAAUUAUAAAUGCACAGCAGCAAUCAGCACGAAAUUCUGAGAAUUUAGGGUCCCAAAUUAGUUUUUCGGAAUUUAUUAAAUAAUUAAAUUUAUUCCGAAAAUUAAUAUAAUAAUGAUAUCCAUAUUUUUCACGAUCCACACUCAAUUUAUAAUAUCCAAUCAUCAAUUUCAAAAUCCGACUACACAGCAGCGAUCGGCAUGAAAUUCUAAGCAAUCGGGGUUAAAAAUAAAUUUUCCCUUUUAAAAAAAAAUAAUAAUAAUAUUUUAAUAUCCGGAAUAUAAUAUAAUAUUAUAAAUUCCAGAAUUCGAAAUCAUUAAAUAAUUCAAAAAUAAAACCCCGUUAUGUCACAUCAAAGCUUUAUAUUAAAAUAAACAUACUUAACUUUAAACUAAACACACAUAAAACCCCAUUAUGUCACAUCAAAGCUUUAUAUUAAAAUAAACAUACUUAACUUUAAACUAAACAUACUUUAACUUAAUUAAACAUCCUAAUCUAAUCCUCAACCAAAUAAACUAAUCUAACCACCUAAACUUAAUUAACUUAGACUAAGCACACUUAGGGCAUCAUUAACCGUCUAAUCAAGAUUUAGUGAGUUAAACUCACCGGAUUAGCGAGCCGAGCGAACCAAAACGACGAGGACAACGCGAGGAUCGACUUUCCUCAAGGCGGGCCGAGCAUCCGGGCUCGGGAAGGCGGCCAAAACGGGCCAAAACCGAGCUGGAAUACCCAUUUUUCCAGCUGCUGGUUGCGGCCGAGAAGGGGCUGAUCCGGCGGCGAUUCGGCGGAGGAACGGCGGAGGAGGACCGGCGGAGCUUGAACGGGCCGGGCGGCGGCCAGGCGAGGCCUCACGACGGCGGGGACGAGCUCCGGCAGCUCUUGCGCGAGCUGAACAGCAGCUCGGGAUGUCGGCCAAGCGCGGGCGAGCGCGGGCGGCGGCGGAGCGCGAGACGACGGGCGACGACGGCGGUCCUGGCUUCGACGGCUUCGGCUGCUCCGGUGACCAAACGGCGGCAGCGGCAGCAGCUUGACGGAGGGGCAGGAGCUCGGGGCCACACGAACGAAAGCUGGAGGCGGUGGAGGCGGUGCGAUGACGAGCGGCCGCGGUGCGCGGGCGACGCGCACGGACGACGGCAGCGGCGAGCUUCUCCGGCGAAGCUGGCGGAGUCGAGCGGCGAAGGGGCAGCGUCCGGGCGGUCGGCUUGGCUGGUCCGGCCGAACUCCUCUCUCUCUCUCCUCCCUAUUUCCAAGAAGCCCAAGGUUGAAGAUGAUGGAGAUGGGUUGGAGGUGACAUCCCACCUUUUGAAGAAUAAAACCCUACCCUCCACUUGUCAUGAUCUUAUGCCAUCUUGCCCCCACACCAUGACAUCACCAAGUGAUGUCAUACUCCACUAACUUAAUUCCCCACAACCUCUUCCAAUGGGUGCAUUUUAUUUUUCCGCCGGGGCAUGAAACUUUGUACAUCCAAUUUCUUCAAUUCUCAUUAAUUCUCUUCCAAUUGAAUCAAAUUGAAGUCCAUAAAAUAAAUUCAAUGUCACCACACUUCAAUUCACGUCUUCACUUGUCCAUAGAAUCAACUUAAGUCCCAAAAGCGCGACCAGAGACGAGCCUACUAAUUUCUUGAGCCAAAUUAGCCAUUCUCUGAUUUAAUUACUGAAAGAUUCUGAUUACAUGAAAAAUCUUCUAAAGAUGAGUUAAUAUUCCUAAAAUGAUUUAUGACACACCCUGACUUCCAAUUUCUGAAUUCGAUCUCAAUUUCACGAUUAAUUUCACUUUGGCACGAUACUAGUGCGGCCCAACCUACCGGGUAACCUUUGGAAAUUUUCAUGCAUUUGACUUGUGGUUGAUCAUCUCAAGCCACAAUGUACAUCUUUGAAACAUUGGCGACUUUCGGUUGUCGGGGUAAUCUCAAGGUUUCAAACACGAACACAGGGUACCAAAUCGAUAGAAAAGUCGGUCCAAUGCCGAUCGACAGGAAUUGUGCGAUCUGGUGGAUCACCCACACUCGAUCACAUGCCUCUGUCGAGUCGACCUAUCUCCGAUCUCUAAUCAAUUUUUAAUUGUGUCGUAAUGACCCUUGCAGAUUAGCUCGGUCGAAAGGUCGCUUCCUGGUCAAAUUCUCGGGUCAGAUGCAUUAAAAACUCUUAACAGCUUCACCCGAUAAACUAGUUUUCACAUGAGUGGCCGACUCAAGGAAAAGAACUAUAUGCGUGCCAACGAAAUGCCCGUCUCAAUUUAUUGAAAAUAGAAAUGGAAAAUCGGGAUGUCACAGGAUGCGAGAGCAGUCGCGGGCGGGAGGUAGUCGGACGGAGAUGGAGGAGGCGGCUGGUCGGUUGAGUUCAGGAGAAAGGGUGGAGAAUGCUUUUUUUUUUCUUUUCCAGAAAAAUGCUGCCUGAAGAUGGUGGUAGAGGAGAUGAAUGUCGAUGUGCUUCCGUAGAAUGCUUAUAUAUUCGAAGAAGCGGCUAUUACUGUCUGGUUAGGUUGCAGCUUUAUCUCUCCCGUGUAUAUCACUUUGUUCUUUUUUACCCUGACUUUCUCGAAUCACGCGGCAGUGCUAACCAAAGAAAGCCACAGAAAAGAAAGUAAAGGUGAAUUGUUGCACGCGUAAUUUCAACGGAAGGUGCAUAAAAUUUACGCUGGUCCUUUCUUUCUUUUCCUCUGUUGACUUGACUUGCUUUUUCUACUAAUAAAGAAAUUGAAACAAAAACCAACGAGCAAUUUGAUGCCCCAAGCCAAUAAAGCAUAUUAUCCACCAGUUAAUUUAAUAAAAAGUAGAUAGCAAUAGAAAAUAAAAGAGAAGGACAAUCAACGCACAAAUAAUAUCUGUGGGAGGUGCAUAAAAUUUAUGUCGUAUUCUUAUUUUUUUUUCUUUUAGUUUUCCUUUCUUGUCUUGGCUUGCUUUCUCUACUAAUAAAAACAUAGAAACGAAAAUCAACCGAUAAUUCUGAUGGUUGCAUACUCUCGACCAUCGACCGAACUAAUUUAAUAAAAAGUAAAUAGCGAAAGAAAAGAAAAUGAAAGGACAAUCAAUACAUGCGUAAUUUCCACUGCAUUUUGUAGAAGAUGCGUGUAACCUGGUUCUUGACUUGACUUGCCUUUCUCAUUAACAAAAGAAAUAGAAAAGAAAACUAGGAAUACUCCCAUGCCCUUGACAUGCACACGUAGGGUGCGUAUGACAAAAUUUCUGGAAUAUAAAUUAAUUUCUGGCUAGAAAUUGAUAUCUUAAUUUCUAUUUCAGAAAUUAAGAAGUUAAAAAUUUUAGCUUCUGAUUUCUUUUUUCAAAUUUAUUUCUAUAAUAGAAAUCUGUAAAUCAAAUUGCGUUACUAAAUGGAUUUAUAUUACAUACUUGUUCCGGGGAACAGAGAAACUGAGAAAUAGAAAAGUAGAAAUUUUAUUAUGUGCGCCCGUAAUUUCCAUGGAAGGUACAUAAAUUUUACAAGUGUCCUUCCUUUCUUUUCCUCUGUUGACUUGACUUGCUUUUUCUACUAAUAAAGAAAUAGAAGCGAAAACCAAUGAACAAUUCUGAUGCUCCAAGUCAGUAAAGCAUAUUCUCCACCAAUUAAUUUAAUAAAAAACAGAUAGCAAGAGAAAAUAAAAUAGAAGGACAGUCAAUGCACAAAUAAUAUAUGUGGGAGGUGCAUAAAAUUUAUGUCAUAUUCUUUUUCUUUUUUCUUUUUUCUUUUUUCUUUUUGUUUUGUUUUCCUUUCUUGUCUUGACUUGCUUUCUCUACUAAUAAAAAAAAUAGAAACGAAAAUCAACCGAUAAUUCUGAUGGUCGCAUACUCUCGACUGUCAACCGAACUAAUUUAAUAAAAAGCAGAUAGCAAUAGAAAAGAAAAUGAAAGGACAAUCAAUGCAUGCGUAAUUUCCACGGCAUUUUGUAAAAGGUCCGCGUAACCUGGUUCUUGACUUGACUUGCCUUUUUCAUUAAUAAAAGAAAUAGAAAAGAAAACUAGGAAUACUCUUAUGCCCCUAGCAUGCACACGUAGGCUGCGCAAAACAAAAUUUCUGGAAUAGAAAUUGAUUUUUGGCCAGAAAUUAAUUUAUCAAUUUCUAUUUUAGAAAUUAAGAAAUUAAAAAUUUUAGUUUAUGAUUUCUUCUUUAAAUCUAUUUUUGGAAUAGAAAUCUGUUCCAGAAAUAGAAAAAUCAAAUUGCGUUAUCAAACAGAUUUCUGUUCCAAACCUGUUCUGAGAAACAGAGAAAUUGAGAAAUAGAGAAGUAUAAAUUUUAUCAUGUGCGCCCAUAAUUUCCACGGAAGGUGCAUAAAUUUUUUGCAUGUUCUUUUCCUCUGUUGACUUGACUUGCUUUUUCUACUAAUAAAGAAAUAGAAGCGAAAACCAACGAACAAUUCUAAUGCUCCAAGUCAGUAAAGCAUAUUCUCCACCAAUUAGUUUAAUAAAAAACAGAUAGCAAUAGAAAAUAAAAUAGAAGGACAGUCAAUGCACAAAUAAUAUCCGUGGGAGGUGCAUAAAAUUUAUGUUGUAUCUUUUUUUUUUUUCUUUCUUGUCUUGACUUGCUUUCUCUACUAAUAAAAAAAUAGAAACGAAAAUCAACCGAUAAUACUGAUGGUUGCAUACUCUCGACCGUCGACCGAACUAAUUUAAUAAAAAGCAGAUAGCGAUAGAAAAGAAAAUGAAAGGACAAUGAAUGCAUGCGUAAUUUCCACAGCAUUUUGUAGAAGGUGUGUGUAACCUGGUUCUUGACUUGACUUGCCUUUUUCAUUAAUAAAAGAAAUAGAAAAGAAAACUAAGAAUACUCCCAUGCCCCUGAUAUGCUGACGUAGGGUGCGCAUGACAAAAUUUCUGGAAUAGAAAUUGAUUUUUGGUCAGAAAUUGAUUUCUCAAUUUCUAUUUCAGAAAUUAAGAAGUUAUAAAUUUUAGCUUCUGAUUUUUUCUUCGAAUCUAUUUCUGAAAAAGAAAUCUGUUCAAGAAAUAAAAAAAUCAAAUUGCGUUAUCAAACAGAUUUCUGUUUCAAACCUGUUCCGGGGAACAAAGAAAUAGAGAAAUAGAAAUUUUAUCAUGUGCACCCGUAAUUUCCAUUGAAGGUGCAUAAAAUUUACGCGUGUCCUUUCUUUCUUUUCCUCUGUUGACUUGACUUACUUUUUCUACUGAUAAAGAAAUUGAAACGAAAACCAACGAGCAAUUUGAUGCUCCAAGUUAGUAAAGCAUAUUAUCCACCAGUUAAUUUAAUUAAAAAACAGAUAGCAAUAGAAAAUAAAAUAGAAGGACAAUCAACGCACAAAUAAUAUCUGUGGGAGGUGCAUAAAAUUUAUGUCGUAUCCUUAUUUUUUUUUCUUUUAGUUUUCCUUUCUUGUAUUGACUUGCUUUCUCUAAUAAUAAAAAAAUAGAGACGAAAAAUCAACCGAUAAUUCUGAUGGUCGCAUACUCUCGACCUUCGACCGAACUGAUUUAAUAAAAAGCAGAUAGCGAUAGAAAAGAAAAUGAAAGGACAAUCAAUGCAUGCAUAAUUUCCACAGCAUUUUGUAGAAGGUGCGUGUAACCUGGUUCUUGACUUGACUUGCUUUUUUCAUUAAUAAAAGAAAUAGAAAAUAAAACUAGGAAUACUCCCAUGCCCCUGGCAUGCGCACGUAGGGUGCGGAUGACAAAAUUUCUGGAAUAGAAAUUGAUUUCUGACCAUAAAUUGAUUUCUCAAUUUCUAUUUCAGAAAUUAAAAAGUUAAAAAUUUUAGUUUUUGAUUUCUUCUUCAAAUCUAUUUCUAGAAAAGAAAUAUGUUCCAGAAAUAGAAAAAUCAAAUUGUGUUACCAAACGGAUUUUUGUUUCAAACCUGUUCUGGGGAAUAAAGAUAUAGAGAAAUAGAAAUUUUAUUAUGUGCGCUCGUAAUUUCCACGGAAGAUGCAUAAAAUUUAUGCGUCCUUUCUUUCUUUUUCUCUGUUGACUUAACUUGCUUUUUCAACUGAUAAAGAAAUAGAAACGAAAACCAAUGAGCAAUUUGAUGCUCCGAGCCAGUAAAGCAUAUUAUCCACCAAUUAAUUUAAUAAAAAGCAGAUAGCAAUAGAAAAUAAAAUAGAAGGACAACCAACACACAAAUAAUAUCUGUGGGAGGUGCAUAAAUUUUAUGUCGUAUCCUUUAUUUUUUUUUUUCUUUUAGUUUUCCUUUCUUGUCGUGACUUGCUUUCUCUACUAAUAAAAAAAUAGAAACAAAAAUCAACCGAUAAUUCCGAUGGUCGCAUACUCUCGACCAUCGAUGGAACUAAUUUAAUAAAAAGUAGAUAGCAAUAGAAAAGAAAAUGAAAGGACAAUCAAUGCAUGCAUAAUUUCCACAGCAUUUUGUAGAAGAUGCAUGUAACGUGGUUCUUGACUUGACUUGCCUUCUCUAUUAAUAAAAGAAAUAGAAAAGAAAACUAGCAAUACUCCCAUGCCCCUGGCAUCCAUCCACACGUAAUUUCCACAGCAUUUUGUAGUAGGUGAGUGGAACUUGCUCCUUGACUUGACUUGCCUUUUUCAUUAAUAAAAGAAAUAGAAAAGAAAACUAGCAAUACUCCCACGCCCCUGGCAUGCACAGGUAAUUUCCACAGCAUUUUGUAGAAGGUGUGUGGAAUAUGCUCCUUGACUUGACUUGCCUUUUUUAUUAAUAAAAGAAAUAGAAAAGAAAACUAGCAAUACUCCCAUUCCCCUAGCGUCAAUAUACGAGGGUCAAUCGCAAAAAUAUAGCAUGUUGGAUUAUUAUUUAUAAUGAACAAUUUGACUUAUUUGUUCUCUCGGAAGCAAUUCUAGACAAGCAAACCCUAAAACAAGUUUUCCCCACUUUUCAAACUAAAUUUCUCCAUAUCAUAUCUUGCCUAAAGAUUAUCGAGUCAUCCCCUUUAGCCAAAUCACGUUGAUCUAACUCUUUAAAUUAUUUUUGUUUUCGACAAUUUACAUUUGUUUUAUACUUUUAAUGUCACAUUUAGAAUUUAUUGGCUAAUAAGUUAUCCAUGAUCGAAUAACUAUUUAGGGAAUACUUUUUUCCUUUCUAUUUCAUUUUUGUCGAACCUUUUUUUUUGGUAAAAAAAAAAUUUUGGUAAGAAAUUUUACUCUAACCUUUUAUUUCAUGUUAACACUCUUUUUUUUCCUAACUUCUCAGUAAAGAUAAUCACUUAUUCAUCUGAAGGUGUUUGUCAUUAGUGAUCAAAUAUUGUGAACCAACUAUAUUACAAUAUCGGCUUUAUCUUCUAGUAAAAGCUGGAGCCUUACAACUUUGAAUAGCAAUGACAUACAAAGGAUUCGUGGAAUGGGAGCUUUUGCUUCGAUGUCUCAAUUAUAUUAUUUAGUGCAUGUACAGCUACCUUUCGGCGACGUUCUCAUGCAGGAGCUUUUGGACACUUCUUGUCGAUAAAAGGAUUGCGAAAGGUUGAGAUUUUUAUUUUGCAUGGGUUAUAGUAUGACUAGUGGAUGAUGUUGAGAGAACUUGCAAUCUAGGGGUGAUUUUGAGUGUUUUUUUUCUCCUUUCAUAUCAAAUGAGAAUUACUAAAUCCUUUUAUAUAAGGGUUAAUACCCUGAAAAACCCUAAACAGGUACACCUGUGACAAAUUUAUCAAAAACUAUUUUUUUGACCAUAAAAAACUCAAAACUGGUAUACUUGUGACAAAUUUACCUCGACUGGCCAUAAAAAACUCUAAAGUGGUACAUUUAUGACAAAUUUACCCCAAACUAAUUUAUUCAACCACAAAAAAUCUCAAACUGGUAAAUUUAUGACAAUUAUACCCUGCAGUAAAUUGGAUUAAUAUCACAAAAAAAUCACAAAAAUUGUAAACUGUGAUAAACAUAGUGUAAAAUCCCAAAUCGAUAUACCAAUUAACUGUCACGUGUCAUUUGACUUAAUUAAAAUUUAACGAAAACUAACAGAGGGUAAAUUUGUCACAAAUGUACCAGUUUGGGGUAAAUUUGUCAAAAAUGUACCAGUUUGGGGUUUUUGGUGGUAAAAAAAAUAGUUUGGGGUAAAUUUGUCACAAGUGUACCAGUUUGGGAUUUUUCAGGGUAAUAACCCUUUAUAUAAAGUUUGUGCGCUCUCUCUAGGCUUGAAUUGCUGAAUUCAUCUGGUACUAUCACGGUAUUUUGGUACUCUGUGGAGGGCUUUAUGGAGAGUUGACAUGUGGCUCAUUUGAUGGCCACCUCACUUUCGUUUGCUUUAAUUUAUUCAUCCUUCUUUUUCUCUUCAUUUCCAAGAAGAGCGUAUUUUGUCUAAACAUGGAUGAUGUGUACCAAGGUACCGUGGCACCGGGAACAACAAGCAAAUGUCGCUUGCGUGAUUUUGGUGGUUAAAAUUCGCAUGAUUAUUUGGUAUUCCUUUCAUGAUUCGCUUACUAGAGAUAUAUUAGUAUACAAUGAGAAUGAAGAUAUCCAAAUUCAGAGUGCAUUGAGAGGAUAGCUUUGACAUGCAAAUUAUUUUAAAUAUUUUUCACAAGAUGUAUUGUUUAUGCAAGUAUGAAGAUACUAGUGCUGAUCUGAGAAAUGUGUUUUGAUUUGAGUAGGUCUUCACCAAUAAUUGGUACGUUGUAUUUUUCUUUAUGCACUAGACAUUCCAGUUACAAAUUGGAUAAGUAUUACCUUUUCCUUUCAUUGUUGGGGCAUGAAAAUAGACCAAGCCUUUUAUUUAGUUGAAAGUGACGCUAUUGGUUCAAUGUAUAAAUUCAAAGAAAGUAGAAAGUUUCUACAAGAACACCUGUAAAUGAUUUCUUGGUACGCUAAUAGCUUAGUUUUUGAUACUUUGGAGAAGGAUCUUCCACUCAAGUAGGGCCCUUUUCAUUGGACACUUAGCGAUGAUAAUCCCAGGCAAAUCAAAGUGCAAGUCCUUUUCGAAAACAUUAGAUACUUUGGAUGAGAGAUCCUAAGAAAGAUUCUAUCUAAGUGUUCCAUUUAAAUUAUUUAGUCCAAAAGAGGAUUUCCGUGUUAAUCAAGCGCACUAAUUACGCCAAUCAUUAUGAAAUUAAUGUGAUUUGACGAUAUCUCUUAUUGUCUUUUUUGCUUAGUCAAAAUUGCAGGGGACUAUUUGCUCAUCACUUUCGUGGUAGCUUCACUUCUUGCGACUUUACUCUGGAAAGAAAAAUGAUCAAAGUUGAUUUUGAUGCUUAUAUCUGGAGUAAAUCCAAGGAUAGAGUGAGUCCAGUGAUAGAUUUCCAUUGCAUUUCUGUUACAAAAAUGCUCAUAUUCCAACCCUUGAAAAUAUCACAUGCUCACGAGCCAAUGAACAUUCGAACCACUAUGAGCUCAGAGAUUUAUUUUAUAUUAAUGUAGUCACUUCAAGCUAUUAUUAAAGUAAUACUUACUCUAGGCUUUCUCUUUAAAAAACAACCUCAUUUUAUUUGGAAUUUUCAUUUAUUAGUUUUGAAAGAUGCCUCAUGCUUCGGACUAAGAUGACUUAUAAAGCUGCAAGCCUACAAUAAGCCAUGAUUUUGAUUGAAUAUUUUUAUCCAAAUUCUUUGGCUAACUUUCUAAAAAUAAGCCCCAAUGCCAGUGUCACUUCUUUGGCCCCAAUAUAAUCAACUCGGCCUAUUUCAUUUUCAGGAAUUCAUCUACUUCACCAGUUCACCAGUUCGAACUGCAUGAUCACAAUUUGUUCGCUCGCACAUGCUUAAAAGUCAUUAGUUCCAAGAACUAAUUUUCCAAGCCACACUAGCAAUCACCUAUCAGCCCAAUUUCCUUCAAUUUGGUAUUGACAUUUCCAAAGUGUGAAAUAGCUUUUAUCAAAUCAUUAGAUUAUUUUCUUUAGUGGAAAAUCGUGAGCAUAAGUGAUAAACAAGUUAAAUAUUACUCAAAUUGACAUUAAGCGCCAUUAAAAAUGAGAUGUCGUGAAAAUGGGAACCAAAAUGUGUCCCCAAACAUUACUUUGAAUGAUUUUACUUCAGAAUAACGUUUACUUAUUAACCUAUUUUUACUUGUAUAGGCACAUACUUGGACCUCGAUUCAUAUUUAAUGAAAUCUAAGUGUGUAAUACGUGCAUGGACUUUUUGACAUCAUACGUGGACCUCGAUUCAUAUUUGCAUUAACUCGGUCCUCAUGAUAUCUUUUUUCUCCUUUUCUUUUCUUUUCUUUCUUUUUUUUUUUUGGCUCAGACACGGGCCGAACACUAGUCUCACAUAUAAGAUCUAUGGGCAAGGGUGAUCAGGUUUAUUGCCUUAAGAGGCUUCGAUCAAAAAUUCAUACUCGUCUCAAUUCCUCUCAUGCUAAAUCCACAAUUAUUUCUCUUGUUUUUUAUUCUUCUUCUUUUUUUCCUAUCGUCUUCUUCUUCCCUAUCAUCUUCCUUGUGCAUAUCUCGAAAAGCUCUGCUCUACUAAAUAAACAAACUCAACCUCAUCAGGGAUCGACGUAUUCGAGCAUUGAAUGGAACGUCACCGUUUUCUGGCUUCGGUCACCCGGAGCACCACCAUCGUCCAUUAACCGUCAUGCAUAAGCCGAGAUUUGCAGAAAGACACGCAGGAUAUGACGGGAAGAACUGGACCUUAUCCAGAGCGAGAUUCACCAAGCUAAUCAACGUAUGGGGCAAAGAUUUCGAGCCACGAUUCCCGCCAAGCAAAACGAACAAUCACCAUUCGGGCCGGAUAGAUGCAAAAAAUAGCAAAAAUAGAUAGUCGGUGACAUAUUUGGAGACCACAAAGUGUACUGGAAAGGAAAGCAGAUCCGUAGUAAAUGGGGAAAAACAUUUUAAUCCACAAUGCAUAGACUAACAACCACAUCCCAUAAUCAGUAUCGUUCAACAAAAUCAAUCCGAAUGUGUCAGUUUUGCUUCCUAAUCAAUCAACAGCAUGUGGCAAGGAUCACAUAUUUGACCCGCGCGUUCCAUCAAACACUUGGUGAGCAUCUCAGGAAAAAGACUCAAUGUAACACCGCACCACAAUCCAAGUACUUCUUUCUUUGCACAAAGGGUUUGAUUCACCAAGGAAAAAAUGAUUUCAAUCCUGGUCUCUUCCCAGACAUACACCAGCGUCAACUUCAAACUAGAUCUUCACUCAUGAAAUGACCGAAAGAAAUGUUCCAAAACCAACCUUAGCGAGGUGGGAUAUUCAACCACGACUGCUGAGUAAACUCGUCCAAAGAGGUUCAGGUAAGCGUCGAUCAACGAAUUUGAGAUCGAUACAUGGAGAUUGAGCGGGACUUGACAGCUUCAGAGUUUUCGCCUACAAAACGAGGCAAGGCAACGCUUCUUCUGAUACUUCACAGAAACGAGAUCCGCGGUGACGAGCAAUAAUCGAAUGCUGGAACCGGGACUCCAAGUACGCCAGCUACCGUGAUCAGUGUCGAUGGAAGAGGCUUUGGGCAAAAGGCUCAACUCCCUUUGAUGGAAUGAAUGUAAAAACAGAGGAUAACAGAGAGUUUCUGGGCCAUGGUAAGGGAAUGGUCGCGAGUGAUGACGGAAGAUGUCCGACUGGGAAGGAAGGAGUCCGAAAAUCUCCCGGAGUGCUCUCAAAAUUUAUUUUUAUCCCCGCUUAUGGAUUUGUCCGUCCAAUCCAGCUGAUGUCUGGCUAUUUACCCUCCUCUUGUAUUCUUGAAGAUCCCGAACAUAAAAAGAGGCAGAGAGCACUUUGAUACUUUAAAAAAGAGUAAAAAGGGGCUGUAGGCAAGUGGAAUUUCAAAGAAAUGAAUCCCCAUCUUAACAUAUAGGCUAUAGCAUAUGUUCUUUUAAAAAAAAAAAAUAGAUAGACUCAUUUUUAUUACCAUUUAAAUAUAUUGUAUUAGCCGCAACGUUUGUUUUUCUCUUGAGAGUUUUUUUUUUUUUUUUUUUUGGCUCAGCCGCUCAAGGAGAGAGGCAAAAUAAGAUUACAAGCCAAGAGUCUCUGUAGCUUCUUCACGCGGGCUUCGCUUCUUAAGGAACCUGACCAAUUGCCCUCAAACAAAUUACUUUUUAAUGAUCUGAACUUUUGAGUAGAAAUCCUUAACAAAUAAUGUAAAUGUGAGAUUCAACCUUGUACUUUCUCUUCGCUCUCACCAAGCCCACCACCCGAGGCAACCUUCAUUGGUAUGAUGAGUUACUAAUUUUUCCGUAACAAAACUAACUUGGAUCUUGAUAUUUUAUUUCUAAUGGCACAUUUCUAAAUAGCUUGGUGACUUACCAUUGAGUUUGGAUUUUAUAAAUUCCUUAAAUUAUUGGUGACAUGCUACAGUAAAAAUGGGCCUAUGUUGGCAAGUUGCUUAAUCCAACCAUAUUUUUACUAACUUCUAUUUUAACCAUAAUGGCAAAUUCCUUAUUUAGUGACAACUAACUAGUUUGUAAGCAGAUUAUGUGGGUAAGUUGCUAAUUUCACUGCUAAGUUUAUGUUUUGAGUGGUAAUUUCCAUAUAUGAUAAUUUACUUUCCACUCAAAGUUGGUAAAUUCCUUACUUUGGCGAUCCCUUUGUUACCUUUUAAAAAAUGGAACUGUGGCGGUGAGUUAUUAAGGAUGCGUUUAGUAACAUUUCUGUUAAAAAAUUACUUCUGAGAACAGAAAUAGAAAAAAGUAUUUCUAUUCCGGGAAACAAUUUUUGAACAGAAGAAUGCGUUUGAUAAAUUUAUUCUAGAAAUAGAAAAAGAACAGAAACACGUUUGAUAAAUUUUUAUAAUUUUUUUUUAUUUCUUUUAAUUUUUUAAUAUUUUUAUUUUAUUUUUCCUAUUUUCUUUCUUAUUUUUCUUAUUUUCUUAUUUGUUUUUCCUUUUUUCUUUUUUCUUCUUUUGGCCGAUCGCCGGGCCGACAGCCUUGCCCAGCCACGGCGAGGCUCACCGGCCCUCGGCGAGGUCGCUGGCCAUGGCCAAGGCCGGCGACCGACCAAAGAAAAAAGAAAGAAAAAAGAAGAAGAAAAGAAGAAGAAAAAAGAGAGAAGAAAAUAGAGGAAAGAGAAAAUCUGUUUUUAAAUUUUGUUUCAGAAACAAAAAAACAAGAUUUUCUUGUUUCUUGUUUCUUGUUUUUGUUCCAAAUGUGUUCCUGGGAACAAAAAAAAAUAGAUUUGGAACAAAAAUGCAAACAAACGCGUUUCUGUUCUUUUUUUGUUCCUUAGAACAAAAAAACAUAAAUUUUGUUUAAAAACAGAAAUAAAGAACAUUAACAAACAUGGCCUAAUUUCAUCGGUAAAUUACUAUGUUCAGCAUUAAGUUUUUGUUUUGAGUGAUAAAUCUAUGAAAAAGUUGAUUGUUAAUUAUCGCAUUUCUUAUUGAUAAAUUACCAUGAGUUUACCUGAUUAAUAGGUUGCUAGUUAUAUGAUUUCGCCAAUAGGAAAAAUCUACGAGCCAUAUUAGGAAAUUAACCAUGCUCGAAACAUUUUUCCUAUUAGCCAGUAGGUGUAAUUAUCAUAAAAUGAUUUGGACUCCAGUUAAAAGUACUCGCUACUCAUGACUAUUACAAAGAUACGCUAACGCCAUUUAAAUCAGUAAACAAUAUGUAGUUAAGCAUGCUGUGCAGAACAUGACAUUUAUUAGUGACAUCAUGAUGCGAUUGGCAAGGAAAGGUCAAACAUCUCGGGAUACUUGGUGUUUACCUUCUCUUUGCAAUUAAUGGAUCCCGUAAGCAUAAAGUGGAGAUCACCCUUUGCUUGAAAUACAACACAGUAUGCUACUCCUAGAAUCUUAUGAUACAAGUCCUUUGAAGUCACAAAAUAUAUAUAACCCUCGGGAAGCAAUUACUUUGAUGUCUCUCCUCCAAGUAGAAUAACUUGGCAAUAUAUUUUGUGAUGAAAUGUCUGUCAUAGAAGUAGACUGUUAGUUUUUUGAAAUUAGCACCUAAAAGGAGUUUCAAUGAGUAAAGUGGGUAGUCCUACAGUUUAGAUAUAGUUAGCAAUAGCAUUACAAAGAUUUUCUUUUUUUCGUACUUAAUUGGUGGAGACUAGACAUGUAUUAUUGAAGAUUUUGCAAUUGGAUGAACAUGUUUUAUUAAAUUUUUUCACUAGGUGAUCCUUGUAAUUCAACAGUGAACAAGAGUUCCAUAAAUAAAUAGAAUAUCCUUUGCGUUGCCUUAUAUAGAACCUCCAAUACAUAUACACGUGGAAUCACUUUCCAUAUGUUUGGUUUUUUUUAUUAGCCCACCAAUUCAAGAUUUUCAGCCUUUUAUAAUACAAACACACUCAAUGCAACCAACAUGUACAUGACUCCAUACUAAAGAGAGAGGGAGGGAGGGAGUCUCACCUCAACAAUCUCAACGUCACAUAAGUUAGAGGGAAUUCUACUUAGAGAUUUGCAACUAGUUGCCCAUAGUGUUAUCGAUUUGCAACUAGUGUUAUCGAUUUCACUAGAGAGAGAGAGAGAGAGAGAGAGAGUAAAUCUCAAGUGGGAACCCACGAGCCAUGAUCAAUCCUUUGACAACGAAUUUAUCACAUCAAUUUAAGCUAACAUAUGGAAUCUUAUGUAGAGGCAGGCGGUGGAAGGUUAGGAAUCUCUUUUUGUCAUCACUUAUUAUAAAGUGGUGGUUGAUUAAUCAUUUUUAAAAAAUUAGUUUGCAUGUGACAAUUCAGUGAGUCAAACUACUGAAAACUCAUUUUUCCAAUCCUUUAGGUCUUUUAAUAACCCAAUAAGCACCAAUUUAAUGUCGAAGAAAUAGCUAAGGAAAUUGAGCAAUUAUGGAAGGAAUCAAUCAGUUAUGUGAGGAUGUGAGGAUGAGUCCAAAAAAAUAGGAAAGGAAAUCAAGCAAUUAUCAAAGUGAGCUUCAUAAAAUAUACGUAAUUUCAAUGUUGCUGAUCAAUCACUACAUCAUGAAGAUCAAGAACUUCAUGGAAUUGGCCUUUGAGGACAGUCUUUUCCAACAAAGGGAGAAUGACAUUGGAAGUAUUCGUAUCUGUAUUGGAAGAUUUCAAGAUCCUCUCUUGUGAUUUCCAUAAUAGGUAUAAUAUGUUCUCUUGAUCCUCUCUUGUGAUUUCAGACAAAAAGAGAUUCCCAAAGUUCAUUAGUGAUCAAGGGAGUACUGUAUCCUUGGAGUGGCUUUACCAAGAUGAUGAUUUGGUUAAGGGAGACCUAGGUUAUUAAUCUCAUCCCUAUCCUUCCCAUCCUUCGUAGUGGGGUUUUCUACCUCACUAAGAUUAAACAACAUCAUUCCUAAUUUGUUCAUUCAACACAAUCCGACGUCAAUGGGAUCGGCAAGCAUGAUAGGAAAAUUGAAGUACCAAAAAGUAUGUCUCGUAUUAGGCACAUAAAGGGAAAAAUUUAAGGGACUUUUUACAUAUAUAGUACUAUAUGCACACCUGUUAAGUGUAUGCACAAAAUUUAUAUUUGAAAAAUUGAGCAAAAACACUAAAUUAGAAGUACUUAAUGGAAAUAAAUUGUUGAUAAAAUAUACACUACACAGACACAUAUAGAAAAAGUUAGUGGAAAAAGAAAGACUUCUCAAGAUUUCAAUAAAAAAACUUGUUGUCGGAUAGAAAAAGUUCAGAUUUUGAUAUUGAAACAUAAGAGAGGUCAAAUAAACUUGGCUUAGUCUGUACUCUCCAAUGUACACCAAUUUGUGACUUAUGAUCUGAAUUUUUAACCAACAAAUCAUUUUCAUUUAUGAUUCGCCAUUAAUCAUUGUGAUAGGUAGAUCAGAAACUUAAGUAAAACAUUAGAAGAAAUACUUUACUUCUGCAACUAGAGAAAUUAAUAAAUUAAAAUCGAGAACUUGAUUACUCUAAUUAAUCAACUAUUGCCCUUCUGCAACCUAAUUUUGUUUAAAUUUUGAGAUUUGAUGAUUUUUUUUAAGGAUUUUUAUGCAAUUUUAGAAGAAAUAUAUUCGAAACCAUUUUUAGGCCUUUCCAUAAUUUUAAAAAAGAAAUUAAAAUAACAAUGUAAUAUAAACUGACCUGGUCGGCCAGACCGCGAGUGCUCGAUUCGGAUUCGGCCCGGCCGACCUGGGUCACGCCUCCGGAUGGCCAGAGAAGAGCCCGCCCCCCAUUUGUCCUCUCAAAUUUUUUACUUUUCUACUUUUACUUUCUUUCUCCUUCCCUCUCUCUUGUUCUGUUCUCCGCGUGUGGUCGGACUGAUGGUUUUAUAUGAGAUGGGCUUAAGGCCCGUCCGCCCAAGUUGAGUCCAAAAAGCCCGGCCCACGGGAAUAUGGCCCGUGGAUGGAGGGACAUAUAAAAGGGAGGAGAGAGAGAGAGAGAACAGUUUGUUGAAAACAGAAAACGUACGUACGCAUCAUUCCUUCUCUCUCUCUCUCGCUUACUCUCCCAAAAGGAAAACAGUGAAGUGCGAAGGCCAAUUUGCUUCACCGGAUCGAACAGGACCAAGUUUCUCUUCCUCUAUCGGCGUCGGUGUUUAAUCUGUGACUUAAAAAGUACGCUCGAAUCCGUGGUGUGCUUUAGGAUCGGUGAUACGUGUUGUUUUCCCGGGCUUGUCUUCCGCAUUAAUUUAGGGGUUCGAUUUAGUGUCGAAUCCGGUUUUCGGGGAUCCGUUAUUCCCAACAUUGGUAUCAGAGCCCUAGUUCACGUUUUCCCGACCUGUGAGAUGUUUUUUGAUUGAUUUUUUGCGGAAAGUAAAUUCGGCCGUACGGAUUGAGGCGAGAAAUCCCGACACCCGCGCACUGUUCGGGCCAUUUUUUCCGAAGUUUUCGUAAAUCCUAAUCAAAUUCUGAAUGCAUAGGGAGAAAGGGGUUGUCGAGACGAGUCUGGCGAUAUGUCGAAAUGUCGCCGGAAGACGCUGCACGCGCCCACACGUGCGGCCCAGAAGCGGCUGCGCGUGGGUGCGACGCGCCCGGAAGCGCUGGCUCGCCCCAGCGCGUGCGACACACACGCCGGUUGGCGAACCGGCACGUGCUCGCCGCUGGCCAGCGAACCGGCACACACCCGGUCGGCGGACCGACGCGUGCUGACGUCAGCAUGACGUCACCCCAACGGUCAGUAACCGCUGGGGUGACGUCAUCGAUGACGUCAGCACGACGACGGUUGGCCGGGCGGUCACCGGCUGGCGACCCGACCGGCGACUCGACCCGACUCGAACCGUGGACGCCCGACACGCGUGCGGCACGUGCCGGCUGACGUCUGCGUGAUGUCAGCCCGUGCAUGCGUGCGGCACGUGUUGUCGGUUCGCCUGAACCGGCUGACCGGUCCGACCGGUCCGACGAUCGACGACCUGACCGUUGACCGUUGACCGUUGACCUAAAAAAAAGAGAGGAAAAGAAUGUGUUUUUUUUUUCAAUUAAGUCUAUGUGGAUUAUUUAUGAUCCCUUAUUUGUUCUGCAUUUGUUGUAGGAAUAGUUCUGCAUUUGUUGCACGAACAAUGGCUCCCUUGAGGUUGCGCACACCUAUUCGCGCAGUUACCGAUGAACAAAAGGAUGGGCUGUCUAAGUUGAUAGCUGAGCUAACUGAUCAUCGAUGAGAGAGUGGAGACUUAAUUGAUCAUGUCCUUGAGGUCAAUGGGAAAAUUCAACAGGUCAUAUGGAAUGGUCGUCCUAUGCCACAGUCAGAGAUGGUGUGAUUUUUCAUAAACACUCUUCCACCUAAAUGGCAAGAUGUGUUGAAUCGCAUAUGGGAUGUCAACGGAGCUGCUUCAUAUAAGAAAAUUGUGAUGGAUUUUGUAAAUGAAUAUUACUGCAUUGUUACAAGGGAAAAGAUCAAGAAAUUGAACAAAAGAGGAUCUUUCCCAGUUCGUGUGCUGGCUUGGUGUUAGAUGUAUUGGCUGUUUUUUCAGUUAAGUGUGCUUUUGUGGACAUCUUAUGUAAUGCUUACUACCUGAUUGUUGUUGAUGUAGCAACCUAUAUGUUAGUUGUAUUAUAUGAAAGCAUUAUUAUAUUGUAUGUCAAUUAUCUGUUGCUUUCUAUUAUUGCUGGUUGCUGUGAGUAGUUAGCUGUGGGUAGUUAUAGAAGUUUUUGUAACUUCAUAGAAUUUAUGUUGCAUAAGACAAUUAUAUUGAUGAUAGUUUUAAGUUAGGAUUUUGGGGGAUGAUUGGAAACAUAGUGACUUUUUGAUUCUGAAGCCUUACUUGAAAUUAUUCAUUAAUAUGAUGGGUCUAUGCAAAUAGGGAUGCAUAAAUGAUAGGCAUUAAUAAUUCGUGCAUAUAUGUCUGAUGUGUUCAGAUCAAUGGCUUCAGCCACAAAGAGCAUAGUUGCCGAGCUGGACAAAGGUGAAAAGCUCAAUGGUGACAACUAUGAGAUAUGGCACAUGAAAAUCCAAUAUGUGCUGGAAGAGCAAGAGGCACUUGAGGCUCUUAACCUGACCAUGGUAGAACUUGAAGAAGGAAAUACUGCACAGCACAAAAGAGAUAAGGAAGCUUUUGCUGCAUGGAAACGAAAGAACUCUCUUGCUUGCAUCACGUUGCUGAGCAGCAUGGAAAAUGACGUCAUGCGAGAGUUUAGGCGAUUUGACAAUGCUAAGGAAAUGUGGGAGGCAUUGGCAGCUAGAUUUGGUUAUACUUCGGUGAUCAGACUGAGACAACUCACUAUUAGGUUUGACUCCUAUAAGAGGCCUCAUGGUCAGACCAUGAAGCAACAUCUUAGAAAGAUGUCAAACAUGAUAAAUGAGCUGAAAGAUGCUGGCCAUGUCCUCACAGAUGAGCAGCAGGUGCAAGCAGUGAUUCGUUUCUUGCCUCAAAGUUAGGAGCAUAUGAAGGUGCACCUGACUCAUAAUGAAAAUAUCAAAACCUUUGAGGAUGCAAUGCGUCAUCUUGAGCUGGAAGAGGACCGCUUCUUGGCGGCUAAGCCGGAUGCUGAACUCUAUCAUGCUAGUUCUAGCUCAAAUGGAGCUUCGAGCUCUCAAGCGCAAGCGCUCUAACUGGUUUGAUAAAGGGAAAGGCAAGGAAGAAGGUCCUUCAGGGAAGAAACCCAAGUUUAACCAACAUGAAAGAGGAAAGCGUCCUCGCAUGAAGAAGCUUGUAAGGGUGAAAUGCUACAACUAUGACAAGAAGGGUCACUAUGCUCGUGACUGUCGUGAGCCAAAGAAGGUAUGCACCCCUUGUACUUUUCAGAACUUUGCUUAUGUGUCGAGUUCUGUGUUCUUAACUGAGUUUAAUCCUUUGUGGACUGUGGAUUCAGGAGUGACGGACCAUGUAGCGAAGGAUAGAGGAUCCUUCGUGGAAUUCUGACGAGUACCAACUGGAACUAAGUGGAUCUAUGUGGGAAACAACUCCAGAGCUGAAGUGAAAGGAAUUGGCACAUGCCAACUGAAUAUGCGUGGUGGACGCACUUUGUUCCUUCAUGAUGUGUUGUAUGCUUCGGAGAUUCGUCGGAAUUUAGUGUCUGUAUUAGUGUUGGUUAAAUUAGGUUUUAAUAUGAACUUCUAUAGUAGAGUUGUGAAUUUGUUUUUGGAUACAAAUUACUAUGGUUGUGGUUAUUUUCUGGAUGGUUUCAUUGUAUUAGAUAUUGAUUAUGUUAAUGCAAAUGUUUGUUAUUCCAUCCUCACGUCUCCUAAUAAAUAUGAUAAUGAUGUGAAUGUGUGGCAUGCUAGACUUGGUCACAUUGGCCAACAGCGUAAGAAUAGACUAGCCAAAGAGGGCUUGUUGGGCAAUAUUGAAAAAGUCGAUUUGUCCAUAUGUAAGCAUUGCCUAUAAGGGAAAACGACAAGGAAACCAUUUGGAAAAGGAAAAAGAGCUGAAUUUCCUCUGCAUUUAAUCCAUUCUGAUGUCCGUGGUCCAAUGAAUGUGAAAGGAAGGCAUGGGGCUGUUUAUUUCAUCACUUUUAUUGAUGAUUAUACUCGAUUCGAAUAUGUCUAUUUGAUUUCUCAUAAAUCUGAAGCAAUAAGUUGUUUUAAAAGGUUUAUGAACCUGGUAGAGAAUCAAUUGGACAAGAAAAUAAAAGCAUUGAGAUCCGAUCGAGGUCGAGAAUAUUUAUCUGAUGAGUUCAGAAAAUUAUGUGAUGAAAAAGGAAUAGAAAGACAGUUGUCUAUUCCAUAUACUCCCCAACAAAAUGGUGUUGCGGAGAGAAGAAACAGAACCCUACUGGAAAUGGUUAGGUCCAUGAUGGCGUAUGCUAACUUACCUAUUACCUUCUGGAGUGAUGUGUUGUUAACUGCUACCUAUAUACUUAACCGUGUGCCUUCCAAAUCAGUUACUUCCACUCCAUAUGAGUUAUGGACAGGUAGAAAAUCGGACUUAAGUUUUCUUAAGCCAUGGGGUUGUACCGCCUAUACACAUGAGUCCUCUCACAAAUUUGGGAAAUUGGGUUCCAGAGGAAAAAAUAGUAUUUUCAUAAGGUACUCAGAACACUCGAAAGGAUAUGUGUUCAUAAGUGAGCAGGAAAGUGGGAGUAUAACUGAGUUUGAAUCACGAGAUGUCACAUUCUUAGAGGAUGAAUUUCCUAAGAAGGGCAAAAUAGGGGAAGAUUGUUCCCUAUUUGAGACAUUGGAUCAGGAUAAUGAUGUUAGUGGAGUUCGUCUAAGUGGGAGUACUAUGGGAAGUGAUGAAUUGAAUUCAACUCAUUCUCAAUUGCAACCACAUGAUGUGACAACAUCAUCAUUGUCUAAUCCAAGUGGGAGCAUGAUGGGGAAUGAUGUGCAAAGUGUACAAUCUCCCAUACAGCGAACAAGUCGCCAAAGCAUUCCCCGUCGACGUUUUGACAUUGAAGGGGAAAAUUUUAUGGUUGCUCCACAAGAUGAGGAUGAGCCAAGAAAUAUUAAUGAAGCUCUGAAUUGCCCUAGUAAGGAAAAAUGGAUUAAUGCAAUGGAAGAGGAAAUUGAGUCAAUGAAAUCAAACCAAGUCUGGGAACUGGUUGAUCUUCUAAAAGGACGCAGAGCUAUUGGGAACAAGUGGGUUCUCAAAAUAAAGCGAAAGGCUAAUGGCUCGAUUGAAAGGCAUAAGGCUCGCCUUGUGGUGAAAGGGUAUAAUCAACAGGAAUGAAUUGAUUAUGAAGAUACAUUUUCUCCUGUAGUGAGAUUUACCUCGAUUCACAUUAUUCUGGCAAUAAUGGCUAGUCUGGAUCUUGAGUUAGAUCAAAUGGAUGUAAAGACUACUUUCCUCAAUGGAGAAUUAGAGGAAGAAAUAUAUAUGGAACAACUUGCUGGUUUUAUAGUGAAAGGCCAAGAAGAAAAAGUAUGUCGACUUUUGAGGUCGAUAUAUGGUCUUAAGCAGUCAUCAAGACAAUGAUAUAUACGUUUUCAUAAUGCCAUAAUGGCAUAUGAUUUUACGAUGAUUGAUGAGGAUCAUUAUGUAUAUAUCAAAAGAUCCAAGGAUCAAUUUGUGAUCAUAUCAUUAUAUGUUGAUGAUAUACUAAUUGCUGGAAGCAAUGUGGAGUUUGUUAAGACUGUCAAGAGUUGGUUGUCUUCCAACUUUGAGAUGAAGGACAUGGGUGAGGCUGCAUACAUUCUUGGAGUUAAGAUUUCAAGAGAUCGUUCGAAGAGAUUGUUGUCUCUUUCGCAAGAAACCUAUAUAAAUAAGGUUCUUGAAUGAUUUCGUAUGCAAGAUUGUAAACCCAUAGACACUCCUAUUGCAAAAGGUGAAGGAUUGAGCCAUAGACUAUGUCCAAGGACUCCACAAGAGAAGGAACAAAUGAAACAUGUUCCUUAUGCUAGUGCUGUUGGGAGCUUGAUGUACGCUAUGAUGUGUACAAGACCUGACAUAUGUUUUGCAGUUGGAAUGGUGAGUAGAUACUAAUCCAAUCCAGGUCCAGCACAUUGGAAGGCCGUUAAGAGAAUACCAAGGUAUCUGAAGGGAACUGCUGAUUACAAGUUGAAUUAUCAAGGAAAGGAUCUGCGACUUGAAGGCUAUUCAGAUGCUGAUUGGGGAGGAGAUUUAGAUGAAAGGAAAUCUACCUCAGGAUUUGCUUUUUUACUGAGCAAUGGCGCCAUAUCAUGGAGUAGUAAGAAGCAAACGUGCAUAGUCUUAUCCACGAUGGAAGCUGAGUUCGUGGCAUUAUCAGCAGCAGUACAAGAAGGAGUUUGGCUUAAGAGAUUCUUUGAUCAUUUAGGUGUUAUUGAGAAAGCUGCAAAUCAAUUAUUGGUUAACAGUGAUAGCCAAGCAGCUAUAGCAUACACCAAAGAUCCAAAGUAUCAUGGCAAGACCAAACAUAUAGAUACAAAGUAUAACUUUGUAAAAGAUAUGGUUGCACAAAAGGAUGUGAACUUACAGUACAUAUCUACGCAUAGAAUGGUAGCAGAUCCUAUGACAAAGCCAAUACCUAGAGAUGUGUUCUGUGGUCAUGUAAAAUCUCUAGGAUUGCGUAGAGUCUGAUGUACUGGAUUGUAAUUUCCCUGAGUUGUUCACAUUUAUGAACUAGUGUUGUUUCAUUAUUAAUGCCUAUAAAUCUUUGUUUGAUCUUUAUGCAUCUUAAUACUCAGUGUAUUAUUUUAAGUUGAGGAAGUAUGUCAGACAGAUAAAAAAUUAGCCCACUCACACGGGUAAUCGCCUCUAUUUACUGUGUGAUAAAUAGAGAUAAGACUGUUUUUAAGCUUAUUAUCUAGGUGAUAAUCGAGAGCUCAAGCUUAAAAUACGUAUGUUGCCUUAACUGAGUGUUAAGAUGAGGACAUAAUACUUACUAUGUCCGAAAGUAAAAUACCCCACAUAUUUUACUUUAUUUGUCUAAGAUGCCAGAUGUGAGUUCUGAUGAAUUUUGUAAAAGAGUAGAUACGUGAACUCAAGUUAGACAUUGAGUAUGUCUGAACUAUCAUCUGUACGGUAUUGAAAGGUGUAGACAUACGCUUCAUGGGAAAUGAGUUAAUACCAUAAUACGUAUUUCAUACUACGUAUGCAUAAGCCGACCAAUAAGAGUGGCAAAAAGUUUGAUCUCAACUUUUAUGACGUGUGAGACUCUUGAGGAAAAUAGUUCCUCAAUUUUAGUGCCCUCAUGACUUUUACUUAUUCUCAAGAUUUCUAUUUAGUGUUUGUUAUCUUAGGAUGUUGCCAAUGGUUAUGAGUUGAUUCGAUCUAAUGGGACAUUUCUAGAAAAGCAAGCUGAACUGAAAUUGAGAGUUUGAAGGAAAGAGGAAGAUCGAUUUUGGGGAAUCACAUUGUAGUUUUGUAUUCACUGGUCGACCAAUUAUGAUUGUCUUUGUGAUAAUUAUAAUUGUGAAUACAAUAUAUAUAUCAUGUUUAAAAGAGAUCAAGAGAGAUAUAAAAUGUGAUCGAUCGAUCUAGGGUACUGCAUACUAUAUCUACUCAAAGCGUGACGCCCAUUAUGAGCUCCUAUAUAUUCCUAACAGAUGUAUAGUAACGAGCUCUUGAAGUAUGCUGGUCGCACGGAUUAUUCACCGGUAUGAAUAUUGAAGAGAGGUCAAGAGAAUCCUGUUCGGCCCACCAUGUGCGAGUGAGAGAUGAUGGUUUUAUAUGAGAUAGGCUUAAGGCCCGUCCGCUCAAGUUGGGCCCAAAAAGCCCGGCCCACGGGAAUAUGGCCCGUGGAUGGAGGGACAUAUAAAAGGGAGGAGAGAGAGAGAGAGAACAGUUUGUUGAAAACAGAAAACGUACGUACGCAGCAUUCCUUCUCUCUCUCUCUCUUACUCUCCCAAAAGGAAAAUAGUCAAGCGCGAAGGCCAAUUUGCUUCACCGGAUUGAACAGGACCAAGUUUCUCUUCCUCUAUCGGCGUCGGUGUUUAAUCUGUGGCUUAAAAGGUACGCUCGAAUCCGUGGUGUGCUUUAGGAUCGGUGAUACGUGUUGUUUUUCCGGGCUUAUCUUCCGCAUUGAUUUAGGGGUUCGAUUUAGUGUUGAAUCCGAUUUUCGGGGAUCCGUUAUUCCCAACAUGGACUAAAGUAGAGAGUCCCCACUUUUUGUACUUUAUUGAGCAAGAGACAAUAGAAAGACCCUUUUUUUAAUUCUAUAAUCUUGUUGCCCCUCCCCAUUUUGUUUACUUUCUUGUUAUUUUUAUUCCCUUCUCUUCACCCCGCACGUCUCUCGCCCAUCUCCCCUCUCGCCCUCGCGACCUCACAGAAGCAUUCUCGCUUCAAGUUCUCCCCGAGGGCCAAGAACAACAGCGGAUGCAGACCAUUAAAAAGACUCGAGCUCUAAUCAAGAUAGUUUAGGCACGCGCAGCACAAGCCGCGGCCAGUCAUCGCGCGGUGAACAUUCGUGGCCACAAUGACCAUCGCCCCUCGUCUUCGCCAGCCGCAGAGACCGGUCAUCCCCGGAACAGUGCCCUGUAGUGAAAGAUACCGCGCAGCAAGAACGCACAGCGCAAAGGACAGCGGCGGAAAUCUACCAUGAUGCUUUUGACAAACCACGAACACCAGAAACGGACGGGGAUCCAAGAACAAAUUGCAUACGUUUCAGUUAGGCAUUUCAUCGAACAUACAUAGGGUGCAUCGGAGGAUGGGGGUUAGAAACUAGACCAACGAGCCCAAUUUAGCUCACUCCUUGCUUGAUGCAGAACAUGUCGCCUCGGUGGUGCAAACGCAAUUUUGAUCAGCCUGGUGCUGUAUGAUCCAUUGUGAGUAUUCUUAAUCCACAGCCUGAUGAUGUUUUUGGCAAAGCAAGCGCUCAAAUACUGGAUAAAAUCUGCCUCUAUCUGUAUACAGUUAAAUAAAUUACCUUUUCUUACAUUUUACUUUCCCUAAAAAAAUUUGAAAAUAGAAGAUGGUUUUCAAAUUUUUAAGAGAUUAUGAAGAUAUUGUAUGUUUCUCCAGGUCAAUUAAGUGUAUUUAAAAAGGUUUUAGGUGUUUCGAGUUUCUUAAAAGUCAAAUAGCAAGAGCCGCAAGAUUUGGGAAAAAAAAAAAAAGCUAUAGUACGGGUUGUACAAACAAACUGGCUCAUUACAUGAGAAGGUACUGCAGCUUGUUCAGGGAGACUGCUGAUUUGUGAAAUUAUUUUGGCAUGCAAGGAAGUUGCAGAUAUGAGUGUAGAUGCGGUGUUGUUAGAUUUAAUUCUUUUCCUAGUUCGAGAGAUGUUUUGGUGUGGUCAUGAGGGGAUAAAUUACUGGCUAAGCAUACGUGAUAGGAGACCAAAAUGUCACUUUAGCCUUUGUUUCUUCAAUAAUUUUUUAUUGAAAUUCCCAUGAACAGAUAUCCUUCAAUGAAUGCAUGCCAGGAUAUUCUAAGUUAAGAUUGACUGGCUCUGUUGAGGUAGCCAUUAUGAUUUUGGAUUGUCACGACUGUCAUGAAAUCUAGUUGAUAUAUGAUAUUCCACACUUUACUAUCUUUGAUAAGUGUCAUCAUUCGAAGCAAGUAAGCAUAAAAAAUAUGCAUUGUGCCUUUAUUGUUUUGUGGAUGAGGAAAAUCCUUUAGUAUUGUUGUACUGAUUGGUGUUUAUAUGUGCAUUAUUCUAGCUUAUAGAUUUUGCUUUGUUUUAUUAGACCUUAUCAUGAUGAGGAACUUUAUAACAGUGUGAGGUUAAAGGAAGACACUGGGGAUGGGCCAGCUAGGCCAAUUACAAUCAAGGUUGCUACUGGAAUUUAAUUUUAGUUUACCAAGUCAGUACGGAAGUUGGACAAAUUUGUGAAUUGAAGUAUGUGAUUUGAUAAUUUCUUUUGCUGAAAGGCUGAUUCUAAUCUCUCUUUGUCAUCUCACCAAGCAAAAGCUAGGUCAAACAAGUCUAAGUCAGAAGCUGGUAAGGAUACUACUGAUGCAGGAUCCAUCAAGCUAGUCAUGGCAGGAAGUGGUUGUGAGAAUAUCAAGAAAGUUGAGCCGGUUAUGUCCUCUCUUCUUCUGCUUGCAUGUUUGCAUUAGAUGCUUACCUCUCAUUUGCUGGGUGAAUCUAGAAUUAGAAUGCAAUGUUUUGGACCUUUUUCUGAUUUUUGUGUGAUAUGUGAGACUUUUACAGACAUUGCUGCAAAUGUAUGGGGAUGUUGAUGCUGCCAUAGAGUAUCUGAUAGCAGAACAAGGUGUUGAAGAUUUUUCAGAGGAAACUAUCUGGUCUCCCUGCCGUACAGAUUCCAGAUCCUUCUCAUGGUAAUGGCUGGUCAGUAUUUAUCUCUCUAUAUUUUGAUUAAUUAUUUAACUUCAUAGUUUCAGAUAUACUGUGUUAAGCUUCACAAGAAGCUUAUAUGGAGUCAUUUUGAUGUAACUCGUAGGAUUAGCAUAUUUUGUCUUGUCGUUCAUGGAUUUGUGGGGUAGUCAAACAUGCUAAACCCAAAACUAUUUCAUAUUUUUUUAUGGUAAUUAGGUGAUGAUGCCAAUGGAAAUUCUAAGGAACAGAGAGAGGAGCCUGUGGAAGAGACCUAUAAAGAGAAUCCACUUAGCAAAAGUGCUAAUCGGACUCAUGAUGAUGGCAGUGCCCAGCGAGAAGACAAGGUUUCCACAAGUGAUGAUUAAGCUCAAAAUGCGAGAAUUGUUGGUGACAUGCCUCUUCAUUUUUAUCUGCUUGUUUUAUUUUGAAAUGCGGAAAAUCUAAAGAAACAAGGCUUGUCUAUGUGGUUCAAAAAAGAGAUACAAGUCCUGUUGUGGGUCAGGGACAGAGAAAGUCUCUGCAAUUUCCAAGUAUUUCUCGUUCUCUCUGUGCUUUAUAUGUCAAGUUAUAGUUUAAGUUUGUCUUUUGUUGAAGCAUUUUUCCUGUUUCCCUGUGAUUGGGGUUGAUACUUAUCUUGAAAAUUUAUCGUUUAUGUAUCUAACAUGGUAUCGAUUACCUUCCUUAAAUUCAAGUCUGGAACAUUUUCUCACUCUUACACUUUGUUGAAUAAUAUGUACACUUUGGAAAAAAAAGGUUAAUGCAUGAGUAAUUUAAAUUUAUACUUACAAAAACAAAGACAGCAGUGAAGAUUUCUCCAUUUUUAUGUCUAGAUGUUGUUUUGCAGUGAUCAAGCUCUUGAAUUCAGAAAAAGUAGAAAGGAAAAGAAGCGAGGCAAGAGAGGGUCUGACACAGCUGCACUUUCUACUGGAUCUGAUGGAGGGCCACCUGAUACGGGGGCUCUUUGUAUCUGAUCUUUUGCCAAUGUAGUGCACCAUUAUCUAUUGAAUUUCAGAUAUCAGUAUGUGUGUAGUCUUUCAAAUAUUUGAUUAGAUUAGACAAAAUGUUUUUCUAUCUAUAUUAGCAUGUAUUUGAUGCGUGCAUCUCUUCUUCGAUCUUUGGGAUAAGUGCACUUUCUAGUUUUCCAUCUGUUGCCAAAUUUGCAAAGAUCUACAGGUACACAAUUUUCAAUGGUGUUACUUUUCUCAGAUAGUCUGCUCGUCUAAUGCAUUUUAUACUGGCAAUUGUAAUUUGGAUAUUCUUUGUACACAUAAUUGAGGCGCAUGCACAUAACACCUACCCUGGUAGAUUUGUUGGCAUUGGCAGGGGUGAGUUCGGUCAGCAACCAAAGGGGAAGGAGAUAAGGAAAUUCAGUUAUUGCCAUCCCAGGGUUAAACCUUUUCAUGAAUAUAAAAGAGACGUUCACAUGAAUUUGACUAGUGAUGGUUUAAUUUUUAAAUUCCCUUCCAAAGUAUUGGUUUUGCUAUAAUUGUAGUUUGGGGUUCCUGUGAAGACGUUAUUCUUUUUCUUGUUAUUUCAUUGACAAGAAAUGCACUAAGCAUUUAUGCACACAACUUCUUGUAAUUGAUGAAUGAUUUGUAUGGAUCCAAAAUGCACUUAACCUUCAUCUACAAGGAUCUGAAUGCAAACCAUUUGUAGUUGGAGACGACACAGAUAUUACAAAUGCUAGCUCCUUCAUUCAAAUUGGUGCAGAUUUCUAAGAUUAAACAAUUUUGACUGUUAUGUUCGGUUAUUUUGGCGCAAAAUUGUGUCUCAUAGAUCUUUUGUCGGUUGUUAUUAGUUGUUAUAUCAUCAGUUAUGCCACAAUUUAAAUCCUGACUUUUUUCUCGUUGUUUUUGUGGAAUUGCAUUGUGUCAGAUGUGGCUUGUCCAGUCCUCAAGAAUCACAACAAUAUUGCGGGUACAUCAUUUCAUCCACUAGGGAGUGGGAGAGAGUUGAAUUGUGAGCAGAAAACUAAUGCUGAAAGAAGUCUAUAACUUGAGCUUCUCUCUGGAGCAAGUUAUGAGGUUACUUAUAAUUUUUUUUCUUUGGCUUGCCUCAAACAUAAAUCUUUUCAUUCUCUAUAAGCAAACACAGAGCAGAUGUUCGUACAAGGCUAUCCUCUGUCUUCAAAGGCUGGUACCUUACUAGUCUUGUAUACUACUUUGUCCCAAAAUAGGGAAAUAAAGAAUCCUUACUUCUUCAUCUAACAGCUUAACAAGCAUUGAACCUUUCAUGUUGAUGCUGCUCUAAUACUGUAGGGAGUUAAGCGAUCUGUUAAGCUAAUAUAACUCGACGUGUAUAUUGAUUUAUUCCAUGUAAGAAUUGAAAAACAGUUGCUUCUUCUGCAAGAUAGCAAGGCGUACCCUGUGAGCCCCAUUUUCAUUCAAAUGGUGAUCCAACAUAUGGGAGGGCAUAAUUGCUAAAUGAUAUGGGAGAAUGUAGACAUCACGAGAACUUUAAUGCGAUAAAAGCAUCUUCGGCUUGGCCUACGCUGUGAUGUUCCGUGGAAGUCUAGGCCCAUAAGUGGACUUUUCCCAUCAUGUGCCGUUGUUGAACGGGCUUGGUCAACCCGCUUCUUCAUUGUCAUUGAGAAGGUGGUCUGUAAAAGCCAGGAGACCAAACCUAGGUCCCUUACAUGAGAUAAGUGUACCUAGCCAGUAACUCAGCGUCUAGUAUAAUAGACUUCCUUUGUUUCUCUGCCAAAGAAAAAGACUUCGAUAAAGUUCUGACUUUCAAUCAUUGAUCUAGUUGCUAGGCAUGUAUUUAAGUUCUAUCCUGCGGUUAUGUUCAACCAUUUUGUAUUAUGAAUUUAGAAGAACUUUAACAGGUAAAUACAUGAUGCAUUGUAUUCAAAUUUUUCGUCCAUUAAUUUUGCAGGUUGGCUCCGCCGGGUUCAUUCCAAUCAGAGUAAAAAAGGGCCAAUAUUAGAUCAAUGAUAGUUUAGUUGGAAUAUAGGUAGUGUAAGAGGAUGAUCAUCGAAGAGUGCUAACAAAGUUUAGAAUCACCAUUGGGAGAGUUGUGUCAUAUAAGGGACAAGGUCAUGAUGUUAUAUCAUGAGGUAGGGACGUGUCGUGCAACAAGAAAAUCAAUUUAAAAAAGUAGGUGUCAAAGUAAAGUGAUCAGCAUUUCAUAUGACCAAUUUUUUAUCCAUUGAUUUUGUAGAUGUGCUCUGGCGGGUUCAUUCCAAUUAGAGAGUACGGAAGGGCCAGACUUUGGUCAACGAUAGCUUGGUUGGAGUAUAGAUAGUAUAAGAGGAUGAUCAUUGAAGAGUGCUGAUCAAGUUUAGUGUCACCACAAAAGGAGGUGUCUUGUGCAAGGGACAAGGUCAUGAUGUUAUAUGACACGGUAGGGACCUAUGGGGCGGCAAGUAAAUCAAUUUCAAAAUUUAAGCAUUAAGUAAAACGAUCAACAUUUCAUAUGAUCAAUUUAAUUUACUAGUCACAUCAUGUCAAUCAUCAGUGAUUUGACUACCAAAUAGAAUAUCUUUUUCAAAUGAGGGGAUAGUCCCUCAAAAAGUUUUUGAACUAGAACUUCCCAACUCACAAGAACUUUGAGGAAACCUACUCCCAUUGAAGAAAUGCUACUCAUUGUCACCUAAAGUUGCGAGGACUUUCCAAGAUGUACCACUGUUGAUAUACUCUUACUAGUUGCUAAAUAGACAUUCCGUCACUUAAGAGUUCGUAGAAGGAAUUUACUAUGCUAUCCAAUGAUUACUAAGUGAUAGGAUCAACAAGACAUAAAUUCUACAACCAAAUUGCUAACCUUAAAAGAAAGUUAGCUUACUACAGGUGUAGCGAUGAUCAUGAGGACUCCACGAAACUUACAAUCGUCGUAAAAAUAAUUUACGAUGCACAAAUGCUAUCAAUUACAAAUAAAGAGGGAAAUUACUGUAUCAAUGGAGAAUUGCAAAAUGACAGCACCCUCAACUUAAGAAUAACGAAAACCACUGGGGUUCGCCUCAAUGGCCACCCUUCCAAUUUGGAAGGGGGAGGUGGGGGGUUUAAAUCCCCAUCUUCUUAGGGGGGAUUGGGGUUGGGACAAUUUCAUUUCAGGAGUGGGUUUCGACUCCCAUGCCCUGCAAGGAGGCAGAACAAAAGUCUGAAAGUGAGUGUUACUAUAGGAUUAGAGUAUGAUCGACAAAAAAAAAAAAAAAAAAAACUUAAGAAUAAUGAAGAUAUGUUCGCUAUGGAAAGUUAUUAAUCAUGGGCGUAGUACAACUUUUUGAGGAUUUCGCGUGAGUGACAAUUGUUCUGGAAUAUUUACUGAGAAAUUUCAUUAUUUGUUAUGACUAUUUGAUGAAAUUAACUAAAUUAAUUUAAGUCUACUAACGACUAGGAUUGACAUACGGGUAUAACAAUGAUUAUUUGUGGCGAUGAGUAAAGAUUAAAAUACAGCCACAACAGGAAUAUGUGUAGAAACACAUAAAUAGUGCCGUAAACCUUUUCUGCUUCAUCUAUAAACCGCGUGAAAAAAAUUUGAAAUUGCCCAAGCAAAGGGAAAUGAUCCUGAGAAAUAAAAUAUGAAUAUUGUUUCUUAAGGGAUAGAGCACACCAUAAGUUCUAAAACUUGCUAUAAAAAUACAAUUAAUUCCUAAAACUAAAAAAAAAGAAAAAAAAUGCAAUCGAGUUUUAAAACUUAUGUAAUCAAGAACUUCCAUCAGUCCUGUCCAAUUUGAGUGUCAGAAUAUACUAGAAUUGUCAUCUUUUGAUAUGUUUUGAGCACACAUCCCGAAGAUACUCCGGCCAUACAUGAUGCCUGGUUCUAAUGACUAGAAGUGUACCAAGUCACCCUCUAUCUCUUCAUAUAUGUUUGAAUAGGACAUGAGAGAUUGAAUUGAAUGCCAUCUGUUACUCCAUCAACAAGAUAGAUGCCUGAGGCAUCAAGAGACGUAUUGCCAAUUCUAUUUUGUUUUGUUGGCUUCUCAAUGACAGCUUCCUUAAGAUCUGCAACCCAGUACUAGCCGUCUAGCGUCUUCCCAGUUAUUCUUUCAUAUCUUUCCAUUUCCUUCAUUCGACACGGGAGAGACGCGGGAGAAAUUUGCGGAACAACUCUCUAUUCUCUUUUUCACAGAGUGACGCUGGAUCCACUAAUUGAUUGUCUUCAAGCACAACCUUCAAAUCAUCAUCUAGUUGCUCGCAUAUUAGCACAUAUCCCAACUUUUCCACGGUUCCACUCGACAGUGUGAGUGUAAGGCUAAAUUGUAAGUAAUCCUCAUCAAAUUCAAGAAAAUCAAUAGCUCCUUCCAACACUCCCCAUAGCACAUUUGGUUUGAUAUACUAAAUCCACAUGUGAUCCGAAUGAAAUGAACCAAGAGUUCCUGAUAGUGCAUUCCGUCUUUGGUCGUUAACGUGGGGCACGAUGUCAUAAAAUAUUUCCUUUUCUCCAUCUUCUAUGGUGAAAACAACACAGAGAGCUAAUCCCAGGAACUUAUCAUAAAAGUCCUGUGAAACCAUGAAAGAUAUGGUAUUGCCUUCAAUGGGGACGAACUCCUUUGGCAUAUCUACUCAGGGGAGAAUAUUUUUGUAGGAACGAUAAAUUCCAGAAUAACGAUGCUUCAGUUAUACCAGUAAAUUGUUAGACAUGCUUAAGUUGAUACUCAGUUCAAAUAGAAGAGUUUGAUUUGAGAAUUUUUCUGAUAAUUUAACCAAAGCUAGAGAUUUAUAAUUAUUAAACAUAUCGAUCUUUCCUUGCCUUAUAUGUAAUACUUAUGAAAUCAUUCACUUGCGAGUGUUGUAGCACAUGUAAGUGAAGAAUGACUUUAUGUUAGAUUUGUUUAUUUGUUUAAAAUUUUCAGUUUUUGCAUAAUGCAAACACAGUGUGCCCGACAUAUACCAACAAAUUAACACAUGCACUUAUGAUCGCACGUGCAUCCGCCGCCCGGGGGGGAGAGACCUCAACUGAAAAGUCAGCCAUGAUAUCGGUGCGUGGGAAAGAAUGCCUAUCGUCGAAUUCUUCUAAGCUUGUUGGGUUUGUUGAGUCUUUAUCUUCACGGUCUAUCCACCGCUAUUACAUAUAGGUGUAAAAUCACAAUAUGUAAGGUUGUAUUGUUUACUGGUUAUAAAAACACAGCACCCAUAUCAAUCAGACAUACGCACCACAAUCACGGAGAGAGAGAGAGAGAGAGAGAGAGAGAGAGAGAGCUCAACUGAAAAGUCAGCCAUGAUAUCGGCGGGUGGAAAGUCAUCCAUAUCGUCGCCUUCUUCUGAGCUUGUUUGGUAGUUGUCUUCAUGGUUUAUCCCCCGCUAUUACAUAUAGGUGCAAAAUCACAAUAUAUUAGCUUGUUUUGUUUACUAGCAUUAGCAGUUUUGCAUUAUAAAAACACAAAGCACCCAUAUCAAUCACACACACACACCACAAUCGUGGAGAAGGGGAAGGGGGAGGGAGGGAGGGAGAGACCUUUUCCAGAUUUGAGAGAUUGGCCGAAAUUUCUUCCUCUAUGGUCGUUUCUUUAUUGUGAUGCCAAAUCUCAUAGAACAAACUUGGAGCUAGCAACUCGUCUAGAUCCAAAACCUCCAAAUAGUCCUGUAAUGGCUUGCAUAUUAAUCGAAAUCCGCAAUUUUUAACAAUUACACCAUCUGAUGUUCUAAUGCCUAAUUGAAAAGAACUCGAGUCAUUUGGACCAAAAGUGUCUUCUCCCCAAAAUUCCUCCAUUGAAAAAGCCGAAACAUACGCAUGAUCCGAAUGCCAUUGACAUGACGUGCCUAUGUGCACAGCCUUGCAUUUGCCAUUAACGUAUGGAUGGAGCGUCAGUCUAUUUUGUUUCCCUUCCUUUGCUCGACAUGCAAUGCAGAUAACUAAUCCUAGGCACUUCUUAUACAAAUCCUUUGAAGUAAUGAAAGAUAUAUAACCCUCUUUAUUCGGGAGUAACCAUUGCAGCAUCUCUCCUCCAGGUAGAACAAUUUCGUAAUCCAAUCUGAGACGAGAUUGCUGUCAUAGAUGUAAAUUGUUUNNNNNNNNNNNNNNNNNNNNNNNNNNNNNNNNNNNNNNNNNNNNNNNNNNNNNNNNNNNNNNNNNNNNNNNNNNNNNNNNNNNNNNNNNNNNNNNNNNNNNNNNNNNNNNNNNNNNNNNNNNNNNNNNNNNNNNNNNNNNNNNNNNNNNNNNNNNNNNNNNNNNNNNNNNNNNNNNNNNNNNNNNNNNNNNNNNNNNNNNNNNNNNNNNNNNNNNNNNNNNNNNNNNNNNNNNNNNNNNNNNNNNNNNNNNNNNNNNNNNNNNNNNNNNNNNNNNNNNNNNNNNNNNNNNNNNNNNNNNNNNNNNNNNNNNNNNNNNNNNNNNNNNNNNNNNNNNNNNNNNNNNNNNNNNNNNNNNNNNNNNNNNNNNNNNNNNNNNNNNNNNNNNNNNNNNNNNNNNNNNNNNNNNUAUCUGAGUUUUUCUCUAUUGAAAUUAAUGUAUUGCUGCCAGUGAGGAUUUAGGCACCUGUGUGUUGUUUGAUUGAAUUCAGCUUUUGUCAAAUGCAUGAUUAGUGUUAUUCAUAUAUGGGUAGUCUUGCUGAUGUUUCCAAGAUCUUAAUAGGCUGAGAAAUUGAUUGCUAUCUGUGAAGCUAUUAUGUUUCAGUUGCAUAUUUUUUUCCCUUGUAUCAUUGCUUUAUCUAUUAUUAAUAAGUAAGAAUAUGAUCCUGAACCUCAAUGUUCCCAACGAUCUCUCCCCUACCCCCCCCCCCCCCCCCCCCCCUUUAAUAUUAAAAAUUGUUAUUUUUAAAUAUUUUAAAUAAAUUUACUUUUAAAUUAAAUUUAAUUAUUUAAAAAAAAAUAUUAAAAUUGUUAUUUUUAAAUGUUUUAAAUAAAUUUAAUUUAAUUAAUUUAUAUAUUUUUUCCACGUCAACACUAAAACAAUGCCGUUUUGUCUUUGCUUCGUCGGAAAAUCACCACGUCAGCGUUUUGACCGGAUUGGCACUCAAGUGAUCCAUUUUACUCCGAUCUUGGCACUUAAGUGUACAUUUCGUAACUUUUGGCAGUUAAGUGUCCCUUUGUGCCAACUUUUGGCACUCCAAGGGUCAUUGUCUCCAAAUUUGGCACUUGAAAAAGAGGAGUUUCAAUGAGUCAAAUUUAGCUACAAUUAGCAAUACAUAUACACGACUCCGUAUUAAUCAGAGGGGAAGGGGGAGAGAGAGAGAGAGAGAGAGAGAGAGAGAGAGAGAGAGAGAGAGAGUCUUCAGAGGGGAAGGGGGAGAGAGAGAGAGAGAGAGAGAGAGAGAGAGUCUAAUCUCAUUACGUACCAGUUCGUGAAAUAAUAAGUCAAUAUGAACGGCCCGUAUGUCGGAGGGAAUUCUACUUAGAGAUUCACAAUUCCUUGCCAGCAAAGCAUGCGAUUGCCCUGGGAUCCCGCCAAUCUCUUGUAGCUGUCGGCAUUCCGAAACAUUCAAAUCGCGUAAAUUAUGAAGCUGCUCAUAUACUGGAAGCUUAGCAAAAUUGUUUUCGGACAAAUCCAAAAAUAUUAAGGAUGGAAAACUUGAAUUAUUCUCUAGGAACUCUACUUCUAGUAGAUUGCAUCCCCUCAGCCCUAAAAGCCGUAGCUUGGGAAAUCCUGUCUUGCUAUGUAGAUUACUCAAAUCCUCCUCCUUUUUUGGAAACUUGAUUAGUUUUGAACAACUAGAAAGUAUCAAUUUCUUAAGAUUUGGCAACUUGUAAAUGCUAGAUGGAAGGUUUGUUAGUUUCUUNNNNNNNNNNNNNNNNNNNNNNNNNNNNNNNNNNNNNNNNNNNNNNNNNNNNNNNNNNNNNNNNNNNNNNNNNNNNNNNNNNNNNNNNNNNNNNNNNNNNUUUUCUAUGGAUAUAGGAAGUUCCUCAAUGAAAGUCCCUCUUAAAUAAAGUUUUUUGCAAGCCUUUGUUUUUAUUUGGAAUAUCAGGGAAUCUUUGCAACUUUGAGCAGUCAGUAAGAUUGAGAAGUUGAAGGUUCUUGGCUUGGAGCACAUCAGGGAGAUGACAAAGGUUAGAGCACCCUUUUAGAUUCAACAACCGUAACUUGGUGUGAUACGCAACUGAUUCGUCAACGCGCUCCAAAUUUUCGCACUUUUCGAGGACCAGUUCCUCGAGAUUUGGAGUCAAAUUGAGGUCCAGCAUAAAAACCAUUGACGGGCAUUCACUGAAGUUAAGGAACUUCAAUUUUGUAAAGUCCUACAAGAAACAUCCCGACAGAAAAAAGAUGAAGGAUAAAAUCUUUUAAUGAAAAACACUUGAUCAUCAUUCAAGCCCCAUGUGAUCAGAAAUUAGUUGAUCAUAUGGUGCACACAUAGCACUCCCUCUCCCUUUUUAAAUAUAAGUUUUUUAAGCGAUCCUUGGCCAAAAGAGAAGAUAAAAAAAGAAUAAUACUCGUAAUUCCACCACACACUAAGCUCUAUCAAGUGACAUACAAGAGAAAUCAUUCCAAUGCUAAGUAGCGUGGCCACUUAUACUAGGUGUACGUUUAGAAACAAUACAUGUAAUUCAGGGAGUGUAACCUCAAGUGGAAGCACAUGAGCCAUGGUCAAAUCCCUUGCCAACUAAUUCAUGACAUGAAUUUAAGUCGACAUAGAUGGCACUUGAUAGAUCUACAAUCUUAUGCUGAGAUACACGAACCUGCCAUAAUGGUGGUGGAAGCUUAGGAAUUUCUCAUGUCAUCACUUAUUAGGUCAUGGUGCUUGGUUGAUCGAUUUUCGAGAAUUGCACAUUUUGUGGAAUGUAGUAGACCGUUGAUGCGUUAUAUGUUGCUGAACUUAUAUUAGUGAAAUUUUGCGCCUACAUGGUAUUCCGAAGACGACCACUUAUGUUGUGUAGCGAAAGCAUCUUUUAAUUCCUUUGGAUCUUACACCAAUAUUUACCACUAAUAUAUAAUCAAUAAGUUAAGUGAGGAAGUGAGGAAGAGAAGUUUGAAGCAAACUGUCAAAUAUCCCAGUCAAGCGAAAAAACAUAGAAAAAGCCUGCUAUUUUUUAAGAAGGUGAUCUUGUCUGGAUUCAUUUGAAAAAAGUGCUUUCCACCAGGUCGUCUUUCUGCGGAUGGUUCUUUUGUAGUUUUGGAGCACAUCGAUAAUAAUGCCUACAAAAGUGAGCUUUACCGAGAGAAUGGUGUUUCCACUAGUUUCACUGUUGCUAAUAUAUCACUAUGAAGUUGGCCUCGAGGAGUCUUUUCAAGAUUUCAAGAUUCUCACUUCUGAAUAGAAUAAUGAGGAUAAAAUAUAUUUUCUUGAUCAGUGAGCCUGUUUUAUACUUCUUAGGAUUGCUUUAGUCUCGAUUACAAUGUGAUUAUAUUUAGCCUAUUUGAAUUUUGUAUUUUGGAUUCAUUUUUCUUUACUUGGAGCUACUCAAAGGUAUCUUNNNNNNNNNNNNNNNNNNNNNNNNNNNNNNNNNNNNNNNNNNNNNNNNNNNNNNNNNNNNNNNNNNNNNNNNNNNNNNNNNNNNNNNNNNNNNNNNNNNNNNNNNNNNNNNNNNNNNNNNNNNNNNNNNNNNNNNNNNNNNNNNNNNNNNNNNNNNNNNNNNNNNNNNNNNNNNNNNNNNNNNNNNNNNNNNNNNNNNNNNNNNNNNNNNNNNNNNNNNNNNNNNNNNNNNNNNNNNNNNNNNNNNNNNNNNNNNNNNNNNNNNNNNNNNNNNNNNNNNNNNNNNNNNNNNNNNNNNNNNNNNNNNNNNNNNNNNNNNNNNNNNNNNNNNNNNNNNNNNNNNNNNNNNNNNNNNNNNNNNNNNNNNNNNNNNNNNNNNNNNNNNNNNNNNNNNNNNNNNNNNNNNNNNNNNNNNNNNNNNNNNNNNNNNNNNNNNNNNNNNNNNNNNNNNNNNNNNNNNNNNNNNNNNNNNNNNNNNNNNNNNNNNNNNNNNNNNNNNNNNNNNNNNNNNNNNNNNNNNNNNNNNNNNNNNNNNNNNNNNNNNNNNNNNNNNNNNNNNNNNNNNNNNNNNNNNNNNNNNNNNNNNNNNNNNNNUGAUGACAUUUGGGGAAGAAAUUAAAUUGAAAUCCUGUGGAUGUUCACCUUUACUUUGUACAGUAGAAUAAAUAUGAAUAUAAAAAUAAUAUGUAUACCAACAUACAUACAUAUAUAACUUUAGAUUAGAUUUAGGUUUAAAUAUAUUUUAAUUAGCGAAGUGACCCCCCUACUCACUUCUCUUUAGAAAGCCUCAUUAGUCAUGCGUGAAAGCUGUUAUGCACCACUAGCUUGCUAGAUGCAACGCCUUUAUGAAGUGAGACUCUUCCAUAGGAGAAAAUAUUCAGUGGUUAGUGCGCGCCACGUCAUCCGCUGACCUGGUGCGCACUAACCAAUGAAAUACCGGCACGUGUCCCCGAGCGGGACCCGCUGAAAAAGGAAGGCGCUGGUUUUUGAUCUCGGCUCGGCUCGGCUCCACGCAGAAGAAAGGACGGUCAGCGCAUUCCUCCCGCUCAAAAUUUUUCUCUCUCCUCACUUGAAUGCGCGGGUUCUCUCUCCUCGUAAAAGAAAAAAGAACGCUCAGAGCCUUCCUCUGUUUCCUCCUCCGCCUCCGUCUCCAGCUCUGCCUCCGUCUCCGCCUCCGCCUCGGCCUCCACCUGCCCAAAAGCCUCGCUGGUCAUCUGCCUCUGUAUCUCGGUCUCGUUCCCGAGUGGCACCAGGCUCCCCGCCGCUGACCAGGCGCUGUCCCUGACGCUGGCCCGCUCGGUCGCGAGGGAGAUCUCGGCGGACUUUGGCGGGGUCGACGGCGCGGCGAAGAAGGAGAGGCCUGCUGCAUUUUCUCUCUCUNNNNNNNNNNNNNNNNNNNNNNNNNNNNNNNNNNNNNNNNNNNNNNNNNNNNNNNNNNNNNNNNNNNNNNNNNNNNNNNNNNNNNNNNNNNNNNNNNNNNNNNNNNNNNNNNNNNNNNNNNNNNNNNNNNNNNNNNNNNNNNNNNNNNNNNNNNNNNNNNNNNNNNNNNNNNNNNNNNNNNNNNNNNNNNNNNNNNNNNNNNNNNNNNNNNNNNNNNNNNNNNNNNNNNNNNNNNNNNNNNNNNNNNNNNNNNNNNNNNNNNNNNNNNNNNNNNNNNNNNNNNNNNNNNNNNNNNNNNNNNNNNNNNNNNNNNNNNNNNNNNNNNNNNNNNNNNNNNNNNNNNNNNNNNNNNNNNNNNNNNNNNNNNNNNNNNNNNNNNNNNNNNNNNNNNNNNNNNNNNNNNNNNNNNNNNNNNNNNNNNNNNNNNNNNNNNNNNNNNNNNNNNNNNNNNNNNNNNNNNNNNNNNNNNNNNNNNNNNNNNNNNNNNNNNNNNNNNNNNNNNNNNNNNNNNNNNNNNNNNNNNNNNNNNNNNNNNNNNNNNNNNNNNNNNNNNNNNNNNNNNNNNNNNNNNNNNNNNNNNNNNNNNNNNNNNNNNNNNNNNNNNNNNNNNNNNNNNNNNNNNNNNNNNNNNNNNNNNNNNNNNNNNNNNNNNNNNNNNNNNNNNNNNNNNNNNNNNNNNNNNNNNNNNNNNNNNNNNNNNNNNNNNNNNNNNNNNNNNNNNNNNNNNNNNNNNNNNNNNNNNNNNNNNNNNNNNNNNNNNNNNNNNNNNNNNNNNNNNNNNNNNNNNNNNNNNNNNNNNNNNNNNNNNNNNNNNNNNNNNNNNNNNNAAUGCGCAGAGAGAGAGAGAGAGAGAGAGAGAGAGAGGGUAUUAUCAAGAUCUACCUUUUGUCCAUUUAAACUUCUGCUCUUCGCCUCUGCCCAUAAAUUGAAUGUAAUUGUUACACAAAAUACUUUUUAAGAAUUGGUCAUGUCCAUUAAAACUUCUGCUCUUCGACUUGUCAUUGAUCGAUACCUUCGACUUGUUCAUGUGCUGCGGAGCAAUUGGAGCAUGUUUGCUUGACCGAAGCGUCUUCUUGGCCAUCGUCAGGGGGAGGAUCGGUGUUACCUGGUCUGCUGAGUAGGACAGUGAAUCCGGGGAAUGGCUAGCGGUGACUGGGGUUUUGGCUCGGCUAGACCCAGUGUCUUAUGAGAUCCGACCUUGGCUUACUGAUAUCAAGAUCCGUGCAAGCUGUGCGUGCUAUAGUUUUCUUUUCAUUUUGUGUGUGGAUUUUGUGUAUCUUCAACAUCAUCGUCUGAUCGAUCGCAAGCUGACUUCAUCAUUCUGAAUAGCAAAGCCUCCCCGAACUCUUCAGCUUCUUUCCGACUUGGUCUCUACCAACUUCUUCCGAUGCUUGGGUUUCGUUCGACAGACGUAUUGGUCCACAUGCUCUUCAAAGAAUACUUGCAAGAUAGCUGGCGUGUCAAUAAUCUUUGGGAGAAACAUUGAACAAAAUGUGAAACAACGUUUCACUCAGUGCGGCAAAUUGUCGUAACAAAGUUUGAGCUCCCGAAGGAUGUUGCUUCUUUGUCCUAUACGUUGUCUAGCACGAGGAAAAAUUUCUUACUAUUUACUAAGUAUCGCAAAUGGGUCCGCAAUUGCUCAAUGUCCAAGGUAUCUAAUAGCGGCUGAAACACUAAUCAAGUCUCGACCGAGGGUGUCUCUCCAGAAUUUUUCAAAAGUUCUCUUUAGAUCAAAAUCACUGGAAAUGCAUACCGAUGUUCGAAAAUCGAAAAUUAUUCUUGGACCUUUUCGUCAUUGUACACAACUUAGCAAGCAUUGUUUUGCCUAAGCAUCCCAUCCUAGUUAUCAUGGGAGGGCAUAGUAUUCGAACUAGUGACAACUUACCAUUCUUGGAAAUGAUCACUCAUGGUGGGAAAUGACGUGAAGGGCACCCAAAAUGAUGGGCAAGGCCCAAAAAAUGAUGCGCAAGGUUUUAGGUACACAAAACCUGGCCAGAAUGACCACCCCACCCUCCAACACAUUCAUGGAGAAUUCCUUAGAGCCUGUUUGGUAUAUUUGUGGUUGAAUUGUAACCGUGCCAUACGGUGUUGUAAUACAUGUCUUAAAGUUGCGACACCUCAAAGCUGGAUGAAACGAGAAAAUAUUCAGUGGUAUGUGCGCGCCACGUCAUCUGCUGACCUGGUGCGCACUUACCAAUGAAACGCCGGCACGUGUCCCCGAGCGGGACCCGCUGAAAAAGGGAAGGCGCUGGUUUUUGCUCGGCUCGGCUCGGCUCCACGCAGAAGAAAGGACGGUGAGCGUAUUCCUCCCGCUCAAAAUUUUUCUCUCUCUUCACUUGAAUGGGCGCGGGUUCUCUCUCCUCGUAAAAGAAAAAAAGAACGCUCAGAGCCUUCCACUUUCCUCCUCCGCCUCUGUCUCCGCCUCGGCCUCCGCCUGCCCAAAAGCCUCGCUGGUCAUCCGCCUCUGGCAUCUGGGUCUCGUUCCCGAGCGGCACCAGGCUCCCCGCCGCUGACCAGGCGCUGUCCCUGACGCUGGCCCGCUCGUCGGCGAGGGAGAUCUCGGCGGACUUUGGCGGGGUCGACUGCGCGGCGAAGAAGGAGAGCCUGCUGCAUUUUCUCUCUUUUUUUCAACGAAGCGCGCUUUUUCUUCCCGCUUCUGCCCCUCUCUUCCUCAAGCACUCCUCUCCUCUCUGUCCCGAGCCCUCUCACUCACCCCAAGCGCCCCCCUCCUCUCUUUCUCGAGCCCUCUCACUCACCCUAAGCGCUUCCCUCCUCGCCUCUCUCCUCGUCGCCGUCAUCGACUUUCCAGCCGCGACUCUAGAAAUCGCCGGCUGCCGACUGGCCUCUCGAGCUUCUUUGAAGCAAAAGAGGUUUGCGAGGCUAGAUAUACUGGUGGCGGUGCUAAGUUUUGGGGUUUCGCCGCGACCAGUGAACUUCCAAGAUCACGGUCGAGCACCGGCACCGACACCUGCACAUUGAAGAAUUUACUUCUGGGUUCCAGCUCUUUUCUAACGCUUCCUCCGGACAUGAAUUCGCCGACCGUUUUCAUCUCCGCCGUUGCAUUGGUCCUGCUGUCCAACAGUUCUCUCCGCGUGUCGUCCUCGACUUCGCCGCCCAAAGACCCGUUUCUCGGAUAGCUCCUGAAGGUUCGAGCCCGUCGCUUUCUUAUGGGUGCCUCGUUUGUAAAGCGUUUUUUAUUGGACAGAGCUCGCUGUAGUGGGGGGUGGGGUGAGGGGUUUUGACUAUUUGAGGAUGUGGUUGGGUGACUGAUGACAGUCUGCGUGAUACCCAGAUGUGAAAUAUUACAGUUCAUCGAACAGGAUGAAGUGUAAGGAUGGGUCAAAGAAAUUCACCAGAGCCCAGGUCAAUGACGAUUUCUGCGACUGCCCAGAUGGGACAGAUGAGCCCGGUCCUUUUUGAGCCAUUUUUUUUUUAGUAAUCAGUUUGCUGUUGUCCUUGAAUUUAUUGGUUGGUCUUGCAUUGUGUUUAGAUGGAUGAGUUGAUGCGGGAAAUAAAGACAGAGAUUAUGAAUAGGAUAAAUAAUGGAAAUAGUACGAUAAAUAUUUCUUUUUGGGCCAUAGACCACCCUGGGGCAAAAUUGGGAGGAGAUAGAAGUAAAUUCAUGAAUCACUGUCGCCCUUCUUUUCUUUUUGAUGAGAUGCAUAUGAAGAACUCCCAGUUUUCUUUCUUGCUGAAUGAAGCAGACGAAUUGUUACCUUAAGCAAUUUCACCAGAUAUUACGAACUUGGCAGGUAUAUUAUGAGGACUUAAUAUUUUCCUUGGUAAUUGUCAUGAAUAAUCGGUUUUGCAUCAUAGAUCAGCAAAACUGCGGAUUGCUUUAUUUGAUAUAAAUGCUUUUGAAGAGCAAAGAAGUGUAUUCAGUUUAUAUGGGAUGGUCUGGCCAACUUCCAUAAACUGGCAUAGUUGAGGGAUGCUCUCCAUUGAUAUAUUAGUAAUGAUGGUUCAUCAAGAAGCUCAGCUGGACUCAUGUUAGUUCAGUUGUAUUGUGGUUAUCACAAACCAUGGGUUUCUUUUUGUUAGGCUUGUACUGGUUUUAGAUAUUACUUAUCCAAAAAGGACUGUUACUAAUCCUAGGCUUUAUUUCUUCUUAUAGAACAUAGUAUGUGUGCAAACACCUAGUAGUGUCCAUAUCUGGACCUGCUUUGAUGUUUAGACUAUUCUAAAUGACACUGUUACUCGUACCCGGCUUUGUUUCCUUCUUUAGAACAUCUCAUGNNNNNNNNNNNNNNNNNNNNNNNNNNNNNNNNNNNNNNNNNNNNNNNNNNNNNNNNNNNNNNNNNNNNNNNNNNNNNNNNNNNNNNNNNNNNNNNNNNNNNNNNNNNNNNNNNNNNNNNNNNNNNNNNNNNNNNNNNNNNNNNNNNNNNNNNNNNNNNNNNNNNNNNNNNNNNNNNNNNNNNNNNNNNNNNNNNNNNNNNNNNNNNNNNNNNNNNNNNNNNNNNNNNNNNNNNNNNNNNNNNNNNNNNNNNNNNNNNNNNNNNNNNNNNNNNNNNNNNNNNNNNNNNNNNNNNNNNNNNNNNNNNNNNNNNNNNNNNNNNNNNNNNNNNNNNNNNNNNNNNNNNNNNNNNNNNNNNNNNNNNNNNNNNNNNNNNNNNNNNNNNNNNNNNNNNNNNNNNNNNNNNNNNNNNNNNNNNNNNNNNNNNNNNNNNNNNNNNNNNNNNNNNNNNNNNNNNNNNNNNNNNNNNNNNNNNNNNNNNNNNNNNNNNNNNNNNNNNNNNUGGGGCACUGAUUAAUCAUAAUUGUGCAACAACAGAUUUAUUUAUCUGCUUUAGCAACUUCAUGUCCUGGAUUGUCUUCCUCACCAACAAACAUUACUUUUUAAAUAUUACUUUACAGACUAUUUAAUGAACCCUAAUACCAUGAAGACAAGUAAACAAGGGUAUAUUUCAAGUGAUGAACAGAUUUGAGACUACUUUUUAGGAACUCUCCAACUUUUGAGGACAAGGACAUUGAUUGUGACAUAUAUGCAUAUGGGAAAUGAAUAGAAACUAUUUUUUUGGGUUUACAUCUUAAGGAUUGUUUCAAAAGCUAGACAAGAGUGGCUUCUUCAAUUGAGAACAGUUUGCAUGCUUGGUCUGGUUCAAUCUAGUGAAAAGAAAGUGGUCAAAACUAGGUGAGAUGGAGAACUGGUUUAGUUCGGAUUGAUCUUUUCCUUAACGCUUGUCAAUGAACGGUGUUUCUGAGAAUACAAGAAAAAUUGCAGGAAGGGGGAAAGGUUGGAGAGAAAACAAAAGGUACAUUUUUGAAUGAAAUCUACGUGCUUAUCGUCAUAUGCAAGGAUCUGCAGAGUGAUCAAUUGUUAGUAAAAUGGAUGAUGAAUGUGUGGAUUAAGUAACAUUAUAAUAUUGUAAUAAGAUACCAAUUAAUGCUUAGAUUAAUUUUCCCUUUUCAUUGUUUAGGAUUUUUGUCAAUUGGACAAUUACUAAAUGCUAAGGUCCUAUAAAAAAUUUAUAUGCUGACAUCAUCUGACCUUAAUAGGUUGACGGAAUUACUAGAUCGUUCUGGUUCUUGUAACACUGAUUUUAGCAUCCGCUGGACAAAGGUUAACUAGCAGGUGGUCAUUCNNNNNNNNNNNNNNNNNNNNNNNNNNNNNNNNNNNNNNNNNNNNNNNNNNNNNNNNNNNNNNNNNNNNNNNNNNNNNNNNNNNNNNNNNNNNNNNNNNNNNNNNNNNNNNNNNNNNNNNNNNNNNNNNNNNNNNNNNNNNNNNNNNNNNNNNNNNNNNNNNNNNNNNNNNNNNNNNNNNNNNNNNNNNNNNNNNNNNNNNNNNNNNNNNNNNNNNNNNNNNNNNNNNNNNNNNNNNNNNNNNNNNNNNNNNNNNNNNNNNNNNNNNNNNNNNNNNNNNNNNNNNNNNNNNNNNNNNNNNNNNNNNNNNNNNNNNNNNNNNNNNNNNNNNNNNNNNNNNNNNNNNNNNNNNNNNNNNNNNNNNNNNNNNNNNNNNNNNNNNNNNNNNNNNNNNNNNNNNNNNNNNNNNNNNNNNNNNNNNNNNNNNNNNNNNNNNNNNNNNNNNNNNNNNNNNNNNNNNNNNNNNNNNNNNNNNNNNNNNNNNNNNNNNNNNNNNNNNNNNNNNNNNNNNNNNNNNNNNNNNNNNNNNNNNNNNNNNNNNNNNNNNNNNNNNNNNNNNNNNNNNNNNNNNNNNNNNNNNNNNNNNNNNNNNNNNNNNNNNNNNNNNNNNNNNNNNNNNNNNNNNNNNNNNNNNNNNNNNNNNNNNNNNNNNNNNNNNNNNNNNNNNNNNNNNNNNNNNNNNNNNNNNNNNNNNNNNNNNNNNNNNNNNNNNNNNNNNNNNNNNNNNNNNNNNNNNNNNNNNNNNNNNNNNNNNNNNNNNNNNNNNNNNNNNNNNNNNNNNNNNNNNNNNNNNNNNNNNNNNNNNNNNNNNNNNNNNNNNNNNNNNNNNNNNNNNNNNNNNNNNNNNNNNNNNNNNNNNNNNNNNNNNNNNNNNNNNNNNNNNNNNNNNNNNNNNNNNNNNNNNNNNNNNNNNNNNNNNNNNNNNNNNNNNNNNNNNNNNNNNNNNNNNNNNNNUUCUUCCAUGCUUUGGCACUUAUGAUGCUUAGUUUAGAUUUCUUUUACAUGCGUUCGUUUUUGUGUUACUAUCAAUUGUUUUGUUGCUUUUUCAUCUCUAAAUAUAGAGCGCAAAGAACCAAAUAGAGAAAGCAGAGGAGAAAGAACAAAUGAGAAAAGAAAAAAGAAGAGAGGGAAAAAAGAGAAGCUGAGGGGAAAGCUGGCAAAGAGAAAGCAGUUUCAGCAGGGUUGGGUGUUGGAGAUCUUGGAUCACGUAAGGAUGGGAGGAGGCAGGCUAGCAGAGAGGAACAAGAGAAAAUCGAGGCUGAGAUGAGAAAGAAUGCCUACCAAUUGGCCUAUGCUAAAGCAGAGGAGGCAUCUAGGUUACUGUGGGUGGAGCAAACAAGAAAGGGAAGAGAUUCUAAGAUGUUUUGCUGUUGCUUUUUCUUGAAUCUCUUGGGCCUACCAAAAACCCGCAGUGAAAGACUGCAAUUCCAUUCUGCCAAAAACAUACUGGUGGGACUGGAUUUCUAUCCGAGGACAUAGCUUUGAAGUGUCAUGGAAAUAUUUUCAAGGGAAGAGGUGUGAUUGCUUCUGCUUUUAAGGUUUGUGACCUGUGGAUAUGGGUAUCAUCUUAGUGGUAUCUUCGUCUUGCUAUGCAAGAAAAACUAAUCUCCAAACAAUAAUUAUGACAAAUAAAAAAGGAAAAUCUACAUUGCAUUAUUAAGUAUCAUUUCAGCUUUGAGCUGUAAGUGUGAGUCUAGUUAUUAGUAUUUUAGCUUCAAUAAUUCUCCAUAUUGCGAUAUAUUUCAUUUUUUCUAUCGGUUCAUUUAUAUCUUCCAUUCUAAUUGUUUUGGCCGAAUUUUAAUCUGUAGCUCCCUCCUCAUACAAUUCAUAUUCGACCGUCGAUGAUCAAGGUUGAAAAGGACUCAAAGCUUUCAGAUAUCAGGACCGUUGAUGCACUCGAAAUAGUACAAACAAGGUACAACCAACAUAUUUUGCCAGCAGGCUAUCAUUGUUUUAAUUAAUUCUCUUGAGGUUCUUAUGGUACCUCUGACCCCUAGUACUGUGAUCACAGUGUUAUCUGUGGGUUUGUUACCUGGCUAUGCUAUUGAUUUGUUGAUCAUUGUGUUAAGAUUUUCCUUUGGAGUUAGCUGGUUAAAAGACCCUUACAUAAACAGACUGAAAAGUUAGCGGCUUUCUUGUUCUUUCAGCAGUUUAAUUUGAACAUGGGACAUGUUUUUCUUGUGAAUUACUAAAUCCCAUUGCUUUAUGUUUGGAGCUUUUUCUGCCAUCAAAUUUUACCUUUUCGGAAGAACUGAUUAGACCUUGGUCCUCAUUGAUGCAGUAAUAAACCAAAGCCUGCAUAUCUUUCAAAGAUUUUGAUUGCACUUUUAAGCUAUGGUGGGGUCCCUGAUGAAUUUCUUUUGGACAUGGUGGAGAAUGCUCUGGGAGAUGCAAAUAGUGUCUUCUCUAGUAAACGAGCAGCUCUAAGAGGUAGUAUUCUUCUGAACAUUUGGACUGUUGAAAUAAAUGUCUAUUCUUAAAACAGUCCAAAAAGAGAUUUUUCUCCAAUUUUUUUUUCUAUACUUGGAUGUUUUUUUUUUCUUGAUUCAAAAUAUGCAUAAGUAAAAAAAUGCAUCUCUAUUCAUCUUUGCUGCUUUUACUUCCCCUGGGUGCGUGUUUCCUUCAAUUGCUAUUUGACGUGUAAACAUUUUCCCUUGUAUUUUCCUUUUGUUCUUUUACCGUAUGAACAGUUUAGGUGAAUCAUGGUGAGAAGGAUGGUUUGACUGCAGCUAGAAUGAUCUUAUCUGGGAUUCCUCUGGACGAAACAUACCUACAGAAUCGUCUGUCCAUCCUGAUGAACGAUGAAAAGAAGAGUUUGAAAGGAGGAAGGAUUCCUAUUCCAGAUUCUUACUAUCUAAUGGGGACAGCCGAUCCCACUGGAAUUCUUAAAAGUGCUAAAGAAUAACUAUAGCUAUGCUUGUCUGGGGCUUAGAUGUUUAAUUUAGUUACAUGCCUCCAUAUCUGGUCCUUGGAUUUAGACAUCAAUGGUGUUAUAUUGCUUUGAUGACAUCCCAUCUCUGGUUCUGUUCUUGUUAACCCACGUUUGAGUUUGAUAUUCACAACUUUGGGGAAAAGGUGUAAUUACCUAUUGGACUUUGAUGUUAUAAUGCUGUUUUGGGUGUCUUUACUAUUUAAUAGUUUGCUUGAAUCAUCAAUGUAGUGACAGUGGACAAAUUUCAGGGAAGGUAUUAGUAUACUGCAAUCCUGGUUUGCACUUCGGGGAUAUUCUUGUUUUGAACGCUACAUAUGUGGAAGCUCUGGAAACAAAAGUUGGAAAUUCAAAGUAUGCUAUAUUUUUCCCUACUAGUGGACUGCGCUCCUUGGCCGAUGAAAUAGCUGGUGGGGAUUUUGAUGGGGAUAUGUAUUGGGUUUCACGUAGCCCUCAGGUUGGGAUAUGUAUUCGAAUGCUUGGUGGCUCCCAUUUUCCAAGCAAGAGGUCUUUGAGUGGAGGGAAUUCUGUUGUAACACCUGAAGUUCAGCCAUCAGAAGGUAAGCCAGAUCUGUCCCCAAGAGAGGACCCAUGCACCAUCAAGUCUGGUUGCCCAAGGUAUUAGUUUCCCCAAUUCUAUUCAAUUUAAACAACUAAUCAUGUAUUGGUGCAUAUGUAAAUGGCAUUUGAGACAGCACAUGCAUAUAAAUAAUCGAAUGUUUGUGCAGAUAUAUCACUUGCUACUGGAGUCACCGAGGGGACGAUUAGGAACUCCAAGGAUCUGUAUCCUCACAUUUCGAAGAUUAAUACCAAGCUGAUAUGCCAAGAAAGAGGAUCUAAAGAGUUUCUGCAGCUUUUGAGUGUGUAGAUAUACAAUCAAAAUCGACAUUACUUAACUUUCAGUUAGUUUUGCAAAUCAGAACAAUAUUGAAUUUGUAAUUAUUGUUAUAAAGAAUAAGGUGGUUCUUAAUUCUCACUCUUUGUAUUGUUAGAAGAUAUCUUGAAAACUUUGUUAUUCAAAUAUCAAAAUGCUGUGUUCGAGUUCUUUUUGGCCCUCAACUACAGAAUACCAGUGUCAUACAAAAUACAUUGCUUCGAUUUCGCAUGAUAAUGUGGGCAAGCAGACGUAGCAUUGUUCCACUCUGACAAGAUGUUGAUUUAAUAAGUUAUUAGUCCGUUCACUUUGGUCCUUUACGCUCUCAAUUCAGCUGGUUAAAUCUCAUUAGUAGUCUCCAUACCCGUUCCUUACUUUGAUUGGUCAUCAUAGUAAAACUCAAUUUCACCAGGUAUGUUUCUAUGCGUAAAGAGAUAAAACUCUACCCUUUGCAGUCUCAUAGUCCUGAUUUCGAUUAAUAUGAAUCUAUAAGAAAUUAUGCACAAAUUAGACAAACUAUACGCGCGUUUCCCCUUUUUCCUUUUAAAAGCUUGGCAAAGUUUUAACAAUGGCUUUUUAUGGUUGCUAGUACUACUCAUUAUGCAAAAUAUUCAUCACACUACAACUAGCAAAUGAACCCUUAUUGACAUAGAAAAAUUGUGAUAUUUUGACGAUACAAUAUAUAUGAUACAAGCUUNNNNNNNNNNNNNNNNNNNNNNNNNNNNNNNNNNNNNNNNNNNNNNNNNNNNNNNNNNNNNNNNNNNNNNNNNNNNNNNNNNNNNNNNNNNNNNNNNNNNNNNNNNNNNNNNNNNNNNNNNNNNNNNNNNNNNNNNNNNNNNNNNNNNNNNNNNNNNNNNNNNNNNNNNNNNNNNNNNNNNNNNNNNNNNNNNNNNNNNNNNNNNNNNNNNNNNNNNNNNNNNNNNNNNNNNNNNNNNNNNNNNNNNNNNNNNNNNNNNNNNNNNNNNNNNNNNNNNNNNNNNNNNNNNNNNNNNNNNNNNNNNNNNNNNNNNNNNNNNNNNNNNNNNNNNNNNNNNNNNNNNNNNNNNNNNNNNNNNNNNNNNNNNNNNNNNNNNNNNNNNNNNNNNNNNNNNNNNNNNNNNNNNNNNNNNNNNNNNNNNNNNNNNNNNNNNNNNNNNNNNNNNNNNNNNNNNNNNNNNNNNNNNNNNNNNNNNNNNNNNNNNNNNNNNNNNNNNNNNNNNNNNNNNNNNNNNNNNNNNNNNNNNNNNNNNNNNNNNNNNNNNNNNNNNNNNNNNNNNNNNNNNNNNNNNNNNNNNNNNNNNNNNNNNNNNNNNNNNNNNNNNNNNNNNNNNNNNNNNNNNNNNNNNNNNNNNNNNNNNNNNNNNNNNNNNNNNNNNNNNNNNNNNNNNNNNNNNNNNNNNNNNNNNNNNNNNNNNNNNNNNNNNNNNNNNNNNNNNNNNNNNNNNNNNNNNNNNNNNNNNNNNNNNNNNNNNNNNNNNNNNNNNNNNNNNNNNNNNNNNNNNNNNNNNNNNNNNNNNNNNNNNNNNNNNNNNNNNNNNNNNNNNNNNNNNNNNNNNNNNNNNNNNNNNNNNNNNNNNNNNNNNNNNNNNNNNNNNNNNNNNNNNNNNNNNNNNNNNNNNNNNNNNNNNNNNNNNNNNNNNNNNNNNNNNNNNNNNNNNNNNNNNNNNNNNNNNNNNNNNNNNNNNNNNNNNNNNNNNNNNNNNNNNNNNNNNNNNNNNNNNNNNNNNNNNNNNNNNNNNNNNNNNNNNNNNNNNNNNNNNNNNNNNNNNNNNNNNNNNNNNNNNNNNNNNNNNNNNNNNNNNNNNNNNNNNNNNNNNNNNNNNNNNNNNNNNNNNNNNNNNNNNNNNNNNNNNNNNNNNNNNNNNNNNNNNNNNNNNNNNNNNNNNNNNNNNNNNNNNNNNNNNNNNNNNNNNNNNNNNNNNNNNNNNNNNNNNNNNNNNNNNNNNNNNNNNNNNNNNNNNNNNNNNNNNNNNNNNNNNNNNNNNNNNNNNNNNNNNNNNNNNNNNNNNNNNNNNNNNNNNNNNNNNNNNNNNNNNNNNNNNNNNNNNNNNNNNNNNNNNNNNNNNNNNNNNNNNNNNNNNNNNNNNNNNNNNNNNNNNNNNNNNNNNNNNNNNNNNNNNNNNNNNNNNNNNNNNNNNNNNNNNNNNNNNNNNNNNNNNNNNNNNNNNNNNNNNNNNNNNNNNNNNNNNNNNNNNNNNNNNNNNNNNNNNNNNNNNNNNNNNNNNNNNNNNNNNNNNNNNNNNNNNNNNNNNNNNNNNNNNNNNNNNNNNNNNNNNNNNNNNNNNNNNNNNNNNNNNNNNNNNNNNNNNNNNNNNNNNNNNNNNNNNNNNNNNNNNNNNNNNNNNNNNNNNNNNNNNNNNNNNNNNNNNNNNNNNNNNNNNNNNNNNNNNNNNNNNNNNNNNNNNNNNNNNNNNNNNNNNNNNNNNNNNNNNNNNNNNNNNNNNNNNNNNNNNNNNNNNNNNNNNNNNNNNNNNNNNNNNNNNNNNNNNNNNNNNNNNNNNNNNNNNNNNNNNNNNNNNNNNNNNNNNNNNNNNNNNNNNNNNNNNNNNNNNNNNNNNNNNNNNNNNNNNNNNNNNNNNNNNNNNNNNNNNNNNNNNNNNNNNNNNNNNNNNNNNNNNNNNNNNNNNNNNNNNNNNNNNNNNNNNNNNNNNNNNNNNNNNNNNNNNNNNNNNNNNNNNNNNNNNNNNNNNNNNNNNNNNNNNNNNNNNNNNNNGCUUUCUCUAUUUGUUCUUUACGCUCUAUAUUUAGAGAUGAAAAAGCAACAGACUUGGGUCGACACUAACCUUGCUAUCUCCAAGCAUGGGCGUUAAGCUCCCGGGAUCCUUCUCAAUGGUGGAUCUGACUUCUUUCUAGGAUCACUGUUUUGACUGGAAACACCCCAGAAGAAAAAAGAAAAAAAAAACAAUUAAAUAAACAGGCAGAAAGUAACAAAAAUGUAAUCAUUAUUUUAUCAUUCAAUUACCAUGGUAAAUAGACAUUGCAUGAAGUCCAGCUUACACUUAUUAGAUGGUGUCUGAUUGUCUUCUCAGAUAUAGAUUUUUUAUCAUCAAUCAAGUUAGACAACUCAAAUUUCUAUUAAGGUGCCGCCUUGUUAAGCAUAAAGAUGGAGACAUCUAUAGGUUGAUCUAUAAUGCUUGGUCAUAGGCUAUGAUUUUUAAGUAAACAAAUUCACAAGUCUUGAAACUGGAGAUUCCCCUCAAACGUCUGGGGAAAUAUAAUCUGGAAAGAGCCAUCCAGGCAGUGAUCCAUGGAGCUGUACAUUAGCAAACAGAAACAUCUCCUCAGCAGAGCCCAGGCUCUGAGGGAUUUGGGAUAAAUAGAAAAUUUGAAGCAGCAAAGAAAAAGACAGUCGAGCACUUUGGUCAUGGAACAAGACAUUCCACAUUGACAUCUUAUAAAGUCAGAUUAAUCUAAAAUGCUAUGUACUUAAAUGCCAAUGAAUAAAGAACUAGUAACUUCAUUUUUUAACACAGGAAAACAUACCCAGGCUUAACAUGACCACUAAGCGCAAGAUUAGGUGUCUUCAUUUGAGCUUGAGCUUCCCUCAUCCUCUCUGCAUACAAGAAGGCGUGUCUGAAUUCUUCAUCUGCUUCAAUUCUUCCUGGUAUUGCUUCAUGUGCUUCUCUUGCUUCAUUUUGCCAGGCCCUUUUCCAUGAAAUUUAUGGGAAAGCAAUCAGAAAGCUUCCUGUGGGGUUAACUGUUGCAAAACAUUCAAAACAAGAAGAUUGGCAUAAAAACAUCAAAGUAAUGAAUUGGCGUUUCUUUGACAGAGGCAAAAGAUAUGGCCAAUGGACAAUUUAGUAUUACAAGGCUUUAUGAUAAAUAUCUUUUUUUUUUGUUGAAAACUUACUAUUCGGCCAAAUUCAUCUGUCCUUUCAAUGCGGAUCUCUUUCUGUCCAUCAUCUGCAAUGCGUACGAGCUUGCUUUUCUUCUUAUCCAUGUUUCUACCACCCCACUCAACAGUUUCUUUAAGUGUUCCCUGUUCCUUAAGAGCUGAUAGUUUCCAUCUUUGACAAGCUUGUUCUAGUAAGAUACCCGGCCUCAUUGAGUACAGCCAGAACUCGUUUCUGACGAGCAAAUACUUCUGCUGCUGCCUUUUUCCCAGGUUCGACAACUAAGAAUUUUAGUCGCACUUAGUCGCCAAGAAAAAAGACAGCCAGUUGGAUGAAUUGAUUUAAUUUCUUGACUCAGAGAGGUCACACAUAUUCUCAACAGCAAUAAGCCCAAAACAUAUAGCAAUCAUCUAAUUUAAAUAAGAAUUAUAAGGUAAACUAUUUACCAGGUUGAUGAUAGGCAUUAAUAUUAACUAAUGAGGCGUAUAUCUCAACUGCUCGCUCAUACAAUGCUAUAAGAGCCCCCACUGAUGUAGGGGUCACUUCUACAACAGUGACUGUUAUAGACUCACGAUCAUUGGCAUAUAGAGCAUAGCCCGUUCCCUACAGAAGUUCACCAUAUCUAAAAGAGAUCAAUUGCAGAAAACAACCGAGUGACUAUAAGUAAAUCAUCCACUGAACUCAUGUCUCCUUUCCAAGAGAAGUGUGAGAUCUUAAACUUCAGAAACAAUAGACAUAAGAACUUCAAAAGUGUGUGAAUGUGUGGAUAUCCUCAUUAUGGCAUGGUGGUCAGAUGCUCCAGUAGAAAAAUGUGUGAAUGGCGCUUGGGGCAUUCAGAUUGAGAGAGAGAGAGAGAGAAGAAACAAGAAACGUUUCUGCUAUAUGUGUCCAUCUGCUUUUAUUAAGUGCAUUUUAUGUCUCCGAUUCUGGAUAGUCCUGUGACCAAACUAAUAGUUAACUUCAAUUAUUCCGUUGCCUUAAAAUCGUGCAAAGGAACACCAUAUUGCCCAUGGUUAUAUAAUCACAACUCUCUUAAUUGCUCCAGCAAAAGUAGUUCUCAUCCAUGCCAAUGUAAAUGUAAUAAAAGUCUAUGUACCCUCAUGCACAUGGACAUGGCUGUUUGCAUGCAUCCAUGUGGACUACUCCAGCCAAAAGUUUUGGAUAACCCGUGCUAUAAACAAAUGAUCUUGAGUAGCUAUAUCCUAUGUGACAUUGCAGGAUUAUGAAGAGGAAGAAUUUGGAUGCCAUCAGAACAUGGUCAACACCUUCCGGCUACUUGAUUUUACAUACAUAAAAUUGGUUUUUAGCAGUGUCAAAACACAGCAUGUCAAGCAACCAUGAUGCACAAUUUUCGUUUUCACUUCUAGCAAGAACCAAGUCUAAAAUUAACUUAAGAUAUGCAGAGGGAGAUACCUGGGCAGGAUAUCAAAAGAAUGGCCAGUUUAGUACAGGCUUCCUAGACAACUAAUGAUAUAACACAAUUUGAAGAUUCAACCAUAAUUCCCAACUUAUGGGUGAAGCGACCAAGUUUGAUUCAAAUUUAUAUCUUCAACUUACUUCCAAACAGGAUGUCACAGGAUUGAAAAACUACAAAAGUGUUAAUAACUUAUGCACAUGGAAGGAAUAUGCAAUAAGAAGCUAUAAUAAUAAUAAUGGUCUGUCACAACACUCAAAUAUCUUGGACUUCUCAUAUUCAUAGCUUCAGUACCACCACUGAAAUAAUGACAUUAUUCAAGUUUCCAAGCAAAACUUAAAAAAAACAAAAGGAAUUACACAGCUAGUGUGCCUUUCAUCUAACCGAGUUGAGUGUCUACCCAUGUAAAACAAAACNNNNNNNNNNNNNNNNNNNNNNNNNNNNNNNNNNNNNNNNNNNNNNNNNNNNNNNNNNNNNNNNNNNNNNNNNNNNNNNNNNNNNNNNNNNNNNNNNNNNAUAUCUCCCUACUGUUCUACAGCUAGGCGCGCGGACCCCAACAUUGGGAUGUGCAAAGUUGCUUUCCAUCCCUGUGAUUUCUUACUUAGGAAGAAAUGGAGCAAAGGUGCUACCGAAUGAUAAGCAAUGAGAGAUUUUUGAGUAAAUUAUCCCUAACUAUUUUUGAAAAUCAAUAGUUUAUCCAUAAAGAUAAAAGAAAACUUUCUUCGAGUUCUGCUUCUUCCUCCUUUCAAAUGUAAAGGAAGUACUUCUGAAAAAUCCUCGGUUAGGUUGGUACAACGAAAAAAGACAGGACUUUUGCAGCUUACUUAAGGUAAAGACUAACUUCCUUUAUAGAUCCUUUGCUACACAAAUUUUAAUAUUUGUCUUUUCAUUAUCAGCUGCAAGCUAUUGGAGAAAGAACAACAGGAGGUUCAAUUAAAAGCAUUUGGCGCGCACUCACAUCAAUGAUAAAGCAAAUAAGUAAGAAAAAUCUCUAUCUAUUUCCAUAUGCAAUGUCAGUGAGUACAAUAAGAUUGUCUCUGGUAUUACAUAUAGAAUCUUUGAUGACAUUUUCGUUAUCUAUAUUUCAAAGGCAUACAAAUUGAAUCAUCAGUUUAUAUUUAUUAAAAUACUAAGCACAUUCAUCAUUCAAUUAUAUCACCAAUAAGUUCUUGUCCCGAUUUUUGGUAUUAAAGUUACUGACCUUAUAAGGUCAUUCUUCUUAUAAUUUCAGUGCUUGUAACAUUCUGAAAUUGAGGUGGGACCUUUUUAGUGAAUAUUUUUUUUUUAUUCGAAGUAACUUUAAGAUUCACAUUGGAAAGUGUUUUAUACUCCCCUAAAACGGAGACCCCACUUUGGUUCAUGUAGUGGAUCGACAACUUGUAUUUAAUGCUUUAAUCAAAUAUAAACAAUUUAAUAGAUCAGAUGUUUCUUAAGCACAUUAACGAGCAUCAUCGGCGUUAAUGAUUGUUGCAUUCGGAGUUUUCAAUAAUUCAUAUACAUAUCCACCAUCGUAUGCAUACAAAUAUAGAUAUGUCAGAGAUAAGUAAAUAAAGACAAUUAAUUUUAAAUGCGCACCUUGAAUUGCUCCCUCACGACUUGGAUGUUGGUUUUGUGCAGAUCAAGCCCAACCAACUUAUUUGGACAAGAGGAAAACUCGGGAAACCAAGGACAUUCGGGCCACUCAAACCAUCUCAGUUCAUUAGGAAGACAGAUAGGACCUUGGAAAGAGUUAUGCACAUUAAUCAUGAUGAGCAACCUCAACCUUCUCAUGUUUGUGAAAGCAUUGGGACCUAUGUAUAUUGCUUCUGUCUUGGGUAAAACCAAAACUAUGGCUUUUACUGCAUUUGUUCCCUGCAUUUAUAGAACUUGCGUUGCAAUUUGUAUACGAAGUCAGAGACGAUGAGAGUAAAAUCAGUGUUUAAACCACCAAAACUUACCAUAUCCCUCGAUAGAACAUCACAGACGUCUUCACAAAGCCAUAACCUGCUACAUCUUCCAGGAUCAUCGCAACAUUCUUGUUUAACAAUAUCCAUGCCCAUCAACUGAAUCAAGUCAUGCAUCUGUAUUGUCUCCCCUUCUUUCGUUAUUAAGGACUUCUCAACAAGAACUUGUACUCCAAUAGUUGUGUCAAAGUUGAAACUGUUAAGGACUUUCAUGAUGUACUCUAUAGAUCGCCCCUUGAAGUAACAUGCAAUAUCAAGGAAUAUCUCCUUUGCAUAGUCCUCUAGUCCAUCACAACUUAACUUGAGAACAUCAUUGAUGGUUUUGUCAAGACUUUUAGCAAGUUUAUUCAAUGCACUUUCCCACUCCCGUUCUUUUCUUCCACAUAGGAAAGAGCCCAAUACCUCAAGUGCUAAAGGAAGUCCUUUAGCAUAAUGCAAAGCACUAUUGACAAGAUCCCUCCUUAUCACUAUUUCCUUACUUCUAAGAAAAGCAUCUUUAUCAAAAAGUUGACGAGCUUCCCAAUCCACUAGAGUUUUAACUUCAUAGAUAUGAUCUUUAUCUAUCCCAUGGCAAGUUAAUAGAUGGUUAUCUCUUGUUGUGAUGAUGAUUAUGCUUCCUUUACCAAACCAUUUGUGCUCUCCAGCUAAAACAUUUAACUGUUUUAUGUCAUUGAUAUCGUCGAGAACAAGAAGCACUUUUUUGCGACGAAGUCUAUCUUGGAUCAAAUUAAUACCUCCAUCAACACUAAACACUGUUAAUCCUUUUCCUGGAAAUAUCUCGAACACAACUCUUCUUGCAAUGAGCUAAGUCUUGGAUCUUUGAGUUUCCCGAACGUUUGCCAAAAAGCAUGAAGCCNNNNNNNNNNNNNNNNNNNNNNNNNNNNNNNNNNNNNNNNNNNNNNNNNNNNNNNNNNNNNNNNNNNNNNNNNNNNNNNNNNNNNNNNNNNNNNNNNNNNGGACAAAGAGAGGUCUCACAGUACCCAUACGCCUCUCUCUCCUCCACCACAUAUCCCUCGCGGCCGUCACGGCGUCGCCGAAACCCCAAAACUUAGCACCGCCACCAAUAUAGCCUCGCAAACUCUUUUGCUUCAAAAUCCUGGGCUACGUACUCGAGCCGGAAAUCGGGACCGAAUAAGGAGUAGAAGACAAAGAAGGUCGAGAGGCCAGUCGGCAGCCGGCGAUUUCUGGAGCCGCGGCUGGAAAGUCGAUGACAGCGACGAGGACAGAGGCGAGGAGGGAAGCGCUUAGGGUGAGUGAGAGGGCUCGAGACAGAGAGAAGGGGGGGCGCUUGGGGUGAGUGAGAGGGCUCGGGACAGGAGAUUCUUUUUGUGGAGGAAGCGGUGGCAGAAGCGUUAGUCUCUUAUCUCCAUUCAAAACGAGAAUUGGAAAACCAUCCUUGACAUCUGUGUUCACCUGUGUGAAAGAAUAUUUUUAACCCCAUUAACCAUAGAACUUUGAGCUGAAAAGAGAAGUGACAGGCAACACUAUUUGUGAUUAUGGUAUACAUCAUCCCUUAAUCACCAUUUUUGACUAGUCCAUUGUGUCACAAACCAAGAUAGAUCGCGAUAGGGGACGGAAAAAAAAACCAAGACUUGACGCAUUACAAAGGAGUGAUCCCAGACAAAUCCACAAAAAUCAAGCUUUGGUUCCACCAACAGGCAUUGACACUCAGUAUACCAUCUAACGGGAACAACACAGCAAUAGACUUCAGUGAACGUGAAAACACACUCUUGGGAAAAUUCCACAAUGAUUCAAACUCGUCGUAAUCAGACGGACAGACACAACCCGAGAGCCGAGCAACGNNNNNNNNNNNNNNNNNNNNNNNNNNNNNNNNNNNNNNNNNNNNNNNNNNNNNNNNNNNNNNNNNNNNNNNNNNNNNNNNNNNNNNNNNNNNNNNNNNNNNNNNNNNNNNNNNNNNNNNNNNNNNNNNNNNNNNNNNNNNNNNNNNNNNNNNNNNNNNNNNNNNNNNNNNNNNNNNNNNNNNNNNNNNNNNNNNNNNNNNNNNNNNNNNNNNNNNNNNNNNNNNNNNNNNNNNNNNNNNNNNNNNNNNNNNNNNNNNNNNNNNNNNNNNNNNNNNNNNNNNNNNNNNNNNNNNNNNNNNNNNNNNNNNNNNNNNNNNNNNNNNNNNNNNNNNNNNNNNNNNNNNNNNNNNNNNNNNNNNNNNNNNNNNNNNNNNNNNNNNNNNNNNNNNNNNNNNNNNNNNNNNNNNNNNNNNNNNNNNNNNNNNNNNNNNNNNNNNNNNNNNNNNNNNNNNNNNNNNNNNNNNNNNNNNNNNNNNNNNNNNNNNNNNNNNNNNNNNNNNNNNNNNNNNNNNNNNNNNNNNNNNNNNNNNNNNNNNNNNNNNNNNNNNNNNNNNNNNNNNNNNNNNNNNNNNNNNNNNNNNNNNNNNNNNNNNNNNNNNNNNNNNNNNNNNNNNNNNNNNNNNNNNNNNNNNNNNNNNNNNNNNNNNNNNNNNNNNNNNNNNNNNNNNNNNNNNNNNNNNNNNNNNNNNNNNNNNNNNNNNNNNNNNNNNNNNNNNNNNNNNNNNNNNNNNNNNNNNNNNNNNNNNNNNNNNNNNNNNNNNNNNNNNNNNNNNNNNNNNNNNNNNNNNNNNNNNNNNNNNNNNNNNNNNNNNNNNNNNNNNNNNNNNNNNNNNNNNNNNNNNNNNNNNNNNNNNNNNNNNNNNNNNNNNNNNNNNNNNNNNNNNNNNNNNNNNNNNNNNNNNNNNNNNNNNNNNNNNNNNNNNNNNNNNNNNNNNNNNNNNNNNNNNNNNNNNNNNNNNNNNNNNNNNNNNNNNNNNNNNNNNNNNNNNNNNNNNNNNNNNNNAGCAUAUAAAAGGAAAAAAGAAAAGAAAAAAGAAUGUAACAUCAAUCACUACUCAAUACUUACUUGUCAUUCAAAUCUCACCCGGACAAGCUACCGGCAUCAUAAAGAGCCUUCUCCUAUCUCUUCACCUUCUCUGAAUCUCUCCCAAACUUGCUCUCAUGCUUAACCAUAGCUUCUCGGUAGCUUCCUCUUGGUGUUCUCACUUCUUUGGGUUCCACUUUGUAAAACACUGGAAACACUGUGAGUCCUCUUUGUUCCUUGCAUUCCAUGAUUUUCUCCACCUCUUCCAAACACCACAAUGAGGAAGCAUAGUUCUCAGAGAAAACAAUGAUUGCGAUGCGUGAGUCCUCGAUCGCAUUAAUAAUCGCUGGUGUUAUUCGUUUCCCUUUCCGAAGCUCCUUACUAUCAACGUAAGUGUAGAUUCCUUUCUGAUCAAGAGAUGCAUACAGAUGACUGAGGAAGUUGUUUCGAACGUCCGUACCUCAGAAACUCAUGAAAACGUCAUAAUUCCCUUUUAGAUUUGAAGAAGUGGCCUUUAGAGGAGAUGAAGGUUGAUGUGCACCCUCAGAAUGCUUAGUGCCUUGUCGUGUUGCAGCUUUAUCUCUCAUGUGGAUACCACUUUGUACUAAUAAAGAAAUAGAAACGAAAACCAAGGUCAUUUUGAUAAGCAUAUUCUCCACCAACUAAUUUAACAAAAAGUGGCAUUUUGCAUAAGAUGCACAGAACCAUCCUAUAUAGGUGCUUCUUGACUUGAAUUGCCUUUCCCUUUAAUAAAAGAAAUAGAAAAGAAAACUAGCAAUACUCACAUGCUCUUAAUACCAAUAUACAUGAGUCAAUAGCAAAACAUAGCCUAUUGGAAUAUUCUUUAUAAUAAACAACAUAGCCUGUUGGAAUAUUCUUUAUAAUGAACAAUCUUACUUUUUUCUUUCAAAAGGGAUUCUACAAAAGCAAAUCCCACAAUAAAUUUCCCUCACUUUUCAAACUAAAUUUUUCCAUACCAUAUCUUGACUAAAGAUUAUCGAGUUAUUACCCCCUCAGCCAUGUUAUGUUGAUCUCACUCCUUAAUUUAUCUUUGUUUUUGACAUUUCACAUUUAUUUUAUACUUUUAAUGUCACAUUUAGAAUUUCUCAGCUAAUGGGUUAUCCACAAUCGAAUAACUAUUUAGGGAAUAUUUUUUUCCUUUUUAUUUUUUUUCGAACCUUUUAUUCCAUGUUAACACUCUUUUUUUCUUACCUUCUUAGUAAAGACUAUCACUUAUUCACCUGAAGGUGUUUGUCAUCAGUGAUUGGAUAUUAUGAACCAACUAUAUUAUAACACCAGCUUUAUCUUCCAGUAAAAACUAGAACCUUACCACUUUGAAUAGCGAUGGCGUAUAAAGGAUUCGUGAAAUGGAAACUUCUACUUCAAUGUCUUGGUGAUAUUAUUUAAUGUAUGUACAGCUGCCUUUCAACGAUGCUCUCAUGCAGAUCUUUAAACACUUCUGCCAUAAAAAAUUGUGAAAGUCGAGACUUUGUUUGCAUGGGUAUAGUUUGAUGGUGGAUGAUGUGUGAGACCUGCAUCCUCUGAGUGAUUUUCAGUGUUUUNNNNNNNNNNNNNNNNNNNNNNNNNNNNNNNNNNNNNNNNNNNNNNNNNNNNNNNNNNNNNNNNNNNNNNNNNNNNNNNNNNNNNNNNNNNNNNNNNNNNUAGGGCACUUUCAAUUAGAGCCUCCGGUUGUGCCUUCUUGUUCCGAAAAACAACGUUGUUCCUGUUUUUCCAGAUCUGCCAAAGCAUCUCCGUGACUAUUUCUUCAUCAGGUGAGUGUAUUUUUGCCUCUAAAAAUUCUGCCAACCAUUUGUCCAUUCUGGUAGCCGUGCUUGUACUGUGGCUGAGAUUAAGUCGAUGAUUUGACCAUAUUCUGUGUGCUGUUUUGCAGUGAAAAAAGAUGUGCUCGAUUGUCUCAGGGUGUUUAGAACAGAGAGGGCAUAGCGGGUCAGGUAAAAUCUUCCUCUGGUAGAGUUUUUCGUUUGUUAGUAUUGCAUCCUGGCAUAGGCUCCAUAGAAAUAUUUUCAGUUUGGGGGGGAUUGAUAAUUUCCAUAGCCUAGUCCAUAGGGCACGGGGAGGCUGGUACGAGGAUGAUGCUCUGUUGUUGUCCUGUUGUAGGGACUUGUUGUGCAUGUUGUUAUAACCACUUUUAACGGUAUAAGUCCCAUUUUUGUUGCCUAUCCAAAUCAACUUGUCUUCCUUUGGCUGCAUAGCGAUAGGGAUAGACAGGAUUUCAUUUACAAUUCUUCUUUCAAACAUCCGGUUUAACAUCGUUUCUUUCCAUUCCUUCCUUUCCUCAUCAAUUAAUUCAACCACUGUUGUAGGAUCUUCUCUGUUUUCUGGGCCUCCUAUUACUCCUUGUGAUAGCCAAUGAUCUUGGCGAAUAUUAAUGGAUUUCCCGUCUCCCACAAUCCAUCUUAGGUCUGGUGCAAUGACUUCACAUCCCAUUAGGAUACUCUGCCAUCCCCAAGAUGGUCUUUGACCUCUGUUUGCUCUCCAUAAAUCUCCAUCAGGAAAGUAUAUGCCUUUCAGGAUUUGGCUCCAUAAAGCUGAAGGUGAUUGGGAUAACCGCCACGCCUGCUUUCCCAACAAAGCUUUAUUAAAAGUGAUUAAAUCUUUAAAACCUAAACCUCCCCUAUCUUUCCUAGACUUUAGAACCUCCCAUUUCCUCUAGUGCGUGUUGUUCUUGGCUUCAUUUUGCCUCCACCAUAAUACUGCAAUUCUUUUUUCAAUCGCUUGACAAACCGAUACAGGUAUCUUGAAUAUUGCCAUUGCAUAUUAUGGCAAUGCUUGCACAACAGUUUUGAUCAAAAUUUCUUUCCCAGCUUUAGAUAGAUAUUUUUCUUUCCAUCCCACUAGCUUCAUGUCUACUCUUGCCAAGAUCCAUGCAAACGUGUCUUUUUUUGUUUGUCCCCAAUCUGACGAUAUGCCAAGGUAUUUUCCUACUUUGUCAAUGUUUGGAACUCUCAUUUCUUGGGUCAUAUUCCUUUUCAACUCCUGUGGACAGCUAUUACUAAAGAACAUACUUGAUUUAUUCAGAUUAAUUGCUUGCCCCGUCGCAUAGCAAUAUUGAUUUAGGACAGCCACCAAACUUUGACAUUCUCUAACAGUCCCAUCCAUAAAAAAGAUAGCAUCAUCUGCAAAAAGGAGGUGAGAUAGUGUAGGACAAUACCUAUUUAGUUUGAUUCCUUUAAUACAUCCGUCUUCCAGGGCUUUGUAUAGCAUCCAUGAGAGUACAUUGGCUGUCAAUAUGAAUAAGUAGGGGGAUAGGGGGUCGCCUUGUCUAAUUCCACGUGUAGGAAUAAAAUAUUCUGUUGGCUCUCCAUUAACUUUCACAUUGAAAGAAAUUGUUGACAUGCAUUGCAUAAUCAAAUGAACCCAUUUGUUAGAAAAACCCAUAUUUAGUAUGCUAGACUGAAGAAAGUCCCAUUCCACUCUGUCGUAUGCUUUUUGCAUGUCCAGCUUCAAUAUCGCCUGAAAUUUCUUUUUCCUCUUCUUGAUUCUCAUUUGAUGCAACACUUCUUGAACAAUUAGGAUAUUAUCUGAAUUUGUCUACCUUGAACAAAAGCACUUUGUUCAUGUGAAAUGAUCUGUGGAAGCCAUCGUUUCAAUCUAUUUGCCAUUACUUUCGAUAUGAUUUUAUAGCUGAAGUUGCAUAAGCUGAUGGGUCUGAACUGGCUUAUAUUCUCUGGAUUUUUAACUUUUGGUAUUAGAGCAAUGUAUGUCUUGUUGAGAAUGGGAUCAAGAUUACCUGACUAAAAAAAUUCCUGGACCAUAAGCACGACAUCCAUUUUAAUAUCCUCCCAGAAGUGCUGGUAGAAUUGCCCAUUUAGACCGUCUGGUCCUGGAGCCUUUAGGGAACCUAACUGGAAAAUAGCCUCUUUAACCUCCUCCUCAGAUAUAUCGGCCAUCAAAUCUUCAUUCAUCUCCGUUGUGACGACUGUUGGGCAUUGAUUUAAUAUAGGCUGGAGAUUCCUUGAUCCCAUCGAAUCAUAUAGAGUCCGAUAGUAGUCCUUAAUGUGUUGUUUGAGCACCGUGGAGUCCCGACUCCAGUUCUGUUUAUCAACCUUCAGCAUUGUAAUUUUGUUUUGUUGCCUCCUCUGAAUUGUAGCGGCAUGGGAGUAUUUCGUAUUUUUAUCUCCCCAUUGAAGCUAGUUGAUUCGGGACCUUAAUCCCCAGUACAUCUCUUCCUACCUCCAUAGUUGAUCAAUGUUUGCCUUUAACAUCUGGAUUUAUGCUUUGCUAGUUUCUCUGGGGUUGCUGUUUGUUACUUCCGUUAGGUGCUUCUUGAGUGCUUUAAUUUGACAUGAUGCGUUGGAAAAUUUCUGUUUGCUCCAUUUAGCUAGUCCCUCUGUUACUUGCUGGAUUUUCUGUGUCAAACUUUUUUGAUCUUGGAAUGUUCCAGCCCAAGUAUCCAUAACAACAUCUCGACAUUCUUUUUCAUCUAACCAGUAAGCUUCAAAUAUGAAUUCUCUUUUCCUUUUGCCAUGAACAGGAUACAAGGAGAGAAGAAGGGGGCUGUGAUCCGACCCCACCGCUGGUAAUGCCAAAACUUCAGCAUUUGGAUAGUAACCCGCCAUUCCAUAUUACAUACUGCUCUGUCUAACCGCGUUUUGACCAACUCCUCCCCUUCUCUAUUGUUAGUCCACGUAAACUUACAGCCUUUACUAUCAAUAUCCAUCAGUGAACAUUCAUUUAACAUAUCCCGAAAGGUUGCAAUUCGAUAAUAAUCCGUCUCCCUUUUACCUUCAUUCUCCAAAUUAUAUAGAGUAUCAUUAAAUUCUCCCAUACAAAGCCACGGUAGAUUGUUUGAUGUGUGAAAACCCCGUAGUUGUUGCCAUAACUGAGUUCUUGCCUGGUAGUUUGUUGGUGCGUGAAGGAAGGUAAUCCUCAUUUGUUUGCCACUGGUUGGGUCUUCACAUUCCGUAUCUAUUACAUAGUUUGAGCUACACUUCACUUUCACUUGAAUCUCUUCAUUCCACAUGAGUGCUAAUCCCCCGGCUAUUCCUGUAGGAUGUAUCAAAAAAGACUAUUGAUAGUUAAGUCUCCUCCUUAUCCUUUCCACCAUGAUAUCCUUGUUCUUGGUUUCCAUAAGAAAACCACAUUGAGCCUUUCAAGAGCCAUUAAGGCUCGAAGCUCUUGGAACGUCAGGGGGUUGCCCAGCCCUUGACAGUUCCAUCUCACAAUCCUCAUAAUGUUGCCGAUGGCUUAUUAGGGCUAGCCACCAGAGCCCAAUCAUUCCCCUCUUUCACUAGCUGGAUAGGUGUCUCUAGUAAUUCCAUAUCUUCUAUCAAUAAUGGACUUGAAUCCUUACUCUUCUUCUGUUUUUUUGCUCUUAUUAACUUUGGCCCCUUUCUGUGAAUGCCUCUUGUUUCUGUCUGCCUUGCAUCAGACGAGUCUAAUAAGUACAAUGGUUGUUUCCCUGCUGCUUUUCUAACUGUUGUUUCCCUCACAUCUUCUGCUCUGUUUUCAUUGGAUGACAGAUUUCUUGCUCUUUUUUUGCUUCGAUUAGGUCCUGGAUCUGGUCCAUUACAACCCACAAUCUCAAGGUUAGACUGGAUGGGAGUUUCAGGUACAUAGUCCCCUUCCUCUGAAGUAGUUAUGAUCGUUCCAUAAAAGGCCUCCCAGUGAGGGCUCCUGUCCCUUACCUCUGACUUAAGCCACGGCUCAUAUUUCCCUGGUCUAUUUGCUGCCCAUUCCGUUUUUUCAUAGGGUAUUUCUUCGUAAUUAGAGGCGUAGUGCCCUAGUUUUCCACAGGAAUAGCAGUAAUGGGGAAGACGUUCAUAUUUAAACUCCACCCAUAACUUUUUCCCACCAAUUUUCACAAGAACCCCUGUUUUAAGAGGAGCUUAAAGUUCAAGUUCAACUCUUGCUUUCCCUAUUUUAUAGUUCUGAUUUCCUCUUUUUUCUAACUGAAUUUCCUUCACUUUCCCCACUUUUCCAGCCACCUCAGUAUAUACCUCUUCCAGAACCCAACCAGGAGGCAGGCCGACAAUGUGGACCCAAAAAUCAUACCGAGAAAAGUCAUAGCAGUGUUCGGGAAUAUCAGGUAAACAUUGCUUUAGAACCAGUAGAUUGCUUGCAAAUGACCAGGGACCAGAUAUUAGAACCCGAUCUUUGUCAAUUUAUGAUUCAAAGACAAUGGAGAAAAACCCCGGUUCUUUUUGGAAGAUUUCAACUACUUCUACUUUCCAGGCCUUCUUCAUCGUAUUACAACAUGCUUGAAAGUUUACAUUAGGCUUCGAUAGUAACUUACCGAAUAGAGUAUGUUGGCAUUCGAUAAUUUUAUCUAUUGGGGCUUCCUCCUUUACGGCUACCACAUUGUUUUCUGACCAGAGAUGCCCCAGACUCCUACACAAAGCUGCUACACGAAUAUGGUUUUCCUCAUCACUCUCCAUUUUCAACCUUUCUUUUAUAGACUCAGCUCAUGAGGACGUUGUACCUGAUUUGGAUAUGUUCCGGUGUGCGAUUGAAGAGAGCUCUAGCUAGGGGAUGAGUGGGGGCUAAGUUCCUUUGAAGAAGCGAACCACUCCAUUCUUCCUUUCAAAGCCACAGUUGCGAUUUCAGUAAGAGGAAGAGAGAAAACGUCAAUGGCUAUUGAUUGGAAGGGUUUCUAUGUUUUAGGGUUUGUUUUGAGGGUUUUCGGAUUUUAUGGGUUAUGGGUGGUUAUGUUAUGGGGGUUUGUUGGGGAUGGAUUCGCCAUUAUGGAACGAAUGGAUUCUGGGUUUCUUGGGUUUAGGGUUUGGAAAUUCUACUACCCAAAGGGCGUAGAGAGGAACUCUAUGGGAGAGGCAGCUCUACCAGCGUAGAGAGAAUUUGAUAGCUUCGGUCAUUUCGGAAGCACCUUCAUUGGUAACAAUUAUGUUCACCUGGCUAAUUUAGGUUAAAAAUUACUAACUUGGAUAGAAGUAGUCCUACGUUGCACAGUCAACAUUGACACAGACAAUUUUUUUAAUUUUUAUUUUAUUUUUAAAUUCUUUUCAUUUUCUUCUCCUUUUCUUUUUGUUGUUUGUUUUUCCCUUCUUUCUCUCCACACCAGUUGCCACCUCCAUGAUGGCGAGCAAAGAUUGCCGGCUAAUGGGGAGGGUAAGGGCUAGGAUGCCCUCGCCUGGGUGAGAGCCUUCACCAUCGCUAGAUGGCUGCAAGGUUACCCCUCAUUGGCCUUUGGCGACGGCCCUUUGCUAGAUUUAGCGAGGGACGGCCUCACCUAGAUGGUGAGGGGCCUCACCCAGCCCUUGCUAAAGGCUAGGUAAGGAGUCUCAGCCCUUGCCCUCUGUCAGCCAUCACGAAUGUGGUGAUUGGUGGCGAAAGGGAAAUAAUAGAAAAAGAAAAAAGAGAAAGGAAAGAGGAAAAAAUGAAAAAGAGAAGGAAAAAGAAAAUGUUGCGAUCUCCCCUUUUUGUUCAGAGGGAAAGAACAAUAGGUUUAGGGGUGUUGUCUAAAAGACAAGUCUACGGCCCUUUAUUAGGCGUGGGCUCUCCCAAGCUUUUAUCUCAUGCGACAUUGGGAUAUUUGAUUGAGCUUCAAUUGACACUAUAAAGAUUUUCUAAUGAGGAGUCGUCAUUAGCUUAUUGGAAUCGAUUAGAAACCAAAUGAGGUAUGGAAGUGUACCUCACUUUUUAUGCAACCAAAAAAAUUUAGGAUUGGGGACUUCAUGUAUUAAUUAAUUAAUUAGUAUCAUUUCGUUACCUAAUCUUGAUCAUUUUGAAAAGAUUUUUGUUAAGGCAGUCUAGAUUGAUUUUAAGUUUAUCCACUAACGCGUGAAAUGAUUGCGUAAUAAUUAAAAUAACAAUUAGCAACCAAGAAAACCGUAGAUGAAUUGCAUGGAAGAGCAAUGAUAUACCAUUACCAAAUAAGGAGCAUGCCAUUUCUAACUAACCUAAAGGAAGGCCAUAGUCAUCAUAUUGAAAGUGUGCAAUUAAGAGCGUUUAUUUCUAAAAAUAAUCGAGACCCUAUGGUAAAGUCCUAAAAUCUUGUUCAAUUUUUUAAGGAUUUUUUAUGAAUGAUUUUUCCACAUUUUAAGAGAAAACUAGCCAAAAAAAAAAAAUCUUUUAAGCUUUUUCUGAGGAAUUCUAAUUUUUUGAAUUUUUUGAAAUUUUCUUUUAUAAAAAAAUUAUUCCGAAAAUAUGGACCCGGGUCGGGCCUCGUGGCCCAUCCCGAAAAUGGGCUGCUGCAGGUCACAUGAAUCUGGACUCAAGGACACGAAUGGGCUUUACACAUUGAAAGGCUUUAAUCGUUGAAAAACGAAUUGGGCUCAACUCAUAGAAUUAAGCCCAAUUCCUCCAGCAUUUAACUAAGCCCAAUCUUUUGACCAAAAACUAAGCCCAAUCCCAACGGAUCAAGUCAUCUAACCUAGCCAGAACCUAAAACAUACUAAGGUCAAAUGAGCCCAAAGUCAUCAAAAUCCAGCUUCGGCCCCUACUUCCACGACAUGGAGAACUUCCCUCCUCCCUUGUUCUCUUCAUCCUCCCCACUCCCCAUAACAUAAAUACGUCACCACUUGAUAUUAAUACUUGCGAUCAACAAAAGAAAGCGCCGCUUAUGUAUGGCCCAAAUUCGACACAUUCAGGUCCGACGUGAGUGAGGACUAAAGAAAUCGAGCUUGCUUUGGUCUUUUAAAAUCAAACAGGACUAGGCAAAAAAAAAAAAAAAAAAGAGGGAAGGAGCGAGCAUUCAAUCGUGGGGGCCCUACCUGGCUUGGAUUCCGUGGGCAUCGUCGGCGGCGAAGGUUGAGAAUAGCGACACUAAACUCGUGUGAAUGGCAGCAGGCGGACGAUGCUCUGGAGGUGAUGGACAACGUAGAUCGGCUGUGGCUCUGAGUUUUUGUGUGGGGCUUCAAUGGCGACCGUCCACGUAGUAGAGAAAGACCAAGAUGCUUUUUCUUCUUUUUUUCUUUUUUCGUGAGAGUAAAGAAGUGGCUGACGGUGAAGGAGUUGCGGUAGGACUCCGGGAAUGGAAUGCGAGAGCAGUCGCCGGCAGGAGGUAGUCGGACGGAGAUGGUUGAGGUGGCUGGUCAGGUGAGUUCUGGAGAAAGGGCGGGGAAUGCCUUUUUUCCCUUUCUAGAAAAAUCUCCCCGAAGAUGGUGGUCUCCCCUCCUUUUCCGUGAACGCCCUGCCU